CAUUAGGCCAGGGCUCCUUCCGGCCAUCUCAGCAAAACCCACAGGCCCGGGGCUCUGUCCAGCCUCAACAACUGCCCCAGUUCGAGGAAAUAAGGAACCUAGCGCUACAGACGCUACCCGCAAUGUGCAAUGUCUACAUCCCUCCAUAUUGCACCAUCGCGCCAUUUGGCAUCUUCGGUACUAACUGAGAAGAAAAUAACUCUAGUACUAGAUAUAUGAAACACCGUUUUCUCAGUCCAUGGUUUGGUCGUUGUAGCGGUGAAAAAAUAAUGUGACAUGCACUAUCAGGUAAGAACCCGAACUAUACUAGUUCAAACUUGGGAAUAAAAGACAAACACAGGUCUUGUCUACAUAUUUAUGUUGCAUCUAUUUAUAUAUUAAAAGUAAUAUAAGGUGAACCAGGAGCAAGGUAAAUAUGCUAGAAAAUUGCACGUUAAUUAGAAAUUACUAGCCCUCGAUCUGAUAAAUCUUAACGAACAUAUAUAAUGCUCUGGGCCUCCAACGACUGUACGUGACACAUCUGAACGAACAUAUGUUAAAGAAAAUAUAUUUGGUAAAUGGUGGGCUUCUUUAAAAAGAGAACUCACGUACAUGCACCAACUAAGAAAAACACAUACAUGUAAACGGGAAAAGGAUGAGAUUUUCUCACGUACGUGCUCCCUGGCUCCACCCCGUUGAAAAAAUAUACAUCUGGAGGCCACUUUGUUUCCUCAUCAAAAAAACUUACGUUAAAAAGAUUGCAUGCAUCCCAGGGAAAAUAGUCAAGAAGAAGUCGGACUUUUCCUUACAAAAACAAGGAACGUGUUAAGUUGACUUCAAAGAAAAAAGGAACAUGUUAAGUUAAAAAAAAACAAGAAACCUGUUAAGUUAGAAAAAAAACAAGGAACGUGUUGUCCAAGGAAAGAGGAAGAAGAAAGUUGGUUUCAGUGAGUCAUGUGAAUUGUAGAAGAAAUAGGUAAACAAGGCUAGCUCCCCUGGGGGUUGUCAUAUUACAAUCAUUUGUAUUACUUUCCUACCAAUCCUGAACUAGCUAUGACCCUUAUAGCGAGCCUCACUUUACCGUUUCAGAUAGAAACAUAUGGCAGUACUGUACGUACUCGAGAGAAGUUGCUCCCUUCCAUGACAAGGACUAGUUAAGUUUCACUAUCUCCUUUCUCAACUCACUAUAUCCCAGCGGCGGAUUAAUAUAUAUACGUUGAAAAGCAAGGGGAUAAAUUGAACGAAAUGAAGAGCAAUCCAGAAUCCUAUUUUGUAUAUGUGUCAAAUCUUACAAAAAAAAAAGAAUACACACACGUACGUUCAUGCACUUGGAAAAUAGAAAAAAAAGGAACAUCACGUAUGUAUACACUUCGGAAACUCAUUACAUGACCAUGUCUGAUAUACUCCUCUAAUGCUUCAUAUUAGUGCCUAAUAAUUUAUAUUUAAAAUUCAAUUUACUGAUCAAAUAUCCCCACUGUUUAAAUUUUAAUUUGGCACAUUGUUUGGCUAUAGUAUGAACCUAAAUUUCCUCUUAUUAUUAUAUAUCAUGGUAAUAAUCCAAAGGCGACUAAUCUGCGCCGGCGCACCGGCGCAAUCAAUUCCGCUGGACACAGCGCGGCCGUUUGAUUAGAUUGCAUUUAACCGUCAGAUCUGGAAUCGUUUUCUUUCCAAUUAAACAGAUUCAACCAAACAGCAGAGGGGAAAACAAAGCAGCGCCGCCGCCAACACUAGCCAUGGACGACCGAUGUAGCAAAACCUUGAAGAACCGCCGCCGGUCGCCACCCUCGCUGCUGGUCGCCGCCCUCGCCGUCGGUCACCGCCGGUCGCCGCCCUCGCCGCACUCGUGGUUGCAGGCUUGCAUCUCCGCCUCCGGGGGACAUGGCCGCAUGUCCGGUAGCGCCGGCCGCCGGCCGGUGCACCUGUCGUUGUGGUCGCGCUGUACCUCGCCGUGUGCCCUCCCGUGGCUCUUGCUGGUUCCAACAAAAAACGAUACCGGUUGUAGCAAAAAAAUAUCGCUUCCAGCAAAAAAGCUUACCGCUACAGCCCGCCAUCGUCAUUGUAGCAAAAAUGUUAACCCGAUGUAGCUUCUGUGGUUGCCGACUGCAGCAAAAAAUGACAUGGUUGUAGCAAAACACAAAAGAAAAACGCCGGCCGGCCUCUGUGUAUGGUGGUAACAAACCCCAUAGCCGGUGGUAGCGAAAAACUUCAUAGUGCGCAGCAAAAAAAUGUUGUCACCCGUCGUCGAGGUUGCAUCAUCUUCAUGAAUUAUGUCGCAAAAAAACGUUGUCGCCGGUAGUAGCAAAUGAAGCCGCCGGUAGUAGCAAAACAAGACACUGGUUCCAGCCAAAAAAAAUCAGCGACAGAACCUUUGGUUGGUUCCAACAAAAAAACUUGUCGGUCGUAACAUCCCUCGCCGCCGGAUGUAGCAUCUCCCGGGGCUGGUUGCAACACUCCAUAAAAAAAAGUUGUCUAUGAGCGCAUCCAUGGUGACUGCUGCACCGUCAGCAACGAGGGGAAGAGGAGGCAAUGAAAAUCGUUCGAGUCAUAGCUCCACAGGACGCGGCUGCAGCAUGGGGAGUCCAAAAAUCUGUCACAAGCAACAUGCGCCUCGCCAUCCUCCUGCGCAGGAGAGAGAAGAAAAAGGAAUAAGAGGAAGAAGAAAGAAAACGGGAGAAAGAAAAAAGAAACGAUUGGUGGUUGGCUCAGGCAAUUAGUCAAGCGAGGGGCACGCGGGGCGCAGGAUACAGCGCAAUCGAACGAAGCGCGCGCGUCCGGCGAAGACUCGGCCGGACUGCCGGCUGGAAACGUUUCCCUAAUCCAAAGGCUUUAUCUGAAUGACAACUCGUCUGGGUUACCGGCUAACUAGAAAAAAGAUAAAUAUGCUAGAGAAUUUCAUAAUAAUUAGAAAUAUCUAGCCUUUAAUUAUGUAAAUCAGAAAAUCACAACCGUUGGAUUUACUUUAAAGGUAAAUUUCUCUAAAUUCCCACCAUUGCCAGUAUGUAGAAACAUGUGCUGCUUCAAUUCUCCCAUAAUCACCAAUCAAUCAACAACACAAAACAUACCUCAGUUAAAAAAACUGAACAAAAAAAAAGAAAAAAGAAGAAAGGACAAGAUACACGCAUGUACACGACAGCCUUGGCUUGAAACACAUCAGUAGAUCAAGUGUCCGCCUCCCUUACACAGAAUAAACUCAUAGGGAAGAAAAUAAUUGUGCAACCUAACCUUAUACGUACUAUUCUAUCCUCACGUCCCAUGAGGUUUACUAGCCUACCGCCGCCGCAUCAUGCCAUCCCCUCCUUUCAGCUCCCAUGCUUUCCAGCACCCUCAUUGCCGCGCCACUACUUGCCUAGGGAUAUUGCUGCUCAGACCGUGGAGCUUAACCUGCUUCUUCUUCAGCAAAUAUGGUACUGCUUUAGGAUCCUUCUCACAUCAGCACGUAUGGGCCUCAUUAUACUGCAGCUCCUGGACCUCCUACAAUUGGUUGGCUAUGGCCAGUUGAUCGAUGUGCCGAAGUCCAGGUCUGUUUGCUGGCACAUAUGCUUUGGAAAUAGGCCACUAUGUUUGUACUUCAAAAUUGUUUCUGUAUUCUUGAGUGGUACAUCCUUUUAAGCGCCAGUUUUUUAUGUCAAUUCAUGCUGACAACACUUAACCUAGCCUUUCAUCUUCACGUACUAAAUACAGGAGCAAGUAAAAACAACAGACCACCUAAUUGCUCUGCAUGUACUACAUAGGAAAAUUUGUCAUGUUCUACGAUCGCACCAUCCCACACUUCUCUCUUGGUAUGGGCGCCAAUUGAGGGAUUGAUAAAACUGAAACGAAGACGUCACGGGGCUGGAAGUACCGCUAGCCUGGUUUGCACUGCAACCUACUCAACGCCAUCAGAAACUAGCAACUGAGGCAGUUGUUGAUCGAUUCUCUCAAAUUGCUCUCAUGUAAGUACUACCCCUUGCAUGUGCGUACAUACCUUUGUUCCAUUCUCAAACAGAUAGAACAUUUAUGAUCGGUGCAUGGCUAUUUUUCAUCACAUGACAUCCAGAUAACAAGCAUGAAAGGACUACAUUGGAGAUCAAAAAAUAUUGGUUCCUGGCUAGAGGACCACUACCUAUGGACUUGUCUCCAUAGAAUUUGUUCCCAAGAUGUUAUUUUAAUUAACCUCUUUAGCUUUCUUCCAUUGCAAACGGUGAUGUGCAUCUUGGUAUAUACGUGACCAUCUUGCACAUGUAUACACAAGAGGCUCAGACGGAGGUGCUGGAUUCUGGACGAGGGAAUAUGAAGCAGCAGUGAGCGAAGAGUAAAUAAUGGUGGGAGUACCGAUUGGUGUUAUGAAGAAAAAUGCCAUCCAAAGAUUGAUUAGUGUCAUGGAAGAUUAAUUUCUGAAUGCGAAUAUAUAUGUUACAUUGGUUUGGAUCUUUUUGAGAUAAUUGCACAUAAAUUAGGUUCUUUCUUAUUUCAUAUGUAUACCUUAUUUCAGUAAAAGUUCACAACGAACUUAGUAGGACAAAUAUAAUUUUGUUUGUUCUUUCUGUUGUCCGCCACCAAAGCUCAAUUUGAACUCUCUAGAAAUGGACAAUGAUUUAUGCAUUCUAUAUCUUCUUGAUUCAUUAGCCAUGACAAGGAAAUAAAAGGAUUGACUGAUAUAGCAUAACUUUGGAACGAUCUGUUCGUAGAGGUUACUACAAAUUAGAGUAGUGUCUGCUGGAAUUUUGCCAGUAGGUCUUUGGCCCAAAGCCCAACUAAAAUUCUGAAAUUCUCUUGGCUCAUUUAUGCACACAUGUGAGUUGAGUGAGUGAGACUAAAGUUUAGUCCCACCCCGGAGUUGAGAGAGAGUUGCACCUCUUUAUAAGGUGAGCUCUUCUACCACUUGUAUGAGCAUGAGAAGAGGAGACCUACACGCGCGCUCCUCCUCCUCGCUCGCCACGCCUCGCCGCGCCGCGCCGCGGGUUGCGGGAUUGAGCCGAGCCGAGGACGUUGUCUAUAUUUUUGCUGCUCGGGAAAAAUUAAUGAGUCAUUAAUUAAUAAUUAAUGGACGCAUUAAUUACUGAACCGUUUCCGAUUUUUUUGGAUCGUGACGAAUCGGACGCGGGGUUUACUCCCAGGACCUACCCGGCCCGCACUAUAUAGUCAGGCAGACGUCUACCCUAGCCGCCGCCGCUUCAUAUGGUUUCUCACCAUCGUUACAGAUCAUUGCGCCACCAAGCAAGUUUUCUCCAUCCCUCCUUUCGGCGUGCACCGGGAGAAGGGAUAGCAGACCUCCGGAACCCCGCCUCUCGUGAUCCUGUACGGGAGAGGGGCGAUCAGGCUUUUGGGGAGCACACUCGCACUACUGUUGGCAGCGACGACUUCGCAAACGAGGACUUCUUCCCCGACCUCGGCAACCUCAUCCUCGACGACAUGGGCGACAACGUCAACGCCGGCGGUGCUACACCCACUGCACCGUAUGUUAUUCUCUCCUUCUUGUUCGAGGUCGUGGUAGAAUUCAAAGUAUAUGUGCCCUAGAUGUGAUCUGUUCAUCUACUAUGGUAGUUCGCAUGAUUAGUUUAAUCUCUGCUAUUGCUGUCAUGAUCUAUUUCCUAUUUAUUCGGAUUAAAUCUCGUAGUAAUUUGCUCAUUUUUCCAACAAUCCAAAAACCUGAUUAAUGGAAAUUUACUCCGAGUGGUUUUGCUGCGCAUCUGAAAGCCGCUUGCCUUUAAGGGGGCGCAAUAUAAGAGGUGGCUCACAAGAGUAGUCUACUGGUUUCAGAUCAUGGGCUGCUAUGACGCCACCAAGGGCAAGCCUGAGGGCGAUCUUAAUCCAGCACAGCUGGAUGCUAUGACAACGGCAAGAACACGUGGGCUACGCUCGAGGCCAAGUUUGGUGCCUCGGACGCCGGCAGCGAGUUGUACGUCAUGGAGCAAUUCUAUGACUCCAAGAUGACUGAUGAGCGCCCUGUUGUACAGCAGGCUCAUGAGAUACAGUUGCUCGCAAAAGAACUUGAGUACUUCAUGUUGGGGAACGUAGUAAUUUCAAAAAAAUUCCUACGCACACGCAAGAUCAUGGUGAUGCAUAGCAACGAGGGGGAGAGUCUGAUCUACGUACCCUUGUAGAUCGCAACGGAAGUGUUGACACAGCGUAGAGGAAGUAGUCGUACGUCUUCUUCCCGAUCCGACCGAUCCAAGCACCGUUACUCCGGCACCUCCGAGUUCUUAGCACACGUUCAGCUCGAUGACGAUCCCCGGGCUCCGAUCCAGCAAAGCUUCGGGGAGGAGUUCCGUCAGCACGACGGCGUGGUGACGAUCUUGAUGUUCUACCGACGCAGGGCUUCACCUAAGCACUACAACGGUAUGAUCGAGGUGGAAUAUGGUGGCAGGGGGCACCGCACACGGCUAAGGAACGAUCUCAAUGAUCAACUUGUGUGUCUAGAGGUGCCCCCUGCCCCCGUAUAUAAAGGUUGCCAGGGGGAGGGCUGGCCGGCCAAGCUAUGGAGGCGCAGGAGGAGUCCUACUCCUACCGGGAGUAGGACUCCCCCCAAUCCUAUUCCUAAUAGGACUCCCAAGUGGAAAGAGAGGGAGAGAGGUGGCCGGCCACCUCUCCUAGUCCUAAUAGGACUAGGGGAGGGGGGAGGCGUGCAGCCCACCUUGGGCUGCCCCUUUCACCUUGCCACUAAGGCCCAAUAAGGCCCAUUUGGUUCCCGGGGGGUUCCGGUAACCUCCCGGUACUCCGGUAAAAUCCCGAUUUCUCCCGAAACACUUCCGAUGUCCAAACAUAGGCUUCCAAUAUAUCAAUCUUGAUGUCUCGACCAUUUCGAGACUCCUCAUGAUGUCCGCGAUCACAUCCGGGACUCCGAACAACCUUCGGUACAUCAAAAUGCAUAAACUCAUAAUAACUGUCAUCGUAACGUUAAGCGUGCGGACCCUACGGUUCGAGAACAAUGUAGACAUGACCGAGACACGUCUCCGGUCAAUAACCAAUAGCGGGACCUGGAUGCCCAUAUUGGCUCCUACAUAUUCUACGAAGAUCUUUAUCGGUCAGACCGCAUAACAACAUACGUUGUUCCCUUUGUCAUCGGUAUGUUACUUGCCCGAGAUUCGAUCAUCGGUAUCCAAUACCUAGUUCAAUCUCGUUACCGGCAAGUCUCUUUACUCGUUCUGUAAUACAUCAUCCCGCAACUAACUCAUUAGUUGCAAUGCUUGCAAGGGUUGUAUAAUGUGCAUUACCGAGAGGGCCCAGAGGUACCUCUCCGACAAUCGGAGUGACAAAUCCUAUUCUCGAAAUACGCCAACCCAACAUCUACCAUUGGAAACACCUGUAGUACUCCUUUAUAAUCACCCAGUUACGUUGUGACGUUUGGUAGCACCCAAAGUGUUCCUCCGGCAAACGGGAGUUGCAUAAUCUCAUAGUCAUAGGAACAUGUAUAAGUCAUGAAGAAAGCAAUAGCAACAUACUAAACGAUCGGGUGCUAAGCUAAAGGAAUGGGUCAUGUCAAUCAGAUCAUUCAUCUAAUGAUGUGAUCCCAUUAAUCAAAUAACAACUCUUUGUCCAUGGUUCGGAAACAUAACCAUCUUUGAUUAACGAGCUAGUCAAGUAGAGGCAUACUAGUGACACUCUGUUUGUCUAUGUAUUCACACAUGUAUUAUGUUUCCGGUUAAUACAAUUCUAGCAUGAAUAAUAAAUAUUUAUCAUGAUAUAAGGAAAUAAAUAAUAACUUUAUUAUUGCCUCUAGGGCAUAUUUCCUUCAGUCUCCCACUUGCACUAGAGUCAAUAAUCUAGAUCACAUCACCAUGUGAUUAACAUCGAUAGUUCACAUCAUCAUGUGAUUAACACCCAUAGUUCACAUCGCCAUGUGACCAACACCCAAAGGGUUUACUAGAUUCAGUAAUCUAGUUCACAUUGCUAUGUGAUUAACACCCAAAGAGUACUAAGGUGUGAUCAUGUUUUGCUUGUGAGAGAAUCUUAGUCAACGGGUCUGCCACAUUCAGAUCCACAUGUAUUUUGCAAAUUUCUAUGUCAACAAUGCUCUGCAUGGAGCUACUUUAGCUAAUUGCUCCCACUUUCAAUAUGUAUCUAGACCGAGACUUAGAGUCAUCUAGAUUAGUGUCAAAACUUGCAUCGGCGUAACCCUUUACGACGAAUCUUUUUAUCACGUCCAUAAUCGAGAAACAUAUCCUUAUUUCACUAAGGAUAAUUCUGACCGAUGUCCAGUGAUCUACUCCUAGAUCACUAUUGUACUCCCUUGCCAAAUCAGUGCCGGGUAUACAAUAGAUUUGGUAUACAGCAUGUCAUACUUUAUAGAACCUAUGGCCAAGGCAUAGGGAAUGACUUUCAUUCUCUUUCUAUCUUCUGCCGUGGUUGGGCUUUGAGUCUUACUCAACUUCACACCUUAUAAUACAGGCAAGAACUCUUUCUUUGACUGCUCCAUUUUGAACUACUUCAAAAUCUUGUCAAGGUAUGUACUCAUUGAAAAAACUUAUCAAGCGUCUUGAUCUAUCUCUAUAGAUCUUGAAGCUCAAUAUGUAAGCAGCUUCACCGAAGUCUUUCUUUGAAAAACUCCUUUCAAACACUCCUUUAUGCUUUAUAGAAUAAUUCUACAUUAUUUCCGAUUAACAAUAUGUCAUUCACAUAUACUUAUCAGAAAUGUUGUAGUGCUACCACUCACUUUCUUGUAAAUACAGGCUUCACCGCAAGUCUGUAUAAAACUAUAUGCUUUGAUCAACUCAUCAAAGCAUAUAUUCCAACUCCGAGAUGCUUGCACCAGUCCACAGAUGGAUCGCUGGAGCUUGCACAUUUUGUUAGCACCUUUCGGAUUGACAAAACCUUCUGUUGCAUCAUGUACAACUCUUCUUUAAUAAAUCCAUUAAGGAAUGCAGUUUUGUUUAUCCCUUUGCCAGAUUUCAUAAAAUGCGGCAAUUACUAACAUGAUUCGGACAGACUCAAGCAUAGAUACGAGUGAGAAGCUCUCAUCGUAGUCAUCACCUUGAACUUGUCGAAAAACUUUUGCGACAAUUCUAGCUUUGUAGAUAGUAACACUACUAUCAGCGUCCGUCUUCCUCUUGAAGAUCCAUUUAUUCUCAAUUGCUUGCCGAUCAUCGGGCAAGUCAACCAAAGUCCAAACUUUGUUCUCAUACAUGGAUCAUAUCUCAGAUUUCAUGGCCUCAAACCAUUUCGCGGAAUCUGGGCUCAUCAUCGCUUCCUCAUAGUUCGUAGGUUCGUCAUGGUCAAGUAACAUGACCUCCAGAACAGAAUUACCGUACCACUCUGGUGCGGAUCUCACUCUAGUUUACCUACGAGAUUCCGUAGUAACUUGAUCUGAAGUUACAUGAUCAUCAUCAUUAGCUUCCUCACUAAUUUGUGUAGUAGUCACAAGAACAGAUUUUUGUGAUGAACUACUUUCCAAUAAGGUAGAAGGUACAAUUACCUUAUCAAGUUUUCUACUUUCCUCCCACUUACUUCUUUCAAGAGAAACUCCUUCUCUAGAAAGGAUCCAUUAUAAGCAACGAAUGUCUUGCCUUAGGAUCUGUGAUAGAAGGUGUACCCAACAGUCUCCUUUGGGUAUCCUAUGAAGACAUAUUUCUCCGAUUUGGGUUUGAGCUUAUCAGGAUGAAACUUUUUCUCAUAAGCAUCGCAACCCCAAACUUCAAGAAACGACAACUUUGGUUUCGUGCCAAACCAUAGUUCAUAAGGCGUCGUCUCGACGGAUAUAGAUGGUGCCCCUUUUUUUAACGUGAAUGCAGCUGUCUCUAAUGCAUGACCCCAAAAACGAUAGUGGUAAAUCGGUAAGAAACAUCAUAGAUUGCACUAUAUCCAAUAAAGUACGGUUAUGGCGUUCGGACACACCAUUAUGCUGUGGUGUUCCAGGUGGCGUGAGUAGUGAAACUAUUUCACAUUGUUUUAACUGAAGACCAAACUUGUAACUGAAAUACUCUUUUCCACGAUCAGAUCGUAGAAACUUUAUUUUCUUGUUACGAUGAUUUUCCACUUCACUCUGAAAUUCUUUGAACUUUUCAAAUGUUUCCGACUUAUGUUUUAUCAAAUAGAUAUACUCAUAUCUGCUCAAAUCAUCUGUGAAGAUCAGAAAAUAAUGAUACCUAUCGCGAGCCUCAAUAUUCAUCGGACCACAUACAUCAGUAUGUAUGAUUUCCAACAAAUCUGUUGCUCGCUCCAUUGUUCAGAAGAACAAAGUCUUAGUCAUCUUGCCCAAAAGGCAUGGUUCGCAAGCAUCAAGUGAUUCCGAAAGCCCAUCAGCAUGGAGCGCUUUAUACCAAUAUGACCUAAACGGCAGUGCCACAAAUAAGUUGCACUAUCAUUAUUAACUCUGCAUCCUUUGGUUUCAAUAUUAUGAAUAUGUGUAUCACUACGAUCGAGAUCCAACGAACUUGUUUCAUUGGGUGUAUGACCAUCGAAGGUUUUAUUCAUGUAAACAGAACAACAAUUAUUCUCUGACUUUAAUGAAUAACCGUAUUGCAAUAAAUAUGAUCAAAUCAUAUUCAUGCUCAACGCAAAAACCAAAUAACACUUAUUUAAGUUCAACACUAAUCCCGAAAGUAUAGGGGAGUGUGCGAUGAUGAUCAUAUCAAUCUUGGAACUACUUCCAACACACAUCGUCACUUCACCCUUAACUAGUCUCUAUUUAUUCUGCAACUCCUGUUUUGAGUUACUACUCUUAGCAACUGAACCAAUAUCAAAUACUAAGGGGUUGCUAUAAACACUAGUAAAGCACACAUCAAUAACAUGUAUAUCAAAUAUACUUUUGUUCACUUUGCCAUCCUUCUUAUCCGCCAAUCACUUGGGGUAGUUCCGCUUCUAGUGACCAGUCCCUUUGCAGUAGAAGCACUUAGUCUCAGGCUUAGGAUCAGACUUGGGCCUCUUCACUUGAGCAGCAACUUGCUUGCCGUUCUUCUUGAAGUUCCCCUUCUUCCCUUUGCCCUUUUCUUGAAACUAGUGGUCUUGUCAACCAUCAACACUUGAUGUUUUUCUUGAUUUCUACCUUCGUUUAUUUCAGCAUCACGAAGAGCUUGGGAGUUGUUUCUGUUAUCCCUUGCAUAUUAUAGUUCAUCACGAAGUUCUACUAACUUGGUGAUGGUGACUAGAGAAUUCUGUCAAUCACUAUCUUAUCUGGAAGAUUAACUCCCACUUGAUUCAAGCGAUUUUAGUACCCAGACAAUCUGAGCACAUGCUCACUAGUUGAGCGAUUCUCCUCCAUCUUUUAGCCAUAGAACUUGCUGGAAACUUCAUAUCUCUCAACUCGGGUAUUUGCUUGAAAUAUUAACUUCAACUCUUGGAACAUCUCAUAUGGUCUAUGACGUUCAAAACGUCUUUGAAGUCCCGAUUCUAAGCCAUUAAGCAUGGUGCACUAAACUAUCAAGUAGUCAUCAUAUUGAGCUAGCCAAACGUUCAUAACGUCUGCAUCUGCUCCUGCAAUAGGUUUGUCACCUAGCGGUGCAUCAAGGACAUAAUUCUUCUGUGCAGCAAUGAGGAUAAAACUCAGAUCACGGAUCCAAUCCGCAUCAUUGCUACUAACAUCUUUCAACACAAUUUUCUCUAGGAACAUAUCAAAAUAAACACAGGGAAGCAACAACGCGAGCUAUUGAUCUAUAACAUGAUUUACAAAAUACUACCAGGACUAAGUUCAUGAUAAAUUUAAGCUCAAUUAAUCAUGUUACUUAAGAACUCCCACUUAGAUAGACAUCCCUCUAAUCCUCUAAGUGAUCACGUGAUCCAAAUCAACUAAACCAUAACCGAUCAUCACGUGAAAUGGAUUAGUUUUCAAUGGUGAACAUCAUUAUGUUGAUGAUAUCUACUAUAUGAUUCACGCUCGACCUUUCGGUCUCCGUGUUCCGAGGCCAUAUCUUUAUAUGCUAGGCUCGUCAAGUUUAACCUGAGUAUUCUGCGUGUGCAAAACUGGCUUGCACCAGUUGUAGAUGGACGUAGAGCUUAUCACACCCGAUCAUCACGUGGUGUCUGGGCACGACGAACUUUGGCAACGGUGCAUACUCAGGGAGAACACUUCUUGAUAAUUUAGUGAGAGAUCAUCUUAUAAUGCUACCGUCAAUCAAAGCAAGAUAAGAUGCAUAAAAAGAUAAACAUCACAUGCAAUCAAUAUAAGUGAUAUGAUAUGGCCAUCAUCAUCUUGUGCUUGUGAUCUCCAUCUCCGAAGCACCGUCAUGAUCACCAUCGUCACCGGCGCGACACCUUGAUCUCCAUCGUAGCAUCGUUGUCGUCUCGCCAAUCUUAUGCUUCCACGACUAUCGCUACCGCUUAGUGAUAAAGUAAAGCAUUACAUCGCGAUUGCAUUGCAUACAAUAAAGCGACAACCAUAUGGCUCCUGCCAGUUGCCGAUAACUCGGUUACAAAACAUGAUCAUCUCAUACAAUAAAAUUUAGCAUCAUGCCUUGACCAUAUCACAUCACAACAUGCCCUGCAAAAACAAGUUAGACGUCCUCUACUUUGUUGUUGCAAGUUUUACGUGGCUGCUACGGGCUUAAGCAAGAACUCAUCUCACCUACGCAUCAAAACCACAACGAUAGUUUGUCAAAUAGAUUCCGUUUUAACCUUCUCAAGGACCGGGCGUAGCCACACUUGGUUCAACUAAAGUUGGAGAGACAGUCGCCCGCAAGCCAUCUAUGUGCAAAGCACGUCGAGGGAACCGGUCUCGCGUAAGCGUACGCGUAAGGUUGGUCCGGGUCGUCUCGUCCAACAAUACCGCCGAACCAAAGUAUGACAUGCUGGUAGGCAGUAUGACUUGUAUCGCCCACAACUCACUUGUGUUCUACUCGUGCAAAUAAUAUCAAACCAUAAAACCUAGGCUCGGAUGCCACUGUUGGGGAACGUAGUAAUUUCAAAAAAUUUCCUACGCACACGCAAGAUCAUGGUGAUGCAUAGCAACGAGGGGGAGAGUCUGAUCUACGUACCCUUGUAGAUCGCAACGGAAGCGUUGACACAACGUAGAGGAAGUAGUCGUACGUCUUCUUCCCGAUCCGACCGAUCCAUGCACCGUUACUCCGGCACCUCUGAGUUCUUAGCACACGUUCAGCUCGAUGACGAUCCCCGGGCUCCGAUCCAGCAAAGCUUCGGGGAGGAGUUCCGUCAGCAUGACAGCGUGGUGACGAUCUUGAUGUUCUACCGACGCAGGGCUUCGGCUAAGCACUACAACGGUAUGGUCGAGGUGGAAUAUGGUGGCAGGGGGCACUGGACACGGCUAAGGAACGAUCUCAAUGAUCAACUUGUGUGUCUAGAGGUGCCCCUACCCUCGUAUAUAAAGGUUGCCAGGGGAGGGCUGGCCGGCCAAGCUAUGGAGGCGCAGGAGGAGUCAAACUCCUACCGGGAGUAGGACUCCCCCCCCCCAAUCUUAUUCCUAAUAGGACUCCCAAGGGGAAAGAGAGGGAGAGAGGUGGCCGGCCACCUCUCCUAGUCCUAAUAGGACUAGGGGAGGGGGGAGGCGCGCAGGCCACCUUGGGCUGCCCCUUUCACCUUUCCACUAAGGCCCAAUAAGGCCCAUUUGGUUCCCGGGGGUUCCGGUAACCUCCCGGUACUCCGGUAAAAUCCCGAUUUCUCCCGGAACACUUCCGAUGUCCAAACAUAGGCUUCCAAUAUAUCAAUCUUUAUGUAUCGACCAUUUCGAGACUCCCCGUCAUGUCCAGGAUCACAUCCGGGACUCCGAACAACCUUCGGUACAUCAAAAUGCAUAAACUCAUAAUAACUGUCAUCGUAACGUUAAGCGUGCGGACCCUACGGUUCGAGAACAAUGUAGACAUGACCGAGACACGUCUCCGGUCAAUAACCAAUAGCGGGACCUAGAUGCCCAUAUUGGCUCCUACAUAUUCUACGAAGAUCUUUAUCGGUCAGACCGCAUAACAACAUACGUUGUUCCCUUUGUCAUCGGUAUGUUACUUGCCUGAGAUUCGAUCGUCGGUAUCCAAUACCUAGUUCAAUCUCGUUACCGGCAAGUCUCUUUACUCAUUCUGUAAUACAUCAUCUCGCAACUAACUCAUUAGUUGCAAUGCUUGCAAGGCUUGUAUAAUGUGCAUUACCGAGAGGGCCCAGAGGUACCUCUCCGACAAUCGGAGUGACAAAUCCUAUUCUCGAAAUACGCCAACCCAACAUCUACCAUUGGAAACACCUGUAGUACUCCUUUAUAAUCACCCAGUUACAUUGUGAUGUUUGGUAGCACCCAAAGUGUUCCUCCGGCAAACGGGAGUUGCAUAAUCUCAUAGUCAUAGGAACAUGUAUAAGUCAUGAAGAAAGCAAUAGCAACAUACUAAACGAUCGGGUGCUAAGCUAAUGGAAUGGGUCAUGUCAAUCAGAUCAUUCAUCUAAUGAUGUGAUCCCAUUAAUCAAAUAACAACACUUUGUCCAUGGUUAGGAAACAUAACCAUCUUUGAUUAACGAGCUAGUCAAGUAGAGGCAUACUAGUGACACUCUGUUUGUCUAUGUAUUCACACAUGUAUUAUGUUUCUGGUUAAUACAAUUCUAGCAUGAAUAAUAAAUAUUUAUCAUGAUAUAAGGAAAUAAAUAAUAACUUUAUUAUUGCCUGUAGGGCAUAUUUCCUUCACUUCAAGUGUGUGUUGCCGAACAAAUUUGUUGCCGGAGGCAUCAUUGCCAAGCUUCCACCUUCGUGGAACAAUUUUGCUACUUCCCUGAAACACAAGAGACAGGAGUUUUUCGUUGCGGAUCUCAUUGGUACUCUUGAUGUUGAAGAGAAGGCGAGAGCAAAGGAUACACGUGCUCGAGUUGCUGAGGGAGGUUCUAGUGCCCACAUGGUACAGAAGAAGAUCUUCCAGCCCAACAAGUUCAAAAACAACAAGAACAAAACUUAGGGCAAAGGCAAGUUUGAUACAAAGAACAAGCCAUCACAUUCUACCAACUUCAAGAAGAACUCUCAUAAGAAGGGGAAGGGACUUUGCCAUGUCUGCGGUGAUCCUAAUCACUGGGCUCCGAAGUGUCCUAACCGCUUUGAGGAGCGCGAACAUGAGAAGAGCGGCAAGUCUGCUAAUGUUGUCAUCGGUGAUACUGAUAUGAAGGAAUCAGGGUACGGUAUUUUUCCUACCAUCCUUUCAGUAUUCCAAAUCCCUGAUUGGUUAAUUGACAUCGGUGCCAAUGUACAUGUUUGUGCUGAUGCCUCCAUGUUUUCUUCUUACCAGGCCACUUGGACUUCUCCUGUGCUGAUGGGGAACGGGUCACAUGCCAUCGUUCGAGGUGUUGGUGCGGUCAAUCUGAAGUUUACUUCGGGGAAGACCGUGCGUCUGAAGAACGUUCAUCAUGAGCCGUCCAUCAAUAAAAAUCUCGUUAGCGGUUCCCGUUUAUGUCGAGAUGGUUUUAAGUUGGUUUUCGAAUCCAAUAAAGUUAUAAUUUCUAAGUAUGGACAAUUUGUUGGAAAAGGCUAUGAGAGCGGAGGCUUGUUUCGCCUGUCUUUGUCAGAUAUUUGCACUAAAGUUAUUAAUAAUGUUUGCCACAACAAUGAGUCUGAUAUUUGGCAUUCACGACUUUGUCACAUUAACUUUGGUUGCAUGACCCGGCUAGCCAAUAUGAAUUUAAUUCCGAAAUCUCUACUGUCAAAGGCUCUAAGUGCCAAGUAUGUGUGAAAGCUAAGCAACCUCGCAAAUCCCAUAAGACUGCAGAGGCGACAGACUUGGCGCCACUAGAGCUUAUACAUUCUGAUAUUUGUGAGAUGAAUGGCGUGUGGACAAAAGGUGGAAAGAGAUACUUCAUGACGUUGAUUGAUGACUCCACUAGAUAUUGUUAUGUGUAUCUUAUGAAAUCAAAAGAUGAGGCUUUGGCUUUCUUCAAAAACUAUAAAGCUGAGGCAGAGAACCAACUUGAUCGAAAAAUUAAACGGCUUAGGUCCGAUCAUGGUGGAGAGUAUUUUUCCAAUGAAUUUGAUCUAUUUUGUGCGGAACAUGGUAUAAUCCAUGAGAGGAUGCCUCCCUACUCACCCCAGUCAGAUGCGGUAGCCGAAAGAAAGAACCAAACUCUAACUGAUAUGGUUAACACCAUGUUAGACACUUCGGGUCUAUCCAAGGAAUGGUGGGGGGAGGCGCUAAUGACUGCGUGUCAUGUCCUAAACCGAGUUCCCACAAAGCAUAAGACCAUGACUCCAUUUGAGGAAUGUUAAAGGAAAAGGUUGAAACUCUCUUACCUACGUACUUGGGGUUGUUUGGCGAAAGUCAAUAUACCAAUUCCCAAGAAGCGCAAGCUUGGACCAAAAACCGUGGGUUGUGUUCUUCUUGGGUAUGCUUUUCAUAGCAUCGGCUAUAGAUUUUUGAUAAUAAAAUCUGAGGUAUCCGACAUGCAUGUUGGUACGAUUAUGGAGUCGAAUGAUGCAACUUUCUUUGAGGACAUAUUUCCUAUGAAGGAUAUGUUGAGUUCAUCAAAUCAGGAGACACCUACUCCACCUAGUGAGGAAUUCACUGUAAUUCCUGAACCCACCAUUGCGAUGGAACACAUAGAGAAUCCUGUUGAGGGUGACAAUGGAACUCCUGUGAGGAGUAAGAGACAUAGGACUACAAAGUCCUUUGGUGAUGAUUUCAUUGUGUACCUCGUGGAUGACACACCCAGGACUAUUUCAGAAGCCUGUGCAUCUCUUGAUGCUGACUACUGGAAGGAAGCUGUACAUAGCGAGAUGGAUUCCAUCUUAGGUAACAGAACCUGGGAGAUCACUGACCGUCCUUAUGGGUGAAAACCUGUAGGAUGUAAGUGGGUGUUCAAGAAGAAGCUUAGACCUGAUGGUACGAUUGAAAAGUACAAGGCACGGCUUGUGGCCAAGGGUUAUACCCAGAAAGAAGGUGAAGACUUCUUUGAUACUUACUCACCCGUGGCUAGAAUGACCACAAUUUGGGUGCUACUAUCACUUGUUGCCUCACAUGGUCUUCUCGUUCAUCAAAUGGACGUUAAGACAGCUUUCCUCAAUGGAGAGUUGAAGGAGGAAAUUUACAUGGAUCAGCCAGAUGGUUUUGUAGUACCUGGUUAGUAAGGAAAGUUGUGCAAGUUAUUAAAGUCUUUAUAUGGCCUUAAACAAGCUCCUAAAGAGUGGCAUGAGUAGUUUGAAAGAACAUUAACUGCUGCCGGCUUUGUAGUAAACGAUGGUGACAAGUGCGUGUACUAUCGCUAUGGUGGUGGCGAAGGAGUUAUUCUUUGUCUGUAUGUCGACGACAUAUUGAUCUUUGGAACGAAACUUGAUUUAAUCAAGGAGGUUAAGGAUUUCUUAUCUCGCUAUUUUGAGAUGAAGGAUCUAGGAGUAGUUGAUGUUAUCUUAAACAUCAAGCUGUUGAGAGAUGAGAAUGAUGGGAUCACACUGCUUCAGUCUCACUAUGUGGAAAAGGUCUUGAGUCGUUUUGGGUAUAGCGACUGCACACCUUCUCCAACUACAUAUGAUGCUAGCAUGUUGCAUCGAAAGAAUCGACGGAUUGCUAGAGAUCAACUGAGGUAUUCUCAUAUUAUUGGCUCGCUUAUGAUUUGGCGAGUGCCACGAGGCCAAACAUCUCGUUUGCUGUUAGCAAGCUGAGUCGAUUUGUGUCAAAACUAGGAGAUGAUUAUUGGCAUGCGCUUGAGAGAGUUAUGCGCUAUUUGAAAGGCACCGCGAGCUAUGGGAUUCACUACACCGGGUAUCCAAGGGUACUGGAGGGUUAUAGUGACUCAAACUGGAUAUCUGAUGCUAAUGAGAUUAAGGCCACAAGUGGUUAUGUUUUUACACUUGGUGGUGGCGCUGUUUCUUGGAAGUCCUGCAAGCAGACCAUCUUAAUGAGGUCAACUAUGGAAGCAGAACUCACAACAUUAGAAACUGCUACUGUUGAAGCAGUGUGGCUUCGUGAGCUCUUGAUGGACUUUCCUAUGGUUGAAAAACCAAUACCCCCUAUCCCAAUGAACUGUGAUAAUCAAACUGUGAUCGUCAAGAUAAACAGUUCUAAGGACAAUAUGAAGUCCUCAAGGCAUGUGAAGAGGAGACUGAAAUCUGUUAGAAAAUUGAGGAACUCCGGAGUUAUUACGUUGGAUUAUAUCCAAACGUCAAAAAAAUUGGCAGAUCCCUUCACAAAGGGUCUAUCACGUAAUGUGAUAGAUAAUGCAUCGAUGGAGAUGGGUUUGAGACCCACCGCAUGAGUUGUCCAUAGUGGUAACCCACUCUUUGUGAUCGGAGAUCCCGUGAAGUAGAAGUGGGAGACAAGCUGUUGGUCAGCUGGGAGGAGAGUAUCCCUAUAUUACCUGUCCCACUCCAUGAAGAUGCAACACUCUCCUAAUCUGCAUGGCAGGUUGAUACUUAUCUUAAUGUGUUCCAAGUGGCUUAUUCGGGUAAGCAGAGAUGUUGUCCUGCGGAACAUCUUCUGAGGAACACACCUAUAUGAAUUUGAUUGUUAACGUCGCAGUCUGUGAGAAUUGGGUGUUCUCUAAUAAAUUCAUGAAAAGGCCCUGGAGUAUGACGUAUAAGCUCCACCCGCAGGGAAGCCUUGCGGCAGCCCAGUAUCGGUCAAGAAUUUGUGUGAAACUAGUCUCGCAGAAAAUUUGUAGUUCAAGGCAUAGUCCACUAUUCAAGUUGUGAUCUAGUGUAGCAUAAAUCUCUAAGUGGAAGUUCAACUUCAAAGUCUCCACUAAGCCCCGGUAUAUAAACAAUGUUUUGGAACUAAAUGAUGAGAUGUGCCAAUGAGACUUUGUGGGGGAUUGUUGGAAUUUUGCUAGUAUGCCUUUGGCCCAAAGCCCAACUAAAAUUCUGAAAUUCUCUUCGCCCAUUCAUGCACACAUGUGAGUGGAGUGAGUGAGACUAAAGUUUAGUCCCACCCCGGAAGUUGAGAGAGAGCACCUCUUUAUAAGGUGAGCUCUUCUACCACUUGUAUGAGCAUGAGAGUAGGAGACCUACACACGCGCUGCUCCUCCUCGCUCACCACGCCACGCCUGGUCACGACGCGCCGCGGGUUGCGGGAUUGAGCCGAGCCGAGGUCAGAGCUAUGCACGUUGUCUAUUUUUUGCUACCCCGGAAAAUUAAUGAGUCAUUAAUUAAUAAUUAAUGGACGUGUUAAUUACUAAACCGUUUCCGAUUCUUUUGGAUCAUGACGACUCGGACGUGGGGUUUACUCCCACGACCUACCAGGCCCGCACUAUAUAGUCCGGCAGACGUGUACCCUAGCUGUCGCCGCUUCGUAUGGUUUCUCACCACCGUUCCAGAUCAUUGCGUCGCCAAGCAAGUCUUCUCCAUCCCUCCUUUCGGCGUGCACCGGGAGAAGGGACAGCAGGCCUCCGGAACCCCGCCUCUCGUGAUCCUGUAUGGGAGAGGGGCGAUCAGGUUUUUGGGGAGCGCACUCGCGCGACUUCUGGCAGCGACGACUUCGCGAAUGACGACUUCUUCCCUGACCUCGGCAACCUCAUCCUCGACGACAUGGGCGACAACGUCAACGCCGGCGGUCCUGCACCCGCUGCACCGUAUGUUAUUCUAUCCUUCUUGUUCGAGAUCGUGGUAGAAUUCAGGUUUCUAGUAUAUGCCCUAGAUGUGAUCUGUUCAUCUACUAUGCUAGUUCGCAUGAUUAGUUUAAUCUCUGCUAUUGCUGUCAUGAUCUAUUUCCUAUUUAUUCGGAUUAAAUCUCGUAGUAAUUUGCUCAUUUUUCCAAUAGUACCAUCUAAUAGAUGAUGUAAAUCUCCUCUAGUUUGACGUUGUUGAGCUAAUUUACAAAAAAAAAACCUCAUCAUUAUUGGACGUCCUUAACAGCUCAAGAACAAGUUGGGGUCGAACUAAUGGAUUUUACACUUUUACAUUAAAGGUUUAGCUAAAGCUAGCAGGUGUUUUUAAACCUGAAUUUUUUUUUCCUCCUGAAUUUCUUUGUAUUUUCUUAUUGACACUAUUUAUACAAUCAUCUGACAAAGAUUAGCUAAAGAUGUUUGUAGAUACGUUGAAACCUGAAAAGCUUCUUUGGUUAUCCUUUUAAUAGUUCUACGUUUAAUUUCUCAUAGGUCAUAAUUCUUAUGUAAUACCAAGAUGCAUUGUGGUAGUGUACAUGUGUUCAAUUCAGGUUGUUAUUCACAAUUUGCGACAAAAUUUAGCUCACGCUACAUUUAAAUAUGUUGAAAUGUGAAUGCUCUUUUUCUUCUCCUUUCUACACCUUGCAUCGGAUUGCAUCCCUUUAGUUAUCCAACAUUUUGUACAACAUGUAGAGAUUAGGAAGUUCAUCAUAGUUUGUCUAUUUCCGUGCUAAUAAAUGUAUGAAAUCUGCAUUUCCAAGCUACUAGGACAAGUAAAAAAUAAUAAUUUUACUAUAGGAUUCAAAAACAGCAGUUCUGAAGUGCACUUUAUUUAUUUUUGAAAGUGAUCACAUUUUGUUUCAUUUUUCUAUAGACAAAUCUACUAAUACAUACUCACGAUAAAACUAUAAAAAUUCUAGUCCGCACAUUGGGCGGGCCACCCGGCUAGUUAGUCUAAAGAUAACAAAAUGAGUCUGGAAUUUGAAUUAAAUUGAAGUAUUUUCUUGGACUUUCAAAUUAAGUUUUAUUAAAGUAGUAAGGACUAUCCACAUCCUUGGCUUGCCCCUGAUCAAUUAUUUCCAGAGAAGCAUUCGAUUCAUCAAUCAAUUACAUUGAUUUUAGUGGCUGGUACUUCUCCUCAACAUCAGUAUAUUCACCGUGGCCACUCCAAAUCGGCAAGAAUGAGGUACCAGUGCUCUGCAGCAGUGCAAGCUAAUUGCUUCUCAUGUGAAGGGGUGCGGGCGCAGGAGAGGUAUUUCUGGUGGGCCAAGGGACUAAGAAGCGACUGUGGCAGCGGUAUAGAUGCCCGCAAAGCCCCAUAGUUUGUUUUUCGUUUACAGGAAAAAUGCACAUCCAUACCAACCUUGGGAAUAUAGGACCGUAUUGGAUGGAAAACCAUGUCCGGAUGGUUGCGAGCGGUUUGAGGGUUAGCUUUUGUAACGCCCGGUUAGUUAUGCUAUAGCAAUUCCCUGCUAAUGAUGUCACGUCACCACGAUUACUAUUGUUAACCUCACAAUGAUUCAAUCCCCUUCAAAUUCAAAUUUAAAAUAAAGGUAAACAUCAAAAGUUUUCAAACAUUAAAACUAAAAUCUUUGAGAGGUGACAAAUAAUGCAUAAGUAAUUAUGGUGGAGAAACCACACUUUAAUCAAAUGUUUAAAUACUCUAAAAUGAAAAAAACAGUUGCUUAAACUAUUAUUUAAAUGCUUUUAAAAUAGUAAAAAUCUUCUAACUAAAUUAUUUGGGUACCAAACUUUUGGUGGCAGUGGUAUAUUUAGUAGAAUUAAUUUAGAUGCUAAUUAUAUAAUUUACAAAAUUAGAGUAAAUUGAAAAAUAGGAUAAAACGGAAAAGGAAAGACAAAACAAAUAAAAGCAAAAGGGGCCAACCCCUCGCUGGGCCUCGACCUAGCUGCCACUAGGCUAGCUAGGCUGGCCCCGGCGCCUCCCUUAACCCCCCCCCCCACUCCCCAUCGAACCCAAGCCCGAUCGCCCCACUUCCCCCACACCCCCUCGCCAGCCUCCCCACCUCUUGAUCCCAUCUGGAUCGGGGAGGGUAUUGCCCCCAUCGACCCCGUUGCCGUCGCCGGAUUGCCCGCCGAUGUCGCCAGGCCUCCUCCCCGCCGCCCGUCUCCGGCUCGCCUCCCCUCUCGCUCCUCUUCCCCGACCCGAUCUAGAUCGUGAACGAGCAAUGAGCUCGAAGCCCCCUUCACCGGCGCCAUCACCGUGCGCCACCACCACCGCCUGAGGACCUCACCGUCGCCGAAUCUAGCGUCGCCUCCUCGUAUCCCUCCCCUACUCGCGUCCUCAAGCCAGGACGAGCCCCUUCUCGGCAACGCUGUGAGACGCCCCCGUUUCCCUCCUCUUUCCACCGCGUUCAUCGCGCCGCCCGCCGUGCCCCUCGCCGUGCGCACGCCCACCACCGCACCAGCCCCCGCUCCGCGCACGACCCUACCCGCGCCCGCGCCAUGAUCCCCUUUUCCGCCCUACCUUCCUGCGCUCGCCGCGGUCCCGAUGCUCCCCCGCGCCCUCUUUCGGGGGCGCCGACCUCCCCUGUCCCGCUGCUCGGCGCCGUGCCUCGCAAUCGCUCUACUGCUAAGUUACUACUGCGCUGCGGCCGUCGCCUCUUCCUUCUGCUCCGCUAGCGCCGAAGCUCCCGAUUGGCUCCACCACUUCUCACGUUAAACCGCCGGCCUAAAUGGCCUAACCCCGGGCUAAUGAACCCCCACUAACCCACUGACACCGGGACCCACAUUCCCUAAUUAACCAUUUAAUAAAUUAAAACUCUUAAAUUAACAUUAGUGUAUGACAUGUGCGUCCCCUAUUAAUUAAUAAUUUUACUGCUAGUUUUCUUAGUUUCUGUUUUUCUGCAUAUUUCUUUUGUAUUUGAACAGGCUUUAUACAAUAAUAUUUAGCGUCUCAUACACAUACAAAUGUAAUUAUAGCAUAUACAUACAAAUAGUCUCAUCAAAUCAUGUGAUCAUCAUAAUCAUCAUCCAUCACAAAGUGAUCUCUCGUCAUCAUCUCGAAAAUAGCGAUACUAGUCUCGAUUACUUGCAACUACAUCGUCAUCCAUCUAAACAAUGAUAUACGCGAGAAGAGCUAUCACUAUGAGUGAGAGCGGAACUAUGCAGUACAUGAGUUUGUAUCCCUCUCUCACAUUAGCGUGAACCUAAACUAACUACUGGCUGUUGCUCGGAAACCGGAAAACGGUACACCUGGGCCUGACACUCCGGCCACUCGUCGUAUACUCCUGGCGUAGCACUUCUUCGCCAUCGAUGAUCUAUGCACCUGCAUCGUCACAUGAGUCGAUGAUAUGCAACAUAUAUAGUUGAGCAACAGAAAGAGACAGACGUGGCAAAAGUAGAAGCAACAUAUCAUAAGCAUAAAUAACAAAGCUCAUCGUACGCAAAAUGCCCUAACUAGAGUGAUCUGCGCUAGUCAAGGAGGACGGUUUAAUUACAUCACAAAUAAUGUUUCGUCGUGCAUUACUCAAAGUUCCGUCAUACAGAAAGUAUGAACUAAAUGGACACAUUGUCAUAUUUCGAAAAUCACUCCCACAUGUCGUGCCAUCCAUCCAAGUCAAGGAGAUAGUGCCCGAGCUUAGUGAAAGGCUUUAGGUCAAGAUGCUGAGUGGCUACGCGUGUUCGGACGUCUUCCCACGACAUUUGUCCUUCUUCAUAGAACAUCCCUGUUUUUUCGACGACCUCCUUCAUCACUAGAAGAAAAAGGGCCUGUUGUCCCGGUUCUGGAACCGGGACUAAAGGGUCGGUACUAAUGCCCUGUCCCUUUAGUCCCGGUUCAAUCCAGAACCGGGACAGAUGGGCCUCCACGUGGCCUGUGCGCGGAGCCCAGGCAGGAGACCCUUUGGUCCCGGUUGGUGGCACCAACCGGGAACAAUAGGCAUCCACGCGUCAGCAUUUCUGUGGUUGGGGUUUUUGUUNNNNNNNNNNNNNNNNNNNNNNNNNNNNNNNNNNNNNNNNNNNNNNNNNNNNNNNNNNNNNNNNNNNNNNNNNNNNNNNNNNNNNNNNNNNNNNNNNNNNNNNNNNNNNNNNNNNNNNNNNNNNNNNNNNNNNNNNNNNNNNNNNNNNNNNNNNNNNNNNNNNNNNNNNNNNNNNNNNNNNNNNNNNNNNNNNNNNNUGGUGUUUCAUAUAUUGUGUUAGCUAGCUAUAAUUAAUAGAGAAAAGUGUCCUCUCUUAUGUCCGUGCUUGGUCGACGCUACGUACUAUACAUACGUAUAGAGAGGACUAGACACGCUAGCUAGCUAGUAAGCAAACGAAGGAAACAGAAGAUCGUCAUGAACAUAUAUGCAUACAGGACUAGACACGCUAGCUAGCUAGUAACCAAACGAAGUUCAACUAGUAAUGGCGCACCACUCCCACGGUGCGCCAUUAGUAGUUUUGAAAAAAAUUAAUUUUUUUUUUUACUAAUGGCGCACUGUGGAUGUGGUGCGCCAUUAGUAUUUGGACACUAAUGGCGUACCAACACAUGGUGCGCCAUUAGUAUAUAGUAAUGGCGCACCACAGGUCUGGUGCGCCAUUAGUGUCAAUUCCAUCUAUAGCCCUUUUCCUAGUAGUGUUAGGGACGGUCUCAAUGAAACAACCCACCAUGUACUCCUGCAUGGCCUCUCAUCGAUACCUUUACCGAAACAUGUGCAACACAUUCCUCAUAUUACCGACAUAAUCAUAUCACCCUAGCCCAUCACCCAGAUGAACCAGACCUGACACAACUAUAAGCAUAGCAGGCAUAGCAAGGUAGGAAUCACAUACAUGGCUCAAUCAACUCCUACACAUGCUAGUGGGUUUCAUCUAGUUACUGUGGCAAUGACAGGUCAUGGAGAGGAUAAGGGUUCAACUACCGUAGCACACAGCAGUUUGAAUGGCGUUGUCUUAAUGCAGUAAACAAGAGCAGAGGCGAGAACAUGGGUUGUAUCGGAAUGAUCAAUGGGUUGCUUGACUGAUGGAGUGGUAGUGGGAUACUACCCUUCAGUUGGAUACUCGUGAAUAUCCUCGGAGGCAGAACCUACCACGAAGAACACAUCGGAACACAAUCAACACAUGACGAUAUGCAACACUAUGAUGCAUGCUAUGACAUGGCAUUAUGAAUGUGUCUUGGCCUAAUGCAAGCUAAAAUAGAAAGGGAUGAACUCAUUUGAAUCAAAGAUUCAAAUAUUAGCUCAUUAAACAUGGCCUUAGUAGUGCAUUUCCUUAUUCUGCUUAAACAGCAAGGUAAACUUGUUUUGUCAUACAUGAAACCAUUACAGAUGGAUGUAUUGAAUUUUUCUGAUAAUUUUUCAUAUAUAAAUUAUUUCAUUUGGAGUUACGGUUGAAUUUCUAUGAUUUUUAGAAGUUUUAAACAUUUUCUGGAAUUUCCUGAAUAAAAAUAAAUCCAGAAAAUGCAUUACUGCGUCAGUAUUGCAUCAUGCUGACCUCAGCAGGUCAAAGGCGCCAGCCCAGGUCAAAACUGACUGGUGGGCCCCUUCUGUCAGUCUCUCAGUUAAAUAAUAGGAUUAGAUUAACACUAAUUAGCUGUCAGUGGGGCCUGGGCCCACAUGUCACUGACUGAUUAAAAUAAAAUUAGUUAAAACUAAUCCUUGAUUAGUUAGCAGACCGGCCCCUCCUGUCAUAGACUCAGGGGGGUCUACCUGGGCCCACCCAGGGUCAAACUGGGUCAAACUCGCCGGCGUUGAGCCGCCGGCGAGACCCGAGACGGUGGCGCAGCUCGGAAAACGCCUACAGGGCACGAGCGAGGCCGUUCUUGGGCUCGUUGGAGAGCUCUUGCAGCCGCGCAUCUAGUGGUGGUGGGGGCCGGAGACGACGACGGCGAGCUCCAAGGCGGCGGCUGGAGUUCGGCCAUGUGCGGGGUGUGGGCUGUGGCGUGCAAACGUGGAAACUGAAGCGCUAGCGAGGCACUACGCGAUGCGGCAAGCACGUUGCAUAGCACGGGAUGAUCCAAUGGUCGCCGGAGCGGCGCCGGCGACAAGCUCGAGCCGAGACGAGCUUCGGCCAUGGUGGAACUAUGGCCUAGAGGGUGCAAACGCGUGGAAAAGAAGAGGGGAAAGGUGGCGGAGCUCACAGGGAGGUCGAUGAGCAGCUCAAUGGGCUCGGGGGUCACCGGAGUGAGGCGAAUCGAUGAGCGGCGUCCGGCGGGUACCGAGGUUGAAGACGAUCCGAUGGCGGCGAUGCAGGGACUCCGGCGAUGCGUGGCUCAGUGGGGAGGGCGAGGGCGUCACAGCGGAGCUUCUGGACAGGUCAGAGAGGCGAGGGGGUGACGGAGGGCGCGACUACGGCGGUGAGACGGCGACGGGUGCGUCGGCCAUUGCGGGAGAGGGAGAGGGAGACAAGUGGGAGAGUGAGAGAGGAUGAGAGGGGGACGUGGGGGUCGCGUGGCAUUCCCUGGACGUCUCCCAGCAUCGGCGGAAGCAGGAGGUGGCCGGCGUGUGGCCGCGGGCGCCGGCCACGCGCUCCACGUCCUUCUGGCGUGAGGAGGACGACGACUGGCAGCGCCAGUAGGCUGGGCCGAGCCAGGGGGCUGGCCAGCACAGGUAAGGCCCAGGUGGGCAUCUCCCUCUUUUUUUUAAUUUGUUUCUGUUUUCUAUUUAACUGUAACUGUUGGGCUUUAUUUAAAAUACUAAAACAUUUCCAAAAAUCCUGAAAAUAAUUGUGGGCUCUGUUUGGAUUAUUUCCAACAGCAGACAUUUAUUUCCAGAAUUAUUUGAGCAUUUAAAUGCCCAAAUUCAAAUACUUAUGAUUUAAAUCAAUGACCUUCUAUUGACCUCGAAAAGUUGUGCACCAAUUUUGCCAGAGGUUCUAACCCAAGACAAAGAGGGUGAACUUUUUAGAAGGGCAUUUCAGGUUCAUUGAAAAUAAUUUUAGUAAUCCCUAGUUGUUUCCAGGGGGGUGUUGGGGGUUUCUGCCUUCCCCAAUUCAAAUUUAAGAGGAAUUUAAACAUGAUGCACAUUCUAAUGCUUGAUCUAGCUAGGGUGUGACAACUCACCCCCACUCAAAAGAAUCUCAUCCCGAGAUUUAGGAUCCUCUGGAAAGAAGGUGGGGUACUCGAGUCGAAGACGAUCCUCCCUUUCCCAAGUGGCUUCUUUCUCGGAAUGGUGUGACCAUUGAACCAUGAGAAACUUGAUAUUAUGACGUCGAGUAGUAUGCUCGGCUUGAUCAAGGAUACGAACGGGAUAUUCCUGAUAAGAGAGGUUAUCUUGUAGAUCAAGCGUUUCGUGGUCCACUCCACGGAUAGGAUCCGCGAAGCAACGCCUGAGUUGUGAAACGUGGAAGACAUCAGGAACUCUGGAAAGAUGCGGAGGUAGUUCCAAUUGGUAGGCAACUUCUCCUUGUUUGGCAAGAAUGCGAACGGGUCCAAUGUAACGAGGAGCCAAUUUGCCUUUGAUACCGAAACGAUGGGUUCCUUUUAACGGGGUAACCCGAAGGUAAGCCUUCUCAUCGACUUCAUAAGUCAUAGAGUUAUGUUUAUGAUCAUAUUGACUCUUUUCACGAGAUUGGGCUGUUUUCAAUUUCUCACGAAUAACGCGAACCUGCUCUUCCGCUUCCUGAAUCAUAUCCGGGCCAAAGAGUUGUCUUUCCCUGGUUUCUGACCAGUUAAGGGGUGUUCGAUAUUUUCGUCCAUAGAGAACUUUGAAAGGAGCUUUGCCCAAGCUAGCUUGAUAACUAUUGUUAUAAGCAAACUCUGCGAAUGGGAGGCAUUUCUCCCAACUCAUUCUGAAUGAGAUAACAGAAGCUCAGAGCAUAUGUUCCAGAAUUUGAUUGACUCGCUCUACUUGACCACUUGACUGAGGAUGGAAGGCGGUACUAAAAGAGAGACGAGUUCCCAUAGCAUUUUGGAAACUUUCCCAAAAUCGAGAGGUGAAGAGACUCCCACGCUCUGAGUUAUUUUCCAAUGGGACACCAUGGAGAGACACUAUUCGGGAGAUGUAUAAAUCGGCUAGCUGGCUAGCAGUGAUACUCUCACGAACAGGUAGGAAAUGGGCUACUUUGGAAAGACGGUCGAUGAUGACGAAGAUGGCAUUAUUCCCUCUCUUGGUCCUGGGAAACCCAGUAAUGAAAUCCAUACUGAUUUUAUCCCAUUUCCAUUCAGGAAUAGCCAAAGGUUGAAGGGUGCCAGUAGGCCGUUGAUGCUCUGCUUUAACACGAAUACAGACGUCACAGCUAGCAAUGUAUCGAGCAAUUUCUCUCUUCAUCCUAGUACACCAAAACCUCUCGCGUAGGUCUUGAUACAUUUUUGUGCUACCGGGAUGAAUGGUGAGAGGGGAUUCAUGAGCUUCCUUAAGGAUCAAUUGGCGUAGAUGUUGUUUCUUGGGAACCACCAAACGGUUCUCAAAGAAGACAGCACCCCGCUUAUCCAUGGAAAAACAUUUAGCAACUCCGCUAGCAAUGUUUUCCUUAAUCCGGGAUAUGCCCUUAUCAUACCGCUGGGCAGUUAUGAUCUGAUCCAUAAGGUUAGGUUUCGCCACCAGGGUGGAUAGGAAUCCUCGAGGAACAAUGUGAAGAUUAAGCUUACGGAAUUCCUCAUGGAGAAGUGGUUGACUUUGUUGUAACAUCAGGUUGUUACAACAGGAUUUACGGCUUAGCGCAGCAGCCAUGACAUUGGCUUUGCCCGGUGUGUAGGUUAUUCCUAAGUCGUAAUCCGAGAUCAACUCAACCCAACGUCUUUGCCUGAGAUUCAAAUCUGGUUGGGUGAAGAUAUAUUUCAAGCUUUGGUGAUCGGUGAAGAUCUCGCAACGAUUACCGAGGAGGUAAUGUCGCGAAGUUUUAAGUGCAUGGACUACAGCUACCAGCUCUAGAUCAUAUGUGGGAUAAUUUUCCUCAUGUGGGUGUAAUUGCCAUGAAGCGUAGGCAAUUACCUGAGGAUCUUGCAUGAGUAUGCAACCUAGUCCUUGUCGCAGAUGUCAGGCGUCUUUUCAGUUCCUGAAAGCUGAACUCGCACUGUGGAGUCCACUCGAACUUUUUAUCUUUCUUGAGGAGUUCAAUUAGAGGUUUAGCAACCUUGGAGAAACUCUCGCCGAAGCGGCGGCAAUAGCUCGCUAAGCCAAGGAAGCUCCAAACUUGCUUGACCGUCUCAGGUGGAGUCCAAUCAAGGACCGCUUGAACUCGCUCGGGAUUGACGGCAAUACCCUUACCAGAGAUUACAUGGCCUAGAUAGGUUACUUCUGGCAACCAAAAUUCACACUUGGAGAACUUGGCAUAAAGGCGAUGCUCUCGAAGUUUCAUCAAUACCAGCCUUAGAUGUUCGGCAUGUUCCUCUUCAUUCUUGGAGUAGAUGAGUAUGUCAUCGAGGUAUACUACGACGAAUUUAUCCAAGUACUCCAUGAAAACCGAGUUCAUUAACCGGGAGAAGGUAGCCGGGGCAUUGGUUAAACCGAAGGACAUAACGGUGUACUCGUAUUGGCCAUAACGAGUAACAAAGGCCGUUUUGGGAAUGUCCCCGUUUCUGAUUUAGAUUUGAUGGUAGCCCAACCUCAAAUCCAUCUUGGAAAAGACUGAGGAUCCAGCGAGCUGAUCAUACAGAUCGUUGAUCCUGGGAAGUGGGUAUUUGUUCUUGAUGGUGACAAAGUUGACAGGUCGGUAAUCCACAACCAUUCGAUCUGUUCCAUCCUUCUUCUUGACGAAGAGGAUGGGGCAAGCCCAAGGAGAGGAACUAGGACGGAUGAAACCCUUUUUCAAGGACUCAUCGAGUUGGUUCUUAAGCUCGGCUAGUUCUAAGGGUGCCAUCUUGUAGGGUCUUCUAGAAAUUGGAACGGUUCCUGGAACAAGGUCUAUCACAAACUCGACAUCCCUGUCAGGUGGAACACCUGGCAGUUCUUCUGGAAAGACAUCCGGAAAGUCUCGGACUACCGGAACAUCCUCAAGGUCUGGAAGGGGGUUGGCAUUUAGGGAGUAAAGUUGGCGCUUGGCCACUCGAGUUAAGACAUUAACUGUCUUGCCCAAUGGGUGAGUAAGUUGAACGGUUCUAGUGGCACAGUCAAGCUUAGCAUAAUGAGCUGACAUCCACUCCAUACCUAAGAUGAUGUUUAUGUCCGAGGACUUGAGAGCUAUUAAGGAUACAAGGAAGACAAGUCUAUCGACAAGAAUUUCGUUCCCAUGGCUUACUCUAGAAGUUUGCCAUCUAGAGCUAGGGGUUUGAAUUUCCAUGGUAGAGGGCAUGUCACAGAAUGUCGUGUUGUGCAAUCGAGCAUAGUUCUCGGAUAUGAAUGGAUGAGAUGCUCUAGUAUCGAAAAGAACAGAUGUCGGAUGGCAGUUAACAAGGAGCGUACCAAGGACGAGGUUGGGAUCCUCAUGAGCCUCCUCGGCUGAAACAUAGUUGACAUGGCCACGUGCAGUGGUGGCUGGCUUGGCGUAGAAUGUUUUCCCCGCGGGCUUACCACGGCCAACGGACUUUCCAGUUUGAUUGGGGUUGUUGUUCUGGGGACACUCUCGGCUAUAGUGACCCGGCUCUCCACACUUAAAGCAUGUCACCACAUUGGGGCGUGGAGCAGCAUUAGCAGUAGGGCCACCAUAGGGCUUGGGCGGUGCAAAUUGCUGGUUGGGACGUGGUGCCUCAAAGGAUGGCCUCGGGAUGAACCUGGGUGGCAGUGCCGUGCUUGGAAUCCACACCCGGCGCUUCUGAGCUCUAGAGCCGGAUGAAGAGCCAAAAUCACGGGAGUGCUUGCAUGAAGCGUCAUAAUCAGUCUGGCCUUUCUCAGCACUGAUGGCUUUAUUGACCAACUUCUGAAAGGAGGUGCACUCGGGCAGACGAAGAUCGCGGUGAAGCUCAGGGCUAAGUCCCUUGCGGAACCUUGCCUGCUUCUUAGCAUCAAUAGAUACCUCUUUAGGGGCAUAACGUGCCAGAUUCCGAAAUUCACGACCGUAAGCAUCCACAGUCAGUCUUCCUUGGGUGAAGUUGCAGAACUCCUCCCUCUUGCGAUCCAUGAGACCUUCCAGAAUGUGAUGCUCACCGAAAGCCUCACAGAAUUCAGCCCAAGUAGUGAUUUGGCCGACCGGGCGCAUAGCUUCGAAGUUUUCCCACCAAAGGCUAGCAGGGCCUUCGAGGUGAUAGGCAGCAUAAGUAACCUUGUCGGCUGCGGCUGCGUUGGCAGAACGUAGCUUGUGGGUGAUGCUGUGAAGCCAGUCAUCCACAUCGAGGUACUCGACGGAAUGGUUAAACUUUGGUGGGUAUAGCUUGAUAAAGUCAUUGAUUGACACCAAUCAUUUCGUGGGUGGCGUGCAGUGUUCUGCUCAAUCCGCUCCAACAGGCGGUUGGUCUGACGCUUCUUUAUUUCCGCCUCCAGCAUUACUUCGGCCAGAGAAGGCGGGUGAGGCAGAUUUUCACCUCUAGCAGCACUGGCUUCCCCCUGCUCCAGGGCAGCAGGGUUGCUGCGGGUGUUGACCAUCCUAGGAGAAAACAAGACAACGGUUUAGACAAGGAUGUCUCAAAUUAGCAAGGAUGUGCAGAAUGUAAUGGAUAACACGGAAUGCAGAGAUGUUCAUCCGUAUGUCAUGGUAAUAUAAAACUGCCAUAUAUAUACCAACGGUCAUACACAUCAUACAUAGUUUAGUACAAGCCCAGGCUACAAUACAACUAUGAUGAAAGACGUUACAUCUCAUCGGAGGCAUUCCAAGCUCCUAUACAUUAUUGUCUACACCUCCAAAAUUGAUUACACGCAAAGUCAUAUUCCAAAAGUCACGCAGGACAGUGGAGAUACAGCUACUACAAUACUAGUGGUACUACUACUAACUCAGACAGCUCCGUAGUAGUCCUCAUAGAAGUCACCUCCAUAGCCUGGAAGUUCAACGGGACCAUCCGGGAACAGACGGUCCUGAGGAGCCUGUGGACCAUAGGGGCUAGGAUGGUGUCUUGGACCAACAAACGGUGGCCUGCGGGAACCACGGGGUGGGGUGAUGCCUCCCACAUCACGCCAAUCCACCACGUCUGGCAAAGCAGACCUCACAGGAUACAGAUCCCUUGUAUCCAUACAUCUAGCUUGCACCGCAGGUGCAAACCGAGCCAAUGUGGCCCAAUGAUCAGCACGGGUAUUAAAAAGCUCCAGCCUCAAGGCCCGAUUCUCUCGGUCCUUAUCUUCGAGCAUCUCAGCAGUGGUACGAGUUAAUGAAUCCUCCUGAGUGGAGACAGCAUAGAUAGCCUGAAGAUACCCUUGCGCUCCCGGAAGUGAAGCUGGCAUGUAUCGGAAGUCGGUGUUCCGAAGCAGGCCAGUCCGGACUCGCAUGAUGGUCAUCAUGUAAUAGGCAGCAUCCUGCACAGCAAUCUCAACAGUAACCCCGAGUCCAUAGGAAUAGUGAAGGGGCUCGGUAGAUCCAGGAUAAGAAGGAAAUAUCCUGACAGUGCAGAAAUACUGGCUUUGAUUAAAGUCUCGGAAUUGCUCUUCGACGGUGUAUUCGAGAUACCAACGGUAACCCGUCUCGAUCAUGACCCGGACUAACAUAGCAGUAUGACCGGGCACGUCGAGCCACCGGGUUAGGCGAACCACUUGGUUUUGAGCACGGUUGGCCAUCUGAAAGCACAACCACAAUGCAAAGACAUCAGAAUUUCUAGGGAAAAUUGGACAGCAUAACAGCUGUAAAUGCUCAGAAAAAGAUUUGAGACAUCCACAACAGUUCGCAAUACCACUCAAUAACAUCAUAUCAAGGUUCUGAUCCAAAUAGCAACAUACUAAAAAUAGUAGAAACUGAACUGGGGCUUGUAACAACAAUCCUAUAAGCUACUACGGAUUAGUAACACGUGAACCUGAUAGAAGAAGAGAGCCUAGUCCUUAACCCACGUUGAAUGAGAAGGGAAUGACUCAGAUAAGAGGCAUAGGGUAAAGGAGUAAAAGAGACUUACGUUCCCUCCCACAAUCAAUUCCCCUACAUAUAACUAAAGCAUUUCCAGACUCGACAUCGACCAGUUUGGCUCAACGAACCUACAAGCAGUCUGGCUCUGAUGCCAACGCUGUCAGGACCCCGAUUCCAAGCCACAUCGAUCUAGCCGGUAACACCUCAUAUCACUUUGCGGCCUCACGCACGAUAUUCCACGGGUGUCGCCUUACCAUGGCCCGGGACCGUUUGCGCCUUUUGGCUCACGUAUAUGAUAGUGUUGUUAGCAUCCAUAUGACAGAGAACCUGGGCCGACAUGGCUAGUCGUGAACCCAAAGCGGCACAGACCUAUGGAGACAGGCAUACAUGAAUCACAUCGAGCAUGUCGGUCAUCAGCGAGUGAUUCCGGGCUGUAGCACUGGGCUAACAGGACUCCGGGGAACCCGGGCUGUAGCAGGCUAGGCAGGACUCCGGAAGUCACCGCGUGACAUUUCCCCGAAGGGACAGACAUAGGAACGAAGUGAAUCACAUGCCGGCCAUUCAAGUGUCCUAAGUAGUAGUGCUGGGCUAGCAGGACUCCGGUGAACCAGGCUGUAGCGGACUACUAUGGCUCGAGGAACACUAGACUACAUUUCCCCAUAAGGAAGGCUGCCAAGGAUAAACAACUAGAUUGUUGGAUCCCACUCAUACCAAGCAUUUCAAUCAUACACACAAUAUGCCCGAUAUGAGUACAUACAACAUGGCAUCACAACAAAACUCUACAACUCAAGUACUUUAUUUAAAUGCUCCAGAGAGCCAUACAUAACAUGUUCAUACAGAUAGGGGUCACAUGACCCGACACUCAAGUCAUACAAUCAUACAAGCACAUGCGGAAGCAACCGGUCUGAGUACAGACACUAGAAAGAAAGAAGGCUCCUCGAGGCCUGUCUAUCUACAUAGGGCCCUCCAUGGCCAGGAUCACCACCUGGGUGGCUAGUCACUCGUCGAUGUCAAGGUCUACAUAGAACCCAUAGGAGGGGGCGGUGUUGUCGUCUGAAAACGGUAAUUAAGCAAACAUGAGUACAAAGGUACUCAGCAAGUCUUACAACAGAACCUACUAUACAUGCUUAUUCUCAAGAAGGUGGUGGGGAUAUUGCAGCAAGCCAGCUUUGACUCUUGGCUAAACUAUCCUACGGAACAUCUCUAGUAAAAUAGUUUUCGCACACGAGUCCACUACUCACCAACACAAUACUCCACCGGGGAUCCUCCCUCGUCAUCCUAUGAGAGGGUGUCGGGGGUGUCUGAUCCCUCGCACACCUAUGGGGAUCAGCGGACCGAGCCCCUUUUGGUUCGGUAGGGGGCGGUGGAUGCACAAAGAGUAGAUCGAGGCGAAACACAUGAGCGAGACAAUCGAUUUACCCAGGUUCGGGCCACACGGAUGCGUAAAACCCUACUCCUGCUUUGGUGGUUGUAUUGAGUUUUUUCUCGGGAGCAGCUGGCGAGACCGAGCGUGAGAAUGGCUGUCCCCCCCCUGUUGCGCAUGGGCCUCCUUUUAUAUGUCUAAGGGGUCACCGACACGUGGCAACAGAGGUAAGGGUAAAAAUGUAAAAGGGGUGGUAGUUGGCUCCACCGCCUACAUGUCGCAUCCUACCUAACUCUGACGGCAGGGGACAAGGGCAUUAAAUGCCCGUCUGUGUCACCUUGACGGCCCAGAGAGGGACCACUAGGAACGCCACCGUUUGCCACGACGGUUCCUUGUCAGCGUCUGCUUGCCAUUGCAUGCCCCCGGCUGCACAGCCUCCCGCCACGUACGCCAGGAAUGGCCCCAGGGCGACACGUUGGUGGGUGAGCUGGAGCGCGGGCUGCGGGGUAGUGGCUUGCCGCGGCAAGUGCCUUGCCGCGGGUGUUGUCUUGUCACGUCCGGGAGCUUGCCGCUCACCGGGUCUUGUCGGGGCACGCGGUGCGCCGCAGCGAGUCUCUUGAGAUGCUUUGGUUGUCUUCCCGGCAAGCUCCUCUUGCCGGGGUCUCGUCUCCUUCCCGGCAAGCUCCUCUUGCCGGGGCCUUGUUCCCUUCCCGGCAAGCUCCUCUUGCCGGGGCCUUGUUUGGAUCUUGGAUACUUUGUUCUUGAAUGGCUCCAGAGGAACCAUGGAGGGUCUUGGCGGUCGCCCGGCAAGCCUUGCCGCGGGUCGCUGCGACUACCCAUGCACAAGUUCGGGGUACUAAGGUACCCGUACUUUAGCACACCGACAGGAGCCCCCAGGCCUGGGCCAUACACGGUGCCGAGCGCUGUUGGGCCAGGCCCAAAACAGUGCAAGGGCACGCGCGGCCUGGGUCACGCCAUAACUGAUUCCGUAUCCACCGCGCUCUCCCCAAACGGCACGCGUCAAACGCGGCAUCGUGGGAGAGAUCGUGGGCGGUUUUCGAGGUGCCCACUCCCCACGAUCACGGGGUGGGGAGAGACCGCCCCAUCCGUCGCCUCGGUUCUGCACGCCUGCCACGCGGUUCCCGUGCACUUGGGGUCGCGGGCGGCGGAAGCGGGAAACGGGGCCGUCGUGGGUCGAGGGAGUGGGUCGGCCCCGGCUCCCCGCGUCUUGAUUCGCUGAGCGGGGCGGCCGAGCCCCCACCUUGCUCCUUUAUAAAGAGCGGGAGGGGAGGACGGGAGCCUGCAUCCUCCCAUCUUCUCCUUCCUUCAGCUCCUGCUCCCCUCCCCCCAUUCGCCAUGGAGAGAGGGAACCCUGGUCCUUCGUCAGUGGCGGCAAGGGUUGCCGCCAGGCAGCGCAUCCCUCCCUCUCCCGCACCCGUGGCGGCGGAGCCAGCCAUAAGGGGAAGAGGGAGGGGGCGAAGUCGUGGACGAGGCCGUGGCGCUCGGGGAAGAGGUGGGCGAGGCGGCGCGUCGGCUUCGCCUCCGCCGGCGGCUCUUCUUCCCGCGGUGGCCCAUGCCGGGGACGACCCUUGCGAGUUAUUCGUCAGGCUGCGCCGGGCGCCCCGCCGUCGCCUCUGACUCCCGGAUCCGUUUGCGGAAGUGGUGGAGUUGGACCCGCCCGAGACGCUGAGGCUGCAGAUGAGGGCUGUGGGAUCAGCGGCACGCGGGUCCGCGCCGAAUUCCCAGCCCCCGGCGUGAUUUAUCUUGGCCGAGGGUGGAAGACGUUCGCCCGCAUCCACAGCUUGACACCGGGGCUGACCCUCCACUUCAAGUUGGUGGAGGGUGAUCUCCUCUCCGUCAAGGUCUUCGGGUGCUUCAGCGUCCGGGCCCGGUGCUGCGUGGAAAGCUCCUCCGAUAGCGAAGGCUCCUCCUCGAGCAAGAGUGACGAGGAGGGAACGACAGCGGCGACGAGGGGAGCGGGCGGCAGGAUGGCGGGUCCGACUAGGUGUCGGGCGCCGCUCCGCGCGGCACCAGCAACCCCAUCAUCCGGGUCGCCGGCUCCUUGAACUCCCCGGGGGCGUCUCCUUGGGCGGCUGGCGUAGGGAGGCUGCGAAAGAGGAAGAGGGCAGGCGGCAAGGCCGUCAGGUCGGAGUACGAUGGCGUGGUGCCCUCGACAGCGUGCUGACGUCCUGCCGCCUCGUCUUCGAGCCCCCCUUCCGGCGCUGCCAUCACCAUCCAGCCUUGAAGGCCCCCGGGAUGUUCUCUUGGUGUCUUCUGGCACCCGUAGUUCCCCUAGGCACUCCUUUUGCCCUUCUCGCCUCCUUGACCUACCUCCUGAAAAGAGGGGCAGGAAAGAGAUUACGGGCAUCUUAUCUUUUUGAUUUGUAAGCCCUCGGGCCUUAGUUGCAUCUAAAACUUGUAAUCCUCUCUUUCAUGUUUUCCAUUCUCCAUGUACUGUACCUGCGUGGAAUGUUUUAAUGAAAAGGGGAUGCUUGCCAGGUUACUCGUCUCGCGGGUAGAACCCAUGCCAAGGAGCAAAUCCUUGGUAUCUCACAGAUAGACACUCCCUCCCCAGCAACAGGCCCUGCCACAUACCCACGUCGCUCGACCUUUCUCACGCUCUUGACGGAGGCAGAGACGAGGCGGGUGCGGCCCCUCGUUUCAUCCCUUUCCCGCCGCGACUGCGACCAAAGCUUGGCCCUGGGGCCCCAGGGACCAAAGCUAAGGGAGCACGGUGGCUUUCGGGAAGAAGCGAGGUUUUGUAUUCCCAGUCCAAAAGAGAAUGCACGAAGAGGGAUGAAAGACUUAUCUGAGACUGCAGCCCCCGGCAACUCUGGCUUGCCGUGGGGUGAACCUUGGUACUUGCAGCCUCCAGCAACUCUGGCUUGCCGGGGUUCGGAUGCCGGCACGUCCUUCUUCUCCCUUUCGUCCUCACGCGGUCCGACAAGGAUAUGCAAGCCCUGCGAACCAAAGGAAACAAAGGAAGGACAAAGGGACGCACACUAGACCUCUAAGUUAGGGGUUAGCUGCUGUUAGGCACUAUCAACCCUAACCGAGGACUCGACUCGACCUAGCAUGCAUGCUGUAACUCUGGGCGCCAGCGCUUCAUUAUCUUGUGCUCAAGGUCUGUGCCUGGCUUUGUACAAAGGAUUACAUGCAACAGCGUCAAGACUUGUACAAAAGGGUGGUUGCCGGACAGGGUCCGACAACCGCGCCUUACGGGUAAAACUUACAAAGAAGCUUGAUAUUCCAGGAGUUGCUCACUAGUACGCCAUCUUCGGUCUCCAGGCGGACAGUGCCAGGCCUGGUGACUCGUUUCACCCGGUAAGGGCCUUCCCACUUCGGCGUCAACUUGUUGGAAUUCUUGGCGGACUGAACGCGCCGAAGAACAAGGUCGCCUUCCUCGAGGCUCCUAGCAUUAACUUUGCGGCUAUGAUAGCGGCGCAAAGCUUGCUGGUAGCGAGCGGCUCGCACAGCAGCCUGGAGACGAUCUUCCUCAAGGAGCAGCGCGUCAUCUUGCCGCAGCUGCUCUUGCUCAAGCUCAUCAUAGCACUCGAGGUGACCCGUAUACGAGUUCCAUGGGGAUAACUGCCUCCGCUCCAUAGACUAGAGCGAAGGGUGUCUGCCCGGUGGCUCGAUUUGGCGUCGUCCUGAUCGACCAAAGAACCACCGGCAGCUCCUUGAUCCAGUUGCGUCCGCGCUUGUGCAGCCUGUCAAAUGUUCUGGUCUUGAGCCCGUGCAGCACUUCAGCAUUCGCCCUCUUAGCUUGGCCGUUGCUUCUCGGGUGAGCGACAGAAGCAAAGCAGAACUUGGCGCCAAGAUCUUGGACGUACUGCAUGAAGGCGCGGCUUGUAAAUUGUGUACCGUUGUCGGUGAUUAUCCUGUUAGGGAUUCCGAAACGGCAAACAAUCGACCUGAAGAAUUUGAUCGCGGACUGCGCCGUCACCUUCCUCACUGGUUCCACUUCCGGCCACUUUGUGAACUUGUCGAUUGCAACGUACAAGUACUCAAAGCCCCCGACGGAUCGGGGGAAGGGGCCGAGGAUAUCGAGCCCCCAGACCGAAAAUGGCCAGGAUAAAGGGAUCGUCUGGAGAGCUUGAGCUGGCUGGUGUAUCUGCUUGGAAUGGAACUGGCACGCUUCACACUUGGUUACUUGUGCAGUUGCAUCCUGGAGGGCUGUCGGCUAGAAGAAGCCUUGUCGGAAUGCUUUUCCGACAAGAGCUCUUGCGCCAAUGUGGUGACCACAUAUGCCUCCAUGUAUCUCUGCCAACAGCUUCUGUCCAUCUUCCCGAGGAAUACACUUCAAUUUCACACCGUUGAGUCUUCUUCUGCACAGUGUGUUGUCAACAAACUGGUACAUACUGGACUGCCGGGCUACUCUUUCUGCUUCUUCUGGUUCCUCGGGAAGCUCUCCUGUCUGAAGGAAACGGACGGUCUGCUACGCCCAUGUUGGAGCCUGUGGCUCGACAACAAGGACUAAAGGCACAUCUGCUGCUGUGGGAACGCCUACUUCUACGGCAGGAGCCUGCGACUCUGCCGGAGCUUGACAUUCCCCGACAAGCUUGCCGGAGCAGAGCUUGCCGGGAGUGUCUGCUGCAAUGGAACAAACCCUGGGGCUUGCCGGAGUAGACUGCUCCUCAGCACUCUUGGCGUCGAUCUUGGGGACCUUCUUGGCGGCGUCUUCGGGGAGCUUUGCCGGGAGAUAGUCACCAGAGAUCAACUUCCUCUUCUUGCUCUGUCCACUUGAUGGUGCCACGGAUGGCUGAGUUAGCUUGAGCACAAAGGUCCCUGGUUCCACAGGUAACUUAAGUGCUGCGCACUUUGACAGGCGAUCGGCAAUGUCAUUCUCAGCUCUUGGAACAUGUUCCAUUUGCAGGCUGUCAAAGCGCUCUUCCAGCUUCCUCACUUCAUCAACGUAAGCUUCUAUCAAUGGACUUUGGUAAUCUUUGUUCACUUGGCGGACGACAAGCUGCGAGUCACCCCUAACAAUGAGCUUCUUAAUCCCAAGUUCUGCCGCGAUCCUGAGACCGGCAAGCAAGCCUUCUUACUCUGCAGUAUUGUUUGUCGCUUGCUCCUUGGGAAAGUGCAUCUGGACUAUGUACUUGAGGUGCUCCCUGGUGGGUGCGACAAGCAGUACACCAGCACCGGCGCCUUGCAGCGAGAAAGCACCGUGAAAGUACAUGAGCCACUCUUUGCUUGCUUCCUUGGCGGGGAUGCUCGUCUCCGGAAUUUCUUCGUCUGGAGUUGGCGUCCACUCUGCUAUUAACUCUGCCAAUGCUCCGCUCUGGAUUGUUGAUGUACUCUCAAACUUGAGGCCAAAGCUUGACAGUUCCAGUGCCCACUCGACAAUCCUGAAUGUUGCUUCUGGAUUUUGCAAUAUCCUUUUCAGCGGAAAGCGAGUGACAACUGUGAUCUCGUGUGCUUGGAAGUAAUGACGUAGCUUUCUCGAGGCCAUGAGGAGGCCGAAAAGCAGCUUCUGCACACUAGAGUACCUUGACCUAGCCCCCUGUAAAAGGGAGCUGACAAAGUAAACUGGGUGCUGCACCAUUUUCUUCUGUAUCUCCUCUUGUAUCUGCGCAGAUCCUUGGUUGUCGGGACCAGAGCUUGUCGGGGAAGCCCCCUGCUUGUCGCUGGAUGUGCUUGCCGCGGCCGCUGGCUCGUCGUCGGCCUCCCUUUCCGCUACUAACGCAGCACUAACCACUUGAUUGGUUGCCGCUAUGUACAGGAGCAACUUCUCUUGUGGUUUAGGCGCGACAAGUGUUCGGGUGGACGACAGGUAUCUCUUCAAGUCUUGCAGCGCAGCCUCCGCUUCCGGAGUCCAUCUCAUUGGACCUGCCUUUUUCAAAAUUUGAAAAAGGGCAGGGCGCGCUCAGCAGACCAAGGGAUAAACCUGCUAAGAGCAGCUACGCAGCCGGCAAGCUUCCGUACAUCCGUGACGCGCUUUGGUGCUUCGAUCUGCUCAAUGGCCCUGAUCUUGUCGGGGUUGGCUUCGAUUCCCCGCUGAGACACGAAGAACCCGAGAAGCUUGCCGAAAGGGACUCCAAACACACACUUCUCGGGGUUGAGCUUGAGGUUGAUCUUGCGCAGAUAUGCAAAAGUCUCUUCUAAGCCUUGGAUCAGAGUUGCCCUGUCUUUGCUUUUGACCACUAUAUCAUCCAUGUAAGCUUCUACAUUUCUGUGUAUCUAUGGCUUCAAAGCAAUAUGGACUACUCUGGCAAAUGUUGAACCAGCAUUCUUUAAUCCGAAAGGCAUCCGUACGAAACAGUACGUGCCACAUCGAGUAAUGAAUGCGGUUUUCUCCUCAUCCUCUUCCGCCAUGAAGAUCUAAUGGUAUCCUGAGUAUGCAUCAAGAAAUGAAAGCAACUCACAUCCGGCCGUGGAGUCAACAAUCUGGUCAAUGCGCGGCAAGGGAAAUGGAUCUUUUGGACAAGCUUUAUUAACAUCAGUAAAGUCAAUACAAAGCCUCCAUUUCCCAUUCGCCUUGCGCACUACAACCGGAUUGGCCAACCACAUGGGAUGGAGCACCCCUCUAACGAGGCCUGCUGCUUCCAAUUUCUUGAUUUCUUCGGCUAUGAAUUCUUGGCGCUCCACCGCCUGUUUCCUGACCUUCUGCUUGACGGGCCGCGCAUGAGGACAAACUGCAAGGUGGUGCUCAAUUACCUCCCUGGGAACACCGGGGAUGUCAGACGGUUGCCAUGCAAACACGUCGACAUUCGCCCGCGGGAAAGUAACGAGUGCGCUUUCCUAUUUAGGGUCAAGCGUGGCACUGAUGGUGAAGGUACCACCAGUGCCGUCCUCCUUGGCGGGCACCUUCUUGGUAAGUGGUGGAGCGGCCAUCGUCUUCUUACUCUUGCAGCCGGAGCUCGAUGGUGCGUCCUCGACGGCAGCGCAGCACUCCGAAGAGGUGCGCCUGCCGGAGUAGGCAUCAGAGCACUCGCCGGGCUUGGUCUUCUUCUUGCCGGUGGAGCUCGAUGGUGCGUCCUCGACGGUAGCGCAGCACUCCGAAGAGGCGCGCUUGCUGGAGUGGGUACUAGAGCUCUUGCCGGACUUGGUCUUCUUCCCCCUGGGAGCUUCAGCGGCAAGUGUCUCGCGGUCUGUCGCGGCGGCAGCUUCCCGGUAGAUCUUGUCGGCGCAGAUAAGGGCGUCCUUCUUGUCGCCAGGGACAGAGAUGACGCUUAUCGGGCCCGGCAUCUUGAGCAUGUUGUAGGCAUAGUGAUAGGCUGCCAUUAACUUGGCGAGCGCGGGACGGCCAAGUAUCCCAUUGUAGGGCAAUGGGAAAUCGGCAACGUCGAAGGUGACCCUCUCAGUCCUGAAGUUCAUCUCACUGCCGAAUGUCACCGGCAGCGCGACUUUUCCCUUCGGCUUGCUCCUUCCCGGGUUAAUUCCUUGGAAUGUACCGGUUUCUUCGAGCUCACUGUCUGGGAUCUGGAGUUUCUGGAGCACAGCGGAGGAGAUCAGAUUCAGGCCGGCCCCGCCGUCAACUAGCAUCUUGGUGACCUUGAGGUUGCGGAUUGUUGGGGAAACCAACAACGGCAAGCACCCGACCGCAGUCGUGCGAUCAGGGUGGUCCUCAAUGUCAAAGAUGAUCGGCGUGCUGGACCACUUCAGAAGCUUGCGUGAUUCGACAGGUGGCUCUGCCGCAUUAACUUCCCGGAGCCACUGUUUGAGUUGGCGGUGGGAAGUGUGCAGAGAAGCGCCACCGUCAACACACAAGACUUCUGUAGCCUUCUGAAACUCCUGCUCGCUGUUCUCAACAUCAUCCAUGUCUUCGUCGUCGUCUUCGUCUUCGUCCUUAUCGCGGCCGCGAGGAGGUCUGUCUCCUUGCCGCUGCUUGGCCUUGCCACGGCUCCCUCCCGGGCCAGCGCGGUUCUUGCCGGCUUCUCCAUCGCCUCCUUGGGCUCUCUCCUUGUCGCGCCGCUCGUACUCACCUCUUUGUUGCUGGACAAGCUGCUCGACCCUCUUGCAGUUCUGGAGAUCAUGGCCCUUGGUGCGGUGGAUCUUGCAGUACUGCUUGUCGGAGCUGCCCUGCUUGUCGGCGGCCGCCACAGCCUGGCAGUUGGUACACGCGGCAACCUCUUUGCCGGAGCUGACAACUUUGGCUUGCUUGGCGGGGCCGUCAUCGCUGGACUGCUCAACGACCAGUACCUCUUUGCCGCUCUUCUUCUUGUUGGGCCUCCGGUUUUUGCUUGCCGGGGCGGCAUCCUCACUGUCAGAUAUCCCUGCUCUAGCAUCCUCUCCGGGGAGUUUCCUCCCUUCUUCAGCGCGUGCGCACUUGUCGGCCAGGGCGUACAGCUCGCUGACGUCCUUGAUCCUGCUCAUCGCCAUCUCCUCCCGCAUCCUGCAAUUACGCAUGUUCUGAUGGAACGCGCUGAUAACCGCGGUAGGGUGGAUGUCUGGGAUGUUGCGCUGCACGCGGCUGAAUCUCUGGAUAUACUUGCGCAAAGGUUCUCCUUCCUUCUGGGCAAGCAGGUGGAGGUCACUCUCUUGGCCGUGUGGUUUGUGGCCGCCUGUAAAGGCGCCGACAAACUGGUGGCACAAAUCCGCCCAAGAGGAUAUGGAGUUGUCCGGCAAGUGCAUGAGCUAGGAUCUGACUUCGGGCUUGAGCACGAGCGGGAAGUAGUUGGCAAGGACCUUGUCGUCUCGUCCCCGGCAGCUUGCACCGCAAUGGUGUAGAUGCUGAGGAACUCCGACGGGUGUGACUUGCCGUCGUACUUCUCCGGCACGUCUGGCUUGAAAUGCUUCUGGUUGGGCCACUGGACUUGCCGCAGCUCAUGGGUGAACGCGGGACAACCCGCCGCGUACGGCAAGUUACCUGGCUCUCCGGGUGCAUGCAUGUCAACAGAGGGCCCAGCGCACAGGUCAGAUUGACGCCGCGCUUCCCUUCGGCGCUCGAUGCAUGUUCAAGUGUCUUCUUGCUGUCUCUGAUGAAGAACUUGGCGUUGAUCGCGGUGAGCUCGCGGAUCUGACGACGCGGUGGAGUAGCCGUCGAGGUGGAUCCGGUGAGUCGGCGAUCUCGGCCUUCGGGGCGGAGAGUGCACAGUGGUUGCACCCUCACCGGUCUUGUCGCCACCGGCUCGCGCCUGGCUGACUUGCCGCGGCAGCGAUGCGCUCUGCUGCCGUGGGUUGUCACCAUUGGCGCAGCCGAUGAUGCUCUGAAUAGUGGCCCUCCAGUCAUCGAUCUUCUCUAGUGCUGGAGGGUAGUCUAGGAGCAGCUGGGCACGCGCCAACGGUUCCGUCGGAGUGGUGGGCGGCGGCAGCGAACGGUGCGAGGAGCGAGAUAUGCUCGGACUCCUAACCACGUUAGAAGGAGCAACAUCCCGUCCAAGCGACCGCGCCGCGCUCGCGCCAGCACGUUGGCGUGCCUGCUGAUCCUGAGCACUUCGGGAUCCGCCAGCUUGAUCUUGGCCCAGCAGGCGUAUGGUACAGUGGGUACCAUGACGCUACUGGUCCCGCGCCUCCUGGGAUGGGCGCGGUGCGUGUACGGACACCGAGGUCUCGGAGUGCGCGCGGUCGUCGUGGGAGGCGACCGCGCUACCGACGUGCGCCGCAGCCAGGCACUUGGACCUGGCAGUGCCAUGAGUCUCCCCGUCGGCGCCCGCCCUUCCGCCGGCGCCUACUUCACCCGCCGUUCGCUCCGGCGAUGGCGGGCUCGACGCGGACGGAGCGGCUACCUCCGAAGCCUUCUUCUUCGGCGGCAUGUUGAUGAAGACGAUGAAGAUUCGGCUCGCGCGAACGCCGGAUCAGGUUCGCACUACCUCGACGCACCCCCUACCUGGCGCGCCAAAGAUGUCGGGGGUGUCUGAUCCCUCGCACACCUAUGGGGAUCGGCGGACCAAGCCCAUUUUGGUUCGAUAGGGGGCGGUGGAUGCACAAAGAGCAGAUCAAGGCGAAACACACGAGCAAGACGAUUGAUUUACCCAGGUUCGGGCCGCACGGAUGCGUAAAACCCUACUCCUGCUUUGGUGGUUGUAUUGAGUUUUUGCUCGGGAGCGGCGAGUGCUACAGUACACUCAAGCAGCUGGCGAGACCGAGCGUGAGAAUGGCUGUCCCCCUCCCCCUGUUGCGCAUGGGCCUCCUUUUAUAUGUCUAAGGGGUCACCGAUACGUAGCAACAGAGGUAAGGGUAAAAAUGUAAAAGGGGUGGUAGUUGGCUCCACCGCCUACAUGUCGCAUCCUACCUAACUCUGAUGGCAGGGGACAAGGGCAUUAAAUGCCCGUCUGUGUCACCUUGACGGCCCAGAGAGGGACCGCUAGGAACGCCACUGUUUGCCACAACGGUUCCUUGUCAGCGUCUGCUUGCCACCGCAUGCCCCCGGCUGCACAGCCUCCCGCCACGUACGCCAGGAAUGGCCCCAGGGUGACACGUUGGUGCGUGAGCUGGAGCGCGGGCUGCGGGGUAGUGGCUUGCCGCGGUAAGUGCCUUGCCGCGGGUGUUGUCUUGUCGCGUUCGGGAGCUUGCCGCUCACUGGGUCUUGUCGGGGCGUGCGGUGCGCCGCAGCGAGUCUCUUGAGAUGCUUUGGUUGUCUUCCCGGCAAGCUCCUCUUGCCGGGGUCUCGUCUCCUUCCCGACAAGCUCCUCUUACCGGGGCCUUGUUCCCUUCCCGGCAAGCUCCUCUUGCAGGGGCCUUGUUUUUCUCUUGGAUACUUUGUACUUGAAUGGCUCCAGAGGAACCAUGGAGGGUCUUGGCGGUCGCCCGGCAAGCCUUGCCGCGGGUCGCUGCGACUGCCCGUGCACAAGUUCGGGGUACUAAGGUACCCCUACUUUAGUACACCAACAGAGGGCCAUCCUCGGUACUCACACUUAUCUUGAGUAUUUAGUAGUAUCCAUUUACUUGUCUAUGAACUGUAUAGGCAACCAAGUAGUCCUUUACCGCGGACGUGGCUAUUCGAAUAGUUUUAUACCCUGCAGGGGUGUACUUCGUCAUACACGCUUUCACCACUUAUCGCCGUUUACACGACAUGUACUCGGCAACCUUCAAGCGGAAGCCCAGCGAGGGUGUCGGCCACGGCCUACCUAAACACUUAAGUCUCUAGUCCAGGUUUAUCGCCUAUCCAGGUUCCAUCGGCAGGGAGUGCGGCCGAGGUUUCCACAUACGGCCCCGAACGAUGUGAACAGGGUUCCGAGAUGCCAAACGGGCGCCCGGCAUACCCGGCCAGGUGUAUCUACCGCAACAUAGCCCACCCCUAGGGUCAGCGCUACGCACGGCCGCCAACACAUAACCUACAAACCCAGAAACUAUAUGCAACUCCUGGACAGAGUACAAGGGUGAUUAAGAAGCCGAGAGGGUCAAUUAAGGAUCCCAAUGCGUGGUAGUAGCUGAAUCUUAAAUCAACAUACAGAUCUCAGUUCUUAGGGACGGUCUCAAUGAAACAACCCACCAUGUACUCCUACAUGGCCUCUCAUCGAUACCUUUACCAAAACAUGUUCAACACAUUCCUCAUAUUACCGACAUAAUCAUAUCACCCUAGCCCAUCACCCAGAUGAACCAGACCUGACACAACUCUAAGCAUAGCAGGCAUAGCAAGGUAGGAAUCACAUACAUGGCUCAAUCAAAUCAUACACAUGCUAGUGGGUUUCAUCUAGUUAUUGUGGCAAUGACAGGCCAUGUAGAGGAUAAGGGUUCAACUACCGUAGCACACAACAGUUUGAAUCGCGUUGUCUUAAUGAAGUAAACAAGAGCAGAGGCGAGAACAUGGGUUGUAUCGGAAUGAUCAAUGGGUUGCUUGCUUGAUGGAGUGGUAGUGGGAUACUGCCCUUCAGUUGGAUACUCGUGAAUAUCCUCGGAGGUAGAACCUACCACGAAGAACACAUCGGAACACAAUCAACACAUGACGAUAUGCAACAAUAUGAUGCAUGCUAUGACGUGUCUUGGCCUAAUGCAAGCUAAAAUAGAAAGGGAUGAACUCAUUUGAAUCAAAGAUUCAAAUAUUAGCUCACUAAACAUGGCCUUAGUAGUGCAUUUCCUUAUUCUGCUUAAACAGCAAGGUAAACUUGUUUUGUCAUGCAUGAAACCAUUACAGAUGGAUAGAUUGAAUUUUUCUGAUAAUUUUUCAUAUAUAAAUUAUUUCAUUUGGAGUUACGGUUGAAUUUCUAUGAUUUCUAGAAGUUUUAAACAUUUUCUGGAAAUUCCUGAAUAAAAAUAAAUCCAGAAAAUGCAUUACUACGUCAGCAUUGCGUCAUGCUGGCCUCGGCAGGUCAAAGGCGCCAGCCCAGGUCAAACCUGACUGGUGGGCCCCUUCUGUCAGUCUCUCAGUUAAAUAACAGGAUUAGAUUAACACUAAUUAGCUGUCAGUGGGGCCUGGGCCCACAUGUCAGUGACUAAUUAAAAUCAAAUUAGUUAAAACUAAACCUAGAUUAGUUAGCAGACUGGCCCCACCUGUCAUAGACUCAGGGGGGGUCUACCUGGGCCCACCCAGGGUCAAACUCGCCGGCGUUGAGCCGCCGGCGAGACCCGAGACGGUGGCGCAGCUCGAAAAACGCCUACAGGGCACGAGCGAGGCCGUUCAUGGGCUCGUUGGAGAGCUCUUGCAGUCGCGCAUCUAGUGGUGGUGGUGGCCGGGCCUACGGUGGCCGGAGACGACGACGGCGAGCUCCAAGGCGGCGGCCGGAGUUCGGCCAUGUGCGGGGUGUGGGCUGUGGCGUGCAAACGUGGAAACUGAGGCACUAGCGAGGCACUACGCGAUGCGGCAAGCACGUUGCGUAGCACGGGAUGACCAAAUGGUCGCCGGAGCGGCGCCGGCGACAAGCUCGAGCGGAGACGAGCUUCGGCCAUGGUGGCACUAUGGCCUAGAGGGUGCAAACGCGUGGAAAAGAAGAGGGGAAAGGUGGCGGAGCUCACAGGCAGGUCGAUGAGCAGCUCAGUGGGCUCGGGGGCGACCGGAGUGAGGCGAAUCGAUGAGCGGCGUCCGGCGGGUACCGAGGUUGAAGACAAUCCGAUGGCGGCGAUGCAGGGCCUCCGGCGAUGCGUGGCUCGGUGGGGAGGGCGGGGGCGUCACGGCGCAGCUUCUGGACAGGUCAGAGAGGCGAGGGGGUGACGGAGGGCGCGACUACGGCGGUGAGACGGCGAUUAGAAAGAAAGAUUUGGUUCACUCGUACGUGAAAAAAGGAACAAGCGCUUGAUGCCUUCCUUUGCAUCGAUGCCAGACGCGGUGCUGGGAAUCGACAAGAUAACCGCCAAUCUACCAGGAUUAAAUUCCUAGCGCCUCCUUCUAGCGCCUCCCACUGAAAAUGCCCUAACGAUUUUUGAGGGAUUUUUUUACUGUGUCCUACUUCACGAAUCACGAGGCAAAUCAAGUAGGCGGCAUGGCCUGGCCGGUGAGUGCCAUUGCACUUACUUGCCCCAGCAAUUUUCCGCGUGCAUUGUAGAAUUCUUUCUCCGAGUCCUGUGAAUUAAAGAUGGUGCAGACAAAAGUAUAUCCUGUAUGCGUACAUGUGCAUGAUCAGAACAUGUUUUUACGUGCGUCUACUAUAAAUCAUGACCAUUUUUAACACAAAUCAUGACCAUUCAUGAUUAGUGAAUCAUACUGUCUUAACUUAUGUGAAAUCAUGUGGAGUAAUAUAAUAUAAUAUAAUAGAUAGAUAGAUCCAUGUUGUAUUAUUUUUUGUUUACAAAAAAUAUCUGUCAUUACACAUUUUGAUUUAUGCAUUUGUUUACAAAAAAAACAGUAACAUUUCAUGGUGGAAAGUUUGUAUUGUUUCAUACUGAACACCAAUGUUUUCCUGUAAAAGAAAAUAAUGCCUACGCAUAUGCUUUUAUAUUAUUAUUAUUCUUUCAAACUUAUUCAUACAGUAUUUUUGAUUGUGCAACCAUAAUUUUUAUUGUCUCUCUCGUUCCACUACAUGCUCUUACUCAAUGAUUUUUUUUAUAACGGGUGUUUUUAUUAACUCAAAAUAUAGUAUCAAGCGGAUACAAAACAUAAUGAGCCACACCUGGUCUCUGCAUAACUAAGAUGCAUACAGCUAAAAGCAGAUGUCUGACAAAAAUAAGAUAAGAAAAUCGACAUAUCGACAACAGUGAGUCAUAUAGUUCCGACACUAUGCCUCUGUUGAAGGACGGGGUGGAGCGAUCUGAAGAUUAUGCUGCCCUCCAUGUUGAGUAAAUACCUCCCUGGCCACUUGUUCCAACCGCAUAGACGCCGCCACGAAUAAUGGUCGGUACUCUGUUCGGUGUAGCAUACACCAUGUAGGAAGUGAGUGCUCACUUCUAGUUACUAAAUUAUGUACACACUAAUAGAAAAAGGGCCAUUUGUCCCGGUUCGUAAGGCCCAUUUGUCCCAGUUGGGGAACCGGGACUAAAGGGUCGGUACUAAAGCCCUACACAUUUAGUCCCGGUUCUUACACCAUCCGAGACAGAUGGGGCUCCACGUGGCCGCUACAGCUUGCCGUGGCAGGGGGGCCUUUUGUCCCGGUUGGUAGCACCAACCGGGACCAAUAAGCUACCACGCGUCAGCAUUUGAGGGCUAGGUUUUUUGUUUUUUUUCNNNNNNNNNNNNNNNNNNNNNNNNNNNNNNNNNNNNNNNNNNNNNNNNNNNNNNNNNNNNNNNNNNNNNNNNNNNNNNNNNNNNNNNNNNNNNNNNNNNNNNNNNNNNNNNNNNNNNNNNNNNNNNNNNNNNNNNNNNNNNNNNNNNNNNNNNNNNNNNNNNNNNNNNNNNNNNNNNNNNNNNNNNNNNNNNNNNNNNNNNNNNNNNNNNNNNNNNNNNNNNNNNNNNNNNNNNNNNNNNNNNNNNNNNNNNNNNNNNNNNNNNNNNNNNNNNNNNNNNNNNNNNNNNNNNNNNNNNNNNNNNNNNNNNCAAAUGAAGUAAACCAUUAAGUACAGAAGUUCGUCAUGAACAUAUGCAUACAAACAUAAGUGAUAUCGACCUCUCCUUCUCCGACAGAUAGGUCGAACAACAAGUUUCCGUAUAUCUAUCCGGCGCUACUAGCUACAUAUAUACAAUAUUAAGAUCUCUUACAAUAUAAUCCCCUAAUUAUAAAUGAACUCAGCUUCGAGAUGGUAUUCUCCGGCUUUAUUGAUGACGUGGUCAAGAAAGAAUCCCUCCAAUUCCUCUUGAAUUGCUUUGAUGCGAUCUUGUGGUAGGAGUUCAUCCCGCAUCUGCCACAUCUAAUUUGAAGAAGGGGGUCAAUCACCAGUAGAAUAACAGCCAUUUGUCCUGGUUCAUAAGGUUAAUUUGUCCCGGUUGGGGAACCGAGACUAAAGGGUCGUUACUAAAGCCCUACACCUUUAGUCCUGGUUCUUACACCAACUGGGACAGAUGGGCCUCCAUGUGGCUGCUGCGGCGAGCCCAGGCCGGAGGUCCUUUGGUCCCGGUUAGUGGCACUGAUACGUCUCCAACGUAUCUAUAAUUUUUGAUUGCUCCAUGCUAUUAUGUUAUCUAUUUUGGAUGUUAAUGGGCUUUAUUUUACACCUUUAUAUCAUUUUUGGGACUAACCUACUAAUCGGAGGCCCAACCCAAAUUGCUGUUUUCUGCCUAUUUUAGGUUUUCGAAGAAAAGGAAUAUCAAACGGAGUCCAAACGGAAUGAAACCUUCGAGAACGUGAUUUUCUCAACGAACAUGAUUCAGGAGACUUGGAGUGUGCGCCAAGAAACAAGGGAGGAAGGCACGAGGCAGGGGGGGCGCGGCUACCCUCUUGGGCACGCCCUCCACCCUCGUGGGCCCUCCGCUGCUCCACCGACGUACUUCUUCCUCCUAUAUAUAUCCACGUACCCCCAAACAUCCAGGAGCACCACGAAAACCUAAUUCCACCGCUGCAACCUUCUGUACCCAAGAGAACCCAUCUUGGGGCCUUUUCUGGAGGUCCACCGGAGGGGGCAUCGAUCAGGGAGGGCCUCUACAUCAACUCCAUGGCCUCUCCGGUAAUGUGUGAGUAGUUUACUUCAGACCUACGGGUCUAUAGUUAUUAGCUAGAUGGCUUCUUCUUCUCUCUUUGGAUCUCAAUAAAAAGUUCUCCUCGAUUUUCUUGGAGAUCUAUUCGAUGUAACCUUCUUUUGCAGUGUGUUUGUCGAGAUCCGAUGAAUUGUGGGUUUAUGAUCCAGAUUAUCUAUGAACAAUAUUUGAUUCUCCUAUGAAUUCUAUUAUGUAUGACUGGUUUAUCUUUGCAAGUCUCUUCGAAUUAUCAGUUCGGUUUGGCCUACUAGAUUGAUUUCUUGCAAUGGGAGAAGUGCUUAGCUUUGGGUUCAAUCUUGUGGUGUUUGAUCCCAGUGACAGAAAGGGAACCAAUACGUAUUGUAUUGUUGCCAUCGAGGAUAAAAAGAUGGGGUUUAUAUCAUAUCGCAUGAGUUUAUCCCUCUACAUCAUGUCAUCUUCCUUAAAGCAUUACUAUGUUCUCUUGAACUUAAUACUCUAGAUGCAUGCUAGAUAGCGGUCCAUGUGUCGAGUAAUAGUAGUAGAUGCAGAAUCGUUUCGGUCUACUUGUCUAGGACGUGAUGCCUAUAUACAUGAUCAUACCUAGAUAUUCUCAUAACUAUGCUCAAUUCUGUACAAUAUGGUGCACGGGGUUACAUCGGCCUGUAAAGACAUUUAUGCGAUGUGAGACAUCCGAAAAGCAACGAAAACGGGAGAUUAUACAUUUAUUGAAGAGGGCCGGUGUGACAGAUACCGUGAGGGCGUCGAGCUCAGCCAAAGACGACGGACAGCUGAGCACGGCCUGUGUCAGAGCCGGUGCGGGAGCAAGUGCAGGUGCAGGUGCUGGUGCAACGCUAGUCGAGCUGCUCCUGAAGAAGUCAACAAUGGGAAAGUCCGCUGCAUUUUUUCUGCAUUUUGCGUGCUCCAAUUGAAAAUGGCUGGAACCAAGACAGUAGACAUAUCUGCAACCACCUGUUUUCCAGCAGCUACCGCUGUCGCGACUGUCUCAGAUGAUUUCUUCUCAACCGCAAUCUCAACCUUCUUGUCGAUGUUUUAUUCGGUUAACCUCCAUCUUUCCUUUCUCUCCUCUGUGGUCUCACGGUAGUACUUCUUCCACGUGGCCCCGUCUCCGACACCGUGAACGCGUCCAUACGACGACCGAGUCUCCACCGGGAGUCCUUUCAAUAUGUUCAAUGCCCGGUUGAAUGGAGUGUCCCACUUGGGCCUUGCCAAUGCCUCAGACGGCGAGUCGCUUUCGGCCGCAAUCUUGUGCUGCUCUCUUUACAAAAGGAACACGGAUCAUUUACAAAUAUGACUAAACGUGCAGUCAAAUUGAUCAGAAACUAAAAUUACCGGCAGUCUCAUGAACUCCGUCGUGAUCGGGUCCGUCUUGAAAACCUUCUUGACUUAGUCCCAAUGGUGCCGUGCCUUGAGGACGUCAUCCUCCUACGGGAUGGUGAAGUCCGCCAAGGGGUCUGGGAUGCCAGAUUUUCGCAUUCCGUGUCCUCCUUGGCCCAUAUGGACCUCUUCCUGCCGUAACCACUGCUUCCGAGGUGGUGGCGCCCCAUGUUCCUUUGUGGAAGCCCCUUCAUGUACUUCGACUUUGUUUUGGCAGCUUCGGCCUCGCAAGCCGCCUUGAAUAUUUCAAAGUGCUCUCCCAUGAUUGUCAGAUUAUCCUUUACAAUCUCGGAGUAGGGUUGAUACGUCUCCAACGUAUCUAUUAUUUUUGAUUGCUCCAUGCUAUAUUAUCUCCUAUUUUGGACAAUAUUGGGCUUUAUAAUCGACUUUUAUAUUAUUUUUGGGACUAACCUAUUAACCGGAGGCCCAGCCUAGAAUUGUUGUCUUUUGCCUGUUUUAGGGUUUCGAAGAAAAGGAAUAUCAAACGGAGUCCAAACGGAAUGAAACCUUCGGGAACGUGAUUUUCUGAACGAACAAGACCCAGGAGACUUGGACCCUAUGUCAAGACACAAAAGAGGAGGACACGAGGUAGGGGGCGCACCUACCCCCCCCCCCCCCUCGAGGCACGCCCUCCACCCUCGUGGGGCCCCUGUUGCUCCACCGAUGUACUCCUUCCUCCUAUAUAUACCUACGUACCCCCAAACGAUCAGAUACAGAGCCAAAACCCUAAUUCCACUACCGCAACUUUCUGUAUCCACGUGAUCCCAUCUUGGGGCCUGUUCCGGAGCUCCGCCAGAGGGGGCAUCGAUCACGGUGGGCUUCUACAUCAACACCAUAGCCUCUCCGAUGAAGUGUGAGUAGUUCACCUCAGACGUACGGGUCCAUAGUUAUUACCUAGAUGGCUUCUUCUCUCUUUUUGGAUCUCAAUACAAUGUUCUCCCCCUCUCUUGUGGAGAACUAUUCGAUGUAAUCUUCUUUUUGCGGUGUGUUUAUUGAGACCGAUGAAUUGUGGGUUUAUGAUGAAGUCUAUCUAUGAAUAAUAUUUGAAUCUUCUCUGAAUUCUUUUAUGUAUGAUUGUUUAUCUUUGCAAGUCUCUUUGAAUUAUCAGUUUGGUUUGGCCUACUAGAUUGAUCUUUCUUACAAUGGGAGAAGUACUUAGCUUCGGGUUCAAUCUUGCGGUGUCCUUUCCCAAUGACAGUAGGGGCAGCAAGGCAUGUAUUGUAUUGUUGCCAUCGAGGACAACAAGAUGGGGUUUUCAUCAUAUUGCAUGAGUCUAUCCCUCUACAUCAUGUCAUCUUGCUUAAGGCGUUACUCUGUUUUUAACUUAAUACUCUAGAUGCAUGCUGGAUAGCGGUCGAUGAGUGGAGUAAUAGUAGUAGAUGCAGGGAGGAGUCGGUCUACUUGUCUCAAACGUGAUGCCUAUAUACAUGAUCAUACCUAGAUAUUCUCAUAACUAUGCUCAAUUCUGUCAAUUGCUCAACAGUAAUUUGUUCACCCACCAUAGAAUAAUUAUGCUCUUGAGAGAAGCCACUAGUGAAACCUAUGGCCCCUGGGUCUAUCUUUAUCAUAUUAAUCUCCUAUUACUUAGUUAUUUCCUUUGCUUUUUCCUUUGCCUUUAUUUUACUUUUCAUCUUUAUCACAAAAAUACCAAACAUAUUAUCUUUAUCAUACCUAUCAGAUCUCACUCUCGUAAGUGGCUGUGUAGGGAUUGACAACCCCUAUUCGCGUUGGUUGCGAGGAUUUAUUUCUUUUGUGCAAGUACGAGGGACUCGCGCGUAGCCUCCUACUGGAUUGAUACCUUGGUUCUCAAAAACUGAGGGAAAUACUUACGCUACUUUGCUGCAUCAUCCCUUCCUCUUCGGGGAAAACCAACGUAGUUCUCAAGAGCUGGCAAGAUGGAUUUCUGGCGCCGUUGCCGCGGAGGUCUACGCAAAAGUCAACAUACCAAGUACCCAUCACAUACCCUUAUCUCCCUCAUUACAUUAUUUGCCAUUUGCUUCUCGUUUUCCUCUUCCCCACUUCACCCUUGCCUUUUUAUUCGCCCUCUCUCUCUAUCCUCCCUCUCUUUCUCUAUUUGCCUCUUUUUCCCUACUUGCUUUCUGUUUGCUUGUGUGUUAGUUGCUUGCUUGUCACGAUGGCUCAAGAUAAUACUAAAUUACGUGACUUCACCAAUACCAACAACAAUGAUUUUAUUAGCACUCCGAUUUCUCCUCUUACCGAUGCUGAAUCUUGAGAAAUUAAUACUGCUUUGCUGAAUCUUGUCAUGAAAGAUCUGUUUUCCUGCCUUCCUAGUGAAGAUGCCGCUACCCACAUAAAUAGAUUCGUUGAUUUGUGUGACAUGCAAAAGAAGAAAGGUGUGGAUAAUGAUAUUGUUAAAUUGAAGCUAUUUCCUUUUUCGCUUAGAGAUCGUGCUAAAGCUUGGUUUUCGUCUUUGCCUAAAAAUAGUAUUGAUUCAUGGAAUAAGUGCAAAGAUGCUUUUAUCUCUAAGUAUUUUCCUCCUGCUAAGAUCAUCUCUCUUAGAAAUGAUAUUAUGAAUUUUAAGCAACUUGAUCAUGAACAUGUUGCACAAGCUUGGGAGAGAAUGAAACUAAUGAUACGUAAUUGACCUGCCCAUGGUUUAAAUUUGUGGAUGAUUAUACCAAAUUUUUAUGCCGGAUUGAACUUUGCUUCUAGAAAUCUUUUAGAUUAGGCCGCAGGAGGCACUAUUAUGGAAAUCACUUUAGGAGAAGCUACUAAACUCCUAGAUAAUAUUAUGGUUAAUUAUUCUCAACGGCAUACCGAAAGUUCUACUAAUAAAAAGGUGCAUGCGAUAGAAGAAAUUAAUGUUUUGAGUGGAAAGAUGGAUGAACUUCUGAAAUUAUUUGCUAAUAAGAGUAUUUCUUCUGAUCCUAAUGAUAUGCCCUUGUCUACUUUGAUUGAGAAUAAUAAUGAAUCUAUGGAUGUGGAUUUUGUUGGUAGGAACAAUUUUGGUAACAACGCGUAUAGAGGAAAUUUCAACCCUAGGCCUUAUCCUAGUAAUCUCUCUAAUAAUUAUGGUAAUUCCUACAGCAAUUCUUAUGGAAAUUAUAAUAAGAUGCAUACUGAUUUUGAAUCUAAUAUUAGAGAAUUUAUUACUUUGCAAAAGAAUUUCAAUGCUUUGAUUGAAGAAAAAUUGCUUAAGAUUGAUGAUUUGGCUAGGAACAUUGAUAGAAUUACUCUUGAUGUUGAUUCUUUGAAACUUAGAUCUAUUCCACCUAAGCAUGAUGUCAAUGAGUCUCUCAAAGCCAUGAGAAUUUCCAUUGAUGAGUGCAAAGAAAGAACCACUAGGAUGCGUGCUAAGAAAGAUGCCUUUAUAAGAGCGUGUUCUUCUAGUUCCUAUGAAAAUAAUGAUGAAGAUCAAAAAGUUAUUGAUGUGCUCCCUAUUAAAUCUUUGUUUUGCAAUACGAAUCUUGAUAAUCAUGGGACUGAAUAUGAUCCACCUUUACCUAGAAGGCGUUCCAAGAAUUCAGAAUUUGUUGAUCUUGAUGGUAAAACUGAUAAAGGUGGGAUUGAAGAAAUUAAAACCCUAGAUGUUGCUAAACCCACUAUUAUGGAUUUCAAGGAACUUAACUAUCAAAACUGCCCUUUGAUUGAUUGUAUAUCCUUGUUACAAUCCGUGCUAAAUUCUCCUCAUGCUUAUAGUCAAAAUAAAGCAUUUACUAAACAUAUCGUUGAUGCCUUGAUGCAAUCUUAUGAAGAAAAACUUGAAUUGGAAGUUUCUAUCCCUAUAAAGCUUUAUGAUGAGUGGGAACCAACUAUUAAAAUUAAAAUUAAAUAUCAUGAAUGCUAUGCUUUAUGUGAUUUUGUGUGCUAGUGUUUCCACGAUUCCAAAGACUUUGUGUGAUUUGUUAGGUUUCCAUGAUUUUGAUGAUUGCUCUUUAAACUUGCACCUUGCGGAUUCCACUAUUAAGAAACCUAUGGGAAGAAUUAAUGAUGUUCUUAUUGUUGCAAAUAGCAAUUAUGUUCCCGUAGAUUUUAUUGUUCUUGACAUAGAUUGCAAUCUUUCAUGUCCUAUUAUUCUUGGUAGACCUUUCCUUAGAACGACUGGUGCAAUUAUUGAUAUGAAGGAAGGAAAUAUUAGAUUCCAAUUUCCAUUAAGGAAAGGCAUGGAACACUUUCCUAGAAAGUAAAUUAAAUUACCUUAUGAAUCUAUUAUGAUAGCCACUUAUGGAUUGCCUACCAAAGAUGGCAAUACCUAGAUCUAUCCUUGCUUGUUAUGCCUAGCUAGGGGCGUUAAACGAUAGCGCUUGUAGGGAGGCAACCCAAUUUUAUUUUUACUCCUUGAUUUUUGCUCCUGUUUAGUAAUAAAUAAUUUAUAUAGCCUCUGUUUUGCUUGUGUUCUUUGUGUUUAAUUAGUGUUUGUGCCAAGUAGAACCGUUAGGAAGACUUGGGGAAAGUCAUGUUACACUUGCUGUAAAAAACUGAAACUUCAGCGCUCACGAGAACUGCUGCCGUUUUUAUUUGGAAAGUGCUAUUUAGUUAAUUAUUUUUUCAGAUAAAUUCCUCACAUCCAGAAAUUUAUUUUAGAAUUUUUGGGGUUCCAGCUCUUGAGCUAGCUACAGAGUACUACCGACUGUUCUGUUUUUGAAAGAUUCUGUUUUUCGUGUGUUGUUUGCUUAUUUUGAUGAAGCUAUGGCUAGUAAAAUAUUUUAUAAACCAUAGAGAAGUUGGAAUACAGUAGGUAUAACACCAAUAUAAAUAAAUAAUGAGUUCAUUACAGUACCUUGAAGUGGUCUUUUAUUUUCUUUCGCUAACGGAGCUCAUGAGAUAUUCUACUUUAAGUUUUGUGUUGUGAAGUUUUCAAGUUUUGGGUAAAGAUUUGAUGCAUUAUGGAACAAGGAGUGACAAGAGCCUAAGCUUGGGGAUGCCCAUGGCACCCCCAAGAUAAUCUAAGUACACCUAAAAGCCAAAGCUUGGGGAUGCGCCGGAAGUCAUCCCCUCUUUCAUCUACUUCUAUCGGUAACUUUACUUGGAGCUAUAUUUUUAUUCGCCACAUGAUAUGUGUUUUGCUUGGAGCGUCUUGUAUUAUUUGAGUCUUUAUUUGUUAGUUUACCACAAUCAUCCUUGCUGUACACACCUUUUGAGAGAGUCAUACAUGACUUGGAAUUUGUUAGAAUACACUAUGUGUUUCGCUUAUAUCUUUUGAGUUAUAUAGUUUUGCUCUAGUACUUCACUUCUAUCGUUUAGAGCACGGUGGUGGAUUUGUUUUAUAGAAACUAUUGAUCUCUCAUGCUUCACUUAGAUUAUUUUGAGAUUCUUAAUAGCAUGUUAAUUUGCUUAAAAUCCUAAUAUGCUAGGUAUUCAAAGUUAGUAAAAUUUUCUUAAGAGUGUUUUGAAUACUAAGAGAAGUUUGAUGCUUGAUGAUUGUUUUGAGAUAUGGAGGUAAUAAUAUCAAAGUCAUUCUACUUGAGUAGUUGUGAAAUUGAGAAAUACUAGUGUUGAAGUUUGCAUGUCCCGUAGCACGCACGUAUGGUAAACGUUGUGUAACAAAUUUGAAACAUGAGGUGUUAUUUGAUUGUCUUCCUUGUGAGUGGCGGUCGGGGACAAGCUAUGGUCUUUUCCUACCAAUCUAUCCCCCUAGGAGCAUGCGCGUAGUACCAAGGUUUUUGAUGACUUGUAGAUUUUUGCAGUAAGUAUGUGAGUUCUUUAUGACCAAUGUUGAGUCCUUGAAUUAUACGCACUCUCACCCUUCCAUCCUUGCUAGCCUCUUCGGUACCGUGCAUUGCCCUUUCCCACAUUGAGAGUUGGAGCAAACUUCGCCAGUGCAUCCAAACCCCGUGAUAUGAUACGCUCUUUAACACAUAAACCUCCUUAUAUCUUCCUCAAAAUAGCCACCAUACCUACCUAGUAUGGCAUUUCCAUAGCCAUUCCGACAUAUAUUGCCAUGCAACUUUCCACCAUUCCGUUCAUCAUGACACAUUCAUCAUUGUCAUAUUGCUUAGCAUAAUCAUGUUGUUGACAUAGUAUUUGUGGCAAGGCCACCGUUCAUAAUUCUUUCAUACAUGUCACUCUUGGUCCAUUGCAUGUCCCGGUACACCGCCGGAGGCAUUCAUAUAGAGUCCUACUUUGUUCUAGUAUCGAGUAGUAAUUAUUGAUUCGUAAAUAAAUAGAAGUGUGAUGAUCAUCAUUAAUAGAGCAUGGUCCCAAAAAGAAAAAAAGGAAGUGCCAAAAAAGGCCAAAUAAAAAAAUAUAAAAAAGGGGGGCAAUGCUACUAUCCUUUUUUUCCACACUUGUGCUUCAAAGUAGCACCGUAAUCUUCAAGAUAGAGAGUCUCUUGAUUUGUCACUUUCAUAUACUAGUGGGAAUUUUUCAUUAUAGAACUUGGCUUGUAUAUUCCAAUAAUGGGCCUCCUCAAGUGCCCUAGGUCUUCGUGAGCAAGCAAGUUGGAUGCACACCCACUUAGUUUCUUUUGUUGAGCUCUCAUACAUUUAUAGCUCUAGUGCAUCCGUUGCAUGGCAAUCCCUACUCAUUGCAUUAACAUCAAUUAAUGGGCAUCUCCAUAGCCCAUUGAUUAGCCUCGUUGAUGUGAGACUUUCUCCUUUUUGUCUUCUCCACAUAACCCCACUCAUUAUAUUCUAUUCCACCCAUAGUGUUAUGUCCAUGGCUUGCAAUCAUAUAUUGCAUGAAAGUUUAUAGGUUUGAGAUCACUAAAGUAUGAAACAAUUGCUUGGCUUGUCAUCGGGGUUGUGCAUGAUGAGAGCAUUCUUGUGUGACGAAAAUGAAGCAUGACUAAACUAUAUGAUUUUGUAGGGCUGAACUUUCUUUGGCCGUGUUAUUUUGAGAAGACAUAAUUGCUCAGUUAGUAUGCUUGAAGUAUUAUAAUUUUAUGUCAAUAUGAACUUUUGUCUUGAAUGUUUCAGAUCUGAAUAUUCAUACCACAAUUAAAAAGAAUUACAUUAAAAUCAUGCCAUGUAGCACUCCGCAUCAAAAAUUCUGUUUUUAUCAUUUACCUACUCGAGGACGAGCAGGAAUUAAGCUUGGUGAUGCUUGAUACGUCUCCAACGUAUCUAUAAUUUUUGAUUGCUCCAUGUAUAUUAUCUAUUGUUUUGGACAAUAUUGGGCUUUAUUAUCCACUUUUAUAUUAUUUUUGGGACUAACCUAUUAACCGGAGGCCCAGCCCAGAAUUGUUGUUUUUUGCCUGUUUUAGGGUUUCGAAGAAAAGGAAUAUCAAACGGAGUCCAAACGGAAUGAAACCUUCGGGAACGUGAUUUUCUCAACGAACAAGACCUAGGAGACUUGGACCCUCCAUCAAGACAUAAAAGAGGAGGCCACGAGGUAGGGGGCGUGCCUACCCCCCCCCCCCCCGGCGCGCCCUCCACCCUCGUGGGCCCCCCUGUUGCUCCACCGACGUACUCCUUCCUCCUAUAUAUACCUACUAUUGGGGAACGUAGCAGAAUUUUAAAAUUUUCUAUGCAAGAUCAAUCUAUGGAGUCAUCUAGCAACGAGGGAGAGAGGAGUGCAUCUACAUACCCUUGUAGAUCGCGCGCGGAAGCGUUCAAGAGAACGGGGUUGAUGGAGUCGUACUCGUCGUGAUCCAAAUCACCGAUGACCAAGUGCCGAACGGAUAGCACCUCCGCGUUCAACACACGUACGGUUGGGAAGACGUCUCCUCCUUCUUGAUCCAGCAAGGGGGAAGGAGAGGUUGAUGAAGAUCCAGCAGCACGAUGGCAUGGUGGUGGAUGCAGCAGGAUCCCGGCAGGGCUUCGCCAAGUGCAAGCGGGGAGGAGAGGUGUUACGGAAGGAGAGGGAGGCGCCAAGAGAAAGGGUGCGGCUACCCUCCCUCCCCCCCUCUUUAUAUAGGGGCCUUGGGGGGCGCCGGCCCUAGGAGAUGGAUCUCCAAGGGGGGCGAAGGCCAAGGGGUGGCUUCCCCCCCAAGCCAAGUGGGGGGCGCCCCCACCCCUAGGGUUUCCCAACCCUAGGUGCAGGGGAGGCCCAAGGGGGGCGCACCAGCCCACUAGGGGCUGGUUCUGCUCCCAAUUCAGCCCAUGGGGCCCUCCGGGAUGGGUGGCCCCACCCGGUGGACCCCCGGGACCCUUCCGGUGGUCCUGGUACUAUACCGGUGACCCCCGAAACCUUUCCGAUGGCCGAAACUGUACUUCCUAUAUAUAAAUCUUUACCUCCGGACCAUUCCGGAACUCCUCGUGAUGUCCGGGAUCUCCUCCGGGACUCCGAACAUAUCCUGGGUUACUACAUACUAAUAUCUCUACAACCCUAGCGUCACCGAACCUUAAGUGUGUAGACCCUACGGGUUCGGGAGACAUGCAGACAUGACCGAGACGCCUCUCCGGUCAAUAACCAACAGCGGGAUCUGGAUACCCAUGUUGGCUUCCACAUGCUCCAUGAUGAUCUCAUCGGAUGAACCACGAUGUCGAGGAUUCAAUCAAUCUGUAUACAAUUCCCUCUGUCAAUCGGUAGGUUACUUGCCCGAGACUCGAUCGUCGGUAUCCCAAUACCUCGUUCAAUCUCGUUACCAGCAAGUCACUUUACUCGUGCCGUAAUGCAUGAUCCCAUGAUCAACCACUUGGUCACAAUGAGCUCAUUAUGAUGAUGCAUUACCGAGUGGGCCCAGAGAUACCUCUCCGUCAUACGGAGUGACAAAUCCCAGUCUCGAUUCGUGCCAACCCAACAGACACUUUCAGAGAUACCUGUAAUGUUCCUUUAUAGUCACCCAGUUACGUUGUGACAUUUGGCACACCCAAGGCACUCCUACGGUAUCCGGGAGUUGCCCAAUCUCAUGGUCUAAGGAAAUGAUACUUGACAUUCGGAAAAGCUACAGCAAACGAACUACACGAUCUUUGAGCUAUGCUUAGGAUUGGGUCUUGUCCAUCACAUCAUUCUCCUAAUGAUGUGAACCCGUUAUCAAUAACAUCCAAUGUCCAUAGUCAGGAAACCAUGACUAUCUUUUGAUCAACGAGCUAGUCAACUAGAGGCUCACUAGGGACGUGUUGUCUUCUAUGUAUUCACACAUGUAUUACGAUUUCCGGAUAACACAAUUAUAGCAUGAACAAUAGACAAUUAUCAUGAACAAAGAAAUAUAAUAAUAACCAUUUUAUUAUUGCCUCUAGGGCAUAUUUCCAACAGUCUCCCACUUGCACUAGAGUCAAUGUCUAGUUACAUUGUGAUGAAUCGAACACCCUUGAAGUUCUGGAGUUGAUCAUAUUUUUCUCUAGGGAGAGGUUUAGUCAAUGGAUCUGCCACAUUCAGGUCCGUAUGUACUUUACAAAUCUCUAUGUCUCCAUUUUGAACAACUUCACGAAUGGAGUUGAAGUGACGCUUGAUAUGCCUGGUCUUCCUGUGAAACCUGGGCUCCUUGGCAAGUGCAAUAGCUCCAGUGUUGUCACAGAAUAGAGUCAUCGGGCACGGUGCAUUGGGUAUGACUCCUAGGUCGGUAAUGAACUCCUUCACCCAGACUGCUUCUUGUCCUGCCUCCGAGGCUACCAUGUACUCCGCUUCACAUGUAGAUCCCGCCACAACGCUUUGCUUGCAACUCCACCAGCUUAUUGCCCCACCAUUCAAAAUAUACACGUAUCCGGUUUCCGACUUAGAGUCAUCCAGAUCUGUGUCGAAGCUAGCAUCGACGUAACCCUUUACGACGAGCUCUUCGUCACCUACAUAAACGAGAAACAUAUCCUUACUCCUUUUUAGGUACUUGAGGAUAUUCUUGACCGCUGUCCAUGUUAGGGAACGUUGUAAUUUCAAAAAAAUUCCUACGCACACGCAAGAUCAUGGUGAUGCAUAGCAACGAGGGGAGAGUCUGAUCUACGUACCCUUGUAGAUCGCAACGGAAGCGUUGACACAACGUAGGGGAAGUAGUCGUACGUCUUCUUCCCGAUCCGACCGAUCCAAGCACCAUUACUCCGGCACCUCCGAGUUCUUAGCACACGUUCAGCUCGAUGACGAUCCUCGGGCUCCGAUCCAGCAAAGUGUCGAGGAAGAGUUCCGUCAGCACGACGGCGUGGCGACAAUCUUAAUGUACUACCGACGCAGGGCUUCGCCUAAGCACUACAACAGUAUGAUCGAGGUGGAAUUUGGUGGCAGGGGGCACCGAACACGGCUAAGGAACGAUCUCAAUGAUCAACUUGUGUGUCUAGAGGUGCCCCCUGCCCCCGUAUAUAAAGGUUGCCAGGGGGUGGGCUGGCCGGCCAAAGGAGGAGGGCGCAGGAGGAGUCCUACUCCUACCGGGAGUAGGACUCCCCCCCCCAAUCCUAUUCCUAAUAGGACUCCUCGAGAGAGAGAGAGGGAGAAGGGGGCCGGCCACCUCUCCUAGUCCUAAUAGGACUAGGGGAGGGGGGAGGCGCGCAGCCCACCUUGGGCUGCCCCUUUCGCCUUUCCACUAAGGCCCAAUAAGGCCCAUUUGGUUCCCGGGGGGUUCCGGUAACCUCCCUAUACUCCGGUAAAAUUCCCGAUUUCACCCGGAACACUUCCGAUGUCCAAACAUAGGCUUCCAAUAUAUCAAUCUUUAUGUCUCGACCAUUUCGAGACUCCUCGUCAUGUCCGUGAUCACAUCCGGGACUCCGAACAACCUUCGGUACAUCAAAAUGCAUAAACUCAUAAUAACUGUCAUCGUAACGUUAAGCGUGCGGACCCUACGGUUCGAGAACAAUGUAGACAUGACCGAGACACGUCUCCGGUCAAUAACCAAUAGCGGGACCUGGAUGCCCAUAUUUGCUCCUACAUAUUCUACAAAGAUCUUUAUCGGUCAGACCGCAUAACAACAUACGUUGUUCCCUUUGUCAUCGGUAUGUUACUUGCCCGAGAUUCGAUCGUCGGUAUCCAAUACCUAGUUCAAUCUCGUUACUGGCAAGUCUAUUUACUCGUUCCGUAAUACAUCAUCUCACAACUAACAUCUUAGUUAUAAUGCUUGCAAGGCUUCUGUGAUGUGUCUUACCGAGAGGGCCCAGAGAUACCUCUCCGACAAUCGGAGUGACAAACCCUAAUCUCGAAAUACGCCAACCCAACAUCUACCAUUGGAGACACCUGUAGUACUCCUCUAUAAUCACCCAGUUAUGUUGUGACGUUUGGUAGUACCCUAAGUGUUCCUCCGGCAAACGGGAGUUGCAUAAUCUCAUAGUCAUAGGAACAUGUAUAAGUCAUGAAGAAAGCAAUAGCAACAUACUAAACGAUUGGGUGCUAAGCUAAUGAAAUGGGUCAUGUCAAUCAGAUCAUUCAACUAAUGAUGUGACCUCGUUAAUCAAAUAACAACUCUUUGUUCAUGGUUAGGAAACGUAACCAUCUUUGAUUAACGAGCUAGUCAAGUAAAGGCAUACUAGUGACACUCUGUUUGUCUAUGUAUUCACACAUGUAUUAUGUUUCCGGUUAAUACAAUUCUAGCAUGAAUAAUAAACAUUUAUCAUGAUAUAAGGAAAUAAAUAAUAACUUUAUUAUUGCCUCUAGGGCAUAUUUCCUUCAGUCUCCCACUUGCACUAGAGUCAAUUAUCUAGAUUACACAGUAAUGAUUCUAACACCCAUGGAGCCUUGGUGCUGAUCAUGUUUUGCUCAUGGAAGAUGCUUAGUCAACGGGUCUGCAACAUACAGAUCCGUAUGUAUCUUGCAAAUCUCUAUGUCUCCCACCUGGACUAGAUCCCGGAUGGAGUUGAAGCGUCUCUUGAUGUGUUUGGUCCUUUUGUGUAAUCUGGAUUCCUUUGCUAAAGCAAUUGCACCAGUAUUGUCACAAAAGAUUUUCAUUGGACCCGAUGCACUAGGUAUGACACCUAGAUCGGAUAUGAACUCCUUCAUCCAGACUCCUUCGUUCGCUGCUUCCGAAGCAGCUAUGUACUCCGCUUCACAUGUAGAUCCCGCUACGACGCUUGUUUAGAACUGCACCAAUUGACAGCUCCACCGUUUAAAGUAAACACCUAUCCGAUUUGCAAUUUAGAAUCGUCCGGAUCAGUGUCAAAGCUUGCAUCAACGUAACCUCUUACGGUGAGCUCUUUGUCACCUCCAUAUACGAGAAACAUAUCCUUAGUCCUUUUCAGGUACUUCAGGAUGUUCUUGACCGUUGUCCAGUGAUCCACUCCUGGAUUACUUUGGUACCUCCCUGCUAAACUUAUAGCAAGGCACACAUCAGGUCUGGUACACAGCAUUGCAUACAUGAUAGAGCCUAUGGCUGAAGCAUAGGGAACAUCUUUCAUUUUCUCUCUAUCUUCUGCAGUGGUCGGGCAUUGAGUCUGACUCAACUUCACACCUUGUAACACAGGCAAGAACCCUUUCUUUGCUUGAUCCAUUUUGAACUAAUUCAAAAUCUUGUCAAGGUAUGUGCUUUGUGAAAGUCCAAUUAAGCGUCUUGAUCUAUCUCUAUAGAUCUUUAUGCCUAAUAUGUAAGCGGCUUCCCCGAGGUCUUUCAUCGAAAAACUUUUAUUCAAGUAUCCCUUUAUGCUAUCCAGAAAUUCUAUAUCAUUUCCAAUCAGCAAUAUGUCAUCCACAUAUAAUAUCAGAAAUGCUACAGAGCUCCCACUCACUUUCUUGUAAAUACAGGCUUCUCCAAAAGUCUGUAUAAAGCCAAAUGCUUUGAUCACACUAUCAAAGCGUUUAUUCAAACUCCGAGAGGCUUGCACCAGUCCAUAAAUGGAUCGCUGGAGCUUGCACACUUUGUUAGCUCCCUUUGGAUCGAUAAAACCUUCUGGUUGCAUCAUAUACAACUCUUCUUCCAGAAAUCCAUUCAGGAAUGCAGUUUUGACAUCCAUCUGCCAAAUUUCAUAAUCAUAAAAUGCGGCAAUUGCUAACAUGAUUCUGACAGACUUAAGCAUCGCUACGGGUGAGAAGGUCUCAUCGUAGUCAACCCCUUGAACUUGUCGAAAAACUUUUGCGACAAGUCGAGCUUUAUAGACAGUAAUAUUACCGUCAGCGUCAGUCUUUUUCUUGAAGAUCCAUUUAUUCUCAUUUGCUUGCCGAUCAUCAGGCAAGUCAACCAAAGUCCAUACUUUGUUCUCAUAUAUGGAUCCCAUCUCAGAUUUCAUGGCUUCAAGCCACUUUGCGGAAUCUGGGCUCACCAUCGCUUCUUCAUAGUUCGUAGGUUCAUCAUGAUCUAGUAGCAUGACUUCCAGAAUUGGAUUACCGUACCACUCUAGUGCGGAUCUCACUCUGGUUGAUCUAUGUGGUUCAGUAGUAUCUUGUCCUAAAGUUUCAUGAUCAUCAUCAUUAGCUUCCUCACUAAUUGGUAUAGGUGUCGCAGAAACAGUUUUCUGUGAUGUACUAUUUUCCAAUAAGGGAGCAGGUACAGUUACCUCGUCAAGUUCUACUUUCCUCCCACUCACUUCUUUCGAGAGAAACUCCUUCUCUAGAAAUGAUCCAUUCUUAGCAACGAAUGUCUUGCCUUCGGAUCUGUGAUAGAAGGUGUACCCAACAGUCUCCUUUGGGUAUCCUAUGAAGACACAUUUCUCCGCUUUGGGUUCGAGCUUAUCAGGUUGAAGCUUUUUCACAUAAGCAUCGCAGCCCCAAACUUUAAGAAACGACAACUUUGGUUUCUUGCCAACACUACAGGAAUCGGCUACUUUGCCAUGUGCCACGGCGGACGGCAAAGGCCCGAACGGCGGACGGCAAAGGCCUUUGCCGUCAGCGGCGGACGGCAAAAGGCUCCGGCAAAGUAGGCUUCGGUAAACAGGUUCUUUGCCGUCUACUAUUGACGGCAAAGUCUUUGCCGUCUGCGGCGGACGGCAAAGAGAGAGCAGCAGACGGCAAAGACGGCGGACGGCAAUAAUUGCGCUGUCAGUCCGUUAAGUGGCUAACGGAAGGCCUUUGCCGUCCGCCGCUGACGGCAAAAUUUCUAGGGUCUUUGCCGUCCGCCGUAUGAUGUCAUCUACACGUCACUACGUGGCAGGUUCUUUGCCGUCUGCCACUGACGGCAAAGUCUUUGCUGUCUGCCACUGUAGGCAAACUGACCAAAUGGGUCAGCUCCCAGGAAGCACAGGUGGACGCCACGUGGCUUCUUUGCCAUCCGCGGCAGACGGCAAAGAGCCCGUUGCCGUCGGUGGUAGACGGCAAAGAGCCUGCAUAUUGGCUCUUUUUUCUGUUUUUUCAUAUACCCAACCAUUUUCACAGCAAAUAGAUGAUACAUAUAUAUUUUUCACAUGGCAAGUUCACAGCAAACAUAUGAGAUAUCCAACACAUAUAAUUGCAUCAUACAUGCAUAGUUCCAUCAACCAUACAUAGCAAGUUCGACAUACAUGCAUCCAACCAUACAUAUUACAAUAGUGUCAUCCUACCAUACAUGCAUAGUUCAUAGAUACAAAGGAAACAUAGUUCAUCCAAACAAGCACUCCAUCUAUGCAAGCUUCCGUGAAGUGAAUGAAUUCUGCAAAAUGGGAAAUAAGAAAGUUAGAAGAAGAAGAUUGGAAGAAGAAGAAGUAGAAGAAGAAUAUAUAUAUAUAUAUGACAUUUAUGCGCUAAUUUAGGUGAAAUUGAUCAUUUGUGAGCUAACUUAGGUGAAAUGGAUCGUUUAUGAGCUAACCUAGGUGCAAUGGAUCGCUUAUGAGCAAACUUAAGUAAAAUGCAUCAUUUUAGAGGUAACCUAGGUAAGAUGGAUCAUUUUGGAGCUAACCUAGGUAAAAUGGGUCAUUUUAGAGCUAACUUCGGUAGAAUGGAUCAUUUAUGAGCUAGGUAAGGUUAAAUGGAUCAUUUUAGAACUAACUUAGGUAAAAUGGAUCGUUUAUGAGCUAACUUAGGUAAAAUGGAUCGUUUUUGAGCUAACUAAGGUGAAAUGAAUCGUUUUUGAGCUAACUAAGGUGAAGGGCAUCAUUUUUGAGCUAACUAAGGUGAAAUGGAUCGUUUUUGAGCUAACUAAGGUGAAAUGAAUCGUUUUUGAGCUAACUAAGGUAAAAUGGAUCGUUUUUGAGCUAACUUAGGUGAAAUGGAUCGUUUUUGAGCAAACUUAGGUGAAAUGGNNNNNNNNNNNNNNNNNNNNNNNNNNNNNNNNNNNNNNNNNNNNNNNNNNNNNNNNNNNNNNNNNNNNNNNNNNNNNNNNNNNNNNNNNNNNNNNNNNNNNNNNNNNNNNNNNNNNNNNNNNNNNNNNNNNNNNNNNNNNNNNNNNNNNNNNNNNNNNNNNNNNNNNNNNNNNNNNNNNNNNNNNNNNNNNNNNNNNNNNNNNNNNNNNNNNNNGGAUCGUUUUUGAGCUAACUAAGGUGAAAUGGAUCAUUUUUUAGCUAACUAAGGUGAAAUGGAUCGUUUUUGAGCAAACUUAGGUGAAAUGGAUCAUUUAAGAGCUAAUUUAGGUGAAAUGGAUUGUUUUUGAGCUAACUAAGGUGAAAUGGAUCGUUUUUGAGCAAACUUAGGUGAAAUGGAUCAUUUAAGAGCUAAUUUAGGUGAAAUGGAUCGUUUUUGAGCAAACUUAGGUGAAAUGGAUCAUUUAAGAGCUAAUUUAGGUGAAAUGGAUCGUUUUUAGCUAACUUAGGUGAAAUGGAUCGUUUAGGAGCUACUCUAGGUAAAUUGGGUCAUUUUAGAGCUAACUUGGAUAAACUAGAUCACUUAUAAGCUAACCUAGGUAAGAUGGGUCAUUUUGGAGCUAACUUAGGUAAAAUGGAUCGUCUAUGAGCUAACUAAGCUAAUUAUGCAAUUUUUGACAUAAGUAAGCUAAGUAUAGAUUGUUUUAGAGCUAACUUAGGUAAAAUGGAUGGUUUUGGAGGUCAGUAAGCUUAUUUAGUCAUUUUGGAGGAGAAGAAGCUAAGUCUACGUCAUUAUGGUAAGCAUUGGAGGAAAUAAAGCUAAGUCUAGGUCUUUAUGCAUGUGUUAAGCAAAACACUAGAUAAACUUACCAAGAUCCAGGAGGUGUAGGAGUGGGGUGGCUCGUGUCGGUAGCUGGAGAAGGAUCGUGCGAUGCUUGUCUGGAGUUACGCUGCACCAAAGAUCAUUUCCAAUGUCUUGUUAGCAUGAUGACACUCAAAUGUUAAGACUAGUAAGUAAUGUCCAUUCAAAUAAAACUCACCGUGGUCCCAGGAGCAAUCACUGGCAUCGGCGGAGCGGUCUGACCUGUCUUCUCGCACACAGACUGCACAUUUGGUUUUGACGACUCAGUCAUACUAGUUAGUAAUGAGACAAACACUACAUGAAUGUUUUGGCUAAUCUGCAGAUGAAACUUACCACAAGGAGCUCGUACAUGGCCCUUGCCUGCAUGUCAUUCCGUGCCCUCUCCUCCUCCACCAUCUUUGUCGUCCUCUCCUCCAACUCCCGCUGCCUCUCCGCCGCCUCCGCCAGAAGUUUCUCCGUUCUAUCUCUCUCACUCUGUAUGGCAGCCUGCAACACCACUCACAUGACAAUUUGUAAUCAUUGAUGGAAGCGCACACAAUGUAAUGGAGAAAGAUAACUGAGUAUGUAUCACUAACCUUGAUGGCGACUUGCACUGGCCGUUCACGAGGCCUUAUCUUAGGAGCGGAGCUCGACUGGCGCGCCUUGAUCUCCGAGAGAGUGCUAGGACAACGGAUAAGUCCAUCUCCAAUGGCUAUGGAGCCAUGGGACCUCCCGUCACCAGAUAUCAUCAACAGCUCUGGAUCAAUGGGACCCUGGCUCGGGUUAAAGUCCUCCCCUUUCCUCGCCUUCCCCUCAUCUCUAUAUCUCACGAGCUUGUUGUGGGAGGAGAUGUUGGUGAAGUUGUUUGCAUCAUCGAGGUCAGACUGAGAGAAAGCCUUGACUUUCUUGAAAGAGGCAGUGUGGGCCAUGGCAUACAGGUCGUACACCUCUGGCACCUUAUCCGCCUUAUUAUAGCAUGCCUGAAAGAGAGAAACAAUGAAAAUUAGUAAUUAAAGGGCUCAAGCUAGCAUGAUGAAUGAAUUGCAUGAAUCAUGAAGCAAACCACAUACCCAGUUGCGCCCGAACUGAUAUAAGUUGGAGCUGCCUUGAUGGUGUGGCACACCUUCCAUUUUUGCACGUUUGUCCUUGGCCUCCUUGUGGGGGGCUAGCCAUCGUUGUGAGCACCACUCAUCGACCAACACCUCCCAACAAUCCAUCCGAUCCGCACACCAUCUCGGAGGCGCCUAAGUUAGCAAAUAGAAACUUGAGCGCUACGGCUAAGAAUUACUAAAUGAAGGAACUUAAGUAGAGAAGGCCUUGAGAAUUACCUUCAUGUAAUGCUCCUUACUCAGGAACUUAUCGCAGCAUGCCGGCUUGGUCUUCUUGAUACCACGCAAGGCGUAGUAGUCUCGAACAGCCUGCACCCGAGCCUCGUGCCGUAAGUUCUGGAGUAGGCGCUUGCAGACGUUCUCGAUAACAUGUGCCGCGUCCUCCUCGUAUCCCUCCUCACACCUGUAGAAUGUCUGCAAUCAAAUGAGACAAUGUUGAUUAGUACAAUUAAUAACUAGCUAGUUGAAGAUUUUUAAAUGUGUAAAGGAGAAAUUACCCAGAACUUUCUGAUCACCAUGUCUGCCCUCGUGUCACACACGACACCGUCGAUAAUCUCAUUUGGCAGGGCCGGGGCAGCCACGUAGUGCUCCCAGCUCAAUCCAAGCUCUGGAAGCCGACCCUCACCAGGCAACGUGACAAACCCCGGGAAGUUUUGCCGGCAAAGAACUCCAAGGACGGAGUUGGGCCGGCGGACACUAUGAUGGUGGUCCCAACCCCUGCAGCAUGACAAGGCCAACGCAUUAGUUAUUUGAAAAAAUGUGAAUGCACAAGGUACAAAAAUAUUAAAUGCACUUACGUACCUCUCCCCAUCAGGGAAAAUCAACCACCUCUGCUCGCGGGUCACCGGCACGGACGGGAGCCGUGUAGCACCACGCUGGUAGACGGUGCCCCCCUCCUCCUCAAGAUCAGUCGGCUCCCCGCCAUCAUCAGCAUGACCACUCGGCUCCUUGGGCUGAUCCGGCCAGGUACCCCAUCCGGACGUGUGCUCCUCCGGGGUCAUGUGGGCCGAACUCUCGUGGGCUGAAGACCCGUGGACCGGAGGCUCAUGGACCGGAGUUCGUGUAGCCUCCUCCUCGGACGAGUCCACCCUAGCAGUCACGUGCUUGGGUGAAACGGUUGGGGGUGGCGGCGAGGAAGGCACCGUAGCAGUCACCCUACCUCCUCUCCCAGGACCACGUGCCCCACCUCCUCUCUUCCUACCUCGUCCCCUGCUGGGCACCAUGGUCGACGAAGAAGGGCCCGGCGGUGUGGCCAUACUGUCCAGCAACGCUCGGCGGAGAGGUGCGUCUGGAAUGGAAGACCUCAGACCACGCUCCCGACCAGUGCCCACCAUCUUUCAACACCUGCCAUGACAAACAGUAAAUGAAAUUAGUACAACAUAAAAAAGGACCGACAUGAAUAAUAAUAUGUGUAUCACUUAAGUGUAUCAUCAUCAAGUACAACAUAAAAAAAUGUAAUACCGGACACUACUAAUAAUCUCGAUCAGUAUCAUCAAUAAAUGCAUAAUCAUCAUCAUCACUAUAAUCAAUGACGGGCUCAUAGGGUUCAUUGGCAUCAACAUGUGCAAGGCCACCUUGACGUAAUCGGUCAAGCAUUGACAGGUCAUCCGCAGCAGUAACCUCUUCUUGUUCCGGCUCUUCUUGUUCCUCCUCUGGGGUGAUGUCGGAUUCAUUGUCGCUGUCUACUUCAAUGUUUUGGGGUGAAGUAUAGCGGUUCUUGAAACGCUUUUUGGAAAGACGUGUCUCUUGGAAGAAUUCUCCUUCAUAUGUGUCUGGGUUAAUGUGAGGUUCAUAAUCCUCUUCCUUUGCGGGAGAAAGUCUAGCACGUGGCGGCACUUCAUAAACGACAUCCCAACCUUUCAGAUUUGGAUUAGUUUGGCAGGCCCACGGUAGAUAGAAUACUUGGGUCGCCUGUUGAGCCAUAAUAUAGACAUCAAGAACAUCUAAACGAGUGCUUUGGUUGAUUUCAACUAGCCCUACAUGUUCAUGAGUCCUUCUAGUCUCGUUUGGCUGAAACCAAUAACAUUUGAAGACUACGACAUUUUGUGGGUUUUCACCAUAGAACAGAAGUUCAUAAAUUGCUUCAACUCUCCCAUAAUACUCGGUACCUCCUUUGCCGAUAGCAGAUACACAACAAUUUGUUGACUUUGGGUCCGCCAUAGAUAGCUCUUUGCCAUAGGUACGAAAGCGAUACCCGUUGAUGUCGUACUUGUCAAAUGAACGGACCUUAUAGUCAAAACCAUUAGCGACUUGUCUCAAUUCGGCGUCCAUAGAGUCUGGAUUAGCCUACAGGUUUAAUAUGAAAGGAUUGUUGCAUUAUGCACAAAUUAGCGAAUGAAAUGAAAUUGUCUAAUAGAAAUUACCGUUUGUUUGAACCAAGAGAUGAAACCGGGAUAGCCACCUCCUUGCUUUGCGAGAAGCUCAUACUCUUCGACAGAAUCCUUUUGGAUCUCCGCUCCAUACGAGAAUAUGGUGACGUAUCGACUGUAUGACAUAUCCAGGAAUAAGAGUAGUUCAAAGGAAAUAGAAGUUGCGAAACAAUGUAUCGAGAACUUACUCGAUGUACGGCCGCACUUCUAUCAGGUUGUUGAAGAUAUACAAUGAAAUGGUCCGCCAUUCUUUGUUAUCCAAAGAUACUGGAUGUGAAACACCAGCUGGUGCGAGAUUCCCUUUGAAUAGGCUGAGGUUGGAUCCACCCUUUUUAGGCUCGUCAGCAUUGUACCGAGGCUUCGGAUUAUGCAAAUGACGAUUUUUGGCUUCGUAGUGCGCUGUUACGAAGUUUGCCACCUCCUCUGUGAUGAAUGCCUCAGCCAUCGAUGCUUCAAUUCUACGUUUAUUUUUACAUUUUUCUCGAAGCGUGUUCUGCAUCCUCUCAGUUGGGUAGCACCAACGAUUUUGCACGGGCCCCCCCAAUCUUGCCUCGGUCGGGAGAUGCAAAAUCAAAUGCUGCAUUGGAUUAAAGAAGCCCGGUGGAAAGAUUUUCUCUAACUUGUAGAUCAACUCCGGCGCCAACUCUUCCAUUUCUUCUAGCACGCCAGGAGAUAGUUAUUUCGCACAAAGAACACGGAAGAAAUAGCUGAGUUCUGCCAGUACUAGCCAUUCAUCCUCAGGGAUGAAGCCACGCAACAUCACCGGCAUUACCCGCUCAAUCCAUAUUUGCUCCCCUCUUUAGAUUCGCUGCAUACCCAUCGGGGAACAUCAACUGCUGUUGCACCCACAAGAGAAUUUCCCUCAUAGCUGGCCUUCCAAGAUUGAACCAUGCCUUUGGCUUCGUCUAGUUCUGCUUUCCUUUCGGUUCUUUCAUGUUUUGUAACGGCCUAUCACAUAGCGCCUCCAGAUCGACUCUAGCCUUAGUAUUAUCCUUUGACUUCCCAUCCAUGCCGAACAAUGUACCAAAAAGUGCCUCGGUGAUAUUCUUCUCAGUGUGCAUCACGUCGAUGUUGUGUGGGCAAAGGAGGUCUUUGAAGUAAGGCAGAUCCCAUAAGCAUGUUUUGUGAGUCCACGCAUGCUUAGUAUUAUACCCCUUGAAGUACCCUGGACAUUGUGGAUCUGGCUCGAGAGCGUUUAACUGAUCCAGGGUCUGUUGGCCUGUCAAUGCAGGUGGUGCAGAGUUUUUGACAACUCUACCCCUGAUGAAGUUCUUCUUGUCUUCCCUGAACUUAUGGCGAGGAUCCAGGAACUGUCUAUGCAUGUCGAAGCAAGAAAACUUGCGACCGGCCUGAAGCCAACGAAACUCAAGAGCUCCCUGGCAUGUGGGGCACGGGAACCUUCCAUGCACACACCAGCCAAUGAAUAGCGCAUACGCCGGCAAGUCAUGCGUCGAGUACAUGUACUAGACACGCAUUAUGAAGUUCCGUUUGCUAAAGGCAUCGUAUGUCUUGAACCCAUUAUCCCAAGCUUCUUGCAAUUCGUCCUUAAGCGGCUGCAUGUACACAUUCAUAUUUUUGCCCGGAUAGUUGGGUCCUGGAAAUAUCAACGUUAGGAAAAUGUUCUUUCUUUGCAUAAUCUGUGCGGGGGGGAGAUUGAGUGGAAAGACAAAUACGGGCCAACAACUGUAUUGGGCUGCCAUCAUACCAAACACACUGAACCCAUCCGUGCUGAUGCCGACUCGAGAAUGCCUCGGAUCUGCCGCUUUGUCAGCAUGUAAUUCAUCAAACUUUUUCCACGCAACACCAUCCGAUGUGUGUACCAUCAUCAGAUUCCCAUCUGCAUCUAGUGCGGUUCUUUUGCCUGUUUUGUGCCAUGUCAUCUGUCUGGCCGUCUCUUUGACCAUGAAAAGACGUUGAAGUCUUGGUACAAUUGGCAUAUACCGAAGAACACUAACGGGGAUUUUGGUCUGUGUCUUCUCACCCAUACCGUUGUCUACCACAAUAUACCUGGAAGACUUGCAAAUGGGACAAUAGUUCAAGUCCGCAUAGUCAAGCCUAAAUAAGGCACAUCCUUUCUCACAGGCAUGUAUCUUCUCAUAGGGCAUCUUCAGUGCAUGGAGGAUUUUGUCCGACUGGUACAGGUUUGCAGGCAUUACAUGUCCUUUGGGUAGAAAGCGUCCAAAUACUGUCAUAAUUGCGUCAUAGCAUUCUCUACCCAAGUUGAACUGAGCCUUCAGAGCCAUUACUUGUGAGAUGGCAUCCAACUGACAAAGCUCAGUGUGCUCGCGGAGCGGACGUUUCGAAGACUCCAACAUUUCAUUGAAGGCCUUUGCAGAUUCCUCCAUCUCCUCGUCCGAAUCCCGAGCAUCAUCAUAGUCUUGCACCAUGUUUUCCAUCCCGGUACCAUGCUCGUCGGUGCGACGACGAUCCACCUCAGCUCGGUCACGUUGGGCAGACUCACCAUGAAAUGUCCAGACCGUAUAAUCGGGCGUAAAACCACUCUUCUGCAGGUGUUUGCCCAUUUCAGCCUCUCUCUUCUUUUCCCAAUUGCCGCACCGGAAAUAGGGGCACCAGGUUUUCUUUUGGCCAUUUGCAAAUGCGGCUUGCACAAACCCCUUAGUUUUUGUGAACCAUUCAGCGCUCCAUUUGUUCUGACCAGUGUGACCGGUAUACAUCCAAGCACGGUCACUCAUCUUGACUUUCAGAGCUACUGGACACACAACAAUUAUAUAUGUAAUUCACCAUGUAUAUAUUCAUCAGUUGAUCUACUGUGUCAAUUUUAUUACGUCCAUGCAACCUACACUCUAAUAGGUAAUGAUAGGUCCUAAUCCCACCCGUGUAUGUGUAGAUUGGGUUCAUUUUCCCAUGCUAUGCUCCGGAUCCGACGCAAAAUUUCGGCAGCACCUCCCCGUUAUUCUCCUGAUACACGUCUCUGCAAUAAACAGAGAGGAUGUGUACCCGGAGAACAACAGGGGAGGCACUGACGAAAUAUAUGCGUCGGAUCCGGAGCAAAGCAUAUGGGAAAACGAACCCAAUCUACACAUACUCGGGCUGUCCAUGGAUAGCGUUGGACAAUUCGAAAGAAUCAAGGUUAUAAAUAUGCAAAUGCAUGCAUAUUUAUAAAUAUGACGCUUUCGAAUGGGAGACACAUAUUGGUUACGCAUACUGAUGAUUCAAGACACAUAUAUAGCUAGCUAUCAAGUUUCAUCGGAAUAGAUCAAAUAAUUAAUGGGGGAGGAGGACUUGUCAUUUGUGCUCACCCACGAACGAAGGGCAGAGCUCGUCAAACGCACGGCGAGGUCGUCGAACACCAAACCUCGCAGCGAUGAAACAACUGCACAUUUAAAACUACACGAUCAACACAAUUAUAUAUGAUGUUUUUCAUAACUAAAUCGAAAAAUAUAUAACCUAACUAAUAAUUCACAAAUAUAUGACCCCGUCGGCCUCUGGAAGGCCGAAGAACACCUUAAUUUUCGGGAGGUGUCGGUGGUCGGGGUGCCCUGUCGGUGUCGGGGUGCCGUGUCGGGGUCGGGGUCUCGGGGUCGGGGUGUCGGGUCGGGGUGCCNNNNNNNNNNNNNNNNNNNNNNNNNNNNNNNNNNNNNNNNNNNNNNNNNNNNNNNNNNNNNNNNNNNNNNNNNNNNNNNNNNNNNNNNNNNNNNNNNNNNNNNNNNNNNNNNNNNNNNNNNNNNNNNNNNNNNNNNNNNNNNNNNNNNNNNNNNNNNNNNNNNNNNNNNNNNNNNNNNNNNNNNNNNNNNNNNNNNNNNNNNNNNNNNNNNNNNNNNNNNNNNNNNNNNNNNNNNNNNNNNNNNNNNNNNNNNNNNNNNNNNNNNNNNNNNNNNNNNNNNNNNNNNNNNNNNNNNNNNNNNNNNNNNNNNNNNNNNNNNNNNNNNNNNNNNNNNNNNNNNNNNNNNNNNNNNNNNNNNNNNNNNNNNNNNNNNNNNNNNNNNNNNNNNNNNNNNNNNNNNNNNNNNNNNNNNNNNNNNNNNNNNNNNNNNNNNNNNNNNNNNNNNNNNNNNNNNNNNNNNNNNNNNNNNNNNNNNNNNNNNNNNNNNNNNNNNNNNNNNNNNNNNNNNNNNNNNNNNNNNNNNNNNNNNNNNNNNNNNNNNNNNNNNNNNNNNNNNNNNNNNNNNNNNNNNNNNNNNNNNNNNNNNNNNNNNNNNNNNNNNNNNNNNNNNNNNNNNNNNNNNNNNNNNNNNNNNNNNNNNNNNNNNNNNNNNNNNNNNNNNNNNNNNNNNNNNNNNNNNNNNNNNNNNNNNNNNNNNNNNNNNNNNNNNNNNNNNNNNNNNNNNNNNNNNNNNNNNNNNNNNNNNNNNNNNNNNNNNNNNNNNNNNNNNNNNNNNNNNNNNNNNNNNNNNNNNNNNNNNNNNNNNNNNNNNNNNNNNNNNNNNNNNNNNNNNNNNNNNNNNNNNNNNNNNNNNNNNNNNNNNNNNNNNNNNNNNNNNNNNNNNNNNNNNNNNNNNNNNNNNNNNNNNNNNNNNNNNNNNNNNNNNNNNNNNNNNNNNNNNNNNNNNNNNNNNNNNACUAAAUCUAAACCUAAAACAAAACUAAAACUAAACCUAAAACUAAAACUAAAACUAAAUCUAAACUAAAACUAAAAAGGAAAAAAACAGAAAAAAAAUAGAAAAAAGGAGGUUGGGGCUCACCUUCUGCAGCGCCGGUGGAGGAGGGGGCGGGGCGGUGGAGGAGCUGGCUGGGGCGCGGGGCGGCCUGGGGCGGCGCGGGGCCGGGCCCGAUGCGGUGGGGCGCGGGGCGGCGGUGCGUGCGGACCCUAUGGUUCGAGAACAAUGUAGACAUGACCGAGACACGUCUCCGGUCAAUAACCAAUAGCGGGACCUGGAUGCCCAUAUUGGCUCCUACAUAUUCUACGAAGAUCUUUAUCGGUCAGACCGCAUAAUAACAUACGUUGUUCCCUUUGUCAUCGGUAUGUUACUUGCCCGAGAUUCGAUUGUCGGUAUCCAAUACCUAGUUCAAUCUCGUUACUGGCAAGUCUCUUUACUCGUUCCAUAAUACAUCAUCUCACAACUAACAUCUUAGUUAUAAUGCUUGCAAGGCUUAUGUGAUGUGUCUUACCAAGAGGGCCCAGAGAUACCUCUCCGACAAUCGGAGUGACAAACCCUAAUCUCGAAAUACGCCAACCCAACAUCUACCAUUGGAGACACCUGUAGUACUCCUUUAUAAUCACCCAGUUACGUUGUGACGUUUGGUAGUACCCAAAGUGUUCCUCCGGCAAACGGGAGUUGCAUAAUCUCAUAGUCAUAGGAACAUGUAUAAGUCAUGAAGAAAGCAAUAGCAACAUACUAAACGAUCGGGGGCUAAGAUAAUGAAAUGGGUCAUGUCAAUCAGAUCAUUCAACUAAUGAUGUGACCUCGUAAAUCAAAUAACAACUCUUUGUUCAUGGUUAGGAAACAUAACCAUCUUUGAUUAACGAGCUAGUCAAGUAAAGGCAUACUAGUGACACUCUGUUUGUCUAUGUAUUCACACAUGUAUUAUGUUUCCGGUUAAUACAAUUCUAGCAUGAAUAAUAAACAUUUAUCAUGAUAUAAGGAAAUAAAUAAUAACUUUAUUAUUGCAUCUAGGGCAUAUUUCCUUCAGUCCAGUGUUCCAUGCCGGGAUUACUUUGGUACCUUCCUACCAAACUUACGGCAAGGUUUACAUCAGGUCUGGUACACAGCAUAGCAUACAAGAUAGACCCUAUGGCCGAGGCAUAGGGGACGACACUCAUAUUUUCUCUAUCUUCUACCGUGGUCGUGCAUUGAGCCGUGCUCAAUCUCGUACCUUGCAAUAUAGGCAAGAACCCCUUCUUUUACUGAUCCAUUUUGAACUUCUUCAAUAUCUUGUCAAGGUACGUACUCUGUGGAAGACCAAUGAGGCGUCUCGAUCUAUCUCUAUAGAUCUUGAUGCCUAAUAUAUAAGCAGCUUCUCCAAGAUCCUUCAUUGAAAAACACUUGUUCAAGUAGGCCUUUAUGCUUUCCCAGAAUUCUAUAUCAUUUCCCAUCAACAAUAUGUCAUCCACAUCCAAUAUGGGAAAUUCUACAAAGCUCCCACUCAGUUCUUGUAAAUGCAGGCUUCUCCAUAAGUCUGCGUAAACCCAAACGCUUUGAUCAUCUCAUCAAAAUGAAUGUUCCAACUCCGAGAUGCUUGCACCAGCCCAUAAAUCGAGCGUUGGAGCUUGUACACCUUGUCAGCAUUCUUAGGAUCGACAAAACCUUCUGGCUGCAUCAUAUACAAUUCUUCCUUAAGGAAACCAUCAAGGACUGUUGUUUUGACGUCCAUUUGCCAUAUCUCAUAAUCAUAGAAUGCGGCAAUUGCUAACAUGAUUCGGACGGACUUCAGCUUCGCUACGGGUGAGAAAGUCUCAUCAUAGUCAACCCCUUGUACUUGCCGAUAACCCUUAGCGACAAGCCGAGCUUUAUAGAUGGUCACAUUACCAUCCGCGUCUGUCUUCUUCUUAAAGAUCCAUUUAUUUUCUAUGGCUCGCCGACCAUCGGGCAAGUCAGUCAAAGUCCAUACUUUGUUUUCAUACAUGGAUCUUAUCUCGGAUUUCAUGGCUUCCAGCCAUUUCUCGGAAUCCGGGCCCGCCAUUGCUUCUUCAUAGUUCGAAGGUUCACCGUUGUCUAACAACAUGAUUUCCAAGACAGGGUUGCCGUACCACUCUGGUGCGGGACGUGUCCCCGUGGACCUACGAAGUUCAGUAGCAACUUGAUCUGAAGUUUCAUGAUCAUCAUCAUCAACUUCCUCUCUAGUCGGUGCAGGCACCUUAGGAACAUUUUCUUGAGCUGCGCCACUUACCGGUUCAAGAGGUAAUACUUCAUCAAGUUCUACUUUCCUCCCACUUAUUUCUUUCGAGAGAAACUCUUUCUCUAGAAAGGACCCAUUCUUGGCAACAAAGAUCUUGCCUUCGGAUCCGAGGUAGAAGGUAUACCCAAUAGUUUCUUUAGGGUAUCCUAUGAAGACGCAUUUUUCCGAUUUGGGUUCGAGCUUUUCAGGUUGAAGUUUCCUGACAUAAGCAUCGCAUCCCCAAAGUUUUAGAAAUGACAUCUUAGGUGUCUUCCCAAACCAUAAUUCAUACGGCGUCGUCUCAACGGAUUUCGACGUAGCCCUAUUUAAAGUGAAUGCGGCAGUCUCUAAAGCAUAGCCCCAAAAUGACAGCGGUAAAUCAGUAAGAGACAUCAUAGAUCAUACCAUAUCUAAUAGAGUGCGAUUAUGACGUUCGGACACACCAUUACGCUGAGGUGUUCCAGGCGGCGUGAGUUGUGAAACUAUUCCACAUUUUCUUAAGUGUGUGCCAAAUUCGUGACUCAAGUAUUCUCCCCCACGAUCUGAUCGCAAGAACUUGAUUUGCCUGUCAUGUUGAUUCUCAACCUCACUUUGAAAUUCCUUGAACUUUUCAAAGGUCUCAGACUUGUGUUUCAUUAAGUAGACAUACCCAUAUCUACUCAAGUCAUCAGUGAGGGUGAGAACAUAACGAUAGCCACCACGAGCCUCAACACUCAUUGGACCGCACACAUCAGUAUGUAUGAUUUCCAAUAAGUUGGUUGCUCGCUCCAUUGUUCUUGAGAAAGGAGUCUUGGUCAUUUUACCCAUGAGGCAUGGUUCGCACGUGUCAAAUGAUUCGUAAUCAAGAGACUUUAAAAGUCCAUCUGCAUGGAGCUUCUUCAUGCGUUUGACACCUAUGUGACCAAGGCGGCAAUGCCACAUGUGGGACUAUCAUUAUCAACCUUACAUCUUUUGCUAUUCACACUAUGAAUAUGUGUAACAUUAUGCUCGAGAUUCAUUAAGAAUAAACCAUUCACCAAUGGAGCAUGACCAUAAAACAUAUCUCUCAUAUAAAUAGAACAACCAUUAUUCUCGGAUUUAAAUGAGUAGCCAUCUCAAAUUAAACGAGAUCCUGAGACAAUGUUCAUGCUCAAAGCUGGCACUAAAUAACAAUUAUUGAGGUUUAAAACUAAUCCCGUAGGCAAAUGUAGAGGCAGCGUGCCGACGGCGAUCACAUCGACCUUGGAACCAUUCCCGACGCGAAUCGUCACCUCGUACUUCGCCAGUCUCCGUUUAUUCCGCAGCUCCCGCUUUGAGUUACAAAUGUGAGCAACUGCACCGGUAUCAAAUACCCAGGAGCUACUACGAGUACUGGUAAGGUACACAUCAAUUACAUGUAUAUCACAUAUACCUUUAGUGUUGCCGGCCUUCUUGUCCGCUAAGUAUUUGGGGCAGUUCUGCUUCCAGUGACCACUUCCCUUGCAAUAAAAACACUCAGUCUCGAGCUUGGGUCCAUUCUUUGGCUUCUUCCCGGCAACUUGCUUAGCGGGCGCGGCAACUCCCUUGCCGUCCUUCUUGAAUUCUUCUUACCCUUGCCUUUCUUGAACUUAGUGGUUUUAUUCACCAUCAACACUUGAUGUUCCUUUUUGAUUUCCACCUCUGCUGAUUUCAGCAUUGAAUAUACCUCAGGAAUGGUCUUUUCCGUCCCCUGCAUAUUGAAGUUGAUCACAAAGCUCUUGUAGCUUGGUGGAAGCGACUGAAUGAUUCUGUCAAUGACCGCGUCAUUCGGGAGAUUAACUCCCACCUGAGUCAAGCGGUUAUGCAACCCAGACAUUUUGAUUAUGUGCUCACUGACAGAUCUAUUUUCCUCCAUAUUACAGCUGAAGAACUUGUCGGAGACUUCAUAUCUCUCGACCCGGGCAUGAGCUUGAAAAACCAUUUUCAGCUCUUCGAACAACUCAUAUGCUCCGUGUCUCUCAAAAUGCUUUUGGAGCCCCGGUUCUAAGCUGUAAAGCAUGCCGCACUGAACGAGGGAGUAAUCAUCAGCACGUAACUGCCAAGCGUUCAUAAUGUCUUGGUUCUCUGGGACAGGUGUGUCACCUAACGGUGCUUCUAGGACAUAAUCUUUCUUGGCAGCUAUGAGGAUGAUCCUCAGGUUCUGGACCCAGUCCGUAUAGUUGCUGCCAUCGUCUUUCAGCUUGGUUUUCUCCAGGAACGCGUUGAAAUUGAGGACAACGUGGGCCAUUUGAUCUACAAGACAUAUUGUAAAGAUUUUAGACUAAGUUCAUGAUAAUUAAGUUCAUCUAAUCAAAUUAUACAAUGAACUCCCACUCAGAUAGACAUCCCUCCAGUCAUCUAAGUGAAACAUGAUCCGAGUUAACUAGGCUGUGUCGGAUCAUCACGUGAGACGGACUAGUCAACAUCGGUGAACAUCUUCAUGUUGAUCGUAUCUUCUAGACGACUCAUGCUCGACCUUUUAGUCUUCUAUGUUCCGAGGCCAUGUCUGUACAUGCUAGGCUCGUCAAGUAAACCUAAGUGUAUUGCGUGUGUAAGUCUGGCUUACACCCGUUGUAUUCGAACGUUAGAAUCUAUCACACUCGAUCAUCACGUGGUGCUUCGAAACAACGAACCUUCACAAUGGUGCACAGUUAGGGGGAACAGUUUCUUGAAAUUAUUUCGAGGGAUCAUCUUAUUGAAGCUACCGUCGUUCUAAGCAAAUAAGAUGUAAAACAUGAUAAACAUCACAUGCAAUCAAAUAGUGACAUGAUAUGGCCAAUAUCAUUUUCUCCUUUUGAUCUCCAUCUUCGGGGGUCCAUGAUCAUCAUUGUCACUGGCAUGACACCAUGAUCUCCAUCAUCAUGUCUUCUUGAAGUUGUCUCGUCAUCUAUUACUUCUACUACUAUGGCUAACGCUUUAGCAAUAAAGUAAAGUAAUUACAUGACGUUUAUGUUGACACGCAGGUCAUAAAAAAUAAAGACAACUCCUAUGGCUCCUGCCGGUUGUCAUACUCAUCGACAUGCAAGUCGUGAUUCCUAUUACAAGAACAUGAUCAAUCUCAUACAUCACAUAUAUCAUUCAUCACAUCCUUUUGGCCAUAUCACAUCACACGACACAUGCUGCAAAAACAAGUUAGACGUCCUCUAAUUGUUGUUGCAAGUUUAUACAUGGCUGCUAUAGGUUUCUAGCAAGAACGUCUCUUACCUAUGGCAAAACCACAACGUGAUAUGCCACUUUCUAUUUACCCUUCAUAAGGACCCUUUUCAUCGAAUCCGAUCUGACUAAAGUGGGAGAGACAGACACCCGCCAGCCACCUUAUGCAACUAGUGCAUGUCAAUCGGUGGAACCAGUCUCACAUAAGCGUACGUGUAAGGUCGGUCCGGGCCGCUUCAUCCCAUGAUGCCACCGAAUCAAGAUAAGACUAGUAACGGCAAGCAAAGUGACAAUAUCCACGCCCACAACUGCUUUGUGUUCUACUCGUGCAUAGAAACUACGCAUAGACCUAGCUCAUGAUGCCACUGUUGGGGAAUGUAGCAGAAUUUUAAAAUUUUCUAUGCAUCACCAAGAUCAAUCUAUGGAGUCAUCUAGCAAUGAGGGAGAGAGGAGUGCAUCUACAUACCCUUGUAGAUCGCGCGCGGAAGUGUUCAAGAGAACGGGGUUGAUGGAAUCGUACUCGUCGUGAUCCAAAUCACCGAUGACCAAGUGCCUAACGGACAGCACCUCCGCGUUCAACACACGUCCUUUUGGGAAGACGUCUCCUCCUUCUUGAUCCAGCAAGGGGGAAGGAGAGGUUGAUGAAGAUCCAGCAGCACCACGACGUGGUGGUGGAUGCAACAGGAUCCCGGCAGGGCUUCACCAAGCGGAAGCGGGGAGGAGAGGUGUUACGGAGGGAGAGAGAGGCGCCAAGAGCAAGGUUGCGGCUGCCCUCCCUCCCCCCCUCUUUAUAUAGGGGCCAUGGGGGGGCGCCGGCCCUAGGAGAUGGAUCUCCAAGGGGGGCGAAGGCCAAGGGGUGGCUCCCCCCCCCCCAAGCCAAGUGGGGGGCGCCCCCACCCCUAGGGUUUCCCAACCCUAGGCGCAGGGGAGGCCCAAGGGGGGCGGACCAGCCCACUAGCGGCUGGUUCCCCUCCCAAUUCAUCCCAUGGGGCCCUCCGGGAUGGGUGGCCCCACCCGGUGGACCCCCGGGACCCUUUCGGUGGUCCCGGUACAAUACUGGUGACCCCCGAAACCUUCCCGAUGGCCGAAACUGUACUUCCUAUAUAUAAAUCUUUACCUCCAGACCAUUCCGGAACUCCUCGUGACGCCCGGGAUCUCAUCCGGGACUCCGAACAACUUUCGGGUUACUAUAUACUAAUAUCUCUACAACCCUAGCGUCACUGAACCUUAAGUGUGUAGACCCUACGGGUUUCGGAGACAUGCAGACAUGACUGAGACGCCUCUCCAGUCAAUAACCAACAGCGGGAUCUGGAUACCCAUGUUGGCUCCCACAUGCUCCAUGAUGAUCUCAUCAGAUGAACCACGAUGUCGAGCAUUCAAUCAAUCUGUAUACAAUUCCCUUUGUCAAUCAGUACGUUACUUGCCCGAGACUCGAUCAUCGGUAUCCCAAUACCUUGUUCAAUCUUGUUACCGGCAAGUCACUUUACUCAUACCAUAAUGCAUGAUCCCGUCAUCAACCACUUGGUCACAUGAGCUCAUUAUGAUGAUGCAUUACCGAGUGGGCCCAGAGAUACCUCUCCAUCAUACGGAGUGACAAAUCCCAGUCUCGAUUCAUGCCAACCCAAUAGUCACUUUCAGAGAUACCUGUAAUGUAACUUUAUAGUCACCCAGUUACGUUGUGACGUUUGGCACACCCAAGGCACUCCUACGAUAUCUGGGAGUUUUGUUGGAAAUAUGCCCUAGAGGCAAUAAUAAAAGCAUUAUUAUUAUAUUUCCUUGUUCAUGAUAAUUGUCUUUAUUCAUGCUAUAAUUGUGUUAUCCGGAAAUCGUAAUACAUGUGUGAAUAACAGACACCAACAUGUCCCUAGUAAGCCUCUAGUUAACUAGCUCGUUGAUCAACAGAUAGUCAUGGUUUCCUGACUAUGGACAUUGGAUGUCAUUGAUAACGAGCUCACAUCAUUAGGAGAAUGAUGUGAUGGACAAGACCCAAUCAUAAACAUAGCAUAAAGAUCGUGUAGUUCGUUUGCUAGAGUUUUUCCAAUGUCAAGUAUACUUUCCUUAGACCAUGAGAUCGUGUAACUCCCGGAUACCGUAAGAGUGCUUUGGGUGUACCAAACAUCACAACGUAACUGGGUGACUAUAAAGGUAUACUACGGGUAUCUCCAAAAGUGUCUGUUGGGUUGACACGGAUCAAGACUGGGAUUUGUCACUCCGUAUGACGGAGAGGUAUCACUGGGCCCACUCAGUAAUGCAUCAUCAUAAUGAGCUCAAAGUGACCAAGUGUCUGGUCACGGGAUCAUGCAUUACGGUACGAGUAAAGUGACUUGCCGGUAACGAGAUUGAACGAGGUAUUGGGAUACCGACAAUCGAAUCUCGGGCAAGUAACAUACCGAUUGGCAAAGGGAAUUGUAUACGGGGUUGCCUGAAUCCUCGAUAUCGUGGUUCAUCCGAUGAGAUCAUCGUGGAGCAUGUGGGAGCCAACAUGGGUAUCCAGAUCCCGCUGUUGGUUAUUGACCGAAGAGUCGUCUCGGUCAUGUCUGUCUGUCUCCCGAACCCGUAGGGUCUACACACUUAAGGUUCGGUGAUGCUAGGGUUGUAGGAAUAUGUAUAUGCAGUAACCCGAAUGUUGUUCGGAGUCCCGGAUGAGAUCCCGGACGUCACGAGGAGUUCCGUAAUGGUCCGGAGGUAAAGAAUUAUAUAUGGGAAGUGCUAUUUCGGCCAUCGGGACAAGUUUUGGGGUCACCGGUAUUGUACCGGGACCACCGGAAGGGUCCCGGGGGUCCACCGGGUGGGGCCACCUAUCUCGGAGGGCCCCAUGGGCUGAAGUGGGAAGGGACCCAGCCCAAAGUGGGCUGGGGUGCCUCUCCCCUAGGGCCCAUGCGGCUAGGGUUUGGGGGAAACCCUAAAAGGGGGCGCCCCCUUGCUUGGGGGGCAAGCCCCCCACCCCUUGGCCGCCGCCCCCCCCUCCCCCUAGGAAAAUAGAUCUCCUAGGGCCGGCGCCCCCCCCCCUUGGCCCUCCUAUAUAUAGUGGGGGAGGGAGGGCUAUUCUCUCAUGCCUUUGGUUGCCUCCCUCUCCCUCUCCGACACCUCCUCCUCCUCCAUAGUGCUUGGCGAAGCCCUGACGGAGUUCUGCAGCUCCACCAUCACCACGCCGUCGGUCUGCUGCUGGAGCCAUCUUCCUCAACCUCUUCUUCCCUCUUGCUGGAUCAAGAAGAAGGAGACGUUACGCUAACCGUACGUGUGUUGAACGCGGAGGUGCCGUCCGUUCGGCGCUAGGAUCUCUGGUGAUUUGAAUCACGUCGUGUACGACUACUUCAUCCACGUUCUUUGAACGCUUCCGCUCGCGAUCUACAAAGGUAUGUAGAUGCAUCCGAUGACUCGUUGCUAGAUGAACUCAUAGAUAGAUCUUGGUGAAACCGUAGGAAAUUUUUUGUUUUCUGCAACGUUCCCCAACAGUGGUAUCAGAGCUAGGUCUAUGCGUAGUUCUUCUUGCGCGAGUAGAACACAAUUUGUUGUGGGCGUAGAUGUUGUCAACUUUCUUGCCGCUACUAGUCUUAUCUUGCUUCGACGGUAUUGUGGGAUGAAGCGGCCCGGACCAACCUUACACGUAUGCUCACGUGAGACAGGUUCCACCGACAAACAUGCACUAGUUGCAUAAGGUGGCUAGCGGGUGCCUGUCUCUCCUACUUUAGUUGGAGCGGAUUCGAUGAGAAGGGUCCUUAUGAAGGGUAAAUAGAAGUUGAAAAAUCACGUUGUGGCUUUCACGUAGGUUAGAAAACGUUCUUGCUAGAACCCUACUUCAGCCACGUAAAACUUGCAACAACAAUUAGAGGAUGUCUAACUUGUUUUUGCAGCAAGUGCUUUGUGAUAUGAUAUGGCCAAAGUUGUGAUGAAUAAUACAUAUGUGAUGUAUGAGAUGUUCGUGCUAUUGUAAUAGGAAUCACGACUUGCAUGUCGAUGAGUAUGACAACCGGCAGGAGCCAUAGGAGUUGUCUUUAUUCUUUUAUAUGACCUGCGUGUCAUUGAGAAACGCCAUGUAAAUUACUUUACUUUAUUGCUAAACACGUUAGCCUUAGUAGUAGAAGUAAUAGUUGGCGAGCAACUUCAUGGAGACACGAUGAUGGAGAUCAUGAUGAUGGAGAUCAUGGUGUCAUGCCGGUGACAAGAUGAUCAUGGAGCUCCAAGAUGGAGAUCAAAGGAGCUAUGUGAUAUUGGCCAUAUCAUGUCACUAUUAUUAUUUGAUUGCAUUUGAUGUUUAUCAUGUUUUGCAUCUUGUUUACUUAGAACGACGGUAGUGAAUAAGAUGAUCCCUCAUAAUAAUUUCAAGCAAGUGUUCCCCCUAACUGUGCACCGUUGCGACAGUUCAUUGCUUCAAUGCACCACGUGAUGAUCGGGUGUUUGAUUCAAACGUUCACAUACAACGGGUGUAAGACAGAUUUACACAUGCAAACACUUAGGUUGACUUGACGAGCCUAGCAUGUGUAUAGACAUGGCCUCGGAACACAGAAGACCAAAAGGUCGAGCAUGAGUCGUAUAGAAGAUACGAUCAACAUGAAGAUGUUCAUCGAUGUUGACUAGUCCGUCUCACGUGAUGAUCGGACACGGCCUAGUUGACUCGGAUCAUGUUAUACUUAGAUGACUAGAAGAGGGAUGUCUAUCUAAGUGGGAGUUCAUUCAAUAAUUUGAUUAGAUGAACUUAAUUAUCAUGAACUUAGUCUAAAAUCUUUGCAAUAUGUCUUGUAGAUCAAAUGGCCAACGUAGUCCUCAACUUCAACGCGUUCCUAGAGAAAACCAAACUGAAAGAUGAUGGCAGUAACUAUACGGAAUGGGUCUGGAACCUGAGGAUUAUCCUCAUAGCUGCCAAGAAAGAUUAUGUCCUACAAGCACCGCUAGGUGAAGCUCCCGUCCCAUGGAACCAAGAUGUUAUGAACGCUUGGCAGACACGUGCUGAUGACUACUCCCUCGUUCAGUGCGGCAUGCUUUACAGUUUAGAGCCGGGGCUCCAAAAGCGUUUUGAGAGACAUAGAGCAUAUGAGAUGUUCGAAGAGCUGAAAAUGGUGUUUCAAGCUCAUGCCCGGGUCGAGAGAUAUGAGGUCUCCGACAAAUUCUUCAGUUGUAAGAUGGAGGAAAAUAGUUCUGUCAGUGAGCACAUACUCACUAUGUCUGGGUUACAUAAUCGCUUGACUCAGCUGGGAGUUAAUCUCCUGGAUGAUGCGGUCAUUGACAGAAUCCUCCAGUCGCUUCCACCAAGCUACAAGAGCUUUGUGAUGAACUUCAAUAUGCAGGGGAUGGAAAAGACCAUUCCUGAGGUAUUUACAAUGCUGAAAUCAGCAGAGGUAGAAGUCAAGAAGGAACAUCAAGUGUUGAUGGUCAAUAAAACCACUAAGUUCAAGAAGGGCAAGGGUAAAAAGAACUUCAAGAAGGACGGCAAGGGAGUUGCCGCGCCCGGCAAGCAAGCUGCCGGGAAGAAGCCAAAGAAUGGUCCCAAGCCCGAGACUGAGUGCUUUUAUUAUAAGGGAAGCGGUCACUGGAAGCGGAACUGCCCCAAAUACUUAGCGGACAAGAAGGCCGGCAAAACAAAAGGUAUAUGUGAUAUACAUGUAAUUGAUGUGUACCUUACCAGUACCCGUAGUAGCUCCUGGGUAUUUGAUACUGGUGUAGUUGCUCACAUUUGUAACUCAAAGCAGGGGCUGCGGAAUAAGCGGAGACUGGCGAAGGACGAGGUGACGAUGCGCGUCGGGAAUGGUUCCAAGGUCAAUGUAAUCGCCGUCGGCACGUUACCUCUAUAUUUACCUUCGGGAUUAGUUGUAAACCUUAAUAAUUGUUAUUUAGUACCAGCUUUGAGCAUGAACAUUGUAUUGGGAUCUCGUUUAAUUCAAGAUGGCUACUCAUUUAAAUCCGAGAAUAAUGGUUGUUCUAUUUAUAUGAGAGAUAUGUUUUAUGGUCAUGCUCCUAUGGUGAAUGGUUUAUUCUUAAUGAAUCUCGAGCGUAAUGCUACACAUAUUCAUAGUGUGAGUACCAAAAGAUGUAAGGUUGAUAAUGAUAGUCCCACAUACUUGUGGCACUGCCGCCUUGGUCACAUAGGUGUCAAACGCAUGAAGAAGCUCCAUGCAGAUGGACUUUUAGAGUCUCUUGAUUAUGAAUCAUUUGACACGUGCGAACCAUGCCUCGUGGGUAAAAUGACCAAGACUCCGUUCUCAGGAACAAUGGAGCGAGCAACCAACUUAUUGGAAAUCAUACAUACUGAUGUGUGCGGUCCAAUGAGCGUUGAGGCUCGCGGUGGCUAUCGUUAUGUUCUCACCCUCACUGAUGACUUGAGUAGAUAUGGGUAUGUCUACUUAAUGAAACACAAGUCUGAAACCUUUGAAAAGUUCAAGGAAUUUCAGAGUGAGGUUGAGAAUCAACGUGACAGGAAAAUCAAGGUUCUACGAUCAGAUCAUGGAUGCGAAUACUUGAGUCACGAAUUUGGCACACACUUAAGAAAAUGUGGAAUAGUUUCACAACUCACGCCGCCUGGAACACCUCAGCGUAACGGUGUGUCCGAACGUCGUAAUCGCACUCUAUUAGAUAUGGUACGAUCUAUGAUGUCUCUUACCGAUUUACCACUAUCUUUUUGGGGCUAUGCUUUAGAGACUGCCGCAUUCACUUUAAAUAGGGCUCCGUCGAAAUCCGUUGAGACGACACCGUUUGAAUUAUGGUUUGGGAAGAAACCUAAGCUGUCGUUUCUAAAAGUUUGGGGAUGCGAUGCUUAUGUCAAGAAACUUCAACCUGAAAAGCUCGAACCCAAGUCGGAAAAAUGCGUCUUCAUAGGAUACCCUAAAGAAACUGUUGGGUAUACCUUCUACCUCAGAUCCGAAGGCAAGAUUUUUGUUGCCAGGAAUGGAUGCUUUCUAGAGAAGGAGUUUCUCUCGAAAGAAGUAAGUGGGAGGAAAGUAGAACUUGAUGAAGUGUUACCUCUUGAACCGGAAAAUGGCGCAACUCAAGAAAAUGUUCAUGAGGUGCCUGCACCGACUAGAGAGGAGGUUAAUGAUGAUGAUCAUGAAACUUCUGAUCAAGUUGCUACUGAACUUCGAAGGUCCAUAAGGACACGUUCCGCACCAGAGUGGUACGGCAACCCUGUCUUGGAAAUCAUGUUGUUAGGCAACGGUGAACCUUCGAACUAUGAAGAAGCGAUGGCGGGCCCGGAUUCCGACAAAUGGCUAGAAGCCAUGAAAUCCGAGAUAGGAUCCAUGUAUGAAAAUGAAGUAUGGACUUUGACUGACUUGCCCGUUGAACGGCGAGCCAUAGAAAAUAAAUGGAUCUUUAAGAAGAAGACAGACGCGGAUGGUAAUGUGACCAUCUAUAAAGCUCGGCUUGUCGCUAAGGGUUAUCGACAAGUUCAAGGGGUUGACUACGAUGAGACUUUCUCACCGGUAGCGAAGCUGAAGUCCGUCCGAAUCAUGUUAGCAUUUGCCGCAUUCUACGAUUAUGAGAUAUGGCAAAUGGAUGUCAAAACGGCAUUAAUUAAUGGUUUCCUUAAGGAAGAAUUGUAUAUGAUGCAGCCGGAAGGUUUUGUCGAUCCUAAGAAUGCUGACAAGGUGUGCAAGCUCCAACGCUCGAUUUAUGGGCUGGUGCAAGCAUCUCGGAGUUGGAACAUUCGCUUUGAUGAGAUGAUCAAAGUGUUUGGGUUUACUCAGACUUAUGGAGAGGCCUGCGUUUACAAGAAAGUGAGUGGGAGCUCUGUAGCAUUUCUCAUAUUAUAUGUAGAUGACAUACUUUUGAUGGGAAAUGAUAUAGAACUCUUGGACAGCAUCAAGGCCUACUUGAAUAAGAGUUUUUCAAUGAAGGACCUUGGAGAAGCUGCUUAUAUAUUAGGCAUCCAGAUCUAUAGAGAUAGAUCAAGAUGCCUCAUAGGUCUUUCACAAAGCACAUACCUUGAUAAGAUAUUGAAGAAGUUCAAUAUGGAUCAAUCUAAGAAGGGGUUCUUGCCUGUGUUACAAGGUAUGAAAUUGAGCUCAGCUCAAUGUCCGACCAUGGCAGAAGAUAUAGAAGAGAUGAGUGUCAUCCCCUAUGCCUCAGCCAUAGGUUCUAUUAUGUAUGCCAUGCUGUAUACCAGACCUGAUGUAAACCUUGCCGUAAGUUUGGUAGGAAGGUACCAAAGUAAUCCCGGCAAGGAACACUGGACAGCGGUCAAGAAUAUCCUGAAGUACCUAAAAAGGACUAAGGAAAUGUUUCUCGUUUAUGGAGGUGACGAAGAGCUCGUCGUAAAGGGUUACGUCAACGCUAGCUUCGACACAGAUCUGGAUGACUCUAAGUCACAAACCGGAUACGUGUAUAUUUUGAAUGGUGGGGCAGUAAGCUGGUGCAGUUGCAAGCAGAGCGUCGUGGCGGGAUCUACAUGUGAAGCGGAGUACAUGGCAGCCUCGGAGGCAGCACAUGAAGCAAUUUGGGUGAAGGAGUUCAUCACCGACCUAGGAGUCAUACCCAAUGCGUCGGGGCUGAUCAAGCUCUUCUUUGACAACACUGGAGCUAUUGCACUUGCCAAGGAGCCCAGGUUUCACAAGAAGACAAGGCACAUCAAGCGUCGCUUCAACUCCAUUCGUGAAAAUGUUCAAGAUGGAGACAUAGAUAUUUGUGAAGUACAUACGGACCUGAAUGUAGCAGAUCCGUUGACUAAACCUCUCCCUAGAGCAAAACAUGAUCAACACCAGAAUUCCAUGGGUGUUCGAUUCAUCACAAUGUAACUAGAUUAUUGACUCUAGUGCAAGUGGGAGACUGUUGGAAAUAUGCCCUAGAGGCAAUAAUAAAAGCAUUGUUAUUAUAUUUCCUUGUUCAUGAUAAUUGUCUUUAUUCAUGCUAUAAUUGUGUUAUCCGGAAAUCGUAAUACAUGUGUGAAUAACAGACACCAACAUGUCCCUAGUAAGCCUCUAGUUAACUAGUUCGUUGAUCAACAGAUAGUCAUGGUUUCUUGACUAUGGACAUUGGAUGUCAUUGAUAACGAGAUCACAUCAUUAGGAGAAUGAUGUGAUGGACAAGACCCAAUCAUAAACAUAGCAUAAAGAUCGUGUAGUUCGUUUGCUAGAGUUUUUCCAAUGUCAAGUAUCCUUUCCUUAGACCAUGAGAUCGUGUAACUCCCGGAUACCGUAAGAGUGCUUUGGGUGUACCAAACGUCACAACGUAACUGGGUGACUAUAAAGGUAUACUACGGGUAUCUCCGAAAGUGUCUGUUGGGUUGACACGGAUCUAGACUGGGAUUUGUCACUCCGUAUGACGGAGAGGUAUCACUGGGCCCACUCGGUAAUGCAUCAUCAUAAUGAGCUCAAAGUGACCAAGUGUCUGGUCACGGGAUCAUGCAUUACGGUACGAGUAAAGUGACUUGCCGGUAACGAGAUUGAAUGAGGUAUUGGGAUAACGACGAUCGAAUCUCGGGCAAGUAACAUAUCGAUUGGCAAAGGGAAUUGUAUACGGGGUUGCUUGAAUCCUCGACAUCGUGGUUCAUCCAAUGAGAUCAUCGUGGAGCAUGUGGGAGCCAACAUGGGUAUCCAGAUCCCGUUGUUGGUUAUUGACCGGAGAGUCGUCUCGGUUAUGUCUGCCUGUCUCCCGAACCCGUAGGGUCUACACACUUAAGGUUCAGUGACGCUAGGGUUGUAGGAAUAUGUAUAUGCAGUAACCCGAAUGUUGUUCGGAGUCCCGGAUGAGAUCCCGGACGUCACGAGGAGUUCCGGAAUGGUCCGGAGGUAAAGAAUUAUAUAUGGGAAGUGGUAUUUCGGCCAUCGGGACAAGUUUCGGGGUCACCGGUAUUGUACCGGGACCACCGGAAGGGUCCCGGGGGUCCACCGGGUGGGGCCACCUAUCCCGGAGGGCCCCUUGGGCUGAAGUGGGAAGGGACCCAGCCCAAAGUGGGCUGGGGCGCCUCUCCCCUAGGGCCCAUGCGGCUAGGGUUUGGGGGAAACCCUAAAAGGGGGCGCCCCCUUGCUUGGGGGGCAAGCCCCCCACCCCUUGGCCGCCGCCGCCCCCCCCCCCUAGGAGAAUAGAUCUCCUAGGGCCGGCGCCCCCCCCCUUGGCCCUCCUAUAUAUAGUGGGGGAGGGAGGGCUAUUCUCUCACGCCUUUGGUUGCCUCCCUCUCCCUCUCCAACACCUCCUCCUCCUCCAUAGUGCUUGGCGAAGCCCUGACGGAGUUCUGCAGCUCCACCAUCACCACGCCGUCGUGCUGCUGCUGGAGCCAUCUUCCUCAACCUCUUCUUCCCUCUUGCUGGAUCAAGAAGAAGGAGACGUUACGCUAACCGUACGUGUGUUGAACGCGGAGGUGCCGUCCGUUCGGCGCUAGGAUCUCCGGUGAUUUGAAUCACGUCGUGUACGACUACUUCAUCCACGUUCUUUGAACACUUCCGCUCGCGAUCUACAAAGGUAUGUAGAUGCAUCCGAUGACUCGUUGCUAGAUGAACUCAUAGAUAGAUCUUGGGGAAACUGUAGGAAAAUUUUCUGCAACGUUCCCCAACAAGUUUCACAAUCUCAUGGUCUAAGGAAAUGAUACUUGACAUUCGGAAAAGCUACAGCAGAUGAACUACACGACCUUUGAGCUAUGCUUAGGAUUGGGUCUUGUCCAUCACAUCAUUCUCCUAAUGAUGUGAUACCGUUAUGAAUGACAUCCAAUGUCCAUAGUCAGGAAACCAUGACUAUCUUUUGAUCAACAAGCUAGUCAACUAGAGGCUCACUAGGGACGUGUUGUGGUCUAUGUAUUCACACAUGUAUUACGAUUUCCGGAUAACACAAUUAUAGCAUGAACAAUAGACAAUUAUCAUGAACAAAGAAAUAUAAUAAUAACCAUUUUAUUAUUGCCUCUAGGGCAUAUUUCCAACACCUACGUACCCCCAAACGAUCAUAUACGGAGCCAAAACCCUAAUUCCACCGCCGCAACUUUCUGUAUCCACGAGAUCCCAUCUUGGGGCCUGUUCCGGAGCUCCGCCAGAGGGGGCAUCGAUCACGGAGGGCUUCUACAUCAACACCAUAGCCUCUCCGAUGAAGUGUGAGUAGUUCACCUCAGACCUACGGUUCCAUAGUUAUUAGCUAGAUGGCUUCUUCUCUCUUUUUGGAUCUCAAUACAAUGUUCUCCCCCUCUCUUGUGGAGAACUAUUCGAUGUAAUCUUCUUUUUGCGGUGUGUUUGUUGAGACCGAUGAAUUGUGGGUUUAUGAUCAAGUCUAUCUAUGAAUAAUAUUUGAAUCUUCUCUGAAUUCUUUUAUGUAUGAUAGGUUAUCUUUGAAAGUCUUUUCGAAUUAUCAGUUUGGUUUGGCCUACUAGAUUGAUCUUUCUUGCAAUGGGAGAAGUGCUUAGCUUUGGGUUCAAUCUUGCGGUGUCCUUUCCCAGUGACAGUAGGGGCAGCAUGGCACGUAUUAUAUUGUUGCCAUCGAGGACAACAAGAUGGAGUUUUCAUCAUAUUGCAUGAGUCUAUCCCUCUACAUCAUGUCAUCUUGCUUAAGGCCUUAAUCUGUUUUUAACUUAAUACUCUAGAUGCUUGCUGGAUAGCGGUCGAUUAGUGGAGUAAUAGUAGUAGAUGCAGGCAGGAGUCGGUCUACUUGUCUCGGACAUGAUGCCUAUAUAUAUGAUCAUACCUAGAUAUUCUCAAAACUAUGCUCAAUUCUGUCAAUUGCUCAACAAUAAUUUGUUCACCCACCGUAGAAUACUUAUGCUCUCGAGAGAAGCCACUAGUGAAACCUAUGGCCCCCGGGUCUAUCUUUAUCAUAUUAAUCUCCUACUACUUAGUUAUUUCCUUUGCUUUUUACUUUGCCUUUAUUUUACUUCGCAUCUUUAUCACAAAAAUACGAAAAAAAUUAUCUUUAUCAUAUCUAUCAAAUCUCACCCUCGUAAGUGGCCGUUUAGGGAUUGACAACCCCUAUUCGCGUCGGUUGUGAGGAUUUAUUUGUUUUGUGCAGGUACAAGGGACUCGCGCGUAGCCUCCUACUGGAUUGAUACCUUGGUUCUCAAAACCUAUUUGAUUGCCGUAGCACGAUCGCGCUUCCUCGGGCGCUAUUGUCUCAAAAAUACCGUCGUCCAUCUCCGUGACCUCCAGUCUACUACUCAUGAGCUGGUUUGGGCGCCGUGGCCUCUUUGCUUUCGGUUCUAGACCAGCUCCGCUAGUCUCGGCGCCUGUCUCAGUCUCAUCGCCGAUCUGCAUGUCGGUAUCAGUCCCCGAUGCGACAUCACAGUUGCUGCAACAUGGGAAAGGGAGACCACGUCAGUGCUGGGGGGUCUGAAAAUCGGAACACACUUUCGCGCGUUGCGGGCCGCCUCUCAGACAGCUACUGGGGAGGCGGCGGAGUACCUGGGUGCGCGGCGAAUCCCCGGGAACUCGGUGACCAACUUCCUUCCCGUGUGGCGCAUGGAGACGACGGCGACCCCGGCGAAGAGCAGCUUAGCCGCGAGCUGCACAGCCUCGUCCACCUCCUAAGUUGGGACCUCCGUGCGAGCGUUGCGGGGCCGCCACUCGGAUGGCUUCUGGAAGGCGGUUGUACAUGGGCACAUGGUGAAUCCCGGCGAGAGCUUGCCAUUGGCGCGCUCAAGUAGACGACGACGUCCUCGACGAAGAGCAGCCCGGCCAGCUCGCCUCACUAUCGUUUGAUUAGAAAUGAAAGAUUGGGAAGAAGCAGACUUGAGCCUGCAGGGAAAGGAUAAGGUGACGAUGCAGUCUCCACUCGUUCGGGGCGACACUCGUACUGAAUGUAUGAGAAAUCUGACGUGGCAGAGACCCCAAGAUACUCCCUCCAUUUAUUUUUAGUCUGCAUAUAAAGUUUGGUCAAAGUCAAGAUUUGUAAAUUUUAACUAACUUUAUAAUAAAAAAAUAUCAACAUUCACAAUAUGAAAUCAAUAUUACCAGAUGCGUCAUGAAAUGUAUUUCCAUACUAUAUAGUUUUGGUAUUGUAGAUGUUCAUAUUUUUUUAUAUAUAUGGGAAGUAGAGGCACUCUUCUAUACUAUAUUCAGAUGUAUGAUAUCUGUUAUUUAAGCGCUUGAAUUUUACAUACGAAUAUUUAUUAUUAAAUAUGUACCCCUACAAUAGCUAGGCCGUGCAGUUGCACGGGUAGAUGACUAGUGAUUACAAUCUUGUUUGUGUGCAAGUCAAGCUUAUCUAGUUUACACGUAACAACUUGUAGAACAUUACAAAAUUUAUGCUUGCUAAUAACUUUUAGAACACUACAACACUUGACAUGUAAAAGGAAUUUGACUGAGUCAUGGCCUACUAAAGCAAGUUACAUUACUAGUCUUAUCUAUCUUAACAGACCACACAAGAUUACAAACUAAGUACCGUGACAGCCAUGCUUAUCUAGUUUAUGCGUAACAAUUUGCAGAAAAUUACAAACUUAGUUUCAGAAAGAUAGGCAAUCUAGAUUAGUGUUUGAGCUGUAAAGUGAAUAAGAUGAGUCAUGCAUGUUAUCACACCUUUUUGGUGGUCGAAUGAUAGUGCAACAACAAGGAACUUUAAUGACCAGUCCAAGAAUACACUUGUAAGUAGUGCCACCAAACAGAACAUACCAAAUGAUCAUUCCAUGGCAGCUAUAAAUAGCCCCAUAGCAUGACGAUCAUCCUUCCUCAUCCAUCAUUCUCAUAAGUAGAGCACAUCAUUUAAGCCAAGCAAGUUGUGGUCAAUACAAAUCCACCAUGAAGACCUUUCUCAUCCUUGCCCUCCUUGCUAUCGUGGCGACCACCGCCACAACCGCAGUUAGAGUUCCAGUGCCACAAUUGCAGCCACAAAAUCCAUCUCAGCAACAGCCACAAGAGCAAGUUCCAUUGGUACAACAACAACAAUUUCUAGGGCAGCAACAAACAUUUCCACCACAACAACCAUAUCCACAGCUGCAACCAUUUCCAUCACAACAACCAUAUCUACAGCUGCAACCAUUUCCGCAGCCGCAACUACCAUAUUCGCAGCCACAACCAUUUCGACCACAACAACCAUAUCCACAACCGCAACCACAGUAUUCGCAACCACAACAACCAAUUUCACAGCAUCAACAGCAGCAGCAGCAACAACAACAACAACAACAACAACAACAAAUCCUUCAACAAAUUUUGCAACAACAACUGAUUCCAUGCAUGGAUGUUGUAUUGCAGCAACACAACAUAGCGCAAGGAAGAUCACAAGUUUUGCAACAAAGUACUUACCAGCUGUUGCAAGAAUUGUGUUGUCAGCACCUAUGGCAGAUCCCUGAGCAGUCGCAGUGCCAGGCCAUCCACAAUGUUGUUCAUGCUAUUAUUCUGCAUCAACAACAACAAAAACAACAACAACAACAACAACAACAACCAUCGAGCCAGGUCUCCUUCCAACAGCCUCAGCAACAAUAUCCAUUAGGCUAGGGCUCCUUCCGGCCAUCUCAGCAAAACCCACAGGCCCAGGGCUCUGUCCAGCCUCAACAACUGCCCCAGUUCGAGGAAAUAAGGAACCUAGCGCUACAGACACUACCUGCAAUUUGCAAUGUCUACAUCCCUCCAUAUUGCACCAUCGCGCCAUUUGGCAUCUUCGGUACUAACUGAGAAGAAAAUAACUCUAGUACUAGAUAUAUGAAACACCGUUUUCUCAGUCCAUGGUUUGGUCGUUGUAGCGGUGAAAAAAUAAUGUGGCAUGCACUAUCAUGUAAGAACCCAAACUAUACUAGUUCAAACUUGGGAAUAAAAGACAAACACAGGUCUUGUCUACAUAUUUAUGUUGCAUCUAUUUAUAUAUUAAAAGUAAUAUAAGGUGAACCAGGAGCAAGGUAAAUAUGCUAGAAAAUUGCACGUUAAUUAGAAAUUACUAGCCCUCAAUCUGGUAAAUCUUAACAAAUAGAAUUAUCUUGACCGUUAGAUUUAUGUAACAUAUAUAAUGCUCUGGGCCUCCAACGACUGUACGUGACACAUCUGAACGCACAUAUCUUAAAGAAAAUAUAUUUGGUAAAUGGUGGGCCUCUUUAAAAAGAGAACUCACGUACAUGCACCAACUAAGAAAAACACAUACAUGUAAACGGGAAAAGGAUGAGAUUUUCUCACGUACGUGCUCCCUGGCUCCACCCCGUUGAAAAAAUAUACAUCUGGAGGCCACUUUGUUUCCUCAUCAAAAAAAAACUUACGUUAAAAAGAUUGCAUGCAUCCCAGGGAAAAUAGUCAAGAAGAAGUCGGCUCUUCCUUACAAAAACAAGGAACGUGUUAAGUUGACUUCAAAGAAAAAAGGAACAUGUUAAGUUAAAAAAAACAAGAAACCUGUUAAGUUAGAAAAAAACAAGGAACGUGUUGUCCUAGGAAAGAUAUGUGUCAAAUCUUACAAAAAAAAAGAAUACACACACGUACGUUCAUGCACUUGGAAAAUAGAAAAAAAAGGAACAUCACGUAUGUAUACACUUCGGAAACUCAUUACAUGACCAUGUCUGAUAUACUCCUCUAAUGCUUAAUAUUAGUGCCUAAUAAUUUAUAUUUAAAAUUUAAUUUACUGAUCAAAUAUCCCCACUGUAUAAAUUUUAAUUUGGCACAUUGUUUGGCUAUAGUAUGAACCUAAAUUUCCUCUUAUUAUUAUAUAUCAUGGUAAUAAUCCAAAGGCGACUAAUCUGCGCCGGCGCACCGGCGCAAUCAAUUCGGCCCGACACAGCGCGGCCGUUUGAUUAGAUUGCAUUUAACCGUCAGAUCUGGAAUCAUUUUAUUUCCAAUUAAACGGAUUCAACCAAACAGCAGAGAGGAAAACAAAGCAGCGCCGCCGCCAACACUAGCCAUGGACGACCGAUGUAGCAAAACCUUGAAGAACCGCCGCCGGUCGCCACCCUUGCCGCUGGUCGCCGCCCUCGCCGCCUGUGUUUCUCAUCGGCUUCAUGCAUGCAACAACAUGCACUCGUGAUUGCAGGCUUGCAGCUCCGGCUCUGGGGGACAUGGCCGCAUCUCCAGUAGCGCCGGCCGCCGGCCGCAGCACCUGUCGUUGUGGUCACGCUGUACCUCGCCGUGUGCCCUCCCAAGGAUCUUGCUGGUUCCAACAAAAAACGAUACCUGUUGUAGCAAAAAAGUUUAUCGCUUCCAGCAAAAAAGCUUACCGCUACAGCCCGCCAUCAUCAUUGUAGCAAAAAUGUUAACUCGAUGUAGCUUCUGUGGUUGCCGACUGCAGCCAAAAAUGACGUGGUUGUAGCAAAACACAAAAGAAAAACUCCGGCCGUCCGCUGUGUAUGGUGGUAACAAACCCUAUAGCCGGUGGUAGCGAAAAACUUCAUUGUUUGCAGCAAAAAAAUGUUGUCGCCCAUCGUCGAGGUUGCAUCAUCUUCAUGAAUUAUGUCGCAAAAAAACGUUGUCGCCGGUAGUAGCAAAUGAAGCCGCCGGUAGAAACAAAACAAGACACUGGUUCCAGCCAAAAAAAAAUCAGCGACAGAACCUUUUGUUGGUUCCAACAAAAAAACUUGUCGGUUGUAGCAUCCCUCGCCGCCGGAUGUAGCAUCUCCCAGGGCUGGUUGCAACACUCCAUAAAAAAAGGUUGUCUACGAGCGCAUCCAUGGCAACUGCUGCACCGUCAGCAACGAGGGGAAGAGGAGGCAAUGAAAAUCGUUCGAGUCGUAGCUCCACAGGACGCGGGUGCAGCAUAGGGAGUCCAAAAAUCUGUCACAAGCAAGAUGCGCCUUGCCAUCCUCCUGCGCAGGAGAGAGAAGAAAAAGGAAUAAGAGGAAGAAGAAAGGAAACGGGAGAAAGAAAAAAAGAAACGAUUGGUUGUGGGCUCAGGCAAUUAGUCAAACGAGGGGCACGCGGGGCCGCAGGAUACAGCGCAAUCGAACGAAGUGCGCGCGUCUGGCCGAAGACUCAGCUGGACUGCCGGCUGGAAAUGUUUCCCUAAUACAAAGGCUUUUCUGAAUGACAAGUCGUCUGAGUUAUCGGCUAACUAGAAAAAAGAUAAAUAUGCUAGAUAAUUCCAUAAUCAUUAGAAAUAUCUAGCCUUUAAUUAUGUAAAUCAGAAAAUCACAACCGUUGGAUUUACUUUAAAGGUAAAUUUCUCUAAAUUCCCACCAUUGCCAGUAUGUAGAAACAUGUGCUGCUUCAAUUCUCCCUUAAUCACCAAUCAAUCAACAACAGAAAACAUACCGCAGUUCAAAAAACUGAACAAAAAAAAGAAAAAAAGAAGAAAGGACAAGAUACACGCAUGUACACGACAGCCUUGGCUUGAAACACAUCAGUAAAUCAAGUGUCCACCUCCCUUACACAGAAUAAAUUCUAGGGAAGAAAAUAAUAGUGCAACCUAACCUUAUACGUACUAUUCUAUCCUCACGUCCCAUGAGGUUUACUAGCCUACUGCCGCCGCAUCAUGCCAUCCUCUCCUUUCAGCUCCCAUGCUCUCCAGCACCCUCCUUGCGGCGCCACUACUCGCCUAGGGAUAUUGCUGCUCAGACCGUGGAGCUUAACCUGCUUCUUCUUCAGCAAAUAUGGAACUGCUUUAGGAUCCUUCUGACAUCAGCGCGUAUGGGCCUCAUUAUACUGCAGCUCCUGGACCUCCUACAAUUGGUUGGCUAUGGCCAGUUGAUCGAUUUGCUGAUGUCCAGGUCUGUUUGCUGGCACAUAUGCUUUGGAAAUAGGCCACUAUGUUUGUACUUCAAAAUUGUUUCUGUAUUCUUUAGUGGUACAUCCUUUUAAGCGCCAGUUUUUUAUGUUAAUUCAUGCUGACAACACUUAACCUAGCCUUUCAUGUUCACGUACUAAAUACAGGAGCAAGUAAAAACAACAGACCACCUAAUUGCUCUGCAAGUUCUACAUAGGAAAAUUUGUCAUGUUCUACGAUCGCACUAUCCCACCCUUCUCUCUUGGUAUGGGCGCCAAUUGAGGGAUUGAUAAAAUUGAAACGAAGCCGUCACAGGGCUGGAAGUACCGCUAGCCUGGUUCGCACUGCAACCUACCCAACGCCAUCAGAAACUAGCAACUGAGUCAGGUGUUGAUCGAUUCUCUCAAAUUGCUCUCAUGUAAGUACUACCCCUUGCAUGUGCGUACAUACCUUUGUUGCAUUCUCAAACAGAUAGAACAUGUAUGAUCGGUGCAUGGCUAUUUUUCAUCACAUGACAUCCAGAUAACAAGCAUGAAAGGACUACAUUGGAGAUCAAAAAAUAUUGGUUCCUGGCUAGAGUACCACUACCUAUGGACUUGUCUCCAUAGAAUUUGUUCCCAAGAUGUUAUUUUAAUUAACCUCUUUAGCUUUCUUCCAUUGCAAACGGUGAUGUGCAUCUUGGUAUAUACGUGACCAUCUUGCACAUGUAUACACAAGAGGCUCAGACGGAGGUGUUGGAUUCUGGACGAGGGAAUAUAAAGCAGGAGUGAGCGAAGUGUAAAUAAUGGUGGGAGUACCGAUUGGUGUUAUGAAGAAAAAUGCCAUCAAAAGAUUGAUUAGUGUCAUGGAAGAUUAAUUUCUGAAUGCGAAUAUAUAUGUUACAUUGGUUUGGAUCUUUUUGAGAUAAUUGCACCUAAAUUAGGUUCUUUCUUAUUUCAUAUGUAUACCUUAUUUCAGUAAAAGUUCACAACGAACUUAGUAGGACAAAUAUAAUUUUGUUUGUUCUUUCUGUUGUCCGCCACCAAAGCUCAAUUUGAACUCUCUAGAAAUGGACAAUGAUUUAUGCAUUCUAUAUCUUCUUGAUUGAUUAGCCAUGACAAGGAAAUAAAAGGAUUGACUGAUAUAGCAUAACUUUGGAACGAUUAGAGGUUACUACAAAUAAGAGUAGUGUCUGUUGGAAUUUUGCUAGUAGGCCUUUGGCCCAAAGCCCAACUAAAAUUCUGAAAUUCUCUUGGCUCAUUUAUACACACAUGUGAGUUGAGUGAGUGAGACUAAAGUUUAGUCCCACCCCGGAAGUUGAGAGAGAGUUGCACCUCUUUAUAAGGUGAGCUCUUCUACCACUUGUAUGAGCAUGAGAAGAGGAGACCUACACGCGCGCUCCUCCUCCACGCUCGCCACGCCUCGUCGCGCCGCGCCGUGCCGCGGGUUGCGGGAUUGAGCCGAGCCGAGGACGUUUUCUAUAUUUUUGCUGCUCGGGAAAAAUUAAUGAGUCAUUAAUUAAUAAUUAAUGGACACAUUAAUUACUGAACCGUUUCCGAUUUUUUUGGAUCGUGACGACUCGGACGUGGGGUUUACUCCCAGGACCUACCCGGCCCGCACUAUAUAGUCAGGAAGAUGUCUACCCUAGCCGCCGCCGCUUCGUAUGGUUUCUCACCAUCGUUACAGAUCAUUGCGCCGCCAAGCAAGUUUUCUCCAUCCCUCCUUUCGGCGUGCACCGGGAGAAGGGACAGCAGACCUCCGGAACCCCGCCUCUCGUGAUCCUAUACGGGAGAGGGGCGAUCAGGUUUUUGGGGAGCGCACUCGCAUGACUGCUUGCAGCGACGACUUCGCAAACGACGACUUCUUCCCCGACCUCGGCAACCUCAUCCUCGACGACAUGGGCGACAACGUCAACGCCGGCGAUGCUACACCCACUGCACCGUAUGUUAUUCUCUCCUUCUUGUUCGAGAUCGUGGUAGAAUUCAUGUUUCUAGUAUAUGUGCCCUAGAUGUGAUCUGUUCAUCUACUAUGGUAGUUCGCAUGAUUAGUUUAAUCUCUGCUAUUGCUGUCAUGAUCUAUUUCCUAUUUAUUCGGAUUAAAUCUCUUUGUAAUUUGCUCAUUUUUCCAACAAUCCAAAAACCUGAUUAUAGGAAAUUUACUCCGAGUGGUUUUGCUGCGCAUCUGAAAGCCGCUUGCCUUUAAGGGGGCGCAAUAUAAGAGGUGGCGCACCAGAGCAGUCUACUGGUUUCAGAUCAUGGGCUGCUAUGACGCCACCAAGGGCAAGCCUGAGGGCGAUCUUAAUCCAGCACAGCUGGAAGCUUUCAAGAAGAUCAAUACCCUCUUUAAAGGCACGCUUCUGAGUGUUCUUGAUGACUCCAUUGUAGAUUCGUAUAUGUCGUUUGACAACGGCAAGAACAUGUGGGCUACGCUCGAGGCCAAGUUUGGUGCCUCGGACGCCGGCAGCGAGUUGUACGUCAUGGAGCAAUUAUAUGACUCCAAGAUGACUGAUGGGCGCCCUGUUGUACAUGGGCGACUUCUUCCCCGACCUCGGCAACCUCAUCCUCGACGACAUGGGUGACAACGUCAAUGCCAGCGGUGCUACACCCACUGCACCGUAUGUUAUUCUAUCCUUCUUGUUCGAGAUCGUGGUAGAAUUCAGAUUUCUAGCAUGUUCCCUAGAUGUGAUCUGUUCAUCUACUAUGCUAAUUCGCAUGAUUAGUUUAAUCUCUGCUAUUGCUGUCAUGAUCUAUUUCCUAUUUAUUCGGAUUAAAUCUCGUAGUAAUUUGCUCAUUUUUCCAACAGUGCCAUCCAAUAGAUGAUGUAAAUCUCCUCAAGUUUGACGUUGUUGAGCUAAUUUACAAAAAAAACCUCAUCAUUAUUGGAUGUCCUUAACAGCUCAAGAACAAGUUGGGGUCGAAAUAAUGGAUUUUACACUUUUACAUUAAAGGUUUAGCUAAAGCAAGCAGGUGUUUUUAAAACUGAAUUUUUUCCUCCUGAAUUUCUUUGUAUUUUCUUAUUGACACUAUUUAUACAAUCAUCUGACAAAGAUUAGCUAAAGCUGUUUGUAGAUACGUUGAAACCUGAAAAGCUUCUUUGGUUAUCCUUUUAAUAGUUCUACGUUUAUUUUCUCAUAGGUCAUAAUUCUUAUGUAAUACCAAGAUGCAUUGUGGUAGUGUACAUGUGUUAAAUUCAGGUUGUUAUUCACAAUUUGCGACAAAAUUUAGCUCACGCUACAUUUAAAUAUGUUGAAAUGUGAAAGCUCUUUUUCUUCUCCUUUCUACACCUUGCAUCGGAUUGCAUCCCUUUAGUUAUCCAACAUUUUGUUCAACAUGUAGAGAUUAGGAAGUUCAUCAUAGUUUGUCUAUUUCCGUGCUAAUAAAUGUAUGAAAUCUGCAUUUCCAAGCUACUAGGACAAGUAAAAAAUAAUAAUUUUACUAGAGGAUUCAAAAACAGCAGUUCUGAAGUGCACUUUAUUUAUUUGUGAAAGUGAUCACAUUUUGUUUCAUUUUUCUAUAGACAAAUCUACUAAUACAUACUCACGAUAAAACUAUAAAAGUUCUAGUCCGCACAUUGGGCGGGCCACCCGGCUAGUUAGUCUAAAGAUAACAAAAUGAGUCUGGAAUUUGAAUUAAAUUGAAGUAUUUUCUUGGACUAUCCACAUCCUUGGCUUGCCCCUGAUCAAUUAUUUCCAGAGAAGCAUUCAAUUCAUCAAUCAAUUACAUUGAUUUUAGUGGCUAGUACAUCACCUCAACAUCAGUAUAUUCACCGUGGCCACUCCAAAUCGGCAAGAAUGAGGUACCAGUGCUCUGGAGAAGUGCAAGCUAAUUGCUUCUCAUGUGAAGGGGUGCGGGCGCGGGAGAGGUAUUUCUGGUGGGCCAAGGGACUAAGAAGCGACCGUGGCAGCGGUACAGAUGCCCGCAAAGCCUCAUAAUUUGUUUUUGGUUUACAGGAAAAAUGCACAUCCAUACUGGCCCGGGGAAUAUAGCACUGUAUUGGAUGGAAAACAAUGUCCGGAUGGUUGUGUGCGGUUUGAGGGUUAGCUUUUGUAACGCCCGGUUAGUUAUGCUAUAGCAAUUCCCUGCUAAUGAUGUCACGUCACCACGAUUACUGUUGUUAACCUCACAAUGAUUCAAUCUCGUUCAAAUUCAAAUUUAAAAUAAAGGCAAACAUCAAAAGUUUUCAAACAUUAAAACUAAAAUCUUUGAGAGGUGACAAAUAAUGCAUAAGUAAUUAUGGUGAAGAAACCACACUUUAAUCAAAUGUUUAAAUACUCUAAAAUGAAAAAAAAACAGUGACUUAAACUAUUAUUUAAAUGCUUUUAAAAUAGUAAAAAUCUUCUAACUAAAUUAUUUGGGUACCAAAACUUUUGGUGGCAGUGGUAUAUUUAGUAGAACUAAUUUAGAUGCUAAUUAUAUAAUUUACAAAAUUAGAGUAAAUUGAAAAAUAGGAUAAAACGAAAAAAGGAAAAACAAAACAAAUAAAAGCAAAAGGGGGCAACCCCUCGCUGGGCCUCGGCCUAGCUGGCCACUAGGCUAGCUAGGCUCGCCCCGCCGCCUCCCUUAACCCCCCACUCCCCGUCGAACCCAAGCCCGAUCGCCCCACUUCCCCCACACCCCCUCGCCGGUCUCCCCACCUCUUGAUCCCAUCUGGAUCGGGGAGGGUAUUGCCCCCAUCGAACCCGUUGCUGUCGCCGGAUCGCCCGCCGACGUCGCCAGGCCUCCUCCCCGUCGCCCGUCUCCGGCUCACCUCCCCUCUCGCUCCUCUUCCCUGACCCGAUCUGGAUCGUGAACGAGCAAUGAGCUCGAAGCCCCCCUUCACCGGCGCCAUCACCGUGCGCCACCACCACCGCCUGAAGACCUCACCGUCGCCGAACCUUGCGUCGCUGUAACACCCUCGAUGCGACUAUAUCUCCCACGUGUCGAGGCACGACUUAGAGGCAUAAUCGCAUUGAAGGCAUAUGUCGCAAGUGAGGUAGUCUUCACACAACCCAUGUAAUAUAAUAAGGGAAAGAGAUACAUAGUUGGCUUACACUCGCCACUUCACACAAUUACAUGAAUAAAACAUUACAUCAACCAAGUACACUCAUGGUCCGACCACGGAACCAAAAUAAAGAAGAACCCCAAAAGCGACAAAGGUCCCCGAUCGACCCCAACUGGGCUCCACUACUGAUCAAUUAGAACGAAACAGCUCAACGGACAAAGUCUUCAUCGAGCUCCUCCUGAGCUUGGUUGCGUCCUGCUCGGACUCAUCGGCACCUCCAAGCUGGUUUUGGAAGUAUCUGUGAGCCACGGGGACUCAGCAAUCUCGCACCCUCGCGAUCAAGACUAUUUAAGCUUAUGGGUAAGGUAAAGGUAUGAGGUGGAGCUGCAGCAAGCGACUAGCAUAUAUGGUGGCUAACCUAUUCGCAAAUGAGAGCGAGAAGAGAAGGCAAAGCACGGUCGAUAAAAGUAUGAUCAAGAAGUGAUCCUAGACUACCUACGUCAAGCAUAACUCCAACAACCGUGUUCACUUCCCGGACUCCGCCGGAAAAAGACCAUCACGGUUACACAUGCUGUUGAUUCAUUUUAAUUAAGGUCAAUUUUAGAUUUUCUACAACCGGACGUUAACAAAUUCCCAUCUGCCCAUAACCGCGGGCACGGCUUUCGAAAGUUCAAAUCCCUGCAGGGUGUCCCAACUUAGCCCAUGACAAGCUCUCACGGUCAACGAAGGAAUAGACCUCCACCCGAGAUAUUCCGAUCAGACUCGGUAUCCCAGUACAACAAGACAUUUCGACAGGGUAAAACUAAACCAGCAACACCGCCCGAUGCGCCGACAUCCUGAUGGGAGCUGCACAUAUCUCGUUCUCAGGGCAACACUGGAUUGUCUAAACUUCCGGUAGGCCAGCCCAGAGUUGCCCCUGGUGGCCACCGGCGGCUGACGGUUUGGACCAACACUUAGACAAGCACUGGCCCGGGGGGGUUAAAAAACGAUGACCCUCAGGAGCGCGACUCCCAAGGGAAAAGAAAAGGCUAGGUGGCAAAUGGUAAAGCCAAUGUUGGGCAUUGCUGGCAAAGCUUUACUUAAGGCGAACUGUCAAGGGGUUCCCAUUAUAGCCCAACCGCGUAAGGGACGCAAAGUCCAGGAACAUAACACUGAUAUGACGGAAACUAGGGCGGCAAGAGUGGAACAAAACACCAGGCAUAAGGCCGAGCCUUCCACCCUUUACCAAGUAUAUAGAUGCAUUAAUUAAAUAAGAUAUAUAGUGAUAUCCCAACAAGUAAACAAAUGUUCCAACAAGGAACGGCCUCCAAUCUUCACCUGCAACUAACAACGCUAUAAAAGGGGCUGAGCAAAGCGGUAACAUAGCAAUUCAACGGUUUGCUAGGACAAUGGUGGGUUAGGGGCUGAACAUGGCAAUUUGGGAGGCUGACAAGCAAGUGGUAGGCAUUGUAGCAAUGGCAUAGCAAAAGAGUGAGCAUACUAGCAUAGCAAAGAUAGUAGUGACUUCGAGGGUAUGAUCAUCUUGCCUGAAAUCCCGCAAGGAAGAAGAACGAGUCCAUGAAGAAGACAAACGGGCGUAGUCGAACGGGUCCUCACAAUCACGACGUUAUCGGAACCAACCCGAAGAAGCAAUCACCGGAAAAGAAGCACACACAACAUAGUAAACACCCAACACAUCAACAUGGCAAGAUGCACAAUCGAGUAUGAUGCAUGUCCGGUUUAAAGAGGCAUGGCAUGGCAAAGUGCACAAACAACCCUACAAAUUAAGUGGAGCUCAAUAUGCAACGGUUGCAUAUUGACGAAACACCACGUCAAUUAUUUAGUUCGAUCUCGUUUAUGUACCCAACAAUAUUAAAUGUUGUUAAAACAUGGCAAGAGGGGAAACAUGAUGAAACUAUCUAAUCUAGGCAAGUUUAAAUGAGGCCGGAAGCAACGAACAACAAUUCCGGAAAAUCCUCAUGUGUAAAUAUUAGGUUAGGUCCUGAUCUGUCCUAAACACAAUUUAAGCGUUGUUUAACAUGCAAGAUGAGGCCACCACGUUAAACUAGGCAAAAUUCUACCCGAUUUACAUAUAAAGAUUAUUAAAAUCGGAGUUACGGUUAAUUAGAUAUGAAUAAAAUCAUUUUAGCAUGGCAUGGGAGCAAACUUAAACAAACAUCAUUUUAGACAUUUUUUAAUUGUUGUUAUCAUGAUGCGGAUGACAUGAACAAGUUUAACGCAAUUUUAAUUAAGACUUGACAAGAGCAUUAUCAUGAAGCAUUGUCACCGUGGUGGAAGGAAAAAGGGGGUGCCACGGCAACGAAUCCGAAAAUGAUGCCAUGGCAACAUAUCGGUUCCGGUAACUCGAUUGAGAUCCCGGUGCAAACGAAAAAAACGACGGGAGCGUGACACGCGAUAGGAGGUGGGGUGAUCCCGGAUAUCGGGUUCCCACAAUAUGGUGACAAAGCAAAAGAGGGGCGACGUGCACCGAACAACUCCGACACGGAGCAAACACGAGCAUUUCAUACAUCACACAUGCAUUCGUUCACGGGCAUCGUUCCGGCGGUUAUACCUUUGAAGCGAGCAUCAUCGAAACGGAUCGAGUUCGACGGUAGGGGUACACGUGUCGACGAGGAAGUAGUUGUACACGGGGUCGUCGUGGGAAGUAGUCAUUCUCGCGAUGGUAGUGGAAGUAGGGGUACAUGACGACGUAGAGGUGCUCGCGACGGUAGUCGUUCACGUUUGCGUUUCACGGGUCUUCGGCGACGGUUGUCGUACAUGGUCCACAAGACGUCGAUCGUUCGGGGUCCGAUUUGCGGAUCUUGCCGACAUGAAGGGGUACUUGGCGUUCUCCGGACUUGCUGGUCUCGUCGAAACGAAGGGGUACUUGGUACAAUCCUCGUAGUCGUGCACUUGUCGUCAAGGGACUAGAUGGAUCCGAGGCUUCCGGAGGCGACGGUAGUGGGACUUGGUGAAUCCGAGUUCUUCAGAGGUCGUCAUGGUACUUGGUGAAAUCCUCGGAGAUGGACUUGACGCACGAAAGGUCUUCGGUGCCACGGUACUUGUCUGAUCACACACGGAGAUGCAUCGAUGGAUCUCUGACUCGUCCUGGCGAUGGACGAACUUGGCGAAAACCCCGAAGGCGGUCUUGAGCUUCCCUGGUUACCGCACCUUGGCAGAGACCAGAGGAACGACGAGGCCAGCGGGCAGCAACCGAAGAUGCCUGAGGUCUGUGGGCGUCCAGAUCAGGUGGCCUUCUGGCUAGGCAAGGACGACGAGGAGGAUGCCGAGGCGCGGGGACGAGGUAGGAGGCGGCACGGGAGCACGGCGCGGGCGUGGGCGCUCCUGGUGGGCGCAGAGGACGACGACGGCAGGCCAUGGCAGGGGCGGAGGCGCGGUUCCCUGGACCGGUAGGGCCGCGGCGGCGCUGUGGUGCCCGGCGGCCUCGGCGACGCGGCGAGGGAGGGGAUCCGGCGGGGCGCGAGGGAGCUCGGUGGCGGCGCAGGCUGCAGUGCCCGACAGAUGGAGGAGGCGCGGCAGGGUGGCUCCGGCCAGGGCACGGCGCGGGGAGCGCAAGACGGCGGCGAGGAGGCCGAUGAGGCUCCGACCUGGUACUUGGAUCGAAGGAGGAGGGAGGAUGAGGGGAGCCGGAGGGAGAUCGAGAGGGGGGUUCGAGCAGCUGGGGAUGGGGAUCGGGCUGCGAGGGAAAAUGGGGGUCGGGCACGAGAGAGAGAGAUCGAGGGGAGAUGGCGGCGCUGCGGGAACGAGAGGGAGAUGAGUGUGGUGCAGGAGCUGGGCUUCGGGCCUUCUAGGGUUAGGAGGGAGUGGGCCAGGGAGGCCGGCCGAGGAGAGAGAGGCCCAGGUGGGCAGGGGCGCGGCCUGCGGGGAAGGAUGGGCCUAGGGAGGCCUGAGGCUGCAGCUGGGCUGGACUCUCUUUCCCUCUUUCUCUAAUUUUCUUUAGCAGCAAAUGAUUAAAGAGAAAGAAAAGAAAGAGGGGGUUAGGGAAAGGAGUCGGACACGCGGAUAAUUUUCCCGGACUCACAAAAUUGCACUUGUUCCGAGAAAAAUGAAGUGGGCAAGAUUGCAAGAAUUAAAUUCAAGGACAAUUGAAUUUAAUUAGAAAGGUUGCACAAGGACUAGGAUUUAGGAGAGUCCAAAAAUGUUGAGAAAUUAGGAGGAGCCUCAAUAAAUGGGAAAAGAGAUGUUGGCAAAGUUUGGGGACCAAACUUGAAGUAGAAAGGGAGUGGGGAUUUUUCCAGUGUGUUUUGGUUAAUUCCGAAAGAAUGGAAUAUUUUAUAAUAGCCCCACUAAUAUCGGGACGAUAUGUUAUAAAGAGAAGUCAUCCUUCCCUCGAUUUAAAUGGAUCGAAGAUCCAUAUGAAUUAUUUAGUUGAGAUGCAAAAGAUUAUGACAUGAUGACAUGAUGCAAUGCACAUGAUGACGUGACAUGGUGCAACACGCAAGCACAUGACAACGCAACAACAUCGAAUAACUGCACGACACCUGGCACAUCGGUCUCGGGGCGUUACAGUCGCCUCCUUGUAUCCCCCCCCUACUCGCAUCCUCAAGCCAGGCCGAGCCCCUUCUCGGCAACGCUGUGAGACGCCCCCGUUUCCCUCCUCUUUCCACCGCAUUCACCGCGCCGCUCGCCGUGCCCGUCGCCGUGCGUGAGCCCACCACCGCACCAGCCCCCGCUCCGCGCACGACCCUACCCGCGCCCGCGCCAUGAUCCCCUUUUCCGCCCUACCUUCACGCGCUCGCCGCGAUCCCGAUGCUCCCCCGCGCCCUCUUUCGGGCGCGCCGACUGCCCCUGUCCUGGUGCUCGCCGCCGUGCCUCGCCACCGCUCUACUGCUACGUUACUACUGCGCUGCGGCCGCCGCCUCUUCCCGCUGCUCCGCUAGCGCCGGAGCUCCCGGUUGGCUCCACCACUGCUCACGUUAAACCGCCGGCCUAAAUGGCCUAACCCCCGGCUAAUGAACCCCCACUAACCCACUGACACCGGGACCCACAUUCCCUAAUUAACCAUUUAAUAAAUUAAAACUCUUAAAUUAACAUUAGUGUAUGACAUGUGCGUCCCCUGUUAAUUAAUAAUUUUACUGCUAGUUUUAUUAGUUUCUGUUUUUUCUGCAUAUUUCUUUUGUAUUUGAACAGGCUUUAUACAAUAAUAUUUAGCGUAUCAUACACAUACAAAUGUAAUCAUAGCAUAUACAUACAAAUAGUCUCAUCAAAUCAUGUCAUCAUCAUAAUCAUCAUCCAUCACAAAGUGGUCUCUCGUCAUCAUCUCGAAAAUAGCGAUACAAGUCUCGAUUACUUGCAACUACAUCGUCAUCCAUCUAAACAAUGAUAUACGCGAGAAGAGCUCUCACUAUGAGUGAGAGCGGAACUAUGCAGUACAUGAGUUUGUAUCCCUCUCUCGCAUUAGCGUGAACCUAAACUAACGACUCGCUGUUGCUCGGAAACCGGAAACCGGUACACCUGGGCCUGACACUCCGGCCACUCGUCGUAUACUCCUGGCGUAGCACUUCUUCGCCAUCGAUGAUCUAUGCACCUGCAUCGUCACAUGAGUCGAUGAUAUGCAACAUAUAUAGUUGAGUAACAGAAAGAGACAGACUUCGCAAAAAUAGAAGCAACAUAUCAUAAGUAUAAAUAACAAAGUUCAUCCUACCCAAAAUGCCCUAACUAGAGUGAUCUUCGCUAGUCGAGGAGGACGGUUUAAUUACAUCACAAAUAACGUUUCGUCGUGCAUAACUCAAAGUUCCGUCAUACAGAAAGUAUGAACUAAACGGACACAUUGUCAUAUUUCGAAAAUCACUCCAACAUAUCGUACCAUCCAUCCAAGUCAAGGAGAGAGUGCCCGAGCUUAGUGAAAGGCUUGUGGUCGAGACGCUGAGCGGCUACGCGUGUUCGAAAGUCUUCCCACGUCAUUUGUCCUUCUUCAUAGAACAUCCCUGUUUUUUCGACGACCUCCUUCAUGAUGAUUUGGACAAGUUCGCACUGGAAGUGAUAUAACUCAUCUCGAAGUGGAUGAUCCUCGAUAUCUCCUAAGUUCUUUGCCCAUUGCAGAAUAUGGGCAUCGCUGAAUUUAGGUGACAUGCAAAGGUUCCGGUGAUCUCGUCUAUACUCCAUCAUAUGGACAUAGAAUCGAUCAUCAAGAGAAUCACUCGGUUGCUGGAUGCAGCUGAAGUGGGUCUUAUGGGCCUGCCGUCCCUUUUCUUCUUGUCCUUGACCUCUCCACCCCGUGCAUCGUAGUAAAACGUAGCACUGUCGAGAAUAGACUUGAUGUGGGUGUAAUCCUUUUUGUUAAUGUUCUUCGACGAGUCCACAGUAUCGGGGGUAGCGGAUAAUGAGGACGGCGCUGAAGGAAAUAUGCCCUAGAGGCAAUAAUAAAGUUAUUAUUUAUUUCCUUAUAUCAUGAUAAAUGUUUAUUAUUCAUGCUAGAAUUGUAUUAACCGGAAACAUAAUACAUGUGUGAAUACAUAGACCAACAGAGUGUCACUAGUAUGCCUCUACUUGACUAGCUCGUUAAUCAAAGAUAGUUAUGUUUCCUAACCAUGAACAAAGAGUUGUUAUUUGAUUAACGAGGUCACAUCAUUAGUUGAAUGAUCUGAUUGACAUGACCCAUUCCAUUAGCUUAGCACCCGAUCGUUUAGUAUGUUGCUAUUGCUUUCUUCAUGACUUAUACAUGUUCCUAUAACUAUGAGAUUAUGCAACUCCCAUUUACCGGAGGAACACUUUGGGUACUACCAAACGUCACAACGUAACUGGGUGAUUAUAAAGGAGUACUACAGGUGUCUCCAAUGGUAGAUGUUGGGUUGGCGUAUUUCGAGAUUAGGGUUUGUCACUCCGAUUGUCGGAGAGGUAUCUCUGGGCCCUCUCGGUAAUGCACAUCACAUAAGCCUUGCAAGCACUGCAACUAAUAUGUUAGUUGUGAGAUGAUGUAUUACGGAACGAGUAAAGAGACUUGCCAGUAACGAGAUUGAACUAGGUAUUGGAUACCGACGAUCGAAUCUCGGGCAAGUAACAUACCGAUGACAAAGGGAACAACGUAUGUUGUUAUGCGGUCUGACCGAUAAAGAUCUUCGUAGAAUAUGUAGGAGCCAAUAUGGGCAUCCAGGUCCCGCUAUUGGUUAUUGACCGGAGACGUGUCUCGGUCAUGUCUACAUUGUUCUCGAACCGUAGGGUCCGCACGCUUAAUGUUACGAUGACAGUUAUUAUGAGUUUAUGCAUUUUGAUGUACCGAAGGUUGUUCGGAGUCCCGGAUGAGAUCACGGACAUGACGAGGAGUCUUGAAAUGGUCGAGACGUAAAGAUUGAUAUAUUGGAAGCCUAUGUUUGGACAUAGGAAGUGUUCCGGGUGAAAUCGGGAUUUUACCGGAAUACCGGAAGGGUUACCGGAACCCCCCGGGAGACUAAUGGGCCUAUUGGGCCUUAGUGGAAAAAGAGAAAAGGGGCAGCCCAUAGCUGGCCGGCGCCCCCCCCCUUUCCCCAAGUCCUAGUAGGACUAGGAGAAGGGGCCGGCCCCCCCUCUUUCUCCUUUCCCCCCGAGAGUCCUAAUUGGAAUAGGAUUGGAGGGAGGAGUCCUACUCCCGGUGGGAGUAGGACUCCCCUGCGCCUCCCUCUCCCUGGCCGGCCGGCCCCCCUUCCUCCAACCUUUAUAUACGGGGGCAGGGGACACCCCAAGACACACAAGUUGAUCCUUGAGAUCGUUCCUUAGCCGUGUGCGGUGCCCCCUGCCACCAAAUUCCACCUCGAUCGUACCGUUACAGUGCUUAGGCGAAGCCCUGCGUCGGUAGUACAUCAAGAUCGUCACCACGCCGUCGUGCUGACGGAACUCUUCCUCGACACUUUGCUGGAUCGGAGCCCGAGGAACGUCAUCGAGCUGAACGUGUGCUAAGAACUCGGAGGUGCCGGAGUAACGGUGCUUGGAUCGGUCGGAUCGGGAAGAAGACGUACGACUACUUCCUCUACGUUGUGUGAUCGCUUCCGCAGUCGGUCUGCGUUGGUACAUAGACAACACUCUCCCCUCUCGUUGCUGUGCAUCACCAUGAUCUUGCGUGUGCGUAGGAAAAUUUUCGAAAUUACUGCGUUCCCCAACAGGCGCGCCCGCCGCUGCGCAAAAUAAGUACACCUCCAAUUAAUUACACUCCAUCGUUCAAAUGAAUGAUUGAAAUCGAAGGAAGGAUAUCUGCGCGGAUGACUUACACGAGAUGAUAAGCCAUGAGAAUCGCCUCCUUGUCCUUAUUGGCAAGCAUGAAAUCGACGAUGUAUUCCUCGCGUAUUCACGGUGCUUUGCACGGACUCCCAAGAAGCCCUCGUGCAUGAAGUACGGGUCAGCAACACAGAUAUGAGGUAUCUGCUCAACCCCGAUGAGGUAGUUCAUGUGCAAGGCAUAAAGGCGGACAAACGUAAAAUCCAGCUUCUUUAAGUGAAACAUGUUGAAGAUGUAAUCGAAUCGAAGGAAAAACUUCUUCGAGGGGAAUGUGUCGACGUACGACAAUUGCCGCGGCACGUUAACCACGUAGAGAGGGUAUCCUGGAUUUUUCGAGGCGAUGAGGCCUUUCUCUAUCCGCAACACGUCGUCAUGAAGUCUCCUUAGAUUGCCGGAUCUGGCCCCUAGUGCUGCUUUCGGUAGGAUUGGUUCACCGGGAUACGCCAUUUUGCCGCUCCGGGGAUAUCUAUACGGUCUUGAACCCGAGGCUGCUGAGGCGGCUGGAUCAUAGAAGCAGCUUUGUUGGCUUUCCUCGGUGUAUUCCUAAGCUUCUUUGCUACCGGAAGGUCGUCUAUAAUAUGUUCAGCCUCCGGAGGCGGCAAUUCAAGCACCGACUCAUGACGCUCAAACCCUUAGUAGGCGCCAGUAUUGAGAUACUAUUGAGUGUCAUUGUCAUCCUCAUCUAUGGCGGUGUCACCAGCGACAAAUGGAGCCUCUUCCUCACCCCGUCCGCUAUCACCCAGCACGACAGCCGGCGCUAAUUGGGUAGGUGGGGUGUUGAUGUUCAUACCUAACUGCGUGCUCGUGUGUGUGCUCCCGGCCGUCUCCAAACAAAGCAGACUCUUUGGCCACAAUAGGACCCACCCAUUGCAAUCACCAAGCCGCUGCGGGAUCUUGUCGUCAUUCCCCCUAGUACCGGAGGAGCCAAAUUCUCCUGGCCUGGUUUGACACUGGCCACGGAAACUUUGAAGAUGUCCAGGGGGAUCGAUCGGCCGUGGAACAAUGGUUCCUUCAGCUUCAUUAUCGUCACCUUCCCCACGUCCACCUCCUGGUAGCGGAUGCUGUACAAUAUGGUGCACGGGGUUAUAUUGGCCUGCAAAGACAUUUCUGUGAUGUGAGAUAUCCGAAAGGCAACGGAAAUGGGAGAUUAUACAUUUAUUGAAGAGGGCCGGUGUGACAGAUACCGUGAGGGCGUCGAGCUCAGCCAAAGACGAAGCACCGCUGAGCACGUCUGGUGUCGGAGCCGGUGCCGGAGCAGGUGCGGGAGCCCGUGCGGGAGCAGGUGUAGGUGCCGGUGCAACGCUAGUUGAGCUACUCCCGAAGAAGUCAGCAAGGGGAAAGUCUGCUGUAUUUUUUUCUGGAUUUUGCAUGCUCCAAUUGAAAACGGCCGGAACCAAGACAGAAGACAUAUCUGGAACCACCUGUUUUGCGGCAGCUAUCGCAGUUGUGACUGUCUCAGAUGAUUUCUUCUCAACCGCAAUCUCAACCUUCUGGUUGAUGUUUUCUUCAGUUAACCUCCGUCUUUCCUUUCUCUCCUCUGUGGUCUCACGGUAGUACUUCUUCCAUGUGGCGCCGUCUUCGACACCGUGCACGCGUCCAUACGACGGCCGAUUCUCCACCGGGAGUCCUUUCAAUAUGUUCAAUGCCCGAUUGAAUGGAGUGUUCCACUUGGGCCUCGCCAACACCUCAGACGGUGAGUCACUUUCGGCUGCAAUCUUGUGCUGCUCUCUCUACAAAAGGAACAAGGAUCGUUUACAAAUAUGACUAAACGUGCAGUCGAAUUGAUCAGAAACUAAAAUUACCGGCAGUCCCAUGAACUUCGUCGUGAUCAGGUCAGUCUUGAAAACCUUCUUGACUGAGUCCCAAUGGUGUCGUGCCCCGAGGACGUCAUGCUCCCGCGGGACGGUGAAGUCCGCCAAGGGGUCUGGGAUGCCCAGACUUUCGCGUUCCGCGUCCUCCUAUGCCCAUAUGGACCUCUUCCCGCCGUAACCACGGCUUCCGAGGUGGUGGCGCCCUAUGUUCCUUUGUUGAAGCCCCUUCAUGUACUUCGACUUUUUUUGGCAGCUUCGGCCUCGCAAGCCGCCUUGAAUUUUUCAAAGUGCUCUCCCGUGAUUGUCGGAUUAUCCUUUACAAUCUCAGAGUAUGGUUCCUUUUUGUCGACAAUCCGAUGUUUCAACCUUGUUUUCCAGGUGCCCAACGCGUCACUAAACUUGGUCAUGGCGUGUUUGUUUAUCUUCUUCAUUGCCGGGUCCUUAUUUGGAUCUUUAUAAUCCAUUUCAUUCCGGCCCGGGAACAACAAUAUCUGGUGCAGCUUCUUUAGGAGAGAGGGCCUCAUAUUAUCUAUCUUCUGUAGUUUCCCAUCAUUGAUCGUGGCAGUUGUCCGUACGAUGCAGCCUACUUGAUUGCCGUAGCACGAUCGCGCUUCCUCGGGCGCUAUUGUCUGAAAAACACUGUCGUCCAUCUCCGUGACCACCAGUCUAGUAGUCAUGAGCAGGUUUGGGCGCCGUGGCUUCUUUGCUUUCGGUUCUAGACCAGCUCCGCUAGUCUCGGCGCCGGUCUCAGUCUCAUCGCCAGUCUGCAUGUCGGUAUCAGUCCCCGAUGCGAUAGGUCGGCCCAGCAACAACAUUCGUUGAUCGUCGGCAAGGCUCAAAAAUUCAUCUGCCGCCAGGUAGACGUGUCGCAAUCACCAGAACCCUAUCCUUCAUCGUUGCUAGCCAUGUUUCCUACGAUUAUGCCUAGUCAAUUAAUUUUAGACCUAAUAAAAUGAAUAAUGACAUAAAACAGGCCAAUGUUUUGCAGGAUUACAACUCAACCCAUUGCAGAUUAGAAAACAAGCCCGUGUGAAUGCACAGGCUGACCACUAGUCUAUCUAUACCUAUACCUACCUAUACUAAUUACAGACUCCCAAGUAAUUCCCACGUUAAUUAGUAAUUAAGAGCCGUUAAUCUUGUGGGACCAAAUUAUUACGACAGUCCACGAUCUCUUUUCUCUCUGUGUAAAAAAAAAGGUCCACGAUCUCUUUUCUCCGUUGUAAAAGAUAAAGGCAACUCAGGUCCACGAUCUCUUUUCACGGUUGUGAAAGAUAAAGACAACUCCCGUCUUCUUCUAAUCUAUAGUUCUAUACCUCCACGACCCCUUCCUCUCCCCAUUUAAAAGGAACAAGCUGAACCAAUAUCUAAGCAUGCAAUUGGUUCCUGUGCGGUCUUGACCUUCCAUCCGUCCACUGCUCGAUCGGCCCUCCCUCAACUACAAGCUGACAAGCCACCAUCGCCAUCCAGCGGCACGCCACCGUUCAUGCAUGUGUUUUUGCCCUUCAAUCUGAAGGAGAUGCGUUGGCUACUCAAGUAACUCUGUUUGUUUUGUUCAAACCAAUUUCGUUAAUUCGGUUCUUUGAUUAUCUUAUUGACAUGGCCUGUGAGUUUUGUGCUAGUGAUACAGGGCCUGUCUACUAGAUUCUCUCCUUGCAACUUCUAUUGUUGUCUCGAUUUGGUGUGGUCAAGAUCCUUGCCCCACCACAAGCAGCACCUUUGCACCAUCGGGGAAAUCUGUCAUAGCAAACAGAGGUAUGUAACAUGCUUUGGUGUUUUCCUCUUUCGUUUAGAUCACUAGAGUUGCUCAACCACACCAUUCAUUGAUUAGUAGUUGGCCUGAGAAGUUGCUCGGUCACCUGCAGCGUCUGAUCCCCUUCUUGACCCUCUCAUUCUGGUCAUUAUCCACCGGCAGGUCAAUGCCAAACGGAUCGUUCGUUGCCGCCACCUUGCGGAGACCGAUGUUUGGCUGCCCUCCUGCCAUCCUGGCGCUCUGGUACCGGUCACUGUGCCGUUGUUCUAGAAGAACUAUGUCACACGAAGCGAGAUAUCUUCUUACUAAUCUGGAACAUAAGUGUUUCUUCUUACUAGGAUUCGCUCACCGGUGCAUUCAUCUCUUUUUGGAAAAUACGGCCUUCAUAUUUCACACGCCUAUACAUGGGUGCUGUCCCAACAAUAAUCCAUCUAAUCCAUGAUGCACAUUCAUGAAGACUGAUGUGACUGAAUUAAUAUAUCAAUCUGGUGCUUCCGGAUCAGCACUUGAAGAAGCAACCCCUUUAGUUCAUAAAUAUAUCAUACGAAAGUCAGGGGAGAAAUCAACUAAGUCAUGUGUGCUUUUCUAAUUAUUUACUAUACACUAAUUCCAUUUUUUCAGUAGAAGGCUAGGAUACGUGGAUUGUGGCAGCACAGAAGUAAACCGAUGAGCUACGUUGGCCGUUCACCAGUCAUCGGAUCAGCAGCCAUGUCGACCAGAGGGACGGAACAGUUCUAUAUUAGGCGAUGGAUACAUGUGGAAGCAACUAAGCAUAUGUGGAUGCAUGUGAUCGCAUAGGUAAGGCCAUAGCUGUUCAAGCCCUACAGGAUCUUUAUUGCUGGUUUUAAUUAUGAGUUUACAACACCAUCUAUACAUACUACUUAUCCAUUUAUUUCCUUACCUUCUUUGUUUCUUUCUCUCCUUGAUCCCCUGUCAAAAGGGCAUCAACAUCCAUAUGCGCAACGGCACACGCAACAAACUAUGACUUCGGUUGCAUGUCCAACGGCAACCACAGUACAUGAUGAUAUCAUGUUUGCUGCAAGACGAAGUACAAGUUCAUAAUUUGGUCUUUUGCAUGGUCCCUUAGUAAAUUCACUUCUGCUUCGGUACACCCCCCCUAAACACAUAGACGGCCCAGAUUAGUCGAUACCUCUUCAUAAGUAAGGGCAUGAUGGUCAUAUAUUAAAAACCAUUCGUCCCCUGUAUAUGUGUACAGUGAGAUGGGCCGGCCCAUCUUUCCCUUUUUUUCUGAUUUGAUCCUGACAGGAAUCGAACCAGAUAGUUCCUGGUACAUAGUUGGACGUGAUAACCAACCAGCCGACUUAGGCACCUAUGGUUAGAUAGUUCUUUCUCGUCCUUUUCUUCUUUCCUCUUUCCUCUUUCUUAUUUCCUUUUUUCUUGUUUUUUCAAACGUUGUUUUGGGUUUUCAUUUCCCUUUUUUUCUUUUUCGUUUUCUUUUCCUUUUUAUGUUCCUUUUGUUUUACCUUUUCUUUUGCAAUGUGCAAAAUUUUUCAGUUUCCUUUAUAAAAAAUUAAUGAACCUUUUUUAAUAUUGAUGAUUUUUUUUUCAAAGUCGAUGAACUUUAUUCAAGAUUGAUGAUUUUUUUCUAAAUUGAUGAACCUUUCUCAAGAUGAAUAUAGUUUUUUCAAAGUAGAAGAUUUUUUUUCAAAAUUGAUAAAAUUUUGCAAAAUCGAUGAUUUUAAAAAAAUCAUGAACUUUUUUCAAAUCCUUGUACUUUUUUUAAUCAAGAUGCAUGGGUUAUUUUUAAUUCAUGGAACUUUUAAUUUACGGACAUUUUGCCAAUCCGCUUAUUUUUUUCAAGUCCAUGAACUUUUCCAAAAGGGCGAACCCUUUUUUAUAGUCAAUGGUCAAAGGUCAAGCAUGUCAAUGGUCAACUUUUUGUCCAGGUUAACCAUGAAGAAGUUUUUUUUUGGUCGAACCACGAAGAAGCGAUCGAGCGUAUGCUCUUGGCGAGCGACAGCUGAUCGCUCCUGUAGUUUGGCCAGCCCAUGAAAGGUGGUGUUCAAGCGAUGUGUCCACUAAGUAGCGCAGAAAGCGGUGACUAGGCGCUCCCACUGUACAGGGAGUAGCGUCGCACAAACCGGCGCACACACCCCUUCGUCCAAGGUCUGGCCCAUUUUCCUUUUCUAUUUUUACCUUGAAAAAAUAGGUGCAUGAAGUAGGAUUCAAACUAUGAACCUUUGUGAUUACUUCCACCCACUAUAACAAACUAGGAUAGCUCACUUCUUGCGUCUAAUUACUUCUUUUUUAGAGCAUCUUCUCAGUCUGUUUUUUCUUUUGCUUUUGUUUGGCCUUUUUAUUCCGUUUUAUUCAUUUUUUAUUUGUCUUUGUUUCUUCUUAUUUUCAUUUUGUUAAAUUCAUGAUUUUUUAAAUCUAUGAGCUUAUUUUAAGGAUGUUGAGAAAUAACAUGCUCCCAGACAAAACCUUCUGGCCUACCGGAUACUCUUUGUAGAACAUGGUAUAGUUUUGGACAUCAUUCAAAUGAUCCCAACUUUUGUAGGAUGGUGGGCAUUUCCCGUGGUAGGCAUCAUUGACAGGUUUGAAUGACUUCUGACACCGUAUGCAAGUUGCGACACGUCCGAUCAUUUAUCGGUCUUUUUUCACCGGAAAAACUCUAGAAAAUGCAAAACUUGUUGAGAAUCCAAAAAACUUAGCUUGGUGUCUUGAAUUGGUCGUACAAGGCCAUGAAAAAAUUUGGGGCCAUUUCAAGGAUGUCAAGAAACAACGUGCUCUCAAACAGAGCCUUCUGGCAACCGAACACCCUUCAUUGAACAUGGUCUAGUUUUGGACAUUCUUGAAAUGACCCCAACUUUUUGAAGUAGAUGAGCAUGCCCAUGGUAGACAUCCAUGUCAAGUUUGAAUGAUUUCUGACACCGUAUGCAAGUCGCGACACGUCCGGCCAUUUAUCGACCUUUUUUGGCCGAGGAAACUCCAGAAAAUGCAAAAUUCAUCAAAAAACAAAACAACUUGGCAUGGUGCACUUAGUUGGCCAUACAAGGUCAUAUAAAAAAUUGGGGCAAUUUCAUGGGUGUGGAAACACAACAUGCUCUCAGACGGAGCUUUCUGACCUACCUGAUGAAGGAAAUAUGCCCUAGAGGCAAUAAUAAAGUUAUUAUUUAUUUCCUUAUGUCAUGAUAAAUAUUUAUUAUUCAUGCUAGAAUUGUAUUAACCGGAAACAUAAUACAUGUGUGAAUACAUAGACAAACAGAGUGUCACUAGUAUGCCUCUACUUGACUAGCUCGUUAAUCAAAGAUGGUUAUGUUUCCUAACCAUGGACAAAGAGUUGUCAUUUGAUUAACGGGAUCACAUCAUUAGUUGAAUGAUCUGAUUGACAUGACCCAUUCCAUUAGCUUAGCACCCGAUUGUUUAGUAUGUUGCUAUUGGUUUCUUCAUGACUUAUACAUGUUCCUAUAACUAUGAGAUUAUGUAACUCCCGUGUGCCGGAGGAACACUUUGUGUGCUACCAAACGUCACAGCAUAACUGGGUGAUUAUAAAGGUGCUCUACAGGUGUCUCCAAAGGUACAUGUUGGGUUGACGUAUUUCGAGAUUAGGAUUUGUCACUCCGAUCGUCAGAGAGGUAUCUCUCGGCCCUCUCGGUAAUGCACAUCACUUAAGCCUUGCAAGCAUUGCAACUAAUGAGUUAGUUGCGGGAUGAUGUAUUACGGAACGAGUAAAGAGACUUGCCGGUAAUGAGAUUGAACUAGGUAUUGGAUACCGACGAUCGAAUCUUGGGCAAGUAACAUACCGAUGACAAAGGGAACAACGUAUGUUGUUAUGCGGUCUGACCGAUAAAGAUCUUCGUAGAAUAUGUAGGAGCCAAUAUGGGCAUCCAGGUCCCGCUAUUGGUUAUUGACCGGAGACAUGUCUCGGUCAUGUCUACAUUGUUCUCGAACCCGUAGGGUCCGCACGCUUAAGGUUUCGAUGACAGUUAUAUUAUGAGUUUAUACGUUUUGAUGUACCGAAGGUUGUUCGGAGUCCCGGAUGUCAUCACGGACAUGACGAGGAGUCUCGAAAUGGUCGAGACAUAAAGGUUGAUAUAUUGGAAGCCUAUGUUUGGAUAUCGGAAGUGUUCCGGGUGAAAUCGGGAUUUUACCGGAGUACCGGGAGGUUACCGGAACCCCCCGGGAGAUAUAUGGGCCUUAGUGGGCCUUAGUGGAAAAGAGAAGAGGCAGCCAGAGAUGGGCCGCGCACCCCUCCCCUCCCUUGGUCCGAAUAGGACAAGGAGAGGGGGCCGGCCCCCUUNNNNNNNNNNNNNNNNNNNNNNNNNNNNNNNNNNNNNNNNNNNNNNNNNNNNNNNNNNNNNNNNNNNNNNNNNNNNNNNNNNNNNNNNNNNNNNNNNNNNNNNNNNNNNNNNNNNNNNNNNNNNNNNNNNNNNNNNNNNNNNNNNNNNNNNNNNNNNNNNNNNNNNNNNNNNNNNNNNNNNNNNNNNNNNNNNNNNNNNNNNNNNNNNNNNNNNNNNNNNNNNNNNNNNNNNNNNNNNNNNNNNNNNNNNNNNNNNNNNNNNNNNNNNNNNNNNNNNNNNNNNNNNNNNNNNNNNNNNNNNNNNNNNNNNNNNNNNNNNNNNNNNNNNNNNNNNNNNNAUCCUACUCCCGGAGGGAGUAGGACUCCUCCUGGCGCGCCUCUCCUAGGCCGGCCGCACCCCUCCCCCCCCUUGAGCCUUUAUAUACGGAGGCAGGGGCACCCCAGAGGAACACAAGUUGAUCCACGUGAUCAUAUUCUUAGCCGUGUGCGGUGCCCCUGCCACCAUAGUCCUCGAUAAUAUUGUAGUGGUGCUUAGGCAAAGCCCUGUGACAGUAGUACAUCAAGAUCGUCACCACGCCGUCGUGCUGACGGAACUCUUCCCCGACACUUUGCUGGAUCGGAGUCCGGGGAUCGUCAUCGAGCUGAACGUGUGCUAGAAUCGGAGGUGCCGUAGUUUCGGUGCUUGAUUGGUCGGGCCGUGGAGACGUAUGACUACAUCAACCAAACGCUUCCGUUGUUGAUAUACAAGGGUACGUAGAUCACAUUCUCCCCUCUCGUUGCUAUGCAUCACCAUGAUCUUGCGUGUGCGUAGGAUUUUUUUUGAAAUUACUACGUUCCCCAACACCUGAACACCCUCAUUUGAACAUGGUCAGUUUUUAGAUAUCCUUCAAAAGACCACAACUUUUCCAAAAAGGUGAGCAUGCACAUGGUAGGCAUAUAUGCCAAGUUUGAACGAUUUUUGACACUGUAUGCUAGUUGCGACACGUUCGGCAAUUUUCGCCAUUUUUUGACAAAGAAAUCUCCAGAAAAUGUAGAAUUUUUAGAAAACCAAAAAACCCUGGCAUGGUGCCUUGAAUUCUUCAUACAAGCCAGUGAAAAAAAAUAGGUCAUUUGACGGAUGUCGAGAAAAAACAUGCUCCCAAACGGAGCCUUCUUACCUACCCCUACACCCUAUGUUGAACAUGGUGAUUUUUUCUACACGAACACAAAAAAAAUGUUCGAGAAAAUUCAAAAAAUUUUCUUUCAAAUUUUUAUUCGUAUUUUUCUUGAAGUUCCAAAUUUAAUAGUGAAUUUUCCUAAAAUGUUAAAUCAAAAAUGUUCGUGUGGAAAAUUUUGUUUGCUCUUUGUAAAAAUGUUUGUGUUUUGACAUUAUGAGCAAUUUGAAAAUACAAAUACAUUCUGAGGAAUUCAUAAAUGUCGCAUUUUGAAGUAAUUGUUCGUAGUUUCAGAAAAUGUCCGUGUUUUCAGUUUUAUAUCUCUUUUAAGAAAAUGUUCGUAUUUAAAAAAAAUUGUUUGUAGUUUCAAGAAAUGUUCUCGUUUUCAAUUCUGCUCUUAUUUUUCUAAAACAAAGUUUGAGAGUCUGAAACAUUGCUCACUAAAGGUUUGAAUUUUAAAAAUAUGUUCACAGAUUUUGAAAUUUUUUGGGUUUAAAGCAUAUUUACUUUGUCAAACAGAAAUUCACAUACGGAAUUUUGAAAAAAAUAAUCGUUUUUGGACUAGUGAUGUUAUGCACUCGCGGGAGCUUGUGUGUUAGAUCCGCGCACCCAUUUUAGUAUUUGUGAAUUGGUGUUGAAGUGUUGCCGCUCUAGCUAAUUCUUUAGGUGUGACACUGCUAUUGUGUCGGUUGCGUUAGGCAGGCGAAGUGGCUAGGGCGUAAUUUUUGUUGAUUUUCCAGCCCAAAUGGAUCGGCCCAGGUUAUCUGUGCCUGUGUCCUGCGAACAUAUGGCACAUUCCAGCGUACGUACGAAAAUGGAUAGGAUUUGUCAAAAGUCUAAAUUACCCAUUAUACGCUUUGUGAGGGGGGUGUAUCGAAGCGUUUCUCCACAUAAAUUAUAUUUGUCCACAUACACCACAUACAUAAAAACAGGUAGAAGCGGUUGCAUGGUGAAAAUGUCCUCUCAAUAUGCAUGCCUAUGAAUACUAUCACCAGAAAGCCAAGGACUAACAAUUAUUCAGGGGUCAAGAUUGAAGACAGACGUCCAAGAUUGGAAGUCGGCCGGCCUAAGAGGGGCAAAACCAUUGUACAUUAUAUUGUAUGGACCUAGCAAGAUCCUAAAGAUAAGUGAUAAUGGAGAUCAUGGGGGCCACCCUUAUAACCAUAUGUCCAAAUGUUCUUAUUUGUUUAUUUUUCUUUUCUCUUUUCGGAAGAAUCCAUCCUGCCUCUAUGGUCAUCCUGACCACUUCGUAUUGUUAUCUAAUCUCCUCCCUUAAUUAAUAUAAAGAAUUACCGCAGCUGAAUUCACUAAAAAAAGUAUUCAGUUUAUUUUAAUUUAUUCAACUAUUAUGGCAUAUCAAUUGGAUUGCAAGUUCUUGGCGGUUGCAUUUGAAUCAUAUUUGAUGUGCACAAAGGCUUCAGUGUCAAGGUGGUCGGACGAGUAUUUAUGUCCAUUAUAUAUGCGUUAGCUUGAGAUCAUCAGGCACCUGUUAUGCAUCUGUCCAGUUAAAAGGAUGUUCAGACUCAGGCUUGCCCUACCAUAUAUGGCUGUGACACUCUGAACCAAGCAAGUUGGUCAUAUAUGUCGAGCACUAUUAACUCUUUGGAAGAAGAUCCACCAAGUACAGAAAACAAAUCAAAUAUCUUCUUAACCUUAUCACCAGAAAAAUUAGCAAGAGAUGAAUAGUAACAUUUUAAAGAAGAAAGAUAUGUUUGAAAAGGGAUAUAUAUUAUGGCGACGAUUAGAACAGCCCUUGACGAAUGGUGCCUAGCCUGCGAAAGUUUCUUAUGAAUAUAGUCAACACUCUAUAUCAACUGUUGUAAGAUUUUAGAAAUAUUUUUGGGGACAUAUGAUACAUGUCUAUUAUACAUAUGAUUCAACAGAAGUUUGAUUGAAUACAUAUUUAAAACGUGACUGACUUCUAUAUGGACGGAGUAUUUCACAAAGGACUCACUGCCAACUGUGUGAAUAUUCCAAGAUAGUUAGUGCACAUAAAUGUUCAAAUCCAUAGCUGCAUAAAUAUACAAAAGCAAUGUGUUAGACCACUACACAUGCUUCUGAAAGGAGGCAAAAAAAUGUAUGCUUGAUUGAUGACCGUUCAUGCAUGAAAUUAAUUUUUGAUUUCUAAUUAUUUUGGUCAUAUAAUGGAAAUAGAGACAUUAUAAAGAUCCAACAGCAUGCUAUCACACACGUGUGAACACAGACACACACAAAUAACAUUUGCCGAGCACUCACAAAUAAAAGGUGUGGCUACUCUUGGGUGUUCUACAGCUGGCUUAAAAAAACACGUAUGAAACAUGAUCCCCAAAAAUCUGAAAUUCGCAACAUAUGAAAAUCCACCCUCAAACAUAUUUCUAGUGUCUCAAUUCUUUUAGUUUCAGAUGGUAUGUCCAGCCAAAGUAGUUGUACACAUACAUUACUAUGUUCUAUUAUUUGAGAUUCUAAGAGAACAUUUAGUAACUAGCCCGUGCGAUGCACGGGUUCACGACUAGUAUAUAUAAAGCUUAAUGGUGCCUAAGAAAGCUCGCACAAUUUUACAGUGGCUAUGGAAAUGUGUUGCCAAACUGAGACAUAAGAUUUUCAUUUGGCAUCCAGAGUUGCAGACCGCUUGUGUUAUCCUUAAUCCAUGGCCACUCUAAUUUUUCCGGCUGGGCCUUCCCUGUGGUACCGCGGCAAGGCUUGCGUGUGUAUAUGUUUCCUUUAACUACCACUAGCACAUAUGCCCAUGCGUGCGUUGCAAUGGGAGAGAUAAUGGCAUAUCCACCAAUAUAUCUAGCAGCAUGACCCAACAACAUCCGAAUGAUGUCACCCGACGACGGCAGGAAGGCACGCACAGAGGUCUAGUAAAAACUCAUCAAUUGUACGGGCAUGGUUAAUUCGCGUGAAUUCAAGGGUGUGAGAUUAGUUAGUGUUGGUCCCACAAUUGAAUUCGGGGGGUGAUUAGUUAGUGUGGGCCCACCCUUGAAUUCACCGGGGGAGACAAAAUAAUUAGGGCGAGGAGAGAUUUACGGGGCUUGGUCCCCAGAUGCGUUGCGGCAGUCAUUAUUCGAGCAUUGCAAUGCUCGCACGUGAGGAGCUCCUUUUCCAAUUGUAUAUUAAGAAGCAUGCUAUAGAUACAAUGUUUUUGAUACAUUUUUGUACGAUGAUCCUGAUCUUAAAGGGCCUUCUAAUUUUUAAAUCUUAAAGGCAUUAUUUGUAAGUUGUCGUGAAAAAAAUCUCGCUAAAAGGGUUGUGUUAGACCAUCUUCAGUACAUUAGAAAUAACGAAUUAUAAUUCCUUGGCAUUUGAACAAACAAUCCCUACUUAUUUACACAUACAAUACUUUUGGUAUGAUUUUGAAAUCUUGAAGGCAUUAUUGUAAGUUGAAGCAAUUUUGAAAUCUCACUAAAAGGUCUGGUAAGCUUUAGAAAUAACUAAUUAUAAUUUUGCAAAAAAAAGAAAUAACUAAUUACUAAUUUUGGUAUGAUUUAUUGUCUGGGUAGUAGUUCCUUUGCAACAUUAUUCUCUCCUUUCUUGAAGGAACUCUUGCCUGCUCCCUCGCCAUGCUCCCAUCCAUGCUCCCACUCCAUCCUAUGGUUGUCCUUUUUUCCUUUUUCUUUCUAAACUAAUCAUCUCCCCCCCUGAUUUUAAGGGGAUGGGGCCGGGCCUUAUUUUGUUCCAAUUAAAUCAUGCCACGUAUGCGGGAGCAUUUUGUCCCUCCUUCUAGCGCCUCCCACUGAAAAUGCCCUAAAAGUUUUUGAGGGAUUUUUUUACUGUGUCCUACUUCACGAAUCACGAGGCAAAUCAAGUAGGCGGCAUGGCCUGGCCGGUGAGUGCCAUUGCACUUACUUGCCCCAGCGAUUUUCCGCCUGCAUUGUAGAAUUCUUUCUCCGAGUCCUGUGAAUUAAAGAUGGUGCAGACAAAAGUAUAUCCUAUAUGCGUACAUGUGCAUGAUCAGAACAUGUUUUUACGUGCGUCUACUAUAAAUCAUGACCAUUUUUAACACAAAUCAUGACCAUUCAUGAUUAGUGAAUCAUACUGUCUUAACUUAUGUGAAAUCAUGUGGAGUAAUAUAAUAUAAUAUAAUAGAUAGAUAGAUCCAUGUUGUAUUAUUUUUUGUUUACAAAAAAUAUCUGUCAUUACACAUUUUGAUUUAUGCAUUUGUUUACAAAAAAACAGUAACAUUUCAUGGUGGAGAGUUUGUAUUGUUUCAUACUGAACACCAAUGUUUUCCCGUAAAAGAAAAUAAUGCCUACGCAUAUGCUUUUAUAUUAUUAUUAUUCUUUCAAACUUAUUCAUAUAGUAUUUUUGAUUGUGCAACCAUAAUUUUUAUUAUCUCUCUCGUUCCACUACAUGCUCUUACUCAAUGAUUUUUUUAUAAUGGGUGUUUUUAUUAACUCAGCCAAAACAUAAUGAGCCACAUCCGGUCUCUGCAUAACUAAGAUGCACACAGCCAAAAGCAGAAGUCUGACAAAAAUAAGAUAAGAAAAUCAACAUAUCGACACCAGUGAGUCAUAUAGUUCCGACACUAUGCCUCUGUUGAAGGACGGGGUGGAGCGAUCUGGAGAUUAUGCUUCCCUCCAUUUUGAGUAAAUACCUCCCUGGCCACUUGUUCCAACCGCAUAGACGCCGCCACGAAUAAUGGUUGGUACUCUGUUCGGUGUAGCAUACACCAUGUAGGAACUGAGUGCUCACUCCUAGUUACUAAAUUAUGUACACACUAGUAGAAAAAGGGCCAUUUGUCCCGGUUCGUAAGGCCCAUUUGUCUCAGUUAGGGAACCGGGACUAAAGGGUCGGUACUAAAGCCCCACACCUUUACUCCCGGUUCUUACACCAACCGAGACAGAUGGGGCUCCACGUGGCCGCUGCGGCUUGCCAUGGCAGGGGGGCCUUUUGUCCCGGUUGGUAGCACCAACCGGGACCAAUAAGCUACCACGCGUCAGCAUUUGAGGGGCUUGGGUUUUUGUUUUUCUUCUGAAGGGGAGGGGAGGGGUGUUGGGGGUUUUGGGGGGUUUUGUAUGGUUAAUUUUGGGGGGUUUCAUAUAUUGUGUUAGGUAGUAAUUAAUUAAUAGAGAGAAGUGUCCUCUCUUAUCUCCGUGCUUGGUCGACGCUACGUACUAUACGUAUAGAGAGGCCCUCGACACACUUGCCAGUAAGCAAAUGAAGGAAACCAUUAAGUACAGAAGUUCGUCAUGAACAUAUGCAUACAAACAUAAGUGAUAUCGACCUCUCCUUCUCUGAGAGAUAGGUCGAACAACAAGUUUCCGUAUAUCCAUCCGGCGCUACUAGCUACUUAUAUACAAUAUUAAGAUCUCUUACAAUAUAAUCCCCUAAUUAUAUAUGAACUCAGUUUCCAGAUGGUAUUCUCGGGCUUUAUUGAUGACGUGGUCAAGAAAGAAUCCCUCCAAUUCCUCUUGAAUUGCUUUGAUGCGAUCUUGUGGUAGGAGUUCAUCCCGCAUCUGCCACAUCUAAUUUGAAGAAGGGGGUCAAUCACUAGUGGAAUAACAGCCAUUUGUCCAAGUUCAUAAGGCUCAUUUGUCCCGGUUGGGGAACCGAGACUAAAGGGUCGUUACUAAAGCCCUACACCUUUAGUCCCGGUUGUCGGUGUCAAAACCGGCGGAUCUCGGGUAGUUGGUCCCGAACUGUGCGUCUAGGCCGGAUGGUAACAGGAGGCAAGGAACACAAUGUUUUACCCAGGUUCGGGCCCUCUCGAUGGAGGUAAAACCCUACGUCCUGCUUGAUUAAUAUUGAUGAUAUGGGUAGUACAAGAGUAGAUCUACCACGAGAUCAAGGAGGCUAAACCCUAGAAGCUAGCCUAUGGCAUGAUUGUUGUGUAUGGAGUUGAUUGCCUACGGACUACAACCCUCCGGUUUAUAUAGACACCGGAUAGGGUUAGGGUUACAUAGAGUCGGUUACAAUGGUAGGAGAUCUUGAAUAUCCGCAUCGCCAAGCUUGCCUUCCACGCCAAGGAAAGUCCCAUCCGGACACGGGACAAAGUCUUCAAUCUUGUAUCUUCAUAGUCCAGGAGUCCGGCUACCCGAACACCCCCUAAUCUAGGACUCCCUCAGUAGCCCCUGAACCAGGCUUCAAUGACGACGAGUCCGGCGUGCAAAUUGUCUUCGGCAUUGCAAGGCGGGUUCCUCCUCCACGUCCUUCAUAGAAGAUUGUAAACACCAAGAGUAGUGUCCGGCUCUGCAAAAUAAGCUUCCACAUAUUUCCGUAGAGAGAAUAAUAUUAACACAAAUCAAAUCUGCUGACGUAUUCCGCAGUGCGUCAUCACACUGCAGCCAAGUCCUUCACUCGAAUCGUUUUCACUUUUCCACCUCAGCGUGUUUUGCGAGGCGGUUUCCUUGGCACGUCUUGUCAAAGUAGAUAUCGUGUACCCCCCUUUUACGGGAUUCUCAUCAAUACAGACAUGGGUAACCCAACCGCGCCACUUAUCUCGACGCUUGGGAGGCAAGCGAGUUUUACUAGGCAGGUGGGGACGCACAACCGCAUCUACCCAUAUAAGGGGAUAAGGAUCCACCUUUUUACCUACGCCUUCUUCCUCCUUUGCCUAUCCAUCUCCUGCGCACCCGAGCUCCAGCGCCCAAGCCCGCACUUCCCACCUCGACCUUCUCCAGCAAUGUCCGGAGCGGGAGGCAAGUGGAUGGUCUCUACCACCACGGAGGGUAAAAUCAAGAAGCUAAGGAAGGCCGGAUACCUGUCCAAGGACAUCGCGCACUGGCUUCCCGAAGAGGGGCAGCUUCUCCCCACCCCAAGGCCCCAUGAGAGGGUAGUAUUUCUCCCCCACUUCCUCCGCGGACUGGGUUUUCCACUCCACCCAUUUGUCCGGGGGCUCAUGUUCUACUACGGCCUGGAUUUCCACGAUCUGGUCCCGAACUUCAUCCUCAACAUCUCGGCGUUUAUCGUCUUUUGCGAGGCUUUUCUCCGCGUCCGCCCUCAUUUCGGCCUCUGGCUCAAGACCUUCAACGUCAAGCCCAAGGUGGUGUGCGGCAGCCAGGCGGAGUGCGGAGGCGCCAUGGUGGGCAAGAUGGCCAAUGUCAUAUGGUUCGAGGGCUCUUUUGUGGAGACCCUAAAGGGAUGGCAAUCUGGGUGGUUUUACAUCACCGAGCCGCGCGAUCCGAAAUGGACCGCAGCCCCCGAGUUCCGAUCCGGACCCCCCAAGCGGCUUGUGUCCUGGAAAGAGACGGGCCUGUCAUGGGGUGACGAAAAUGAGGUGACCGGAUUGCAAACAUGCAUCCAGUCCCUGGUGAACAAGCCAGUCUGGCUUGUUAAUGUAAUCCAGGUUAUGCUCGUCCGCCGGAUCCUCCCGUGCCAACAACGGGAUUUUAAUCUAUGGGAGUUCGACCCGGUGCAGCAUCAAACCCUCAGCAGGCUCUUCGACACGACGUACGAAGACGCCUGGAAGAUGCUAUUAAAGGGCGUCGAGGCUCCCGCAUCCGCUUCCGAGGACCGCGAAUACAGCUCGCAGCGUCACGCUAGCGAGGUAAGCCAUCUACACCUUUUAUAGGAUGUUCAAGCUUUUUUCAUAGUUUGACUCUAUGUGGGAUCUAAACUCCCUUACCUUUGAAAGGCUUGGCGGGCAAUAUCCGGACCGAUUAACUGUCCGGCUCCGCUGCCCGAAGACCCAGCCCCAGCUCUACUAGUGAAGCUGCUGGUUCCGGAGCCUUAUGUGGUGCCGAAGACGAAGGCCAAGAAGAAGAAGACCACAGGGACUCGAAAGAGUGCAUGCAACGUGGUGGUGUCGGACUCGUCAUCUGACGAGUCCAAGACGCCCUCCUCCCAUGAAAACGAGGAGGAGGAAGAAGAAAACUCCCCCCCCCCCCCAGCGGAGGGAGGAGAGAAGAGGAAGGCCGCCCCAACGGGGGAGGCCGAGGGGUCUAGGAAAAGGAAGACCCCUCCGCCAGACUACGCCCCCGACGCCGAAGAGGGCGAAGAGGAGUGGCCGAACAGGGCCAAACGUCCGGCGAAAUCGUAAGUUCGGAUAUCAGAGUAACUCAUGAUGUUCCUUUGUUGCACAGCUUUCCCUAAUGUCGAAUGUAAUUAUGCAGUCCGCCCCGGGCCAAAUUCGACGAAUCAUCGUGCGGCUCCCUGGACUCAUCGGACGUGAACUCAGUUCCGCCCGCUGUCUCCCCCCGCACUGUGGACGACGCCGAAGUGGCGUCGCGACAAGCCCCGGGGCAGGAGGAGGUGGUCCCGGAGGAGCCACAAGGCAACCUCCCGGACUCCAGGAGUGAAGGGGACAAGACCCCCCAGGGCUCCAAGUCUGGCUUUGAGCCGGACACCGCACCGGAAUCUACAACAGUUCCGGACCGCGGUAGGCGAACUCCUUCCAAGAGGAGUAAGCCUUCUGAGCCGGCGUCCUCCGUCCAGCCGAAGGCGCCGGAAAAUCUGCUGGAGGAGCUUAAGGGCGCCUCCAUCGACGAGGAGCACCAUGCCAUCAUGAGUAUGGUGGUCCAGAAGGUUCGGUCCGCCAAAAGCGGACUGACUGAAGCUUGUAAAAAUAUGUAAAAAUAUUACCGUAUAGACAGUAGCCCCUGAUGCUCUGUUUGGCGUUCGGAAAGAAAAGCUGGAUAGAGGAUCUAUUAAAUAUCGCAGGAGUCUAACUAAAAAGCAGUCAAUAUACGUAUGCAGGCUUCGCUGCUGGCCACCGCUGCACUGACUGCGGAGGUGGGUGCCCUGAAACAGGGCCUCGAGCGGACCGAGCAAGAGCUCGGCCUUGCCAAACGGCAGCUCGAGGAGAAAGAAGGUAAGAAAUACCUUACAGAAAAAGUGCCUAUAAAAAGACCUGAUUGCAAAAAAUAACAGGAUUGUACUGCUUAUUGUAGGGGCCACGACUGAGGUGGCGACCCUCAAGCAGGCGCUGUCCGAGGCCAAAAAGAAAACGGCCGUGGAGUGCACCGAGCGAGAGAAACUUGAGGCCCAGGUCAGCGAGGUGCAGCAGGAGCUUCAGGCUCUCAUGAAAAAACAUGAGAGUUUGGAGCUUGAGUCCAAGACGCAAGCGUAUGAGCUCGCGGCGGCCCUUGAGACUGCCAAGUCUGCCAAGGCCGAAGCCCAAAAGGCCCUCCAAGAGUUGGAGGAGAUGAAAAAGAUAGCGGCGGGUAAGGCAUUCUUUAUGCAAAGCAGAAGUAUAAAAGUGAAGUACUUGUUACUUACCCGAAUCCAGAGCUCUCCAGGGGCAUUCGCAGAUCUUCCCCGCGGCGUAUCUGACGCCGCUGCAUUCUACCGAGCCGAAGAGGGCAGCUCGACGGAGAAGGUGUUCUGGUUUCAGUAUGCUGAGGCCGGACACCCUGUGCCCUUGAGCGACCAGCUGAAACAGCUGGUCGAGCUCCACAAGGCGGCCGAGCAGGCCAUGAAGGGCUUCAUAGUUCGGCUGUGGCCCGGAGAGGCCCUGCCUGGGAGCUACUUCGGGUUGGUGUGGCGACUGGUGGAGGCCUGUCCAAGGCUCGAGGUCAUUAAGUGCUCCGUCUGCAUCGAAGGUGCCCGUAGGGCCCUUGCCCGUGCAAAGGUGCACUGGGGCAAGCUGGACGGUGAGAAGCUUGUGAGGGACGGGCCGCCGCCGGGGAAGGAGCAUCGCAAGCCCGAGAACUACUAUAAGGAUGUUCUAGCGGGUGCCCGCCUUGUGGCGGAUGAAUGUACCAAGGAUGUAAUUUUUUAAUGAACUCGCUCGUGUUUAUCCUGUGUGCUGAAAAGUUGUUCAUAUGCGCUAAGCAAUGCUUGUUGAAUUUAAAAUAUUACUUUCUGUGCGGCCGUUUAUCAAAAAUUGAGAGAUGGCCAGUCGGCGGCUUCUGCCCCCAUGCCACUAGUGCUGGGGUGUUCGGGAUAAACCUGAGCGCUCUUUUUCCCAUAGUUGGAUCCUUCGAGGGAGGCGCUCAGCACAACGAACCAGGCAAUCGGACUAUAAUGCUUGAACACUCUAACUUAGCCAUAGAACUCUAUAAUUUUAAAUUUCGGCGAAGCCCCUAGUUCGGAAGACCGAGUUCGGGGCGCUAUCCACGCCUUGGCCGGACAAAGCCGGCUCCUCGCUCGAAGCGGCAUAAGUCUUUAGGGACUCGAAAAACCUGUCGAACAGCGACCGGUCUCUCACCAUAUCAUGACAGUCAGUUUUACCUUUCUCCACUGAGGUGCUUAACCCAGCUCAACCGGGGCACAAUCGCAGUGGUUCUCCUAGUGCUACCUUAGCCGAUAUAGCGGAACGUAAGGCACCAAAACAUAGGAGCCAGGCAAACGCAACUAUUGACCCAAAUCAUGAUACGGAGCCGAUGCAUAUAGUGCUAUAAGUUCGGGGUGCCGUACUUGUGAAAGUGUACGGACUUCUCACGCCAUAUUUAUGGGUACUAAAGCCCCUGACGUAUUUUGCCGUACCACGGUGUACGGGUGCAACAUGUCAUAAACAUAUAUAUGAAAAGGUGAUAAUGCGAAAAAUAGACAGAAAGCUAUCCAUUGUUUAUAGAGAGGCUAUUUAUCAAAGCCGAACGAUACAAAUAGUGCGGUAAGCAAAAAAUAUUGGACUAUUUAGUAUGUCCUGACCAGGAGCAGGCCGCGGAAUUGUGUUUAAAACAGGUAUACCGCUCGUAACAGAGACCACCUGGGAGUUCCAUAAUGCGGCAUGGCUUGUCUUCCUCCCUGGAUCUUGCAUCGUUUGUGCGGCCGUCGAAUUGCCGAACAGGUCGUCCGAAGUAUGGAGUCCUGAAAGUAAGAAAAAAAUUAAAAAAAGAAUCCGGCAGCCCCUAGUACGUUUUAAGUCGUAUUUUGGGCGUGCCGUUAUUGCCCCUUCCCCUGUGCCCAUGGUAUUUCAAGGGCGUAGUUAUGUACGCGGGGUACUGGUUUCGCUAUGUCGCGAAAGCUGGGGUUGGGGCCACAUUGCUACGCUUGCUUAGAGUGUGCCAGGCGGUCCUGCUGUGGGUUACUCCAGGGGCGCCUGGCAGUGUCUGGCUUUUUAAUGGCCGGACUAGAGAAUUGCCUGAGAAGGCUACUUUGUACCUCCGCUGCGAGAGCCGCCGUAUGCUCCCCCAUAUGGAGGGAGCGUUCGGUGUUUCCGUUGACCGUAAUUACUCCUCGAGGGCCUGGCAUCUUGAGCUUGAUAUAUGCGUAGUGCAGCACCGCAUUGAACUUUGAGAAUGCAGUUCGUCCGAGCAGGGCGUGAUAGCCACUGCGAAACGGGACUAUAUCGAAGAUUAACUCUUCGCUUCGGAAAUUGUCCGGGGAUCCGAAGACCACGUCAAGUGUUACUGAGCCUGUACAGUUGGCUUCUACACCUGGUAUAAUGCCUUUAAAGGUCGUUCUUGUGGGCUUAAUCCUUGAGGGAUCUAUGCCCAUUUUCCGCACUGUAUCCCGAUAAAGCAGGUUCAGGCUACUGCUGCCGUCCAUGAGGACUCUUGUGAGAUGAAAUCCGUCGAUGAUUGGGUCGAGAACCAAUGCGACGAAGCCGCCAUGACGGAUGCUAGUGGGAUGGUCCCUUUGAUCAAAAGUGAUUGGGUAGGAGGACCAUGGGUUGAACUUUGGGGCGACUGGCUCCAUCGCGUAUAUGUCUCGCAGCGCACGCUUCCGCUCCCGCUUGGGAAUGUGGGUUGCAUUUAUCAUGUUCACCGUCCGCACUUGUGGGGGAAAGCCCUUCUGUCCAUUGUUGUUCGGCGGCUUGGGAUCCUCAUCGUCGUUGUGCAGCCCCUUUUUCUCUGUUUUUGGCCCUUAACUUGCCUGCCUGCUUGAACACCCAACAAUCCCUAUUAGUGUGAUUGGCUGGCCUUUCGGGGGUGCCAUGUAUCUGGCACAAGCGAUCGAGUAUUCGGUCCAAACUGGACGGGCCCUGAGUAUUCUUUUUGAAUGGCUUUUUCCGCUGACCGGAUUUAUAGCCUUUGAAUCCGGCAUUGACUGCCGUGUCUUCAUUGCUGUUGCUGCUAACGCGGCGUUUUUGCUUAUUCCGACGUGUCCUGCCACUUUUGUCCUUGGUAUCCGAAUUACCAGGGUUCUUUGAUAAGUUGUUACUGCGAGCUAGCCAGCUAUCUUCUCUCGCGCAAAAGCGGGUCAUGAGUGUCGUGAGGGCUGCCAUGGAUUUCGGCUUUUCCUGUCCCAGGUGCCGGGCAAGCCACUCGUCGCAGAUGUUAUGCUUCAAGGCUGCCAGGGCCUCUGCGUCCGGAUAGUCGACUAUCUGGUUUUUCUUUGUUAGGAACCAUGUCCAGAAUUGUCUGCCGAUUCCUCUGGCUGCUGAAUUAUGUGGCUUAAGUCGUCGGCAUCCGGUGGUCGCACGUAAGUGCCCUAGAAGUUGUCGAGGAAUGCGGCUUCCAGGUCCUCCCAAGAACCGAUUGAGUCUGCUGGCAAGCUGUUAAGCCAAUGCCGGGCCGGUCCUUUAAGUUUGAGCAGGAGCUAUUUGAUGGCGUGUAGAUCAUCGCCGCGUGCCAUGUGGAUGUGAAGGAGAUAAUCCUCGAUCCAUACCGCCAGAUCUGUUGUGCCAUCGUAUGAUUCGAUGUUUACGGGUUUGAAACCCUCUCGGAUUUUAUGAUCCAUUACUUCGUUCGUGAAGCAUAGCGGGUGUGCGGCGCCUCUGUAUUGGGCUAUAUCAUGACGCAGCUCGGAAGAGCUAUGUCUGUUGUGUUCGGCCCGGCCGGAUUUGUUGUAUCCGGAGUGAAGAUCAUUGUCACAUGCUGUAGGGUGGCUGCGCGAUCCGUAGAUCGAUCUUUUUUGUCUUGCCUUAUCCUCCAGUAUGUCUCGCAGAUCGGGCGCAUUUUCCCGUGCCUUAUUUACGCACCGUCGGGGCAUGGCUUGGGUGGAGGGCCGAGAGGCCUCUCUGUCGCGGCCGUGAGGUGGCCGGUCUGCCAUGUCAUUCGCUGGUGACGUAGGUACUUCCUCCUCUGAUCGGGGUAGCGGCCUGCGCUUCGGGUAACUCUUGGAGGGGCGUUCGUGUUCAUACUCUUCGGCUGCAAGGACUUCAGUCCAUCUGUCAGCUAGCAAAUCUUGGGCGGCUGUAAGCUGUUGCUGCUUUUUCUGGAGGCUGCUUGCCAUGGCUAAAAGCCUGUGUUUAAAACGCUCUUGUUCGGCGGGGUCUGAUGGUAUGACGAAUUUGUCGUCAUCGAGGCUUGCCUCGUCUCCAGAGGGAGGCGUAUAGUUAUCAUCCUCGACUUCUCGGUCUGCCGCUCUCUCAUGAGGGCUGGCUACUCCAUCUCCCUGUGCCGAAUCUUGCUGAGGUGGGUGUUCUUCGGCGUUAUCCGGGGUAGUAUUAUCUCCCGUGCCGGAAUCACCGUUUUUGCUUUGGCUGUUUCUUGGGGGCGUCAUCCCCCACUAUUCCAUCACCAUCUCCAUCUUUUGGAGUAUCCACCAUAUAUAUGUCAUAUGACGAGGUGGCCUUCCAGCGCCCUAUAGGUGUUGGUUCCUAUUCGUCUCCUACUUCGUCGUCCAUGCCGUCGAUGUCUUCGGAGCCGAAGUCACGCAUGUCGGUUAAAUCAUCGACAGUGGCUACAAAGUGGGUGGUGGGUGGGCUUUGAAUUUCCUCAUCGUCCGUAUCCCACCCUCGCUGACCGUAGUCCGGCCAGGGCUCUCUUGAUAAAGAGAGAGACUUAAGAGAAUUCCGGAUGUCACCAAAAGGCGAAUGCUGAAAGAUGUCUGCGGCGGUGAACUCCAUUAUCGGCGCCCAAUUGGAUUCGAUUGGCAGGGGCGCAGGGGGUUUGGAGUCCGGGAAGGAGUCCGGAUCCUCGGAGUCACGGGUCGUCCAGAGUGCGGGGCUAGCGUUCAGCUCGAUCGCUUUCGGGAUCGCAGCCCCUGAGGUGACGUCCAGCCACUCAUCCUCGAUUGGCGCAAUAGGCAUCGAGUUAGGGGUCAGAACCGAUGCGUGUGCGGCCUCCAGGACACUGUCCGGGGGCAGAGCUAGAUCAUGCCCCUCGAGAUAGUGCGGCGCGCUUGACCGUGGCUCGAGCCCGUCGAAGAUCAAGUCUCCGCGGAUGUCAGCCGUGUAGUUUAAGCUUCCAAACCUGACUUGAUGGCUAGGGGCGUAGCUUUCGAUCUGCUCCAGGUGGCCGAGCGAAUUGGCCCGCAGAGCAAAGUUGCCGAAGACGAAGAUCUGUUCGGGGAGAAAAGUAUCACCCUCGACCGCAUCGUUGUUGAUGAUCAAAGGAGCCAUCGGGCCUAAAGGCGACGACACAGAGGAACUCUCAAUGAAAGCACCAAUGUCGGUGUCAAAACCGGCGGAUCUCGGGUAGUGGGUCCCGAAUUGUGCGUCUAGGCCGGAUGGUAACAGGAGGCAGGGAACACGAUGUUUUACCCAGGUUCGGGCCCUCUUGAUGGAGGUAAAACCCUACGUCCUGCUUGAUUAAUAUUGAUGAUAUGGGUAGUACAAGAGUAGAUCUACCACGAGAUCAAGGAGGCUAAACCCUAGAAGCUAGCCUAUGGCAUGAUUGUUGUGUAUGGAGUUGAUUACCUACGGACUACAACCCUCCAGUUUAUAUAGACACCGGAUAGGGUUAGGGUUACAUAGAGUCGGUUAUAAUGGUAGGAGAUCUUGAAUAUCCACAUCGCCAAUCUUGCCUUCCACGCUAAGGAAAGUCCCAUCCGGACACAGGACAAAGUCUUCAAUCUUGUAUCUUCAUAGUCCAGGAGUCCGGCUGAAGGUCUAGUCCGGCUACCCGAACACCCCCUAAUCCAGGACUCCCUCACCGGUUCUUACACCAACUGGGAGAGAUGGGCUUCCACGUGGCCGCUGCGGCGAGCCCAGGCAGGAGGUCCUUUGGUCCCGGUUAGUGACACUGAUACGUCUCCGACAUAUCUAUAAUUUUUGAUUGCUCCAUGCUAUUAUGUUAUCCAUUUUGGAUGUUAAUGGGCUUUAUUUUACACCUUUAUAUCAUUUUUGGGACUAACCUACUAAUUGGAGGCCAAACCCAAAUUGCUGUUUUUUUUGCCUAUUUUAGGUUUUCGAAGAAGAGGAAUAUCAAACGGAGUCCAAACGGAAUGAAAACUUCGGGAACGUGAUUUUCUCAACGAACAUGAUCCAGGAGACUUGGAGUGUGCGCCAAGAAAUAAGGGAGGAAGGCACGAGGCAGGGGUCGCGCCUACCCCCCUUGGGCGUGCCCUCCACCCUCGUGGGCCCUCCACUGCUCCACCGACGUACUUCUUCCUCCUAUAUAUAUACACGUACCCCCCCAAACAACCAGGAGCACCAUGAAAACCUAAAUCCACCGCCGCAACCUUCUGUACCCGAGAGAUCCCAUCUUGGGGCCUUUUCCGGAGGGGGCAUCGAUCACGGAGGGCCUCUACAUCAACUGCAUGGCCUCUCCGAUGAUGUGUAAGUAGUUUACUUCAGACCUACGGGUCCAUAGUUAUUAGCUAGAUGGCUUCUUCUCUCUCUUUGGAUCUCAAUACAAAGUUCUCCUCGAUGUUCUUGGAGAUCUAUUCGAUGUAAUCUUCUUUUGCGGUGUGUUUGUCGAGAUCCGAUGAAUUGUAGGUUUAUGAUCCAGAUUAUCUAUGGACAAUAUUUGAUUCUCCUCUGAAUUCUUUUAUGUAUGAUUCGUUUAUCUUUGCAAGUCUCUUCGAAUUAUCAGUUUGGUUUGGCCUACUAAAUUGAUCUUUCUUGCAAUGGGAGAAGUGCUUAGCUUUGGGUUCAAUCUUGCGGUGUUCGAUCCCAGUGACUGAAAGGGAACCGAUAUUUAUUGUAUUGUUGCCAUCGAGGAUAAAAAGAUGGGGUUUAUAUCAUAUUGCAUGAGUUUAUCCCUCUACAUCAUGUCAUCUUCCUUAAAGCAUUACUCUGUUCUCUUGAACUUAAUACUCUAGAUGCAUGCUGGAUAGCGGUCGAUGUGUGGAGUAAUAGUAGUAGAUGCAGAAUCGUUUCAGUCUACUUGUCUCGGACCUGAUGCAUAUAUACAUGAGCAUAACUAUAUAUUCUCAUAACUAUGCUCAAUUCGAUCAAUUGCUCGACAGCAAUUCGUUUACCCACCGUAAUACUUAUGCUCUUGAGAGAAGCCACUAGUGAAACCUAUGGCCUCGGGGUCUAUCUUCUAUCAUAUUAAUCCUCCAAUACUUAGUCAUUUCUAUUUCUAUUUAUUUUAUUUUGCAUCUUUUAUUUCUCUUUAUCAUAAAAAUACCAAAAAUCUUAUCUUAUCAUAUCUAUCAGAUCUCACUGUCGUAAGUGACCGUGAAGGGAUUGACAACCCCUUUAUCGCGUUGGUUGCGAUGUUCUUAUUUGUUUGUGUAGGUUCGUGGGACUUGAGCAUGAUCUCCUACUGGAUUGAUACCUUGGUUCUCAAAAACUAAGGGAAAUACUUACGCCGAUUUAUUUCAUCACUCUUUCUUCUUCAAGGGAAAACCAACGCAAUGCUCAAGAGGUAGUGUCGGUGUCAAAACCGGCGGAUCUCGGGUAGUGGGUCCUGAACUGUGCGUCUAGGCCGGAUGGUAACAGGAGGCAGGGAACACGAUGUUUUACCCAGGUUCGGGCCCUCUUCAUGGAGGUAAAACCCUAUGUCCUGCUUGAUUAAUAUUAAUGAUAUGGGUAGUACAAGAGUAGAUCUACCAUGAGAUCAAGGAGGCUAAACCCUAGAAGCUAGCCUAUGGUAUGAUUGUUGUAUAUGGAGUUGAUUGCCUACGGACUACAACCCUCCGAUUUAUAUAGACACCGGAUAGGGUUAGGGUUACAUAGAGUCGGUUACAAUGGUAGGAGAUCUUGAAUAUCCGCAUCGCCAAGCUUGCCUUCCACGCCAAGGAAAGUCCCGUCCGGACACGGAACGAAGUCUUCAAUCUUGUAUCUUCACAGCCCAGGAGUCCGGCUGAAGGUAUAGUCCGGCUAUCCGAACACCCCCUAAUCCAGGACUCCCUCAGUAGCCCCUGAACCAGGCUUCAAUGACGACGAGUCCGGCACGCAAAUUGUCUUCGGCAUUGCAAGGCGGGUUCCUCCUCCAAGUCCUUCAUACAAGAUUGUAAGCACCAAGAGUAGUGUCCGACUCUGCAAAAUAAGCUUCCACAUAUCGCCAUAGAGAGAAUAAUAUUAACACAAAUCAAAUCCGCUGACGUAUUCCGCAGUGCGUCAUCACACUACAGCCAAGUCCUUCACUCGAAUCGUUUUCACUUUUCCACCCCAGUGUGUUUUGCGAGGUGGUUUCCUUGGCACGUCUUGUCAAAGCAGAGAUCGUGUCCCCUUUGUUUACGGGAUUCUCGUUAAUACGGACGUGGGUAACCCAACCGCGCCACUUAUCAUGGCGCUUGGGAGGCAAGCGAGUUCUACUAGGCUGGUGGGGACGCAUAGUCGCAUCCGCCCAUAUAAGGGGAUAAGGAUCCACCUUUUUACCUAUGCCUUCUUCCUCCUUUGCCUAUCCAUCUUCUGCGCACCCGAGCUCUAGUGCCCCAUCCCGCGCUUCCUACCUCAACCCUCUCCAACAAUGUCCGGAGCGGGAGGCAAGUGGAUGGUCUCCUCCGUCACGAAGGGCCAUGUCAAAAGGUUAAGGAAGGCCGGAUACUUGUCCAAAGACAUCGCGCACCGGCUUCCUGAGGAGGGGCAGCUUCUCCCCACCCCAAGGCCCCAUGAGAGGGUAGUAUUUCUUCCCCACUUCCUCCGCGGACUGGGUUUUCCUAUCCACCCAUUUGUCCGCGGGCUCCUGUUCUACUAUGGCCUAGAUUUCCAUGAUCUGGCCCCGAACUUCAUCCUGAAUAUCUCGGCAUUUAUCGUCGUGUGCGAGGCUUUCCUCUGCAUUCGCCCCCAUUUCAGCCUCUGGCUCAAGACCUUCAACGUCAAGCCAAAGGUGGUGCGCGGUAACCAGGCGGAGUGCGGAGGUGCCAUGGCGGGAGAAAUUGCCAACGUCCUAGGGCUCGAGGGCUCCUUUGUGGAGACCUUGAAGGGGUGGUAGUCAGGGUGAUUUUACAUCACCGAGCCACGCGAUCCGAAGUGGAUCGCAGCCCCUGAAUUCCGAUCCGGACCCCCUACACGGCUCACGUCCUGGAAGGAGACGAGCUUGUCGUGGGGCGACGAAGGAGAGUUGACCGGACUGCAAAAAUGCAUCCAGUCCCUGGUGAACAAGCAGCUCAAGCUUGUCAACGUAAUCUAGGUCAUGCUCGUCCGCCGGAUCCUUCCGUGUCAAGAACGGGACAUCAAUUUGUGGGAGUUCAACCCGGUGCAGCAACGAACUCUGAGAAGGCUCUUUGACACGACGUACGAAGUUGUCUGGAGGGGGCUAACCAAAGGCGCCGAGGCUCCCACAUCCGCCUCCGAUGACCGCGGAUUCAGCUCGCAGCGUCCUGCUGGCGAGGUAAGAUAUUUCCAUCUUUUACAGGAUAUUAAGUUUUUUCAUAGUUGACUCUAUGCGGGAUCUAAACUCCCUCACCUUUGACAGGAUUGGCGGGAGAAGUCCGGACAGAUUAACUGCCCGGCUCCCUUGCCAAGCCGGAGAAGAGGGCCAAGAAGAAGAAGGCCACGGGGACUCGAAAGAGUUCCUGGCAUAUGGUGGUGUCGGACUCGUCGUCCGACGAGUCCGAGAUGCACUCCUCCCGUGAAUACGAGGAGGAAGAAGAAACCUCUCCCCCUCCAGCGGGGGGAGGAGAGAAGAGGAAGGCCGCCCCAGUAGGGGAGGCCGAGGGGUCCAAGAAGAGGAAAACCCAUCCGCCGGACUACGUCCCCGACACCGACGAGGACGAAGAGGAGUGGCCGGACAGGGCCAAGCGUCCGGCGAGAUCGUAAUUCUUCGGAUACCAGAGUAACUCGUGAUAUUCCUUUUGUUGCACAGGUUUCGCUAAUGUCAGAUAUAAUCAUGCAGUCCACCCAAGGACGGGCACGACGAGUCGUCGAGCGGCUCCCUGGAUUCAUCGGACGCGAAUUCAGUUCCGCCUACUGCUUCCCCCUAUGCUGCAGAUGACGCCGAAGUGGCGUCGCGACAAGCUCCGGGGCGAGAGGAGGUGGUCCAGGAGGAGUCGCGAGGUGACCUCCCGGACUCCAGGAGUGAAGGGGACAAGACCCCCAUGGGCUCCAAGUCCGGCUUUAAGCUGGACACUGCGCCGGAAUCAUCAAUGGUUCCGGACCGCGGUAGGCGAACUCCUGCCAAGAGGAGCAAGCCUACUGAGCCGGCAUCCUCCGUCCAGCCGGAGGCGCCGCACAAUCUGGUGGAGGAGCUUAAGGGCGCCUCCAUCGACGAGGAGCAUCGUGCCGUCAUGAGUACGGUGAUCCAGAAGGUUCGGUCCGCCAAAAGCGGACUGACUGAAGCUUGUGCUAGCCUUCUAACAGGCUUCGAGGUAAGUAAAAAUAUGUAAAAAUAUUACCGUAUAGACAGUAGCCCCUGAUGCUCUGUUUGGCGUUUGUAAAGAAAAGCCAAAUAGAGGAUCUAUUAAAUAUCCCAGGAGUCUAACUAAAAAGGAGUCAAUAUACGUAUGUAGGCUUCGCUGCUGGCCAUCGCCGCACUGACUGCGGAGGUGGGUGCCCUUAAGCAGGGCCUCCAGCGGACCGAGCAAGAGCUCGGCCUUGCCAAACGGCAGCUCGAGGAGAAAGAAGGUAAGAUAUACCUUAGAGAAAAAGUGCCUAUAAAAAGGCUUGAUUGCAAAAAGAGUAACAGGAUUGUACUGCUUAUUGUAGGGGCUACGACUGAGGUGGCGACCUUUAAGCAGGUGUUGUCUGAGGCCGAAAAGAAAACGGCCGCGGAGCGCACCGAGCGAGACAGACUUGGGGCUCAGGUCAGCGAGGUGCAGCAAGAGCUUCAGGCUCUCAUGAAAAAACAUGAGAGUUUGGAGCUGGAAUCGAAGGCGCAAGCAUCCGAGCUUGCAAUGGCCCUAGAGGCUGCCAAGUCUGCCAAGGCCGAAGCCCUAAAGGCCCUCCAAGAGUUGGAGGAGAUGAGGAAGAUAGCAGCGGGUAAGGCAUUCUUUAUGCAAAGCAGAAAUAUAAAAGUGAACUACCUGUUACUUACCCAAAUCCGAAGCUCUCCAGGGGCAUUCGCAGAUCUUCCCAGCAGCGUAUCCGACGCCGCCGCAUUCUGCCAAGCUGAAGAGGGUAGCUCGACGGAGAAGGUGUUCUGGUUUCAGUAUUCUAAGGCCGGACACCCUGUGCCCUUGAGCGACCAGCUGAAACAGCUGGUUGAGCUCCACAAGGCGGCCGAGCAGGCCAUGAAGGGCUUCAUAGUUCGGCUGUGGCCCGGAGAGGCCCUACUUGGGAGCUAUUUCGGGCUAGUGCGGCGGCUUGUGGAGGCCUGUCCGAGGCUUGAGGUCAUCAAGUGCUCCGUCUGCAUCGAAGGUGCCCGUCGGGCCCUUGCCCGUGCAAAGGUGCACUGGGGUAAGCUGGAUGGUGAGAAGCUUGUGAAGGACGGGCCGCCGCCGGGGAAGGAGCAUCGCAAGCCCGAGAACUACUACAAGGAUGUUCUUGCAGGUGCCCGCCUUGUGGCGGAUGAAUGUACCAAGGAUGUGAUAUUUGAAUGAACUCGCUCGUGUUUAUCCUGUGCGCUGAAAACUUGUUCAUAUGCGCUAAGCAAUGCUUAUUGAAUUUAAAAUAUUACUUUCUGUGCGGCCAUUUAUCAAAAAUUGAGAGAUGGCCAGUCGUCGGCUUUUGCCCCCGUGCCACUAGUGCUGGGGUGUUCGGGAUAAACCUGAGCGCUCUUUUUCCCAUAGUUGGGUCCUUCGAGGGAGGCGCUCACCACAACGAAUCAGGCAAUCAGACUAUAAUGCUUGAACACUCUCACUUAGCCAUAGAGCUCUAUAAUUUUAAAUUUCGGUGAAGCUCCUAGUUUGGAAGACCGAGUUCGGGGCGCUAUCCACGCCUUGGCCGGACAAAGCCAGCUCCUCGCUCGAAGCGGCAUAAGCCUUUAGGGACUCGAAAAACCUCUCGAACAGCGACUGGUCUCUCGCCACAUCAUGACAGUCAGUUUUAGCUUUCUCCACUGAGGUGCUUAACCCAGCUGAACCGGGGCACAAUCGCAGUGGUUCUCCUAGUGCUACCUUAGCCGAUAGAGCGGAACGUAAGGCACCAAAACAUAGGAGCCGGGCAAACCCAACUAUUGACCCAAAUCAUGAUUCGGAGCCGAUGCAUAUAGUGCUAUAAGUUCGGGGUGCCGCACUUGUGAAAGCGUACGGACUUCUCACACCAUUAUGAGGGGUUCUGAAGCCCCUGGCGUGUUUGCCAUACCAUGGUGUACGGGUGCAAUCAUGUCAUUUAAUAAACAUAAAUGUGAAAAGAAGACAACGCAAAAAAUAGACUAGAAGCUAAGCAUUGUUUAUAGAGAGGCUAUUUAUCAAAGCCGGACGAUACAAAUACUGAAGUAAGCAAAAGAUAUUGGACUAUUCAGUAUGUCCUGACCAGGGGCAGGCCGCGGAAUUGUAUUUAAAACAGGUAUACCGCUCGUAACAGAGACCACAUGGGAGUUCCAUAAUGCGUCAUGGCUUGUCUGCCUCCCUGGAUCUUGCAUCGUUUGUGCGGCAGUCGAAUAUCCGAACAGGUCAUCCGAAGUAUGGAGUCCUGAAAGAAGAAAAAAUUAAAAAAAGAAUCCGGCAGCCCCUAGUACGUAUUAAGCCGUAUUUUGGGCAUGUCGUUAUUGUGCCCCUUCUCCUGUGCCCAUGGUAUUUCAAGGGCGUAGUUAUGUCCGCGAGGUACUGGUUUCGCUAUGUCGCGAAAGCUGGGGUUGGGGCCGCAUUGCUACGCUUGCUCAGAGUGUGCCAGGCGGUCCUGCUGUGGGUUACUCCGGGCGUGCUUGGCAGUGCCUGGCUUUUUAAUGGCCGGACCGGAGAAUUGCCUGAGAAGGCUACUUUGUACCUCCGCUGCGAGAGCCACCGUAUGCUCCUCCAUACGGAGGGAGCGUUCGGUGUUUCCGUUGACCGUAAUUACUCCUUGAGGGCCUGGCAUCUUGAGCUUGAGAUAUGCGUAGUGCGGCACCGCGUUGAUCUUUGCGAAUGCGGUUCGUUCGAGCAGGGCAUGAUAGCCACUGCGAAACGGUACUAUAUCGAAGAUUAACUCUUCGCUUCGGAAAUUAUCCGGGGACCUGAAGACCACAGCAAGUGUUACUGAGCCUGUACAAUUGGCUUCUACACCUGGUAUAACGCCUUUAAAGGUUGUUCUUGUGGGCUUAAUCCUUGAGGGAUCUAUGCCCAUUUUCCGCACUGUAUCCUGAUAAAGCAGGUUCAGGCUAAUGCCGCCGUCCAUGAGGACUCUUGUGAGAUAAAAUCCUUCGAUGAUUGGGUCGAGAACCAAUGCGGCAAAGCCGCCAUGACGGAUGCUAGUGGGAUGGUCCCUUCGAUCGAAAAUGAUCGGGCAGGAGGACCAUGGGUUGAACUUUGGGGCGACUGGCUCCAUCGCAUAUACGUCCCGUAGUGCAUGCUUCCGCUCCCGCUUGGGAAUGUGGGUUGCGUAUAUCAUGUUCACCGUCCACACUUGUGGGGGAAAGCCCUUCUGUCCAUUGUUGUUCGGCGGCUUGGGCUCCUCCUCGUCGCUGUGCAGCCCCUUGUCUCUAAUUUCGGCCCUUAACUUGCCUGCCUGCUUGAACACCCAACAAUCCUGUUAGUGUGAUUGGCUGGCCUUUCGGGGGUGCCAUGUGUCUGGCAUAAGCGAUCGAGUAUUCGGUCCAAACUGGACGGGCCCUGAGUAUUCUUUUUGAAUGGCUUUUUCCGCUGACCGGAUUUAUAGCCUUUGAAUCCGGCAUUGACUGCCGUGUCUUCAUUGCUGUCGCUGCUAACGCGGCGUUUUUGCUUAUUCCGACGUGUCCUGCCACUUUUGUCCUUGGUAUCCGAAUUACCAGGGUUCUUUGAUAAGUUGUUACUGCGAGCUAGCCAGCUGUCUUCUCCCGCGCAAAAGCGGGUCAUGAGUGUCAUGAGGGCUGCCAUGGAUUUCGUCUUUUCCUGUCCCAGGUGCCGGGCAAGCCACUCGUCGCAGAUGUUAUGCUUCAAGGCUGCCAGGGCCUUUGCGUCCGGACAGUCGACUAUCUGGUUUUUCUUUGUUAGGAACCGUGUCCAGAAUUGUCUGGCCGAUUCCUCUGGCUGCUGAAUUAUGUGGCUUAAGUCGUCGGCAUCCAGUGGUCGCACGUAAGUGCCCUGGAAGUUGUCGAGGAAUGCGGCUUCCAGGUCCUCCCAAGAACCGAUUGAGUCUGCUGGCAAGCUGUUAAGCCAAUGCCGGGCCGGUCCUUUAAGUUUGAGCGGGAGGUAUUUGAUGGCGUGUAGAUCAUCGCCGCAUGCCAUGUGGAUGUGAAGGAGAUAAUCCUCGAUCCAUACCGCCGGAUCUGUUGUGCCAUCGUAUGAUUCGAUGUUUACGGGUUUGUAACUCUCUGGGAUUUUAUGAUCCAUUACUUCAUUCGUGAAGCAUAGUGGUUGUGCGGGUCCUCUGUAUUGGGCUAUAUCACGACGCAGCUCGGACGAGCUAUGUCUGUUGUGUUCGGCCCGGGGCCGGAUUUGUCGUAUCCGGAGUGAAGAUCAUUUUCCCGUGCCUUAGUUGAGCGGUGUCGGGGCAUGCCUUGGGUGGAGGGCCGAGACGCCUCUCUGUCGGGGCCGCGAGGUGGCCGGUCUGCCAUGUCAUGCGCUGGUGAUGUAGGUGCUUCCUCCUCUGAUCGGGGUAGCUGCCUGCGCUUCGGGUAACUCUUGGAGGGGCGUUCGAGUUCAUACUCUUCGGCCGCAAGGACUUCAGUCCAUCUGUCAGGUAGCAAAUCUUGGGCAGCUCUAAGCUGUUGCUGCUUUUUCUUGAGGCUGCUUGCCGUGGCUAAAAGCCUGCGUUUAAACGCUCUUGUUCGGCGGGGUCUGAUUGUAUGACGAAUUCGUCGUCAUCGAGGCUUGCCUCGUCUUCGGAGGGAGGCGUAUAGUUAUCAUCCUCGACCUCUCAGUCUGCCGCUCUCUCAUGAGGGCUGGCUUCUCCAUCUUCCUGUGCCGAAUAUUGCUGAGGUUGGUGUUCUUCGGCGCUAUCCGGGGUAGUAUUAUCUCUCGUGUCAGAAUCACCGUUUUUGCUUUGGCGGGAUUUAGGGUGGCGCCGCUGGUGCCGGUGCUUUGGUUGUUUCUUGGGGGCGUCAUCCCCCACUGUUCCAUCGCCAUCUCCAUCUUUUGGAGUAUCCACCAUAUAUAUGUCAUACGACGAGGUGGCCUUCCAGCGCCCUACAGGUGCUGGUUCCUAUUCGUCUCCUACAUUGUCGUCCAGGCCGUCAAUGUCUUUGGAGCUGAAGUCAAGCAUGUCGGUUAGAUCGUCGAUACUGGCUACAAAGUGGGUGGUGGGUGGGCUUUGAAUUUCCUCAUCGUCCGUAUCCCACCCUCGCUGACCGUAGUCCGGCCAGGGCUCUCCUGAUAAAGAGAGAUACUUAAGAGAAUUCAGGAUGUCGCCAAAAGGCGAAUGCUGAAAGAUGUCUGUGGCGGUGAACUCCAUUAUCGGCGCCCAAUCGGAUUCGAUUGGCAGGGGCGCGGGUGGUUUGGAGUCCGGGGAGGAGUCCAGAUCCUCGGAGUCACCGGUCGUGCAGAGUGCGGGGCUAGCAUUCGGCUCGAUCGCUUUCGGGAUCGCAGCCCCCGAGGUGACGUCCAACCGCUCAUCCUCGAUUGGCGCAAUAGGUUCCGAGUUAGGGGUCGGAACCGAUGCGUGUGCGGCCUCCAGGACACUGGCCGGGGGCAGAGCUAGAUCAUGCCCCUCGGGAUAGUGCGGCGCGCUUGGCCGUGGCUCGAGCCCGUCGAAGAUCAAGUCUCCAUGGAUGUCUGCCGUGUAGUUUAAGCUUCCAAACCUGACUUGAUGGACAGGGGCGUAGCUUUCGAUCUGCUACAGGUGGCCGAGCGAAUUGGCUCGCAGAGCGAUGCCGCCGAAGACGAAGAUCUGUCCGGGGAGAAAAGUCUCACCCUGGACCGCAUCGUUGUUGAUGAUCAAAGGAGCCAUCGGGCCUAAAGGUGACGAGACAGAGGAACUCUCAAUGAAAGCACCAAUGUCGGUGUCAAAACCAGUGGAUCUCGGGUAGUGGGUCGCGAACUGUGCGUCUAGGCCGGAUGGUAACAGGAGGCAGGGAACACGAUGUUUUACCUAGGUUCCGGCCCUCUUGAUGGAGGUAAAACCCUAUGUCCUGCUUGAUUAAUAUUGAUGAUAUGGGUAGUACAAGAGUAGAUCUACCACGAGAUCAAGGAGGCUAAACCCUAGAAGCUAGCCUAUGGUAUGAUUGUUGUAUAUGGAGUUGAUUGCCUACGGACUACAACCCUCCGGUUUAUAUAGACACCGGAUAGGGUUAGGGUUACAUAGAGUCAGUUACAAUGGUAGGAGAUCUUGAAUAUCCACAUCGCCAAGCUUGCCUUCCACGCCAAGGAAAGUCCCGUCCGGACCCGGGACGAAGUCUUCAAUCUUGUAUCUUCAUAGCCCAGGAGUCCGGCUGAAGGUAUAGUCCGGCUACCCGAACACCCCCUAAUCCAGGACUCCCUCAGGUAGCAAGAUGGAUUUCUGGCGCCGUUGCCGGGGAGACUCGCGCCAAGUAAAGACAUACCAAGUACCCAUCACAAACCCUUAUCCCUCGCAUUACAUUAUUUUCCAUUUGCCUCUCGUUUUCCUCUCCCCCACUUCACCCUUGCCGUUUUAUGCGCCCUCUCUUUUUUCCUUCGCCUCUUUUCCACUUGCUUUGUCAUUAUGGCUAGUCCUUUAUCUACUCCUUUGUCUCCCGAGAAUGAAGUUCUUAAUUUUAAACAAAGGGAGGGAGAAAAUCUAAAAGAUGCUUGGUACAGAAUUUGCAACACGCAAAUUAGAUCUACUAGGAAACAAUCUACUUUUGUUCUUCUUCACAAUUUUUAUGUAGGCAUCACACCUAGGAAUAGAUAUAUUCUUGAUGCCAUUACCGGAGGGAAUUUCUUGGGUAGCCAUACUUUUGAUUCUUAUAAUGCUAUGAUAGAUCUGUUUGGCCCACCACCUCUUUUGGUUAAUGGAACUAUUUUAACUUUGGAACAUGUGAUGCAAUGGCUUGAAAUUAGUGAAAAUAAAGUUGCCACCAUAGAGUUAAUUGAAAAUUUGGAUAGAAAGAUCCACAACCAAAUUACCCAAUACGGAUCUAAGUUAGGAGUUGCUCUUAAAAGUUUUAAAGAAAAGGGACCUAUGGUUAAUGAAAAGAUAGAAAAAGAUUCCACUAGAAUUGUUAAAUUGAGGAUAUUAUUACCAACCUUGGGUCUUCCUUUUCUUCUAUUAUAAAUACUCUACCUAAUGCUAAGAUUGCCAAACUAAUGUAUGUUACAAAAAAUAAUGGUGAAACUUCUAAUAAGGAAAAUGCGGAUCUCAAAUCCAUAAGUGUUCACCCCAAUUUUCUCACUAUCCUGAAGGAACCUUUUGCUACAAAUGAUUUUCUUGAUUUCGUACCUAGGAGUUUGAUAAUUAAUAAAAACCAAGAAACUCCUAAAAGUUAUUGGUGUCUUAUUGAAGAAUCACCUUCCAAAGACGGCAAUACCUAGGUCUAUCUUCGCUUUUAUGCCUAGCUAGGGGCGUUAAACGAUAGCGCUUGUUGGGAGGCAACCCAGUUUUAUUUUUAUUCCUUGCUUUUUGCUCCUAUUUAGUAAUAAAUAAUUUAUGUAGCCUCUGUUUUGGUUUGUGUUUUUUGUGUUUAAUUUGUGUUUGUGCCAUGUAGAACCGUUGGGUAGACUUGGGGAAAGUCUUUUUGAUCUUGCUGUAAAAAACAGAAACGUUAGCGCUCACGAGAAUCGCUGACAUUUUUAUUUGGAAAGUGAUAUUUAGAUAAUUAUUUUUGCAGAUGAUUAAUAGAUAAAUUCCUCACGUCUAGAAAUUUAUUUUAUAAUUUUUGGGGUUACAGAAGUUUGCGUUAGGUACAGAUUACUACAGACUGUUCUGUUUUUGACAGAUUAUGUUUUUCGUGUAUUGUUUGCUUAUUUUGAUGAAUCUAUGGCUAGUAAAAGAGGUUAUAAACCGUAGAGAAGUUGGAAUACAGUAGGUUUAACACCAAUAUAAAUCAAGAUUGAGUUCAUAACAGUACCUUGAAGUGGUGUUUUGUUUUCUUUCGCUAACGGAGCUCACGAGAUUUUCUAUUUGAGUUUUCUGUUGUGAAGUUUUCAAGUUUUGGGUAAAGAUUUGAUGGAUUGUGGAACAAGGGGUGGCAAGAGCCUAAGCUUGGGGAUUCCCAUGGCACACCAAGGUAAAAUUCAAGGACACCAAAAAGCCUAAGCUUGGGGAUGCCCCGGAAGGCAUCCCCUCUUUCGUCUUCGUCUAUUGGUAACUUUACUUGGAGCUAUAUUUUUAUUCACCACAUGAUAUGUGUUUUGCUUGGAGCGUCUUGUAUGAUUUGAUUAUUUGAUUUUUAGUUUACCAAAAUCAUCCUUGCUGUACACACCUUUUGAGAGAGACUCACAUGAUUGGGAAUUUAUGAGAGUACUCGAUGUGCUUCACUUAUAUCUUUUGAGCUAUAUGGUUUUUGUUCUAGUUCUUCACUUAUAUAUUUUAGAGCACGGCGGUGGUUUUAUUUUAUAGAAAUAAUUGUUCUCUCAUGCUUCACUUAUAUUAUUUUGAGAGUCCUUUAGAACAACAUGGCAAUAAUAAAACUGUCAUACAAGUGCAUUGAAUACUAUGAGAAGUUUGAUACUUGAUAAUUGUUUUGAGAUAUGGAGAUGGUGAUAUUAGAGUCAUGCUAGUUGUGUAGUUGUGAAUUUGAGAAAUACUUGUGUUGAAGUUUGUGAUUCCCGUAGCAUGCACGUAUGGUGAACCGUUAUGUGACGAAGUCGGAGCAUGAUUUAUUUGUUGAUUGUCUUCCUUAUGAGUGGCGGUCGGGGAUGAGCAAUGGUCUUUUACUACCAAUCUAUCUCCCUAGGAGCAUGGGCAUAAUACUUUGCUUUGAUAACUUGUAGAUUUUUGCAAUAAGUAUGUGAGUUCUUUCUGACCAAUGUUGAGUCCAUGGAUUAUACGCACUCUCACCCUUCCACCAUUGCUAGCCUCUCUAAUACCGCGCACUUCUCGCCGAUAUCAUACACCCACCAUAUACCAUCCUCAAAACAGCCACCAUACCUACCUAUUAUUGCAUUUCCAUAGCCAUUCCGAGAUAUAUUGCCAUGCAACUUUUCAUCGUUCCAUUAUUAUGACACACUUCAUCAUUGUCAUAUUUGCUUGCAUGAUCAUGUAGUUGGCAUUGUAUUUGUGCAAAGCCACCGUUAAUAAUUCUUCAUACAUGUCACUCUUCAUUCACUUCAUAUCCCGGUACACCGCCGGAGGCAUUCACAUAGUCAUAUUUUGUUCUAAGUAUCGAGUUGUAAUUCUUGAGUUGUAAGUAAAUAAAAGUGUGAUGAUCAUCAUUAUUAGAGCAUUGUGCCAAGUGAGGAAAGGAUGGAGACUAUGAUUCCACAACAAGUCGGCAUGAGACUCCAGACGAAAAUAAAAAAAGAGGGGAAAAAGAGAAAGGCCAUAGAAAAAGAAGGCCCAAAAAAUGAGAGAAAAAGAGAGAAGGGGCAAUGUUACUAUCCUUUUUCCACACUUGUGCUUCAAAGUAGCACCAUCAUCUUCAUGAUAGAGAGUCUCCUAUGAUAUCACUUUCAUAUACUAGUGGGAAUUUUUCAUUAUAGAACUUGGCUUGUAUAUUCCAAUGAUGGGCUUCCUCAAAUUGCCCUAGGUCUUCGUGAGCAAGCAAGUUGGAUGCACACCCACUUAGUUUCUUUUGUUGAGCUUUCAUACACUUAUAGCUCUAGUGCAUCCGUUGCAUGGCAAUCCCUACUCACUCACAUUGAUAUCUAUUAAUGGGCAUCUCCAUAGCCCGUUGAUACGCCUGUUCCGGAGCUCCGCCGGAGGGGGCAUCGAUCACGGAGGGCUUCUACAUCAACAGCAUAGCCUCUUCGAUGAAGUGUGAGUAGUUGACCUCAGACCUAUGGGUCCAUAGUUAUUACCUAGAUGGCUUCUUUUCUCUUUUUGGAUCUCAAUACAAUGUUCUCCCCCUCUCUUGUGGAGAACUAUUCGAUGUAAUCUUCUUUUUGCGGUGUGUUUAUUGAGACCGAUGAAUUGUGGGUUUAUGAUCAAGUCUAUCUAUGAAUAAUAUUUGAAUCUUCUCUGAAUUCUUUUAUGUAUGAUUGUUUAUCUUUGCAAGUCUCCUCGAAUUAUCAGUUGGUUUGGCCUACUAGAUUGAUCUUUCUUACAAUGGGAGAAGUGCUUCGCUUUGGGUUCAAUCUUGCGGUGUCCUUUCCCAGUGACAAUAGGGGCAGCAAGGCAUGUAUUGUAUUGUUGCCAUCGAGGAAAACAAGAUGAGGUUUUCAUCAUAUUGCAUGAGUCUAUCCCUCUACAUCAUGUCAUCUAGCUUAAGGCGUUACUCUGUUUUUAACUUAAUACUCUAGAUGCAUGCUGGAUAGCGGUCGAUGAGUGGAGUAAUAGUAGUAGAUGCAGGCAGGAGUCGGUCUACUUGUCUCGGACGUGAUGCCUAUAUACAUGAUCAUACCUAGAUAUUCUCAUAAAUAUGCUCAAUUCUGUCAAUUGCUCAACAGUAAUUUGUUCACCCACCAUAGAAUAAUUAUGCUCUCGAGAGAAGCUACUAGUGAAACCUAUGGCCCCCGGGUCUAUCUUUAUCAUAUUAAUCUCCUACUACUUAGUUAUUUCCUUUGCUUUUUCCUUUGCCUUUAUUUUACUUUUCAUCUUUAUCACAAAAAUACCAAACAUAUUAUCUUUAUCAUAUCUAUCAGAUCUCACUCUCGUAAGUGGCCGUGUAGGGAUUGACAACCCCUAUUCACGUUGGUUGCGAGGAUUUAUUUGUUUUGUGCAAGUACGAGGGACUCGCGCGUAGCCUCCUACUGGAUUGAUAUCUUGGUUCUCAAAAACCGAGGGAAAUACUUACGCUACUUUGCUACAUCAUCCCUUCCUCUUCGGGGAAAACCAACGCAGUGCUCAAGAGGUAGCAAGAAGGAUUUCUGGUGCCAUUGCCAGGGAGGUCUACGCAAAAGUUAACAUACCAAGUACCCGUCACAUACCCUUAUCUCCCGCAUUAUAUUAUUUGCCAUUUGCCUCUCGUUUUCACCUCCCCCACUUCACCCUUGCCGUUUUAUUCGCCCUCUCUCUCUAUCCUCCCUCUCUUUCUCUAUUUGCCUCUUUUUUCCCGCUUGCUUUCUGUUUGCUUGUGUGUUAGUUGCUUGCUUGUCACGAUGGCUCAAGAUAAUACUAAAUUAUGUGACUUCACCAAUACCAACAACAAUGAUUUUAUUAGCACUCCGAUUGCUCCUCUUAUCGAUGCUGAAUCUUGUGAAAUUAAUACUGCUUUGCUGAAUCUUGUCAUGAAAGAUCUGUUUUCCGGCCUUCCUAGUGAAGAUGCCGGUACCCACCUAAAUAGAUUCAUUGAUUUGUGUGACAUGCAAAACAAGAAAGGUGUGGAUAAUGAUAUUGUUAAAUUGAAGCUAUUUCCUUUUUCGCUUAGAGAUCGUGCUAAACUUGGUUUUCGUCUUUGCCUAAAAAUAGUAUUGAUUCAUGGAAUAAGUGCAAAGAUGCUAUUAUCUCUAAGUAUUUUCCUCCUGCUAAGAUCAUCUCUCUUAGAAACGAUAUUAUGAAUUUUAAGCAACUUGAUCAUGAAUAUGUUGCACAAGCUUGGGAGAGAAUGAAACUAAUGGUACGUAAUUGCCCUGCCCAUGAUUUAAAUUUGUGGAUGAUUAUACAAAAUUUUUAUGCCGGAUUGAAUUUUGCUUCUAGAAAUCUUUUAGAUUCGGCCGCGGGAGGCACUUUUAUGGAAAUCACUUUAGGAGAAGCUACUAAACUCCUAGAUAAUAUUAUGGUUAAUUAUGCUCAACGGCAUACUAAAAGAUCUAAUAAUAAAAAGGUGCAUGCGAUAGAAGAAAUUAAUGUUUUGAGUGGAAAGAUGGAUGAACUUCUGAAAUUAUUUGCUAAUAAGAGUGUUUCUUCUGAUCCUAAUGAUAUGCCCUUGUCUACUUUGAUUGAGAAUAAUAAUGAAUCUGUGGAUGUGGAUUUUGUUGGUAGGAACAAUUUUGGUAACAGCGCGUAUAGAGGAAAUUUCAACCCUAGGCCUUAUCCUAGUAAUCUCUCUAAUAAUUACGGUAAUUCCUACAACAAUUCUUAUGGAAAUUAUAAUAAGAUGCCCUCUAAUUUUGAAUCUAAUAUUAAAGAAUUUAUUACUUUGCAAAAGAAUUUCAAUGCCUUGAUUGAAGAAAAAUUGCUUAAGAUUGAUGAUUUGGCUAGGAACGUUGAUAGAAUUACUCUUGAUGUUGAUUCUUUGAAACUUAGAUCUAUUCCACCUAAGCAUGAUGUCAAUGAGUCUCUCAAAGCCAUGAGAAUUUCCAUUGAUGAGUGCAAAGAAAGAACCGCUAAGAUGCGUGCUAAGAAAGAUGCCUUUAUAAGAGCGUGUUCUUCUAGUUCCUAUGAAAAUAAUGAUGAAGAUCUAAAAGUUAUAGAUGUGUUCCCUAUUAAAUAUUUGUUUUUCAAUAUGAAUCUUGAUAAUGAUGGGACUGAAUAUGAUCCACCUUUACCUAUAAGGCGUUCGAAGAAUUCAGAAUUUGUUGAUCUUGAUGCUAAAAUUGAUAAAGGUGGGAUUGAAGAAAUUAAAACCCUAGAUGUUGCUAAACCCACUAUUAUGGAUUUCAAGGAAUUUAACUAUGAAAAUUGCUCUUUGAUUGAUUGUAUAUCCUUUUUACAAUCCGUGCUAAAUUCUCCUCAUGCUUAUAGUCAAAAUAAAGCGUUUACUAAACAUAUCGUUGAUGCCUUGAUGCAAUCUUAUGAAGAAAAACUUGAAUUGGAAGUUUCUAUCCCUAGAAAGCUUUAUGAUGAUUGGGAACCAACUAUUAAAAUUAAAAUUAAAUAUCAUGAAUGCUAUGCUUUAUGUGAUUUGGGUGCUAGUGUUUCCACGAUUCCAAAGACUUUGUGUGAUUUGUUAGGUUUCCGUGAUUUUGAUGAUUGCUCUUUAAACUUGCGCCUUGUGGAUUCCACUAUUAAGAAACCUAUGGGAAGAAUUAAUGAUGUUCUUAUGGAUGCAAAUAGGAAUUAUGUGCCUGUAGAUUUUAUUCUUCUUGACAUAGAUUGCAAUCUUUCAUGUCCUAUUAUUCUUGGUAGACCUUUCCUUAGAAUGAUUGGUACAAUUAUUGAUAUGAAGGAAGGAAAUAUUAGAUUCCAAUUUCCAUUAAGGAAAUUCAUGGAACACUUUACUAGAAAGUAAAUUAAAUUACCUUAUGAAUCUAUUAUGAUAGCCACUUGUGGAUUGCCUACCAAAGAUGGCAAUACCUAGAUCUAUCCUUGCUUGUUAUGCCUAGCUAGGGGCGUUAAACGAUAGCGCUUGUUGGGAGGCAACGCAAUUUUGUUUUUAUUCCUUGAUUUUUGCUCCUGUUUAGUAAUAAAUAAUUUAUCUAUCCUCUGUUUUGGUUGUGUUCUUUGUGUUUAAUUAGUGUUGGUGCCAAGUAGAACCGUUAGGAAGACUUGGGGAAAGUCUUGUUACACUUGCUGUAAAAAACAGAAACUUCGGCGCUCAUGAGAACUGCUGCCAUUUUUAUUUGGAAAGUGCUAUUUAGUUAAUUAUUUCUGCAGAUGAUUAAUAGAUAAAUUCCUCACGUCCAGAAAUUUAUUUUAGAAUUUUUGGGGUUCCAGCUCUUGAGCUAGGUACAGAUUACUACAGAUUGUUCUGUUUUUGAAAGAUUCUGUUUUUUCGUGUGUUGUUUGCUUAUUUUGAUGAACCUAUGGCUAGUAAAAUAGUUCAUAAACCAUAGAGAAGUUGGAAUACAGUAGGUAUAACACCAGUAUAAAUAAAUAAUGAGUUCAUUAUAGUACCUUGAAGUGGUCUUUUAUUUUCUUUCGCUAACGGAGCUCACGAGAUUUUCUACUUUAAGUUUUGUGUUGUGAAGUUUUCAAGUUUUGGGUAAAGAUUUGAUGGUUUAUGGAACAAGGAGUGACAAGAGCCUAAGCUUGGGGAUGCCCAUGGCACCCCCAAGAUAAUCUAAGUACACCUAAAAGCCAAAGCUUGGGGAUGCCCCGGAAGUCAUCCCCUCUUUCGUCUACUUCUAUCGGUAACUUUACUUGGAGCUAUAUUUUUAUUCGCCACAUGAUAUGUGUUUUGCUUGGAGCGUCUUGUAUUAUUUGACUCUUUAUUUGUUAGUUUACCACAAUCAUCCUUCCUGUACACACCUUUUGAGAGAGCCAUACAUGAUUUGGAAUUUGUUAGAAUAGUCUAUGUGCUUCGCUUAUAUCUUUUGAGUUAUAUAGUUUUGCUCUAGUACUUCACUUAUAUAUUUUAGAGCACGGUGGUGGAUUUGUUUUAUAAAAACUAUUGAUCUCCCAUGCUUCACUUAGAUUAUUUUGAGAUGCUUAAUAGCAUGGUAACUUGCUUAAAAUCCUAAUAUGCUAGGUAUUCAAAGUUAGUAAAAUUUUCUUAAGAGUGUUUUGAAUACUAAGAGAAGUUUGAUGCUUGAUGAUUGUUUUGAGAUAUGGAGGUAAUAAUAUCAAAGUCGUGCUAGUUGAGUAGUUGUGAAAUUGAGAAAUACUUGUGUUGAAAUUUGCAUGUCCCGUAGCAUGCACGUAUGGUAAAUGUUGUGUAACAAAUUUGAAACAUGAGGUGUUAUUUGAUUGUCUUCCUUAUGAGUGGCGGUCGGGGACGAGCGAUGGUCUUUUCCUACCAAUCUAUCCCCCUAGGAGCAUGCGCGUAGUACCGAGGUUUUUGAUGACUUGUAGAUUUUUGCAAUAAGUAUGUGAGUUCUUUAUGACUAAUGUUGAGUCCAUGAAUUAUACGCACUCUCACCCUUCCAUCCUUGCUAGCCUCUUUGGUACCAUGCAUUGCCCUUUCCCACAUUGAUUGUUGGAGCAAACUUCGCCGGUGCAUCCAAACCCCGUGAUAUGAUACGCUCUUUCACACAUAAACCUCCUUAUAUCUUCGUCAAAAAAGCCACCAUACCUACCUAUUAUGGCAUUUCCAUAGCCAUUCCGACAUAUAUUGCCAUGCAACUUUCCACCAUUCCGUUCAUCAUGACACAUUCAUCAUUGUCAUAGUGCUUAGCAUAAUCAUGUAGUUGACAUAGUAUUUGUGGCAAGGCCACCGUUCAUAAUUCUUUCAUACAUGUCACUCUUGGUCCAUUGCAUAUCCCGGUACACCGCUGGAGGCAUUCAUAUAAGUCAUACUUUGUUCUAGUAUCGAGUAGUAAUUAUUGAGUUGUAAAUAAAACGAAGUGUGAUGAUCUUAAUUAAUAGAGCAUGGUCCCAAAAAGAGAAAAAAGGAAGGGCCAAAAAAAGGCCAAAUAAAAAAAUAUAAAAAGGGGGGCAAUGCUACUAUCCUUUUUUCCACACUUGUGAUUCAAAGUAGCACCGUAAUCUUCAUGAUAGAGAGUAUCUUGAUUUGUCACUUUCAUAUACUAGUGGGAAUUUUUCAUUAUAGAACUUGGCUUGUAUAUUCCAACAAUGGGCCUCCUCAAGUGCCCUAGGUCUUUGUGAGCAAGCAAGUUGGAUGCACACCCACUUAGUUUCUUUUGUUGAGCUUUCAUACAUUUAUAGCUCUAGUGCAUCCGUUGCAUGGCAAUCCCUACUCCUUGCAUUAACAUCAAUCGAUGGGCAUCUCCAUAGCCCAUUGAUUAGCCUCGUUGAUGUGAGACUUUCUCCUUUUUGUCUUGUCCACAUAACUCCACUCAUUAUAUUCUAUUCCACCCAUAGUGUUAUGUCCAUGGCUUACAAUCAUAUAUUCCGUGAAAGUUUAUAGGUUUGAGAUCACUAAAGUAUGAAACAAUUGCUUGGCUUGUCAUCGGGGUUGUGCAUGAUGAGAGCAUUGUUGUGUGACAAAAAUGAAGCAUGACUAAACUAUAUGAUUUUGUAGGGAUGAACUUUCUUUGGCCAUGUUAUUUUGAGAAGACAUAAUUGCUUAGUUAGUAUGCUUGAAGUAUUAUUAUUUUUAUGUCAAUAUGAACUUUUGUCUUGAAUCUUUCGGAUCUGAAUAUUCAUACCACAAUUAAGAAGAAUAACAUUAAAAUCAUGCUAAGUAGCACUCUGCAUCAAAAAUUCUGUUUUUAUCAUUUACCUACUCGAGGACGAGCAGGAAUUAAGCUUGGGGAUGCUUGAUACGUCUCCAACGUAUCUAUAAUUUUUGAUUGCUCCAUGCUAUAUUAUCUACUGUUUUGGACAAUAUUGGGCUUUAUUAUCCACUUUUAUAUUAUUUUUGGGACUAACCUAUUAACCGGAGGCCCAGCCUAGGAUUGCUGUUUUUUGCCUAUUUUAGGGUUUCGAAGAAAAGGAAUAUCAAACGGAGUCCAAACGGAAUGAAACCUUCGGGAACGUGAUUUUCUCAACGAACAAGACCCAGGAGAAUUGGACCCUCCGUCAAGACACAAAAGAGGAGGCCACGAGGUAGGGGGCGUGCCUACCCCCCCGGCGCGCCCUCCACCCUCGUGGGCCCCCUGUUGCUCCACCGACGUACUCCUUCCUCCUAUAUAUACCUACGUACCCCCAAAUGAUCAUAUACGGAGCCAAAACCCUAAUUACGCUGCCGCAACAUUCUGUAUCCACGAGAUCCCAUCUUGGUGCCUGUUCCGGAGCUCCGUCAGAGGGGGCAUCGAUCAUGGAGGGCUUCUACAUCAACACCAUAGCCUCUCUGAUGAAGUGUGAGUAGUUGACCUCAGACCUACGGGUCCAUAGUUAUUACCUAGAUGGCUUCUUCUCUCUUUUUGGAUCUCAAUACAAUGUGCUCCCCCUCUCUUGUGGAGAACUAUUCGAUGUAAUCUUCUUUUUGCGGUGUGUUUGUUGAGACCGAUGAAUUUUGGGUUUAUGAUCAAGUCUAUCUAUGAAUAAUAUUUGAAUCUUCUCUGAAUUCUUUUAUGUAUGAUUGGUUAUCUUUGCAAGUCUCUUCGAAUUAUCAGUUUGGUUUGGCCUACUAGAUUGAUCUUUCUUGCAAUGGGAGAAGUGCUUAGCUUUGGGUUCAAUCUUGCGUGUCCUUUCCCAGUGAUAGUAGGGGUAGCAAGGCACGUAUUGUAUUGUUGCCAUCGAGGACAACAAGAUGGGGUUUUCAUCAUAUUUUAUGAGUCUAUCCCUCUACAUCAUGUCAUCUUACUUAAGGCGUAAUAGUAGUAGAUGAGUGGAGUAAUAGUAGUAGAUGCAGGCAGGAGUCGGUCUACUUGUCUCGGACGUGUUGCCUAUAUACAUGAUCAUACCUAGAUAAUCUCAUAACUAUGCUCAAAUCUAUCAAUUGCUCAAUAGUAAUUUGUUCAUCCACCGUAGAAUACUUAUGCUCUCGAGAGAAGCCACUAGUGAAACCUAUGGCCCCCGGGUCUAUCUUUAUCAUAUUAAUCUCCUACUACUUAGUUAUUUCCUUUGCUUUUUUACUUUGCCUUUAUUUUACUUUGCAUCUUUAUCACAAAAAUAAAAAUAUCUUUAUCAUAUCUAUCCAAUCUCACUCUCGUAAGUGGCCGUGUAGGGAUUGACAACCCCUAUUCACGUUGGUUGCGAGGAUUUAUUUAUUUUGUGCAGGUACGAGGGACUGGCGCAUAGCCUCCUACUGGAUUGAUACCAUGGUUCUCAAAACCUGAGGGAAAUACUUAUGCUACUUUGCUGCAUCAUCCCUCACUCUUCGGGGAAAACCAACGAAGUGCGCAAGAGGUAGCAAGGGUUCCUUUUUGUCGACGAUCUGAUGUUUCAACCUUGUUUUCCAGGCGGCCAACGCAUCACUCAACUUGGUCAUGGCGUGUUUGUUUAUCUUCUUCAUUGCCAGGUCCUUAUCUGGAUCUUUAUUAUCCUUUUCAUUACGGUCCGGGAACAAGAAUAUCUGGUGCAGCUUCUUCAGGAGGGAGGGCCUCAUAUUAUCUAUCUUCUAUAGUUUCCCAUCGUUGAUCAUGGCAGUUGUCCGUACAAUGCAACCUAUUUGAUUGCCGUAACACGAUUGCGCUUCCUCGGGUGCUAUUGUCUCAAAAAUACUGUCGUCCAUCUCCGUGACCACCAGUCUAGUACUCAUGAGCUGGUUUAGGCGUCGUGGCCUCUUUGCUGUCGGUUCUAGACUAACUCCCCUAGUCUCGGCACCGGUCUCAGUCUCAUCGCCGGUCUGCAUGUCGGUAUCAGUCCCCGAUGCGACAACACAGUCGCUGCAACAUGGGUAAGGGAGACCACAUCAGUGCUGGGGGUCCGAAAAUUGGGACACACUUUCGCGCGUCGCGGGCCGCCUCUCAGACAGCUAAUGGGGAGGCGGCGGAGUACCUGGGUGCGCGGCGAAUCCCCAAGAACUCGGUGACCAACUUCCUUCCCGUGUGGCGCAUGGAGACGACGGCGACCCUGGCGAAGAGCAGCUUAGCCGCGAGCUGCACAGCCUCGUCCACCUCCUAAGUUGGGACCUCCGUGCGAGCGUUGCGGGGCCGCCGCUCGGAUGGCUUCUGGAAGGCCGUUGUACAUGGGCACAGGGUGAAUCCCGACGAGAGCUGGCCAUUGGCGCGCGCAAGUAGACGACGACGUCCCCGACGAAGAGCUGCCCGGCCAGCUCGCCUCACUCGCCUUUGAUUAGAAAUGAAAGAUUGGGAAGAAGCAGACUUGAGCCUGCAGGGAAAGGAUAAGGUGACGAUGCAGUCUCCACUCGUUCGGGGCGACACGCGUACUGAAUGUAUGAGAAACGUGACGUGGCAGAGACCCCAAGAUACUCCCUCCAUUUAUUUUUAGUCUGCAUAUAAAGUUUGGUCAAAGUCAAGAUUUGUAAAUUUUAACGAACUUUAUAAUAAAAAAAUAUCAGCAUUCACAAUAUGAAAUCAAUAUUACCAGAUGCGUCAUGAAAUGUAUUUCCAUACUAUAUAGUUUUGGUAUUGUAGAGGCACUCUUCCAUAUAAUGAAGUUUAUAAUAUAUGUGCUUAUAUUGUAUUACAAUUGUUUGAAUAGCUUAGCAUAUGUUCAGAUGUAUGAUAUCUGUAAUUUAAGCGCUUGAAUUUUACAUAUAAAUAUUUAUUAAUAAAUAUGUACCCCUAUAAUAGCUAGGCCGUGCCGUUGCACGGGUAGAUGACUAGUGAUUACAAUCUUGUUUGUGUGCAAGUCAAGCUUAUAUAGUUUACACGUAACAACUUGUAGAACAUUACAAAAUUUAUGCUUGCUAAUAACUUCUAGAACACUAGAACACUUGACAUGUAAAAGGAAUUUGACGAGUCAUGGCCUACUAAAGCAAGUUACAUUACUAGUCUUAUCUAUCUUAACAGACCACACAAGAUUACAAACUAAGUACCGUGACAGCCAUGCUUAUCUAGUUUAUGCGUAACAAUUUGCAGAAAAUUAGAAACUUGGUUUCAGAAAAAUACGCAAUCUAGAUUAGUGUUUGAGCUGUAAAGUGAAUAAGAUGAGUCAUGCAUGUUAUCACACCUUUUUGGUGGUGGAAUGAUAGUGCAACAACAAGGAACUUUAAUGACCAGUCCAAGAAUACACUUGUAAGUAGUGCCACCAAACAGAACAUACCAAAUGAUGAUUUUUAGAAGCAUCCAAGCACUUUCCACACAAACAAAUGCCAAUUGUGAAAGAGAUCAUUCCAUGGCAGCUAUAAAUAGCCCCAUAGCAUGAGGUUCAUCCUUCCUCAUCCAUCAUUUUCAUUAGUAGAGCGCAUCAUUUAAGCCAAGCAAGCUGUGGUCAAUACAAAUCCACCAUGAAGACCUUUCUCAUCCUUGCCCUCCCUGCUAUCGUGGCGACCACCGCCACAACUGCAGUUAGAGUUCCAGUGCCACAAUUGCAGCCACAAAAUCCAUCUCAGCAACAGCCACAAGAGCAAGUUCCAUUGGUACAACAACAACAAUUUCUAGGGCAGCAACAACCAUUUCCACCACAACAACCAUAUCCACAGCCGCAACCAUUUCCAUCACAACAACCAUAUCUGCAGCUGCAACCAUUUCCGCAGCCGCAACUACCAUAUUCGCAGCCACAACCAUUUCGACCACAACAACCAUAUCCACAACCGCAACCACAGUAUUCGCAACCACAACAACCAAUUUCACAGCAGCAGCAGCAGCAGCAACAACAACAACAACAACAACAACAACAACAAAAGCAAAUCCUUCAACAAAUUUUGCAACAACAACUGAUUCCAUGCAUGGAUGUUGUAUUGCAGCAACACAACAUAGCGCAUGGAAGAUCACAAGUUUUGCAACAAAGUACUUACCAGCUGUUGCAAGAAUUGUGUUGUCAGCACCUAUGGCAGAUCCCUGAGCAGUCGCAGUGUCAGGCCAUCCAAAAUGUUGUUCAUGCUAUUAUUCUGCAUCAACAACAAAAACAACAACAACAACCAUCGAGCCAGGUGUCCUUCCAACAGCCUCUGCAACAAUAUCCAUUAGGCCAGGGCUCCUUCCGGCCAUCUCAGCAAAACCCACAGGACCAGGGCUCUGUCCAGCCUCAACAACUGCCCCAGUUCGAGGAAAUAAGGAACCUAGCGCUACAGAUGCUACCUGCAAUGUGCAAUGUCUACAUCCCUCCAUAUUGCACAAUCGCGCCAUUUGGCAUCUUCGGUACUAACUGAGAAGAAAAUAACUCUAGUACUAGAUAUAUGAAACACCGUUUUCUCAGUCCAUGGUUUGGUCAUUGUAGCGUCGAAAAAAUAAUGUGACAUGCACUAUCAUAUAAGAAUCCGAACUAUACUAGUUCAAACUUGGGAAUAAAAGACAAACACAUGUCUUGUCUACAUAUUUAUGUUGCAUCUAUUUAUAUAUUAAAAGUAAUAUAAGGUGAACCAGGAGCAAGGUAAAUAUGCUAGAAAAUUGCACGUUAAUUAGAAAUUACUUGCCCUCGAUCUGGUAAAUCUUAACAAAUAGAAUUAUCUUGACCGUUAGAUUUAUAUAACAUAUAUAAUGCUCUGGGCCUCCAACGACUGUACGUGACACAUCUGAACGAACAUAUGGUAAAGAAAAUAUAUUUGGUAAAUGGUGGGCCUGUUUAAAAAGAGAACUCACGUACAUGCACCAACUAAGAAAAACACAUACAUGUAAACGGGAAAAGGAUGAGAUUUUCUCACGUACGUGCUCCCUGGCUCCACCCCGUUGAAAAAAUAUACAUCUGGAGGCCACUUUGUUUCCUCAUCAAAAAAACUUACGUUAAAAAGAUUGCAUGCAUCCCAGGGAAAAUAGUCAAGAAGAAGUCGGACUUUUCCUUACAAAAACAAGGAACGUGUUAAGUUGACUUCAAAGAAAAAAGGAACAUGUUAAGUUAAAAAAAAACAAGAAACCUGUUAAGUUAGAAAAAAACAAGGAACGUGUUGUCCAAGGAAAGAUAUGUGUCAAAUCUUACAAAAAAAAAGAAUACACACACGUACGUUCAUGCACUUGGAAAAUAGAAAAAAAGGAACAUCACGUAUGUAUACACUUCGGAAACUCAUUACAUGACCAUGUCUGAUAUACUCCUCUAAUGCUUAAUAUUAGUGCCUAAUAAUUUAUAUUUAAAAUUUAAUUUACUGAUCAAAUAUCCCCACUGUUUAAAUUUUAAUUUGGCACAUUGUUUGGCUAUAGUAUGAACCUGAAUUUCCUCUUAUUAUUAUAUAUCAUGGUAAUAAUCCAAAGGCGACUAAUCUGCACCGGCGCACCGGCGCAAUCAAUUCGGCUGGACACAGCGCGGCCGUUUGAUUAGAUUGCAUUUAACCAUCAGAUCUGGAAUCGUUUUCUUUCCAAUUAAACGGAUUCAACCAAACAGCAGAGGGGAAAACAAAGCAGCGCCGCCGCCAACACUAGCCAUGGACGACCGAUGUAGCAAAACCUUGAAGAACCGCCGCCGGUCGCCACCCUCGCCUCUGGUCGCUGCCCUCGCCGUCGGUCACCGCCGGUCGCCGCCCUCGCCGCCUGCGUUUCUCAUCGGCUUCAUGCAUGCAACAACAUGCACUCGUGGUUGCAGGCUUGCAUCUCCGGCUCCGGGGACAUGGCCGCAUCUCCGGUAGCGCCGGCCGCCGGCCGCAGCACCUGUCGUUGUGGUCGCGCUGUACCUCGCCGUGUGCCCUCCCGAGGCUCUUGCUGGUUCCAACAAAAAACGAUACCUGUUGUAGCAAAAAAGUAUCGCUUCCAGCAAAAAAGCUUACCGCUACAGCCCGCCAUCGUCAUUGUAGCAAAAAUGUUAACCCGAUGUAGCUUCUGUGGUUGCCGACUGCAGCAAAAAAUGACAUGGCUGUAGCAAAACACAAAAGAAAAACACUGGCCGGCCGCUGUGUAUGGUGGUAACAAACCCUAUAGCCGGUGGUAGCGAAAAACUUCAUAGUGUGCUGCAAAAAAAUGUUGUCACCCGUCGUCGAGGUUGCAUCAUCUUCAUGAAUUAUGCCGCAAAAAAACGUUGUCGCCGGUAGUAGCAAAUGAAGCCGCCGGUAGUAGCAAAACAAGACACUGGUUCCAGCCAAAAAAAAAAUCAGCGACAGAACCUUUGGUUGGUUCCAACAAAAAAACUUGUCGGUUGUAACAUCCCUCGCCGCCGGAUGUAGCAUCUCCCGGGGCUGGUUGCAACACUCCAUAAAAAAAGUUGUCUAUGAGCGCAUCCAUGGUGACUGCUGCACCGUCAGCAAUGAGGGGAAGAGGAGGCAAUGAAAAUCAUUCGAGUCAUAGCUCCACAGGACGCGGCUGCAGCAUGGGGAGUCCAAAAAUCUGUCACAAGCAACAUGCGCCGCGCCAUCCUCCUGCGCAGGAGAGAGAAGAAAAAGGAAUAAGAGGAAGAAGAAAGGAAACAGGAGAAAGAAAAAAGAAAGGAUUGGUGGUUGGCUCAGGCAAUUAGUCAAGCGAGGGGCACGCGGGGCCGCAGGACACAGCGCAAUCGAACGAAGCGCGCGCGUCCGGGCGAAGACUCGGCCGGACUGCCGUCUGGAAACGUUUCCCUAAUCCAAAGGCUUUAUCUGAAUGACAAGUCGUCUGGGUUACCGGCUAACUAGAAAAAAGAUAAAUAUGCUAGAGAAUUCCAUAAUAAUUAGAAAUAUCUAGCCUUUAAUUAUGUAAACCAGAAAAUCACAACCGUUGGAUUUACUUUAAAGGUAAAUUUCUAUAAAUUCCCACCAUUGCCAGUAUGUAGAAACAUGUGCUGCUUCAAUUCUCCCAUAAUCACCAAUCAAUCAACAACACAAAACAUACCUCAGUUAAAAAAACUGAACAAAAAAAAGAAAAAAAGAAGAAAGGACAAGAUACACGCAUGUACACGACAGCCUUGGCUUGAAACACAUCAGUAGAUCAAGUGUCCGCCUCCCUUACACGUACGUCCCAUGAGGUUUACUAGCCUACCGCCGCCGCAUCAUGCCAUCCUCUCCUUUCAGCUCCCAUGCUCUCCAGCACCCUCAUUGCGGCGCCACUACUCGCCUAGGGAUAUUGCUGCUCAGACCGUGGAGCUUAACCACAUCAGCAUCAGCACGUAUGGGCCUCAUUAUACUGCAGCACGUAUUGCGCCCCCUUAAGUCCAGGUCUGUUUGCUGGCACAUAUGCUUUGGAAAUAGGCCACUAUGUUUGUACUUCAAAAUUGUUUCUGUAUUCUUGAGUGGUACAUCCUUUUAAGCGCCAGUUUUUUAUGUUAAUUCAUGCUGACAACACUUAACCUAGCCUUUCAUGUUCACGUACUAAAUACAGGAGCAAGUAAAAACAACAGACCACCUAAUUGCUCUGCAUGUACUACAUAGGAAAAUUUGUCAUGUUCUACGAUCGCACCAUCCCACCCUUCUCUCUUGGUAUGGGCGCCAAUUGAGGGAUUGAUAAAACUGAAACGAAGACGUCACAGGGCUGGAAGUACCGCUAGCCUGGUUUGCACUGCAACCUACCCAACGCCAUCAGAAACUAGCAACUGAGUCAGGUGUUGAUCGAUUCUCUCAAAUUGCUCUCAUGUAAGUACUACCCCUUGCAUGUGCGUACAUACCUUUGUUGCAUUCUCAAACAGAUAGAACAUGUUUGAUCGGUGCAUGGCUAUUUUUCAUCACAUGACAUCCAGAUAACAAGCAUGAAAGGACUACAUUGGAGAUCAAAAAAUAUUGGUUCCUGGCUAGAGUACCACUACCUAUGGACUUGUCUCCAUAGAAUUUGUUCCCAAGAUGUUAUUUUAAUUAAUCUCUUUAGCUUUCUUCCAUUGCAAACGGUGAUGUGCAUCAUGGUAUAUACGUGACCAUCUUGCACAUGUAUACACAAGAGGCUCAGAUGGAGGUGCUGGAUUCUGGACGAGGGAAUAUGAAGCAGGAGUGAGCGAAGAGUAAAUAAUGGUGGGAGUACCGAUUGGUGUUAUGAAGAAAAAUGCCAUCCAAAGAUUGAUUAGUGUCAUGGAAGAUUAAUUUCUGAAUGCGAAUAUAUAUGUUACAUUGGUUUGGAUCUUUUUGAGAUAAUUCCACCUAAAUUAGGUUCUUUCUUAUUUCAUAUGUAUACCUUAUUUCAGUAAAAGUUCACAACGAACUUAGUAGGACAAAUAUAAUUUUGUUUGUUCUUUCUGUUGUCCGCCACCAAAGCUCAAUUUGAACUCUCUAGAAAUGGACAAUGAUUUAUGCAUUCUAUAUCUUCUUGAUUGAUUAGCCAUGACAAGGAAAUAAAAGGAUUGACUGAUAUAGCAUAACUUUGGAACGAUUAGAGGUUACUACAAAUAAGAGUAGUGUCUGUUGGAAUUUUGCUAGUAGGCCUUUGGCCCAAAGCCCAACUAAAAUUCUGAAAUUCUCUUGGCUCAUUUAUGCACACAUGUGAGUUGAGUGAGUGAGACUAAAGUUUAGUCCCACCCUGGAAGUUGAGAGAGAGUUGCACCUCUUUAUAAGGUGAGCUCUUCUACCACUUGUAUGAGCAUGAGAAGAGGAGACCUACACGCGCGCUCCUCCUCCACGCUCGCCACGCCUCGUCGCGCCGCGCCGUGCCGCGGGUUGCGGGAUUGAGCCGAGCCGAGGACGUUUUCUAUAUUUUUGCUGCUCGGGAAAAAUUAAUGAGUCAUUAAUUAAUAAUUAAUGGACACAUUAAUUACUGAACCGUUUCCGAUUUUUUUGGAUCGUGACGACUCGGACGUGGGGUUUACUCCCAGGACCUACCCGGCCCGCACUAUAUAGUCAGGAAGACGUCUACCCUAGCCGCCGCCGCUUCGUAUGGUUUCUCACCAUCGUUACAGAUCAUUGCGCCGCCAAGCAAGUUUUCUCCAUCCCUCCUUUCGGCGUGCACCGGGAGAAGGGACAGCAGACCUCCGGAACCCCGCCUCUCGUGAUCCUAUACGGGAGAGGGGCGAUCAGGUUUUUGGGGAGCGCACUCGCAUGACUGCUGGCAGCGACGACUUCGCAAACGACGACUUCUUCCCCGACCUCGGCAACCUCAUCCUCGACGACAUGGGCGACAACGUCAACGCCGGCGGUGCUACACCCACUGCACCGUAUGUUAUUCUCUCCUUCUUGUUCGAGAUCAUGGUAGAAUUCAUGUUUCUAGUAUAUGUGCCCUAGAUGUGAUCUGUUCAUCUACUAUGGUAGUUCGCAUGAUUAGUUUAAUCUCUGUUAUUGCUGUCAUGAUCUAUUUCCUAUUUAUUCGGAUUAAAUCUCGUAGUAAUUUUCUCAUUUUUCCAACAAUCCAAAAACCUGAUUAUAGGAAAUUUACUCCGAGUGGUUUUGCUGCGCAUCUGAAAGCCGCUUGCCUUUAAGGGGGCGCAAUAUAAGAGGUGGCGCACCAGAGCAGUCUACUGGUUUCAGAUCAUGGGCUGCUAUGACGCCACCAAGGGCAAGCCUGAGGGCGAUCUUAAUCCAGCACAGCUGGAAGCUUUCAAGAAGAUCAAUACCCUCUUUAAAGGCACGCUUCUGAGUGUUCUUGAUGACUCCAUUGUAGAUUCGUAUAUGUCGUUUGACAAUGGCAAGAACAUGUGGGCUACGCUCGAGGCCAAGUUUGGUGCCUCGGACGCCGGCAGCGAGUUGUACGUCAUGGAGCAAUUCUAUGACUCCAAGAUGACUGAUGGGCGCCCUGUUGUACAGCAGGCUCAUGAGAUACAGUUGCUCGCAAAAGAACUUGAGUACUUCAAGUGUGUGUUGGCGAACAAAUUUGUUGCCGGAGGCAUCAUUGCCAAGCUUCCACCUUCGUGGAACAAUUUUGCUACUUCCCUGAAACACAAGAGACAGGAGUUUUUCGUUGCGGAUCUCAUUGGUACUCUUGAUGUUGAAGAGAAGGCGAGAGCAAAGGAUACACGUGCUUGAGUUGCUAAGGGAGGUUCUAGUGCCCACAUGGUACAGAAGAAGAACUUCCAGCCCAACAAGUUCAAAAACAACAAGAACAAAACUUAGGGCAAAGGCAAGUUCGAUACAAAGAACAAGCCAUCACAUUCUACCAACUUCAAGAAGAACUCUCAUAAGAAGGGGAAGGGACUUUGCCAUGUCUAUGGUGAUCCUAAUCACUGGGCUCCGAAGUGUCCCAACCGCUUUGAGGAGCGCGAACAUGAGAAGAGCGGCAAGUCUGCUAAUGUUGUCAUCGGUGAUACUGAUAUGAAGGAAUCAGGGUACGGUAUUUUUCCUACCAUCCUUUCAGUAUUCCAAACCCCUGACUGGUUAAUUGACACCGGUGCCAAUGUACAUGUUUGUGCUGAUGCCUCCAUGUUUUCUUCUUACCAGGCCACUGGGACUUCUCCUAUGCUGAUGGGGAACGGGUCACAUGCCAUCGUUCGAGGUGUUGGUACGGUCGAUCUGAAGUUUACUUCGGGGAAGACCGUGCGUCUGAAGAACGUUCAUCAUGUGCCGUCCAUCAAUAAAAAUCUCGUUAGCGGUUCCCGUUUAUGUCGAGAUGGUUUUAAGUUGGUUUUCGAAUCCAAUAAAGUUAUAAUUUCUAAGUAUGGACAAUUUGUUGGAAAAGGCUAUGAGAGCGGAGGCUUGUUUCGCCUGUCUUUGUCAGAUAUUUGCACUAAAGUUAUUAAUAAUGUUUGCCACAACAAUGAGUCUGAUAUUUGGCAUUCACGACUUUGUCACAUUAACUUUGGUUGCAUGACGCGGCUAGCCAAUAUGAAUUUAAUUCCGAAAAUCUCUACUGUCAAAGGAUCUAAGUGCCAAGUAUGUGUGCAAGGUAAGCAACCUCGCAAGUCCCAUAAGACUGCAGAGGCAACAGACUUGGCGCCACUAGAGCUUAUACAUUCUGAUAUUUGUGAGAUGAAUGACGUGUUGACAAAAGGUGGAAAGAGAUACCUCAUGACGUUGAUUGAUGACUCCACUAGAUAUUGUUAUGUGUAUCUUAUGAAAUCAAAAGAUGAGGCUUUGGCUUUCUUCAAAAACUAUAGAGCUGAGGCAGAGAACCAACUUGAUCGAAAAAUUAAACGGCUUAGGUCCGAUCAUGGUGGAGAGUAUUUUUCCAAUGAAUUUGAUCUAUUUUGUGCGGAACAUGGUAUAAUCCAUGAGAGGAUGCCUCCCUACUCACCCCAGUCAGAUGGGGUAGCCGAAAGAAAGAACCAAACUCUAACUGAUAUGGUUAACACCAUGUUAGACACUUCGGGUCUAUCCAAGGAAUGGUGGGGGGAGGCGCUAAUGACUGCGUGUCAUGUCCUAAACCGAGUUCCCACAAAGCAUAAGACCAUGACUCCAUUUGAGGAAUGUUAAAGGAAAAGGUUGAAACUCUCUUACCUACGUACUUGGGGUUGUUUGGCGAAAGUCAAUAUACCAAUUCCCAAGAAGCGCAAGCUUGGACCAAAAAUCGUGGGUUGUGUUCUUCUUGGCUAUGCUUUUCAUAGCAUCGGCUAUAGAUUUUUGAUAAUAAAAUCUGAGGUAUCCGACAUGCAUGUUGGUACGAUUAUGGAGUCGAAUGAUGCAACUUUUUUUGAGGACAUAUUUCCUAUGAAGGAUAUGUCGAGUUCAUCAAAUCAGGAGACACCUACUCCAUCUAGUGAGGAAUUCAUUGUAAUUCCUGAACCCACCAUUGCGAUGGAACACAUUGAGAAUCCUGUUGAGGGUGACAAUGGAACUCUUGUGAGGAGUAAGAGACAUAGGACUACAAAGUCCUUUGGUGAUGAUUUCAUUGUGUACCUCGUGGAUGACACACCCAGGACUAUUUCAGAAGCCUGUGCAUCUCUUGAUGCUGACUACUGGAAGGAAGCUGUACGUAGCGAGAUGGAUUCCAUCUUAGGUAACGGAACCUGGGAGAUCACUGACCGUCCUUAUGGGUGAAAACCUGUAGGAUGUAAGUGGGUGUUCAAGAAGAAGCUUAGACCUGAUGGUACGAUUGAAAUGUACAAGGCACGGCUUGUGGCCAAGGGUUAUACCCUGAAAGAAGGUGUAGACUUCUUUGAUACUUACUCACCCGUGGCUAGACUGACCACAAUUGGGUGCUACUAUCACUUGUUGCCUCACAUGGUCUUCUCGUUCAUCAAAUGGACGUUAAGAACGCUUUCCUCAAUGGAGAGUUGAAGGAGGAAAUUUACAUGGAUCAGCCAGAUGGUUUUGUAGUACCUGGUUAGUAAGGAAAGGUGUGCAAGUUAUUAAAGUAUUUAUAUGGCCUUAAACAAGCUCCUAAAGAGUGGCAUGAGUAGUUUGAAAGAACAUUAACUGCUACCGGCUUUGUAGUAAACGAUGGUGACAAGUGCGUGUACUAUCGCUAUGGUGGGGGCGAAGGAGUUAUUCUUUGUUUGUAUGUCGACGACAUAUUGAUCUUUCGAACCAAACUUGAUUUAAUCAAGGAGGUUAAGGAUUUCUUAUCUCGCUGUUUUGAGAUGAAGGAUCUAGGAGUAGCUGAUGUUAUCUUAAACAUCAAGCUGUUGAGAGAUGAGAAUGGUGGGAUCACACUGCUUCAGUCACACUAUGUGGAAAAGGUCUUGAAUCGUUUUGGGUAUAGCGACUGCACACCUUCUCCAACCCCAUAUGAUGCUAGCAUGUUGCAUCGAAAGAAUCGACGGAUUGCUAGAGAUCAACUGAGGUAUUCUCAUAUUAUUGGCUCGCUUAUGUAUUUGGCGAGUGCCACGAGGCCAAACAUCUCGUUUGCUGUUAGCAAGCUGAGUCGGUUUGUGUCAAAACCAGGAGAUGAUCAUUGGCAUGCACUUGAGAGAGUUAUGUGCUAUUUGAAAGGCACCGCGAGCUAUGGGAUUCACUACACCGGGUAUCCAAGAGUACUGGAGGGUUAUAGUGACUCAAACUGGAUAUCUGAUGCUAAUGAGAUUAAGGCCACAAGUGGUUAUGUUUUUACACUUGGUGGUGGCGCUGUUUCUUGGAAGUCCUGCAAGCAGACCAUCUUAAUGAGGUCAACUAUGGAAGCAGAACUCACAACAUUAGAAACUGCCACUGUUCAAGCAGUGUGGCUUCAUGAGCUCUUGAUGGACUUUCCUAUGAUUGAAGAACCAAUACCCCCUAUCCCAAUGAACUGUGAUAAUCAAACUAUGAUCGUCAAGAUAAAUAGUUCUAAGGACAAUAUGAAGUCCUCAAGGCAUGUGAAGAGGAGACUGAAAUCUGUCAGAAAAUUGAGGAACUCCGGAGUUAUUACGUUGGAUUAUAUCCAAACGUCAAAAAAAUUGGCAGAUCCCUUCACAAAGGGUCUAUCACGUAAUGUGAUAGAUAAUGCAUCGAUGGAGAUGGGUCUGAGACCCACCGCAUGAGUUGUCCAUAGUGGUAACCCACUCUUUGUGAUCGGAUAUCCCGUGAAGUAUAAGUGGGAGACAAGCUGUUGGUCAGCUGGGAGGAGAGUAUCCCUAUAUUACCUGUCCCACUCCAUGAAGAUGCAAUACUCUCCUAAUCUGCAUGGCAGGUUGAUACUUAUCUUAAUGUGUUCCAAGUGGCUUAUUCGGGUAAGCAGAGAUGUUGUCCUGCAGAACAUCUUCUGAGGAACACACCUAUAUGAAUUUGACUGUUAACGUCGCAGUCUGUGAGAAUUGGGUGUUCUCUAAUAAAUUCAUGAAAAGGCCCUGGAGUAUGACGUAUACGCUCCACCCGCAGGGAAGCCUUGCGGCAGCCCAGUAUCGGUCAAGAAUUUGUGUGAAACUAGUUGCGCAGAAAAUUUGUAGUUCAAGGCAUAGUCCACUAUUCAAGUUGUGAUCUAGUGUAGCAUAAAUCUCUAAGUGGAAGUUCAACUUCACAGUCUCCACUAAGCCCCGGUAUAUAAACAAUGUUUUGGAACUAAAUGAUGAGAUGUGCCAAUGAGACUUUGUGGGGGAUUGUUGGAAUUUUGCUAGUAGGCCUUUGGCCCAAAGCCCAACUAAAAUUCUGAAAUUGUCUUGGCCCAUUCAUGCACACAUGUGAGUGGAGUGAGUGAGACUAAAGUUUAGUCCCACCCCGGAAGUUGAGAGAGAGCACCUCUUUAUAAGGUGAGCUCUUCUACCACUUGUAUGAGCAUGAGAAUAGGAGACCUACACACGCGCUCCUCCUCCUCGCUCGCCACGCCACCCCUCGUCACGACGCGCCGCGGGUUGCGGGAUUGAGCCGAGCCGAGGACAGAGCUAUGCACAUUGUCUAUUUUUUGCUACCCGAAAAAAUUAAUGAGUCAUUAAUUAAUAAUUAAUGGACACGUUAAUUACUAAACCGUUUUCGAUUCUUUUGGAUCAUGAAGACUCGGACAUGGGGUUUACUCCCACGACCUACCGGGCCCGCAUUAUAUAGUCCGGCAGACGUCUACCCUAGCUGCCGCCGCUUCAUAUGGUUUCUUACCACCGUUCCAGAUCAUUGCGCCGCCAAGCAAGUCUUCUCCAUCCGUCCCUUCGGCGUGCAUCGGGAGAAGGGACAACAGGCCUCCGGAACCCCGCCUCUCGUGAUCCUGUACGGGAGAGGGGCGAUCAGGUUUUUGGGGAGCGCACUCGCGCGACUGCUGGCAGCGACGACUUCGCGAAUGACGACUUUUUCCCUGACCUCGGCAACCUCAUCCUCGACGACAUGGGCGACAACGUCAACGCCGGCGGUGCUGCACCCGCUGCACCUUAUGUUAUUCUAUCCUUCUUGUUCGAGAUCAUGGUAGAAUUCACGUUUCUAGUAUAUGCCCUAGAUGUGAUCUGUUCAUCUACUAUGCUAGUUCGCAUGAUUAGUUUAAUAUCUGCUAUUGCUGUCAUGAUCUAUUUCCUAUUUAUUCGGAUUAAAUCUCGUAGUAAUUUGCUCAUUUUUCCAAUAGUACCAUCUAAUAGAUGAUGUAAAUCUCCUCUAGUUUGACGUUGUUGAGCUAAUUUACAAAAAAAACCUCAUCAUUAUUGGACGUCCUUAACAGCUCAAGAACAAGUUGGGGUCGAACUAAUGGAUUUUACACUUUUACAUUAAAGGUUUAGCUAAAGCUAGCAGGUGUUUUUAAACCUGAAUUUUUUUCCUCCUGAAUUUCUUUGUAUUUUCUUAUUGACACUAUUUAUACAAUCAUCUGACAAAGAUUAGCUAAAGCUGUUUGUAGAUACGUUGAAACCUGAAAAGCUUCUUUGGUUAUCCUUUUAAUAGUUCUACGUUUAUUUUCUCAUAGGUCAUAAUUCUUAUGUAAUACCAAGAUGCAUUGUGGUAGUGUACAUGUGUUAAAUUCAGGUUGUUAUUCACAAUUUGCGACAAAAUUUAGCUCACGCUACAUUCAAAUAUGUUGAAAUGUGAAAGCUUUUUUUUCUUCUCCUUUCUACACCUUGCAUCGGAUUGCAUCCCUUUAGUUAUCCAACAUUUUGUACAACAUGUAGAGAUUAGGAAGUUCAUCAUAGUUUGUUUAUUUCGGUGCUAAUAAAUGUAUGAAAUCUGCAUUUCCAAGCUACUAGGACAAGUAAAAAAUAAUAAUUUUACUAUAGGAUUCAAAAACAGCAGUUCUGAAGUGCACUUUAUUUAUUUUUGAAAGUGAUCACAUUUUGUUUCAUUUUUCUAUAGACAAAUCUACUAAUACAUACUCACGAUAAAACUAUAAAAGUUCUAGUCCGCACAUUGGGCGGGCCACCCGGCUAGUUAGUCUAAAGAUAACAAAAUGAGUCUGGAAUUUGAAUUAAAUUGAAGUAUUUUCUUGGACUUUCAAAUUGAGUUUUAUUAAAGUAGUAAGGACUAUCCACAUCCUUGGCUUGCCCCUGAUCAAUUAUUUCCAGAGAAGCAUUCAAUUCAUCAAUCAAUUACAUUGAUUUUAGUGGCUGGUACUUCUCCUCAACAUCAGUAUAUUCACCGUGGCCACUCCAAAUCGGCAAGAAUGAGGUACCAGUGCUCUGGAGCAGUGCAAGCUAAUUGCUUCUCAUCUGAAGGGGUGCGGCCGCAGGAGAGGUAUUUCUGGUGGGCCAAGGGACUAAGAAGCGACUGUGGCAGCGGUAUAGACGCCCGCAAAGCCCCAUAAUUUGUUUUUGGUUUACAGGAAAAAUGCACAUCCAUACCAGCCUGGGGAAUAUAGGACCGUAUUGGAUGGAAAACCAUGUCCGGAUGGUUGCGAGCGGUUUAAGGGUUAGCUUUUGUAACGCCCGGUUAGUUAUGCUAUAGCAAUUCCCUGCUAAUGAUGUCACGUUACCACGAUUACUGUUGUUAACCUCACAAUGAUUCAAUCCCCUUCAAAUUGAAAUUUAAAAUAAAGGCAAACAUCAAAAGUUUUCAAAUAUUAAAACUAAAAUCUUUGAGAGGUGACAAAUAAUGCAUAAGUAAUUAUGGUGGAGAAACCACACUUUAAUCAAAUGUUUAAAUACUCUAAAAUGAAAAAAAACAGUUGCUUAAACUAUUAUUUAAAUGCUUUUAAAAUAGUAAAAAUCUUCUAACUAAAUUAUUUGGGUACCAAACUUUUGGUGGCAGUGGUAUAUUUAGUACAACUAAUUUAGAUGCUAAUUAUAUAAAAAGGAAAAGCAAAAGGGGGCAACCCCUCGCUGGGCCUCGGCCUAGCUGCCACUAGGCUAGCUAGGCUGGCCCCGCCGCCUCCCUUAACCCCCCCCCCCCACUCCCCAUCGAACCCAAGCCCGAUCGCCCCACUUCCCCCANNNNNNNNNNNNNNNNNNNNNNNNNNNNNNNNNNNNNNNNNNNNNNNNNNNNNNNNNNNNNNNNNNNNNNNNNNNNNNNNNNNNNNNNNNNNNNNNNNNNNNNNNNNNNNNNNNNNNNNNNNNNNNNNNNNNNNNNNNNNNNNNNNNNNNNNNNNNNNNNNNNNNNNNNNNNNNNNNNNNNNNNNNNNNNNNNNNNNNNNNNNNNNNNNNNNNNNNNNNNNNNNNNNNNNNNNNNNNNNNNNNNNNNNNNNNNNNNNNNNNNNNNNNNNNNNUUGAUCCCAUCUGGAUCGGGGAGGGUAAUGCCCCAAUCGACCCCGUUGCCGUCGCGGGAUUGCCCGCCGACGUCGCCAGGCCUCCUCCCCGCCACCCGUCUCCGGCUCGCCUCCCCUCUCGCUCCUCUUCCCCGACCCGAUCUGGAUCGUGAACGAGCAAUGAGCUCGAAGCCCCCUUCACCGGCGCCAUCACCGUGCGCCACCACCACCGCCUGAAGACCUCACCGUCGCCGAACCUUGCGUCGCCUCCUCGUAUCCCUCCCCUACUCGCGUCCUCAAGCCAGGCCGAGCCCCUUCUCGGCAACGCCGUGAGACGCCCCCGUCUCCCUCCUCUUUCCACUGCGUUCACCGCGCCGCCCGCCGUGCCCCUCGCCGUGCGCACGCCCACCACCGCACCAGCCCCCGCUCCGCGCACGACCCUACCCGCGUCCGCGCCAUGAUCCCCUUUUCCACCCUACCUUCCUGCGCUCGCCGCGGUCCUGAUGCUCCCCCGCGCCCUCUUUUGGGGGCGCCGACUGCCCCUGUCCCACUGCUCGCCGCCGUGCCUCGCCAUCGCUCUACUGCUAAGUUAUUGCUGCGCUGCGGCCGUCGCCUCUUCCCGCUGCUCCGCCAGCGCCGAAGCUCCCGAUUGGCUCCACCACUUCUCACGUUAAACCGCCGGCCUAAAUGGCCUAACCCCCGGCUAAUGAACCCCCACUAUCCCACUGACACCGGGACCCACAUUCCCUAAUUAACCAUUUAAUAAAUUAAAACUCUUAAAUUAACAUUAGUGUAUGACAUGUGCGUCCCCUAUUAAUUUAUAAUUUUACUGCUAGUUUUAUUAGUUUCUGUUUUUUCUGCAUAUUUCUUUUGUAUUUGAACAGGCUUUAUAUAAUAAUAUUUAGCGUCUCAUACACAUAUAAAUGUAAUUAUAGCAUAUACAUACAAAUAGUCUCAUCAAAUCAUGUCAUCACCAUAAUCAUCAUCCAUCACAAAGUGAUCUCUCGUCAUCAUCUCGAAAAUAGCAAUACAAGUCUCGAUUACUUGCAACUACAUCGUCAUCCAUCUAAACAAUGAUAUACGCGAGAAGCGCUAUCACUAUGAGUGAGAGCGGAACUAUGCAGUACAUGAGUUUGUAUCCCUCUCUCACAUUAGCGUGAACCUAAACUAACUACUGGCUGUUGCUCGGAAACCGGAAACCGGUACACCUGGGCCUGACACUCCGGCCACUCGUCGUAUACUCCUGGCGUAGCACUUCUUCGCCAUCGAUGAUCUAUAAACCUACAUCGUCAGAUGAGUCGAUGAUAUGCAACAUAUAUAGUUGAGCAACAGAAAGAGACAGACUUGGCAAAAAUAGAAGCAACAUAUCAUAAGCAUAAAUAACAAAGUUCAUCGUACGCAAAAUGCCCUAACUAGAGUGAUCUUCGCUAGUCGAGGAGGACGGUUUAAUUACAUCACAAAUAAUUUUUCGUCGUGCAUAACUCAAAGUUCCGUCAUACAGAAAGUAUGAACUAAAUGGACACAUUGUCAUAUUUCAAAAAUCACUCCCACAUGUCGUGCCAUCCAUCCAAGUCAAGGAGAUAGUGCCCGAGCUUAGUGAAAGGCUUUAGGUCGAGACGCUGAGCGGCUAUGCGUGUUCGGACGUCUUCCCACGACAUUUGUCCUUCUUCAUAGAACAUCCCUGUUUUUUCGACGACCUCCUUCAUCACUGGAAGAAAAAGGGCCUGUUGUCCCGGUUCUGGAACCGGGACUAAAGGGUCGGUACUAAUGCCCUGUCCCUUUAGUCCCGGUUCAAUCCAGAACCAGGACAGUUGGGCCUCCACGUGGCCUGUGCGCGGAGCCUAGGCGGGAGACCCUUUGGUCCAAUAAGCAUCCACGCAUCAGCAUUUAUGUGGUUGGGGUUUUUGUUUUUUUUGAAGGGGGGGGCAUUGGGGGUUUUGGGGGGUUAAUUUUGGUGUUUCAUAUAUUGUGUUAGCUAGCUAUAAUUAAUAGAGAGAAUUGUCCUCUCUUAUGUCCGUGCUUGCUCGACGCUACGUACUAUACAUACGUAUAGAGAGGACUAGACACGGUAGCUAGCUAGUAAGCAAACGAAGGAAAUAGAAGAUCGUCAUGAACAUAUAUGCAUACAGAGAGAAGUAAUAUCGACCACCUCUCCUUCUCCGAGAGAUUGGUCGAACAACAAGUUCUCAUAUAUCUAUCCGACACUACCGGCUACAUAUAUACAAUAAUUAUCUCUUACAAAUAUAAUCAUACGGAUUCAGGGUCCACAUAGUAUUCUCUGUCUUCAAGGAUCACGUGGUCAAGAAAGAAUGCCGCCAAUUCCUCUUGAAUUGCUCGCAUGCGAGCUGGUGCUAGGAGUUCAUCCCGCUUCCGAAACAUCUAAUUUAAAGAAGGGGGUUAAUACAUAUAUACAUAUAUAUAUAUAUAUAUAUAUAUAUAUAUAUAUAUAUAUAUAUAUAUGAAUGAAUGAAACUCAACACGAAUGAUGGUAAUAAAAUAAAAUUGUGAAUGUUGUUAUUUACGUACUUCAUAUUGUUCGUCAGUGUAGCCCCGCUCAUAGGUCGUGUGGCGGAUGGACUCGCAAACGUAGUAUCCACAGAAAUCAUUCCUUUGUUCCUGCCACAACCACUUUAUAAGAAAUAGAGGUCAAUCAAACUGAUAAGCAAGAAUGCCAAAUGGUAUUGAUGAAACUUGUCAGGACCCCGAUUCCAAGCCACAUCGAUCUAGCCGGUAACACCUCAUAUCACUUUGCGGCCUCACGCACGAUAUUCCACGGGUGUCGCCUUACCAUGGCCCGGGACCGUUUGCGCCUUUUGGCUCACGUAUAUGAUAGUGUUGCUAGCAUCCAUAUGACAGAGAACCCGGGCCGACAUGGCUAGUCGUGAACCCAAAGUGGCACAGACCUAUGGAGACAGGCAUACAUGAAUCACAUCGAGCAUGUCGGUCAUCAGUGUGUGAUUCCGGGCUGUAGCACUGGGCUAACAGGACUCCGGGGAACCCGGGCUGUAGCAGGCUAGGCAGGACUCCGGAAGUCACCGCGUGACAUUUACCCGAAGGGACAGACAUAGGAACGAAGUGAAUCACAUGCCGGCAAGUCAAGUGUCCUGAGCAGUAGUACUGGGCUAGCAGGACUCCGGUGAACCGGGCUGUAGCGGACUACUAUGGCUCGAGGAACACUAGACUACAUUUCCCCAUAAGAAAGGCUGCCAAGGAUAAACAACUAGAUUGUCGGAUCCCACUCAUACCAAGCAUUUCAAUCAUACACACAAUAUGCCCGAUAUGAGUACAUACAACAUGGCAUCACAACAAAACUCUACAACUCAAGUACUUUAUUUAAAGGCUCUAGAGAGCCAUACAUAACAUGUUCAUACAGAUAGGGGUCACAUGACCCGACACUCAAGUCAUACAAUCAUACAAGCACAUGCGGAAGCAACCGGUCUGAGUACAGACACUAGAAAGAAAGAAGGCUCCUCGAGGCCUGUCUAUCUACAUAGGGCCCUCCAUGGCCAGGAUCACCACCUGGGUGGCUAGUCACUCGUCGAUGUCAAGGUCUACAUAGAACCCAUCGAAGGGGGCUGUGUUGUCGUCUGAAAACAGUAAUUAAGCAAACAUGAGUACAAAGGUACUCAGCAAGUCUUACAAAAGAACCUACUAUACAUGCUUAUUCUCAAGAAGGUGGUGGGGAUAUUGCAGCAAGCCAGUUUUCACUCUUGGCUAAACUAUCCUACAGAACUUCUCUAGUAAAAUAGUUUUCGCACACGAGUCCACUACUCACCAACACAAUACUCCACCGGGGAUCCUCCCUCGUCAUCCUAUGAGAGGGCCAUCCUCGGUACUCACACUUAUCUUGACUAUUUUAGUAGUAUCCAUUUAAUUGUCUAUGAACUGUAUAGGCAACCAAGUAGUCCUUUACCGCGGACGCGGCUAUUCGAAUAGUUUUAUACCCUGCAGGGGUGUACUUCGUCAUACAUGCUUUCACCACUUAUCGUCGUUUACACGACAUGUACUCGGCAACCUUCAAGCGAAAGCCCAGCGAGGGUGUCGGCCACGGCCUACCUAAACACUUAAGUCUCUAGUCCAGGUUUAUCGCCUAUCUAGGUUCCAUCCGCAGGGAGUCCGGGCGAGGUUUCCACAUACGGCCCCGAACGAUGUGAACAGGGUCCCGAGACGCCAAACGGGCGCCCGGCAUACCCGGCCAUGGUGUAUCUACCGCAACAUAGCCCACCCUUAGGGUCAGCGCUACGCACGGCCGCCAACACAUAACCUACAAACACCAGAAACUAUUUGCAACUCCUAGACAGAGUACAAGGGUGAUUAAGAAGCCGAGAGGGUCAAUUAAGGAUCCCAAUGCAUGGUAGUAGCUGAAUCUUAAAUCACACAUACCGAUCUCAGUUCUUAGGGACGGUCUCAAUGAAACAACCCACCAUGUACUCCUACAUGGCCUCUCAUCGAUACCUUUACCAAAACAUGUUCAACACAUUCCUCAUAUUACCGACAUAAUCAUAUCACCCUAGCCCAUCACCCAGAUGAACCAGACCUGACACAACUAUAAGCAUAGCAGGCAUAGCAAGGUAGGAAUCACAUACAUGGCUCAAUCAACUCCUACACAUGCUAGUGGGUUUCAUCUAGUUACUGUGGCAAUGACAGGUCAUGCAGAGGAUAAGGGUUCAACUAUCGUAGCACACAGCAGUUUGAAUCACAUUGUCUUAAUGCAGUAAACAAGAGCAGAGGCAAGAACAUGGGUUGUAUCGGAAUGAUCAAUGGGUUGCUUGACUGAUGGAGUGGUAGUGGGAUACUGCCCUUCAGUUGGAUACUCAUGAAUAUCCUCGGAGGCAGAACCUACCACGAAGAACACAUCGGAACACAAUCAACACAUGAUGAUAUGCAACAAUAUGAUGCAUGCUAUGACAUGGCAAUAUGAAUGUGUCUUGGCCUAAUGCAAGCUAAAAUAGAAAGGGAUGAACUCAUUUGAAUCAAAGAUUCAAAUAUUAGCUCAUUAAACAUGGCCUUAGUAGUGCAUUUCCUUAUUCUGCUUAAACAGCAAGGUAAACUUGUUUUUUCAUGCUUGAAACCAUUACAGAUGGAUAUAUUGAAUUUUUCUGAUAAUUUUUCAUAUAUAAAUUAUUUCAUUUGGAGUUACGGUUGAAUUUCUAUGAUUUUUAGAAGUUUCAAACAUUUUCUGGAAUUUCUUGAAUAAAAAUAAAUCCAGAAAAUGCAUUACUGCGUCAGCAUUGCAUCAUGCUGACCUCCGCAGGUCAAAGGCACCAGCCUAGGUCAAACCUGACUGGUGGGCCCCUUCUGUCAGUCUCUCAGUUAAAUAACAGGAUUAGAUUAACACUAAUUAGCUGUCAGUGGGGCCUGGGCCCACAUGUCACUGACUGAUUAAAAUAAAAUUAGUUAAAACUAAUCCUAGAUUAGUUAGCAAACCGGCCCCACCUGUCAUAGACUUAGGGGGGGUCUACCUGGGCCCACCCAGGGUCAAACUGGGUCAAACUCGCCGGCGCAGCUCGGAAAACGCCUACAGGGCACGAGCGAGGCCGUUCUUGGGCUCAUUGGAGAGCUCUUGCAGUCGCGCAUCUAGUGGCGGUGGUGGCCGGAGACGACGACGGCGAGCUCCAAGGCGGCGGCCGGAGUUCGGCCAUGUGCGGGGUGUCGGCUGUGGCGUGCAAACGUGGAAACUGAGGCACUAGCGAGGCACUACGCGAUGCGGCAAGCACGUUGCAUAGCACGGGAUAAUCAAAUGGUUGCCGGAGCGGCACCGGUGACAAGCUCGAGCGGAGACGAGCUUCGGCCAUGGUGGAACUAUGGCCUAGAGGGUGCAAACGCGUGGAAAAGAAGAGGGGAAAGGUGGCGGAGCUCACAGGGAGGUCGAUGAGCAGCUCAGUGGGCUCGGGGGCGACAGAAGUGAGGCGAAUCGAUGAGCAGCGUCCGGCGGGUACCGAGGUUGAAGACGAUCCGAUGGCGGCGAUGCAGGGCCUCCGGCGAUGCGUGGCUCGGUGGGAAGGGCGAGGGGGUGACGGAGGGCGCGACUACGGCGGUGAGACGGCGACGGGUGCGUCGGCCAUCGCGGGAGAGGGAGAGGGAGAUGAGUGGGAGAGUGAGAGAGGAUGAGAGGGGGACGUGGGGGUCGCGUGGCAUUCCCUGGACGUCUCCCGGCAUCGGCGGAAGCAGGAGGUGGCCGGCGUGUGGCCGCGGGCGCCGGCCACGCGCUCUGCGUCCUUCUGGCGCGAGGAGGACGACGACUGGCAGCGCCAGUAGGCUGGGCCGAGCCAGGUGGGCUGGCCAGCACAGGUAAGGCUCAGGUGGGCUUCUCCCUCUUUUUUUUAAUUUGUUUCUGUUUUCUAUUUAACUGUAAAUGUUGGGCUUUAUUUAAAAUACUAAAACAUUUCCAAAAAUCCUGAAAAUAAUUGUGGGCUCUGUUUGGAUUAUUUCCAAUAGCAAACAUUUAUUUGCAGAAUUAUUUGAGCAUUUAAAUGCCCAAAUUCAAAUACUUAUGAUUUAAAUCAAUGACCUUCUGUUGACCUAGAAAAGUUGUGCACCAAUUUUGCCAGAGGUUCUAACCCAAGACAAAGAGGGUGAACUUUUUAGAAGGGCAUUUCAGGUUCAUUGAAAAUAAUUUUAGUAAUCCCUAGUUGUUUCCAGGGGGGUGUUGGGGGUUUCUGCCUUCCCCAAUUCAAAUUUAAGAGGAAUUUAAACAUGAUGCACAUUCUAAUGCUUGAACUAGCUAGGGUGUGACAACUCACCCCCACUCAAAAGAAUCUCGUCCCGAGAUUUAGGAUCCUCUGGAAAGAAGGUGGGGUACUCGAGUCGAAGACGAUCCUCCCUUUCCCAAGUGGCUUCUUUCUCGGAAUGGUGUGUCCAUUGAACCUUGAGAAACUUGAUAUUAUGACGUCGAGUGGUACACUCGGCUUGAUCAAGGAUACGAACGGGAUAUUCCCGAUAAGAGAGGUUAUCUUGUAGAUCAAGCAUUUCGUGGUCCACUCCACGGAUAGGAUCCGCGAAGCAACGCCUGAGUUGUGAAACGUGGAAGACAUCAUGAACUCUGGAAAGAUGCGGAGGUAGUUCCAAUUGGUAGGCAACUUCUCCUCGUUUGGCAAGAAUGCGAAAGGGUCCAAUGUAACGAGGAGCCAAUUUGCCUUUGAUACCGAAAUGAUGGGUUCCUUUUAAUGGGGUAACCCGAAGGUAAGCCUUCUCGUCGAUUCAUAAGUCAUAGGCUUAUGUUUACGAUCAUAUUGACUCUUUUGACGAGAUUGGGCUGUUUUCAAUUUCUCACGAAUAACGCGAACCUGCUCUUCCGCUUCCUGAAUCAUAUCCGGGCCAAAGAGUUGUCUUUCCCCGGUUUCUGACCAGUUAAGAGGCGUUCGACAUUUUCGUCCAUAGAGAACUUCGAAAGGAGCUUUGCCCAAGCUAGCUUGAUAACUAUUGUUAUAAGCAAACUAUGCGAAUGGGAAGCAUUUCUCCCAACUCAUUCCGAAUGAGAUAACAGAAGCUCGGAGCAUAUCUUCUAGAAUUUGAUUGACUCGCUCUACUUGACCACUUGAUUGAGGAUGGAAGGCGGUACUAAAAGAGAGACGAGUUCCCAUAGCAUUUUGGAAACUUUCCCAAAAUCGAGAGGUGAAGAGACUCCCACGGUCUGAGUUAAUUUCCAAUGGGACACCAUGGAGAGACACUAUUCGGGAGAUGUAUAAAUCGGCUAGCUGGCUAGCAGUGAUACUCGCACGAACAGGUAGGAAAUGGGCUACUUUGGAAAGACGGUCGAUCACGACGAAGAUGGCAUUAUUCCCUCUCUUGUUCCUGGGAAACCCAGUAAUGAAAUCCAUACUGAUUUUAUCCCAUUUCCAUUCAGGAAUAGCCAAAGGUUGAAGGGUGCCAGCAGGCCGUUGAUGCCCUGCUUUAACACGAUGACAGACGUCGCAGCUAGCAAUGUAUCGAGCGAUUUCUCUCUUCAUCCUAGUACAUCAAAACCUCUGGCGUAGGUCUUGAUACAUUUUAUUGCUACCGGGAUGAAUGGUGAGAGGGGAUUCAUGAGCUUCCUUAAGGAUCAAUUGGCGUAGAUGUUGUUUCUUGGGAACCACCAAACGGUUCUCAAAGAAGACAGCACCCCGCUUAUCCAUGGAAAAACAUUUAGCAACUCCGCUAGCAAUGUUUUCCUUAAUCCGGGAUAUGCCCUUAUCAUACCGCUGGGCAGUUAUGAUCUGAUCCAUAAGGUUAGGUUUCGCCACCAGGGUGGAUAGGAAUCCUCGAGGAACAAUGUGAAGAUUAAGCUUACGGAAUUCCUCAUGGAGAAGUGGUUGACUUUGUUGUAACAUCAGGUUGUUACAAUAGGAUUUACGGCGUAGUGCAGCAGCCAUGACAUUGGCUUUGCCCGGUGUGUAGGUUAUUCCUAAGUCGUAAUCCGAGAUCAACUCAACCCAACGUCUUUGCCUGAGAUUCAAAUCUGGUUGGGUGAAGAUAUAUUUCAAGCUUUGGUGAUCGGUGAAGAUCUCGCAACGAUUAAGUGCAUGGACUACAGCUGCCAGCUCUAGAUCAUGUGUGGGAUAAUUUUCCUCAUGUGGGUGUAAUUGCCGUGAAGCGUAGGCAAUUACCUGACGAUCUUGCAUGAGUAUGCAACCUAGUCCUUGUCGCGAGGCGUCACAAUAGAUAAUAAAGUCCUUGGAUAAAUCAGGUGGUACCAGUACGGGAGCAGAUGUCAGGCGUCUUUUCAGUUCCUAAAAGCUGAACUCGCACUGUGGAGUCUACUCGAACUUUUUAUCUUUCUUGAGGAGUUUAGUUAGAGGUUUAGCAACCUUGGAGAAAUUCUCGACGAAGCGGCGGCAAUAGCUCGCUAAGCCAAGGAAGCUCCAAACUUGCUUGACCGUCUCAGGUGGAGUCUAAUCAAGGACGGCUUGAACUCGCUCGGGAUUGACGGCAAUACCCUUACCAGAGAUUACAUGGCCUAGAUAGGUUACUUCUGGCAACCAAAAUUCACACUUGGAGAAUUUGGCAUAAAGGCGAUGCUCUCGAAGUUUCAUCAAUACCAGCCUUAGAUGUUCGGCAUGUUCCUCUUCAUUCUUGGAGUAGAUUAGUAUGUCAUUGAGGUAUACUACGAUGAAUUUAUCCAAGUACUCCAUGAAAACCGAGUUCAUUAGCCGGGAGAAGGUAGCCGGGGCAUUGGUUAAACCGAAGGACAUAACGGUGUACUCGUAUUGGCCAUAACGAGUAACAAAGGCCGUUUUGGGAAUGUCCCCGUUUCUGAUUUAGAUUUGAUGGUAGCCCAACCUCAAAUCCAUCUUGGAAAAGACUGAGGAUCCAGCAAACUAAUCAUACAGAUCAUUGAUCCUGGGAAGUGGGUAUUUGUUCUUGAUGGUGACCAAGUUGAUAGGUCGGUAAUCCACAACCAUUCGAUCUGUUCCAUCCUUCUUGACGAAGAGGACGGGGCAAGCCCAAGGAGAGGAACUAGGACGGAUGAAACCCUUUUUCAAGGACUCAUCGAGUUGGUUCUCAAGCUCGGCUAGUUCUAAGGGUGCCAUCUUGUAGGGUCUUCUAGAAAUUAGAAUGGUUCCUGGAACAAGGUCUAUCACAAACUCGACAUCCCUGUCAGGUGGAACACCUGGCAGUUCUUCUGGAAAGGCAUCCGGAAAGUCUCGGACUACCGGAACAUCCUCAAGGUCUGGAAGGGGGUUGGCAUUUAGGGAGUAAAGUUGGCACUUGGCCACUCGAGUUAAGACAUUAACUGUCUUGCCCGAUGGGUGAGUAAGUUGAACGGUUCUAGUGGCACAGUCAAUCUUAGCAUAAUGAGCUGACAUCCAGUCCAUACCUAAGAUGAUGUUUAUGUCCGAGGACUUGAGAGCUAUUAAGGAUGCAAGGAAGACAAGUCUAUCGACAAGAAUUUCGUUCCCAUGGCUUACUCUAGAAGUUUGCCAUCUAGAGCCAGGGGUUUGAAUUUCCAUGGUAGAGGGCAUGUCACAGAAUGUCGUGUUGUGCAAUCGAGCAUAGUUCUCGGAUAUGAAUGAAUGAUAUGCUCCAGUAUCGAAAAGAACAGAUGCCGGAUGGCAGUUAACAAGGAGCGUACCAAGGACGACGUUGGGAUCCUCAUGAGCCUCCUCGGCUGAAACAUAGUUGACAUGGCCACGUGCAGUGGUGGCUGGCUUAGCGUAGAAUGUUUUUCCCGCGGGCUUACCACGGCCAACGGACUUUCCAGUUUGAUUGGGGUUGUUGUUCUGGGGACACUCUCGGCUAUAGUGACCCGGCUCUCCACACUUAAAGCAUGUCACCACAUUGGGGCGUGGAGCAGCAUUAGCAGCGGGGCCACCAUAGGGCUUGGGCGGUGCAAAUUGCUGGUUGGGACGUGGUGCCUCAAAGGAUGGCCUCGGGAUGAACCUGGGUGGCAGUGCCGUGCUUGGAAUCCACACCCGGCGCUUCUGAGCUCCAGAGCCGAUGAAGAGCCAAAAUCACGGGAGUGCUUGCGUGAAGUGUCAUAAUCAGUCUGGCCUUUCUCAGCACUGAUGGCUUUAUGGACCAACUUCUAAAAGGAGGUGCACUUGUGCAGACGAAGACCACGGUGAAGCUCAGGGCUAAGUCCCUUGCGGAACCUUGCCUGCUUCUUAGCAUCAGUAGAUACCUCUUCAGGGGCAUAACGUGCCAGAUUCCCAAAUUCACGACUGUAAGCAUCCACAGUCAGUCUUCCUUGGGUGAAGUUGCAGAACUCCUCCCUCUUGCGAUCCAUGAGACCUUCCGGAAUGUGAUGCUCACGGAAAGCCUCACUGAAUUCAGCCCAAGUAGUGAUUUGGCCGACCGGGCGCAUAGCUUCGAAGUUUUCCCACCAAAGGCUAGCAGGGCCUUUGAGGUGAUAGGCAGCAUAAGUAACCUUGUCGGCUUUGGCUACGUUGGCAGAACGUAGCUUGUGGGUGAUGCUGUGAAGCCAGUCAUCCACGUCGAGGGGCUCGACGGAAUGGUUAAACUUUGGUGGGUACAUCUUGAUAAAGUCAUUGAUUGACACCAACUCAUUUCGCGGGUGGCGUGCAGUGUUCUGCUCAAUCCGCUCCAGCAGGCGGUUGGUCUCACGCUUCUUUCUUUCUGCCUCCAGCAUUACUUCGGCCAGAGAAGGCGGGUGAGGCAGAUUUUCACCUCUAGCAGCACUGGCUUCCCCCUGCUCCGGGGCAACAGGGUUGCUGCGAGUAUUGACCAUCCUAGGAGAAAACAAGACAACGGUUUAGACAAGGAUGGCUCAAACUGAGCAAGGAUGUGCAGAAUGUAAUGGAUAACACGGAACACAGAGAUGUUCAUCCGUAUGUCAUGGUAAUAUAAAACUGCCAUAUAUAUACCAACGGUCAUACACAUCACACAUAGUUUAGUACAAGCCCAGGCUACAGUACAACUAUGAUGAAAGACGUUACAUCUCAUCGGAGGCAUUCCAAGCUCCUAUACAUUAUUGUCUACACCUUCGGAAUUGAUUACACGCAAAGUCAUAUUCCAAAAGUCACGCAGGACAGUGGAGAUACAACUACUACAAUACUAGUGGUACUACUACUAACUCAGACAGCUCCGUACUAGUCCUCAUAGAAGUCACCUCCAUAGCCUGGAAGUUCAACGUGACCAUCCGGGAACAGACGGUCCUGAGGAGCCUGUGGACCAUAGGGGCUUGGAUGGGGUCUUGGACCAACAAACGGUGGCCUGCGGGGACCACAGGGUGGGGUGAUGCCUCCCACAUCACGCCAAUCCACCACGUCUGGCAAAGCAGACCUCACAGGAUACAAAUCCCUUGUAUCCAUACAUCCAGCUUGCACCACAGGUGCAAACCGAGUCAAUGUGGCCCAAUGAUCAGCACGGGUAUUAAAAAGCUCCAGCCUCAAGGCCUGAUUCUCUCGGUCCUUAUAUUCGAGCAUCUCGGCAGUGGUACGAGUUAAUGAAUCCUCCUGAGUGGAGUCAGCAUAGAUAGCCUGAAGAUACCCUUGCGCUCCCGGAAGUGAAGCUAGCAUGUAUCGGAAGUCGGUGUUCCGAAGCAGGCCAGUCCGGACUCGCAUGAUUGUCAUCAUGGAAUAGGCAGCAUCCUGCACAGCCAUCUCAACAGUAACCCCGAGUCCAUAGGAACAGUGAAGGGGCUCGGUAGAUCCAGGAUAAGAAGGAAAUAUCUUGACGGUGCAGAAAUACUGGCUUUGAUUAAAGUCUCAGAAUUGCUCUUCGACGGUGUAUUCGGGAUACCAACGGUAACCCGUCUCGAUCAUGACCCGGACUAACAUAGCAGUAUGACCGGGCACGUCGAGCCACCGGGUCAGGCGAACCACUUUGUUUUGAGCACGGUUGGGCAUCUGAAAGCACAACCACAAUGCAAAGACAUCAGAAUUUCUAGGGAAAAUUGGACAGCAUAACAGCUGUAAAUGCUCAGAAAAAGAUUUGAGACAUCCACAACAGUUCGCAAUACCACUCAACAACAUCAUAUCAAGGUUCUGAUCCAAAUAGCAGCAUACUAAAAAUAGUAGAAACUGAACUGGGGCUUGUAACAACAAUCCUAUAAGCUACUACGGAUUAGUAACACGUGAACCUGAUAGAAGAAGAGAGACUAGUCCUUAACCCACAUUGAAUGAAAAGGGAAUGACUCAGAUAAGAGGCAUAGGGUAAAGGAGUAAAAGAGCCUUACGUUCCCUCCCACAAUCAAUUCCCCUACAUAUAACUAAAGCAUUUCCAGACUCGACAUCGACCAGUUUGGCUCAACGAACCUACAGGCAGUCCGGCACUGAUGCCAACGCUGUCAGGACCCCGAUUCCAAGACACAUCGAUCUAGCUGGUAACACCUCAUAUCACUUUGCGGCCUCACGCACGAUAUUCCACGGGUGUCGCCUUACCAUGGCCCGGGACCGUUUGCGCCUUUUGGCUCACGUAUAUGAUAGUGUCGCUAGCAUCCAUAUGAUAGAGAACCCGGGCCGACAUGGCUAGUCGUGAACCCAAAGAGGCACAGACCUAUGGAGACAGGCAUACAUGAAUCACAUCGAGCAUGUCGGUCAUCAGCGAGUGAUUCCGGGCUGUAGCACUGGGCUAACAGGACUCCGGGGAACCCGGGCUGUAGCAGGCUAGGCAGGACUCCGGAAGUCACCGCGUAACAUUUCCCCGAAGGGACAGACAUAGGAAUGAAGUGAAUCACAUGCCGGCAAGUCAAGUGUCCUGAGCUGUAGUGCUGGGCUAGCAGGACUCUGGUGAACCGGGCUGUAGCGGACUACUAUGGCUCAAGGAACACUAGACUACAUUUCCCCAUAAGAAAGGCUGCCAAGGAUAAACAACUAGAUUGCCGGAUCCCACUCAUACCAAGCAUUUCAAUCAUACACGCAAUAUGUCCGAUAUGAGUACAUACAACAUGGCAUCACAACAAAACUCUACAACUCAAGUACUUUAUUUAAAGGCUCUAGAGAGCCAUACAUAACAGGUUCAUACAGAUAGGGGUCACAUGACCCGACACUCAAGUCAUACAAUCAUACAAGCACAUGCGGAAGCAACCGGUCUGAGUACAGACACUAGAAAGAAAGAAGGCUCCUCGAGGCCUGUCUAUCUACAUAGGGCCCUCCAUGGCCAGGAUCACCACCUGGGUGGCUACUUACUCGUCGACGUCAAGGUCUACAUAGAACCCAUCGGAGGGGGCGGUGUUGUCGUCUGAAAACAGUAAUUAAGCAAACAUGAGUACAAAGGUACUCAGCAAGUCUUACAACAGAACCUAGUAUACAUGCUUAUACUCAAGAAGGUGGUGGGGAUAUUGCAGCAAGCCAGCUUUGACUCUUGGCUAAACUAUCCUACGGAACUUCUCUAGUAAAAUAGUUUUCGCACACGAGUCCACUACUCGCCAACACAAUACUCCACAGGGGAUCCUCCCUCGUCAUCCUAUGAGAGGGCCAUCCUCGGUACUCACACUUAUCUUGAGUAUUUUAGUAGUAUCCAUUUACUUGUCUAUGAACUGUAUAGGAAACCAAGUAGUCAUACACGCUAUUCGGAUAGUUUUAUACCCUGCAGGGGUGUACUUCGUCAUACACGCUUUCACCACUUAUCGCCGUUUACAUGACAUGUACUCGGCAACCUUCAAGCGGAAGCCCAGCGAGGGUGUCGGCCACGGCCUACCUAAACACUUAAGUCUCUAGUCCAGGUUUAUCGCCUAUCCAGGUUCCAUCCACAGGGAGUCCGGCCGAGGUUUCCACAUACGGCCCCGAACGAAGUGAACAUGGUUUCGAGACGCCAAACGGGCGCCCGGCAUACCCGGCCACGGUGUAUCUACCGCAACAUAGCCCACCCCUAGGGUCAGCGCUAUGCACGGCCGCCAACACAUAACCUACAAACACCAGAAACUAUUUGCAACUCCUGGACAGAGUACAAGGGUGAUUAAGAAGUCGAGAUGGUCAAUUAAGGAUCCCAAUGCAUGGUAGUAGUGAAUCUUAAAUCGCACAUACAGAUCUCAGUUCUUAGGGACGGUCUCAAUGAAACAACCCACCAUGUACUCCUACAUGGCCUCUCAUCGAUAUCUUUACCAAAACAUGUUCAACACAUUCCUCAUAUUACCGACAUAAUCAUAUCACCCUAGCCCAUCACCCAGAUGAACCAGACCUGACACAACUCUAAGCAUAGCAGGCAUAGCAAGGUAGGAAUUAUAUACAUGGCUCAAUCAACUCCUACACAUGCUAGUGGGUUUCAUCUAGUUACUGUGGCAAUGACAGGUCAUGCAGAGGAUAAGGGUUCAACUACUGUAGCACACAGCAGUUUGAAUCACGUUGUCUUAAUGCAGUAAACAAGAGCACAGGCGAGAACAUGGGUUGUAUCGGAAUGAUCAAUGGGUUGCUUGCUUGAUGGAGUGGUAGUGGAAUACUGCCCUUCAGUGGGAUACUCGUGAAUAUCCUCGGAGCCAGAACCUACCACGAAGAACACAUCGGAACACAAUCAACACAUGACGAUAUGCAACAAUAUGAUGCAUGCUAUGACGUAUCUUGGCCUAAUGCAAGCUAAAAUAGAAAGGGAUGAACUCAUUUGAAUCAAAAAUUCAAAUAUUAGCUCAUUAAACAUGACCUUAGUAGUGCAUUUCCUUAUUCUGCUUAAACAGCAAGGUAAACUUGUUUUGUCAUGCAUGAAACCAUUACAGAUGGAUAGAUUGAAUUUUUCUGAUAAUUUUUCAUAUAUAAAUUAUUUCAUUUGGAGUUACGGUUGAAUCUCUAUGAUUUUUAGAAGUUUUAAACAUUUUCUGGAAAUUACUGAAUAAAAAUAAAUCCAAAAAAUGCAUUACGGCGUCAGCAUUGUGUCAUGCUGACCUCAGCAGGUCAAAGGCGCCAGCCCAGGUCAAACCUGACUGGUGGGCCCCUUCUGUCAGUCUCUCAGUUAAAUAACAGGAUUAGAUUAACACUAAUUAACUGUCAGUGGGGCCUGGGCCCACAUGUCAGUGACUGAUUAAAAUAAAAUUAGUUAAAACUAAUCCUAGAUUAGUUAGCAGACCGGCCCCACCUGUCAUAGACUCAGGGGGGUCUACCUGGGCCCACCCAGGGUCAAACUGGGUCAAACUCGCCGGCGUUGAGCCGCCGGCGAGACCCGAGACAGUGGCGCAGCUCGGAAAACGCCUACAGGGCACGAGCGAGGCCGUUCUUGGGCUCGUUGGAGAGCUCUUGCAGUCGCGCAUCUAGUGCUGGUGGUGGCCGGGCCUACGGUGGCCGGAGACGACGACGGCGAGCUCCAAGGCGGCGGCCGGAGUUCGGCCAUGUGCGGGGUGUGGGCUGCGGCGUGCAAACGUGGAAACUGAGGCGCUAGCGAGGCACUACGUGAUGCGGCAAGCACGUUGCGUAGCACGGGAUGACCAAAUGGUCGCCGGAGCGGCGCUGACGACAAGCUCGAGCGGAGACGAGCUUCGGCCAUGGUGAAACUAUGGCCUAGAGGGUGCAAACGCGUGGAAAAGAAGAGGGGAAAGGUGGCGGAGCUCACAGGGAGGUCGAUGAGCAGCUCAGUGGGCUCGGGGCGACCGGAGUGAGGCGAAUCGACGAGCGGCGUCCGGCGGGUACCGAGGUUGAAGACAAUCCGAUGGCGGCGAUGCAGGGCCUUCGGCGAUGCGUGGCUCGGUGGGGAGGGCGAGGGCGUUACGGCGGAGCUUCUGGACAGGUCAGAGAGGCGAGGUGGUGAUGGAGGGCGCGACUAUGAUGGUGAGACGGCGAUUAAAAAGAAAGAUCUGGUUCACUCGUACGUGAAAAAAGUAGCAAGCGCUCGAUGCCUUCCUUUGCAUCGAUGCCAGACGCGGUGCUGGGAAUCGACAAGAUAACCGCCAAUCUACCACGAUUAAAUUCCUAGCGCCUCCUUCUAGCGCCUCCCACUGAAAAUGCCCUAAAGGUUUUGGAGGGAUUUUUUUACUGUGUCCUACUUCACGAAUCACGAGGCAAAUCAAGUAGCCGGCAUGGCCUGGCCGGUGAGUGCCAUUGCACUUACUUGCCCCAGCAAUUUUCCGCGUGCAUUGUAGAAUUCUUUCUCCGAGUCCUGUGAAUUAAAGAUGGUGCAGACAAAAAUAUAUCCUAUAUGCGUACAUGUGCAUGAUCAGAACAUGUUUUUACGUGCGUCUACUAUAAAUCAUGACCAUUUUUAACACAAAUCAUGACCAUUCAUGAUUAGUGAAUCAUACUGUCUUAACUUAUGUGAAAUCAUGUGGAGUAAUAUAAUAUAAUAUAAUAAAUAGAUAGAUCCAUGUUGUAUUAUUUUUUGUUUACAAAAAAUAUCUGUCAUUACACAUUUUGAUUUAUGCAUUUGUUUACAAAAAAAACAGUAACAUUUCAUGGUGGAAAGUUUGUAUUGUUUCAUACUGAACACCAAUGUUUUCCUGUAAAAGAAAAUAAUGCCUACGCAUAUGCUUUUAUAUUAUUAUUAUUCUUUCAAACUUAUUCAUACAGUAUUUUUGAUUGUGCAACCAUAAUUUUUAUUGUCUCUCUCGUUCCACUACAUGCUCUUACUCAAUGAUUUUUUUAUAACGGGUGUUUUUAUUAACUCAAAAUAUAGUAUCAAGCGGAUACAAAACAUAAUGAGCCACACCUGGUCUCUGCAUAACUAAGAUGCACACAGCCAAAAGCAGAUGUCUGACAAAAAUAAGAUAAGAAAAUCGACAUAUCGACAACAGUGAGUCAUAUAGUCCCGACACUAUGCCCCCGUUGAAGGACGGGGUGGAGCGAUCUGGAGAUUAUGCUGCCCUCCAUGUUGAGUAAAUACCUCCCUGGCCACUUGUUCCAAACGCAUAGACGCCGCCACGAAUAAUGGUCGGUACUCUGUUCAGUGUAGCAUACACCAUGUAGGAAGUGAGUGCUCACUCCUAGUUACUAAAUUAUGUACACACUAGUAGAAAAAGGGCCAUUUGUCCCGGUUCGUAAGGCCCAUUUGUCCCAAUUGGGGAACCGGGACUAAAGGGUCGGUACUAAAGCCCUACACCUUUAGUCCCGGUUCUUACACCAACCGAGACAGAUGGGGCUCCACGUGGCCGCUACAGCUUGCCGUGGCAGGGGGGCCUUUUGUCCCGGUUGGUAGCACCAACCGGGACCAAUAAGCUACCACGCGUCCGCAUUUGAGGGGCUAGGGUUUUUGUUUUUUUUCUGAAGGGGGGGGGGUGGGUUUGUAUGGUUAAUUUUGGGGGGUUUCACAUAUUGUGUUAGGUAGCUAAUUAAUUAAUAGAGAGAAGUGUCCUCACUUAUCUCCGUGCUUGGUCGACGCUACGUACUAUACGUAUAGAGAGGCCCUCAACACGCUAGCCAGUAAGCAAAUGAAGUAAACCAUUAAGUACAGAAGUUCGUCAUGAACAUAUGCAUACAAACAUAAGUGAUAUCGACCUCUCCUUCUCCGAGAGAUAGGUCGAACAACAAGUUUCCGUAUAUCUAUCCGGCGCUACUAGCUACAUAUAUACAAUAUUAAGAUCUCUUACAAUAUAAUCCCCUAAUUAUAUAUGAACUCAGCUUCCAGAUGGUAUUCUCCGGCUUUAUUGAUGGCGUGGUCAAGAAAGAUUCCCUCCAAUUCCUCUUGAAUUGCUUUGAUGCGAUCUUGUGGUAGGAGUUCAUCUCGCAUCUGCCACAUCUAAUUUGAAGAAGGGGGUCAAUCACCAGUAGAAUAACAACCAUUUGUCCUGGUUCAUAAGGUUAAUUUGUCCCGGUUGGGGAACCGAGACUAAAGGGUCUUUACUAAAGCCCUACACCUUUAGUCCUGGUUCUUACACCAACUGGGACAGAUGGGCCUCCAUGUGGCUGCUGCGGCGAGCCCAGGCCGGAGGUCCUUUGGUCCCGGUUAGUGGCACUGAUACGUCUCCAACGUAUCUAUAAUUUUUGAUUGCUCCAUGCUAUUAUGUUAUCUAUUUUGGAUGUUAAUGGCUUUAUUUUACACCUUUAUAUCAUUUUUGGGACUAACCUACUAAUCGGAGGCCCAACCCAAAUUGUUGUUUUCUACCUAUUUUAGGUUUUCGAAGAAAAGGAAUAUCAAACGGAGUCCAAACGGAAUGAAACCUUCGAGAACGUGAUUUUCUCAAUGAACAUGAUUCAGGAGAAUUGGAGUGUGCUCCAAGAAACAAGGGAGGAAGGCACGAGGCAGGGGGCGCGCCUACCCCCUUGGGCGCGCCCUCCACCCUCGUGGGCCCUCCGCUGCUCCACCGACGUACUUCUUCCUCCUAUAUAUAUCCACGUACCCCCAAACAUCCAGGAGCACCACGAAAACCUAAUUCCACCGCUGCAACCUUCUGUACCCGAGAGAUCCCAUCUUGGGGCCUUUUCCGGAGGUCCACCGGAGGGGGCAUCGAUCAUGGAGGGCCUCUACAUCAACUCCAUGGCCUCUCCGGUGAUGUGUGAGUAGUUUACUUCAGACCUAGGGGUCUAUAGUUAUUAGCUAGAUGGCUUCUUCUUCUCUCUUUGGAUCUCAAUACAAAGUUCUCCUCGAUUUUCUUGGAGAUCUAUUUGAUGUAACCUUCUUUUGCGGUGUGUUUGUCGAGAUCCGAUGAAUUGUGGGUUUGUGAUCCAGAUUAUCUAUGAACAAUAUUUGAUUCUCCUAUGAAUUCUAGUAUGUAUGAUUGGUUUAUCUUUGCAAGUCUCUUCGAAUUAUCAGUUUGGUUUGGCCUACUAGAUUGAUUUCUUGCAAUGGGAGAAGUGCUUAGCUUUGGGUUCAAUCUUGCAGUGUUUGAUCCCAGUGACAGAAAGGGAACCGAUACGUAUUGUAUUGUUGCCAUCGAGGAUAAAAAGAUGGGGUUUAUAUCAUAUCGCAUGAGUUUAUCCCUCUACAUCAUGUCAUCUUCCUUAAAGCAUUACUAUGUUCUCUUGAACUUAAUACUCUAGAUGCAUGCUGGAUAGCGGUCCAUGUGUCGAGUAAUAGUAGUAGAUGCAGAAUCGUUUCGGUCUACUUGUCUCGGACGUGAUGCCUAUAUACAUGAUCAUACCUAGAUAUUCUCAUAACUAUGUUCAAUUCUGUACAAUAUGGUGCACGGGGUUACAUCGGCCUGCAAAGACAUUUCUGCGAUGUGAGACAUCCGAAAAGCAACGAAAACGGGAGAUUAUACAUUUAUUGAAGAGGGCAGGUGUGACAGAUACCGUGAGGGCGUCGAGCUCAGCCAAAGACGAUGGACAGCUGAGCACGGCCUGUGUCAGAGCCGGUGCGGGAGCAGGUGCAGGUGCAGGUGCUGGUGCAACGCUAGUCGAGCUGCUCCUGAAGAAGUCAACAAUGGGAAAGUCCGCUGCAUUUUUUCUGCAUUUUGCGUGCUCCAAUUGAAAAUGGCUGGAACCAAGACAGUAGACAUAUCUGCAACCACCUGUUUUCCGGCAGCUACCGCUGUCGCGACUGUCUCAGAUGAUUUCUUCUCAACCGCAAUCUCAACCUUCUUGUCGAUGUUUUAUUCGGUUAACCUCCAUCUUUCCUUUCUCUCCUCCGUGGUCUCACGGUAGUACUUCUUCCACGUGGCCCCGUCUCCGACACCGUGAACGCGUCCAUACGACGACCGAGUCUCCACGGGGAGUCCUUUCAAUAUGUUCAAUGCCCGGUUGAAUGGAGUGUCCCACUUGGGCCUUGCCAAUGCCUCAGACGGCGAGUCGCUUUCGGCCGCAAUCUUAUGCUGCUCUCUCUACAAAAGGAACACGGAUCAUUUACAAAUAUGACUAAACGUGCAGUCGAACUGAUCAGAAACUAAAAUUACCAGCAGUCUCAUGAACUCCGUCGUGAUCGGGUCCGUCUUGAAAACCUUCUUGACUGAGUCCCAAUGGUGUCGUGCCCUGAGGACGUCAUGCUCCUACGGGACGGUGAAGUCCGCCAAGGGGUCUGGGAUGCCAGAUUUUCGCGUUUCGUGUCCUCCUUGGCCCAUAUGGACCUCUUCCUGCCGUAACCACUGCUUCCGAGGUGGUGGCGCCCCAUGUUCCUUUGUGGAAGCCCCUUCAUGUACUUCGACUUUGUUUUGGCAGCUUCGGCCUCGCAAGCCGCCUUGAAUAUUUCAAAGUGUUCUCUAGUGAUUGUCAGAUUAUCCUUUACAAUCUCGGAGUAGGGUUGAUACGUCUCCAACGUAUCUAUUAUUUUUGAUUGCUCCAUGCUAUAUUAUCUACUGUUUUGGACAUUAUUGGGCUUUAUUAUCUACUUUUAUAUUAUUUUUGGGACUAACCUAUUAACCGGAGGCCCAGCCUAGAAUUGUUGUUUUUUGACUGUUUUAGGGUUUCGAAGAAAAGGAAUAUCAAACGGAGUCCAAACGGAAUGAAACCUUCGGGAACGUGAUUUUCUGAAUGAACAAGACCCUGGAGACUUGGACCCUACGUCAAGACACAAAAGAGGAGGACACGAGGUAGGGGGCGCGCCUAACCCCCCCCCCCCCUCGAGGCACGCCCUCCACCCUCGUGGGGCCCCUGUUGCUCCACCGACGUACUCCUUCCUCCUAUAUAUACCUACGUACUUCCAAACGAUCAGAUACGGAGCCAAAACCCUAAUUCCACUGCCGCAACUUUCUGUAUCCACGAGAUCCCAUUUGGUGCCUGUUCCGGAGCUCCGCCGGAGGGGGCAUCGAUCACGGAGGGCUUCUACAUCAACACCAUAGCCUCUCCGAUGAAGUGUGAGUAGUUCACCUCAGACGUACCGGUCCAUAUUUAUUACCUAGAUGGCUUCUUCUCUCUUUUUGGAUCUCAAUACAAUGUUCUCCCCCUCUCUUGUGGAGAACUAUUCGAUGUAAUCUUGUUUUUGCAGUGUGUUUAUUGAGAUUGAUGAAUUGUGGGUUUAUGAUCAAGUCUAUGUAUGAAUAAUAUUUGAAUCUUCUCUAAAUUCUUUUAUGUAUGAUUGUUUAUCUUUGCAAGUCUCUUCGAAUUAUCAGUUUGGUUUGGCCUACUAGAUUGAUCUUUCUUACAAUGGGAGAAGUGCUUAGCUUUGGGUUCAAUCUUGCGGUGUCCUUUCCCAAUGACAGUAGGGGCAGCAAGGCAUGUAUUGUAUUGUUGCCAUCGAGGACAACAAGAUGGGGUUUUCAUCAUAUUGCAUGAGUCUAUCCCUCUACAUCAUGUCAUCUUGCUUAAGGCGUUACUCUGUUUUUAACUUAAUACUCUAGAUGCAUGCUGGAUAGCGGUCGAUGAGUGAAACCUAUGGCCCCCGGGUCUAUCUUUAUCAUAUUAAUCUCCUACUACUUAGUUAUUUCCUUUGCUUUUUCCUUUGCCUUUAUUUUACUUUUGAUCUUUAUCACAAAAAUACCAAACAUAUUAUCUUUAUCAUAUCUAUCAGAUCUCACUCUCGUAAGUGGCUGUGUAGGGAUUGACAACCCCUAUUCGCGUUGGUUGCGAGGAUUUAUUUGUUUUGUGCAAGUACGAGAGACUCGCGCGUAGCCUCCUACUGGAUUGAUACCUUGGUUCUCAAAAACUGAGGGAAAUACUUACACUACUUUGCUGCAUCAUCCUUCCUCUUCGCGGAAAACCAACGUAGUGCUCAAGAGCUGGCAAUAAGGAUUUCUGGCGCCGUUGCCGGGGAGGUCUAAGCAAAAGUCAACAUACCAAGUACCCAUCACAUACCCUUAUCUCCUGCAUUACAUUAUUUUCCAUUUGCCUCUCGUUUUCCUCUCCCCCACUUCACCCUUGCCGUUUUAUUCGCCCUCUCUCUCUCUCUCUAUCCUCCCUCUCUUUCUCUAUUUGCCUCUUUUUUCCCACUUGCUUUCUGUUUGCUUGUGUGUUAGUUGCUUGCUUGUCACGAUGGCUCAAGAUAAUACUAAAUUACGUGACUUCACCAAUACCAACAACAAUGAUUUUAUUAACACUCCGAUUGCUCCUCUUACCGAUGCUGAAUCUUGAGAAAUUAAUACUGCUUUGCUGAAUCUUGUCAUGAAAGAUCUGUUUUUCGGCCUUCCUAGUGAAGAUGCCGCUACCCACCUAAAUAGAUUCGUUGAUUUGUGUGACAUGCAAAAGAAGAAAGGUGUGGAUAAUGAUAUUGUUAAAUUGAAGCUAUUUCCUUUUUCGCUUAGAGAUCGUGCUAAAGCUUGGUUUUCGUCUUUGCCUAAAAAUACUAUUGAUUCAUGGAAUAAGUGCAAAGAUGCUUUUAUCUCUAAGUAUUUUCCUCCUGCUAAGAUCAUCUCUCUUAGAAACGAUAUUAUGAAUUUUAAGCAACUUGAUCAUGAACAUGUUGCACAAGCUUGGGAGAGAAUGAAACUAAUGAUACGUAAUUGCCCUGCCCAUGGUUUAAAUUUGUGGAUGAUUAUACCAAAUUUUUAUGCCGGAUUGAACUUUGCUUCUAGAAAUCUUUUAGAUUAGGCCGCGGGAGGCACUUUUAUGGAAAUCACUUUAGGAGAAGCUACUAAACUCCUAGAUAAUAUUAUGGUUAAUUAUUCUCAACGGCAUACCGAAAGAUCUACUAAUAAAAACGUGCAUGCGAUAGAAGAAAUUAAUGUUUCGAGUGGAAAGAUGGAUGAACUUCUGAAAUUAUUUGCUAAUAAGAGUAUUUCUUCUGAUCCUAAUGAUAUGCCCUUGUCUACUUUGAUUGAGAAUAAUAAUUAAUCUAUGGAUGUGGAUUUUGUUGGUAGGAACAAUUUUGGUAACAACGCGUACAGAGGAAAUUUCAACCCUAGGCCUUAUCCUAGUAAUCUCUCUAAUAAUUAUGGUAAUUCCUACAACAAUUCUUAUGGAAAUUAUAAUAAGAUGCCCUCUGAUUUUGGAUCUAAUAUUAGAGAAUUUAUUACUUUCCAAAAGAAUUUCAAUGCUUUGAUUGAAGAAAAAUUGCUUAAGAUUGAUGAUUUGGCUAGGAACGUUGAUAGAAUUACUCUUGAUGUUGAUUCUUUGAAACUUAGAUCUAUUCCACCUAAGCAUGAUGUCAAUGAGUCUCUCAAAGCCAUGAGAAUUUCCAUUGAUGAGUGCAAAGAAAGAACCACUAGGAUGCGUGUUAAGAAAGAUGCCUUUAUAAGAGCGUGUUCUUCUAAUUCCUAUGAAAAUAAUGAUGAAGAUCAAAAAGUUAUUGAUGUCCUCCCUAUUAAAUCUUUGUUUUGCAAUAUGAAUCUUGAUAAUCAUGGGACUGAAUAUGAUCCACCUUUACCUAGAAGGCGUUCCAAUAAUUCAGAAUUUGUUGAUCUUGAUGCUAAAAUUGAUAAAGGUGGGAUUGAAGAAAUUAAAACCCUAGAUGUUGCUAAACCCACUAUUAUGGAUUUCAAGGAACUUAACUAUGAAAACUGCCCUUUGAUUGAUUGUAUAUCCUUGUUACAAUCCGUGCUAAAUUCUCCUCAUGCUUAUAGUCAAAAUAAAGCAUUUACUAAACAUAUUGUUGAUGCCUUGAUGCAAUCUUAUGAAGAAAAACUUGAAUUGGAAGUUUCUAUCCCUAUAAAGCUUUAUGAUGAGUGGGAACCAACUAUUAAAAUUAAAAUUAAAUAUCAUGAAUGCUAUGCUUUAUGUGAUUUGUGUGCUAGUGUUUCCACGAUUCCAUAGACUUUGUGUGAUUUGUUAGGUUUCCGUGAUUUUGAUGAUUGCUCUUUAAACUUGCACCUUGCGGAUUCCACUAUUAAGAAACCUAUGGGAAGAAUUAAUGAUGUUCUUAUUGUUGCAAAUAGCAAUUAUGUGCCCGUAGAUUUUAUUGUUCUUGACAUAGAUUGCAAUCUUUCAUGUCCUAUUAUUCUUGGUAGACCUUUCCUUAGAACGACUGGUGCAAUUAUUGAUAUGAAGGAAGGAAAUAUUAGAUUCCAAUUUCCAUUAAGGAAAGGCAUGGAACACUUUCCUAGAAAGUAAAUUAAAUUACCUUAUGAAUCUAUUAUGAUAGCCACUUAUGGAUUGCCUACCAAAGAUGGCAAUACCUAGAUCUAUCCUUGCUUGUUAUGCCUAGCUAGGGGCGUUAAACGAUAGCGCUUGUUGGGAGGCAACCCAAUUUUAUUUUUAUUCCUUGAUUUUUUCUCCUGUUUAGUAAUAAAUAAUUUAUAUAGCCUCUGUUUUGGUUCUGUUCUUUGUGUUUAAUUAGUGUUUGUGCCAAGUAGAACCGUUAGGAAGACUUGGGGAAAGUCUUGUUACACUUGCUGUAAAAAACUGAAACUUCAGCGCUCACGAGAACUGCUGCCAUUUUUAUUUGGAAAGUGCUAUGUAGUUAAUUAUUUUUCAGAUGAUUAACAGAUAAAUUCCUCACGUCCAGAAAUUUAUUUUAGAAUUUUUGGGGUUCCAGCUCUUGAGCUAGCUACAGAGUACUACAGGCUGUUCUGUUUUUGAAAGAUUCUGUUUUUCGUGUGUUGUUUGCUUAUUUUGAUGAACCUAUGGCUAGUAAAAUAGUUUAUAUACCAUAGAGAAAUUGGAAUACAGUAGGUAUAACACCAAUAUAAAUAAAUAAUGAGUUCAUUACAGUACCUUGAAGUGGUCUUUUAUUUUCUUUCGCUAACGGAGCUCAUGAGAUUUUCUACUUUAAGUUUUGUGUUGUGAAGUUUUCAAGUUUUGGGUAAAGAUUUGAUGGAUUAUGGAACAAGGAGUGACAAGAGCCUAAGCUUGGGGGUUCCCAUGGCACCCCCAAGAUAAUCUAAGUACACCUAAAAACCAAAGCUUGGGGAUGCGCCGGAAGUCAUCCCCUCUUUCAUCUACUUCUAUCGGUAACUUUACUUGGAGCUAUAUUUUUAUUCGCCACAUGAUAUGUGUUUUGCUUGGAGCGUCUUGUAUUAUUUGAGUCUUUAUUUGUUAGUUUACCACAAUCAUCCUUGCUGUACACACCUUUUGAGAGAGCCAUACAUGAUUUGGAAUUUGUUAGAAUACUCUAUGUGCUUCGCUUAUAUCUUUUGAGUUAUAUAGUUUUGCUCUAGUACUUCACUUAUAUCUUUUAGAGCACGGUGGUGGAUUUGUUUUAUAGAAACAAUUGAUCUCUCAUGCUCCACUUAGAUUAUUUUGAGAUUCUUAAUAGCAUGUUAAUUUGCUUAAAAUCCUAAUAUGCUAGGUAUUCAAAGUUAGUAAAAUUUUCUUAAGAGUGUUUUGAAUACUAAGAGAAGUUUGAUGCUUGAUGAUUGUUUUGAGAUAUGGAGGUAAUAAUAUCAAAGUCGUUCUCGUUGACUAGUUGUGAAAUUGAGAAAUACUUGUGUUGAAGUUUGCAUGUCCCGUAGCACGCACGUAUGGUAAACGUUGUGUAACAAAUUUGAAACAUGAGGUGUUAUUUGAUUGUCUUCCUUGUGAGUGGCGGUCGGGGACGAGCGAUGGUCUUUUCCUACCAAUCGAUCCCCCUAGGAGCAUGCGAAUAGUACCAAGGUUUUUGAUGACUUGUAGAUUUUUGCAGUAAGUAUGUGAGUUCUUUAUGACUAAUGUUGAGUCCAUGAAUUAUACGCACUCUCACCCUUCCAUCCUUGCUAGCCUCUUCGGUACCGUGCAUUGCCCUUUCCCACAUUGAGAGUUGGAGCAAACUUCGCCAGUGCAUCCAAACCCCGUGCUAUGAUACGCUCAUUCACACAUAAACCUCCUUAUAUCUUCCUCAAAACAGCCACCAUACCUACCUAUUAUGGCAUUUCCAUAGCCAUUCCGACAUAUAUUGCCAUGCAACUUUCCACCAUUCCGUUCAUCAUGACACAUUCAUCAUUGUCAUAUUGCGUAGCAUAAUCAUGUAGUUGACAUAGUAUUUGUGGCAAGGCCACCGUUCAUAAUUCAUUCAUACAUGUCACUCUUGGUCCAUUGCAUGUCCCGGUACACCGCCGGAGGCAUUCAUAUAGAGCCAUACUUUGUUCUAGUAUCGAGUAGUAAUUAUUGAGUCGUAAAUAAAUAGAAGUGUGAUGAUCAUCAUUAAUAGAGCAUGGUCCCAAAAAGAAAAAAAAGGAAGGGCCAAAAAAAGGCCAAAUAAAAAAAUAUAAAAAAGGGGGCAAUGCUACUAUCCUUUUUUUCCAAACUUGUGCUUCCAAGUAGCACCGUAAUCUUCAAGAUAGAGAGUCUCUUGAUUUGUCACUUUCAUAUACUAGUGGGAAUUUUUCAUUAUAGAACUUGGCUUGUAUAUUCCAACAAUGGGCGUCCCCAAGUUCCCUAGGUCUUCGUGAGCAAGCAAGUUGGAUGCACACCCACUUAGUUUCUUUUGUUGAGCUUUCAUACAUUUAUAGCUCUAGUGCAUCCGUUGCAUGGCAAUUCCUACUCCUUGCAUUAACAUCAAUCAAUGGGCAUCUCCAUAGCCCAUUGAUUAGCCUCGUUGAUGUGAGACUUUCUCCUUUUUGUCUUCUCCACAUAACCCCACUCAUUAGAUUCUAUUCCACCCAUAGUGUUAUGUCCAUGGCUUGCAAUCAUAUAUUGCGUGAAAGUUUAUAGGUUUGAGAUCACUAAAGUAUGAAACAAUUGCUUGGCUUGUCAUCGGGGUUGUGCAUGAUGAGAGCAUACUUGUGUGACGAAAAUGAAGCAUGACUAAACUAUAUGAUUUUGUAGGGGUGAACUUUCUUUGGCCAUGUUAUUUUGAGAAGACACAAUUGCUCAGUUAGUAUGCUUAAAGUAUUAUUAUUUUAUGUCAAUAUGAACUUUUGUCUUGAAUGUUUCAGAUCCGAAUAUUCAUACCACAAUUAAGAAGAAUUACAUUAAAAUCAUGCCAAGUAGCACUCCACAUCAAAAAUUCUGUUUUUAUCAUUUACCUACUCGAGGACGAGCCGGAAUUAAGCUUGGGGAUGCUUGAUACAUCUCCAACGUAUCUAUAAUUUUUGAUUGCUCCAUGCUAUAUUAUCUACUGUUUUGGACAAUAUUGGGCUUUAUUAUCCACUUGUAUAUUAUUUUUGGGACUAACCUAUUAACCGGAGGCCCAGCCCAGAAUUGUUGUUUUUUGCCUGUUUUAGGGUUUCGAAGAAAAGGAAUAUCAAACGGAGUCCAAACGGAAUGAAACCUUCGGGAACGUGAUUUUCUCAACGAACAAGAUCUAGGAGACUUGGACCCUCCAUCAAGACAUAAAAGAGGAGGCCACGAGGUAGGGGGCGUNNNNNNNNNNNNNNNNNNNNNNNNNNNNNNNNNNNNNNNNNNNNNNNNNNNNNNNNNNNNNNNNNNNNNNNNNNNNNNNNNNNNNNNNNNNNNNNNNNNNNNNNNNNNNNNNNNNNNNNNNNNNNNNNNNNNNNNNNNNNNNNNNNNNNNNNNNNNNNNNNNNNNNNNNNNNNNNNNNNNNNNNNNNNNNNNNNNNNNNNNNNNNNNNNNNNNNNNNNNNNNNNNNNNNNNNNNNNNNNNNNNNNNNNNNNNNNNNNNNNNNNNNNNNNNNNNNNNNNNNNNNNNNNNNNNNNNNNNNNNNNNNNNNNNNNNNNNNNNNNNNNNNNNUGGGCCCCCCUGUUGCUCCACCGACGUACUCCUUCCUCCUAUAUAUACCUACUAUUGGGGAACGUAGCAGAAUUUUAAAAUUUUCUACGCAUACCAAGAUCAAUCUAUGGAGUCAUAUAGCAACGAGGGAGAGAGGAGUGCAUCUACAUACCCUUGUAGAUCGCGCGCGGAAGCGUUCAAGAGAACGGGGUUGAUGGAGUCGUACUCGUCGUGAUCCAAAUCACCGAUGACCAAGUGCCGAAUGGACAGCACCUCCGCGUACAACACACGUACGGUUGGGAAGACGUCUCCUCCUUCUUGAUCCAGCAAGGGGGAAGGAGAGGUUGAUGAAGAUCCAGCAGCACGACGGCGUGGUGGUGGAUGCAGCAGGAUCCCGGCAGGGCUUCGCCAAGCGCAAGCGGGGAGGAGAGGUGUUACGGAAGGAGAGGGAGGCGCCAAGAGCAAGGGUGCGGCUGCCCUCCCUCCCCCCCCUCUUUAUAUAGGGGCCUUGGGGGGGCGCCGGCCCUAGGAGAUGGAUCUCCAAGGGGGGCGAAGGCCAAGGGGUGGCUUCCCCCCCAAGCCAAGUGGGGGGCGCCCCCACCCCUAGGGUUUCCCAACCCUAGGCGCAUGGGAGGCCCAAGGGGGGCGCACCAGCCCACUAGGGGCUGGUUCUGCUCCCAAUUCAGCCCAUGGGGCCCUCCGGGAUGGGUGGCCCCACCCGGUGGACCCCCGGGACCCUUCCGGUGGUCCUGGUACAAUACCGGUGACCCCCGAAACCUUCCCGAUGGCCGAAAUUGUACUUCCUAUAUAUAAAUCUUUACCUCCGAACCAUUCCGGAACUCCUCGUGACGUACGGGAUCUCAUCCGGUACUCCGAACAUAUCCUUGGUUACUACAUACUAAUAUCUCUACAACCCUAGCGUCACCGAACCUUAAGUGUGUAGACCCUACGGGUUCGGGAGACAUGCAGACAUGACAGAGACGCCUCUCCGGUCAAUAACCAACAGCGGGAUCUGGAUACCCAUGUUGGCUCCCACGUGCUCCACGAUGAUCUCAUCGGAUGAACCACGAUGUCGAGGAUUCAAUCAAUCUGUGUAGAAUUCCCUUUGUCAAUCGGUACGUUACUUGCCCGAGACUCGAUCGUCGGUAUCCCAAUACCUCGUUCAAUCUCGUUACCAGCAAGUCACUUUACUCGUGCCGUAAUGCAUGAUCCCAUGAUCAACCACUUGGUCACAAUGAGCUCAUUAUGAUCAUGCAUUACCGAGUGGGCCCAGAGAUACCUCUCCGUCAUACGGAGUGACAAAUCCCAGUCUCGAUUCGUGCCAACCCAACAGACACUUUCGGAGAUACCUGUAAUGUACCUUUAUAGUCACCCAGUUACGUUGUGACGUUUGGCACACCCAAGGCACUCCUACGGUAUCCGGGAGUUGCCCAAUCUCAUGGUCUAAGGAAAUGAUACUUGACAUUCGGAAAAGCUACAGCAAACGAACUACACGAUCUUUGAGCUAUGCUUAGGAUUGGGUCUUGUCCAUCACAUCAUUCUCCUAAUGAUGUGAACCCGUUAUCAAUGACAUCCAAUGUCCAUAGUCAGGAAACCAUGACUAUCUUUUGAUCAACGAGCUAGUCAACUAGAGGCUCACUAGGGACGUGUUGUCGUCUAUGUAUUCACACAUGUAUUACGAUUUCCGGAUAACACAAUUAUAGCAUGAAAAAUAGACAAUUAUCAUGAACAAAGAAAUAUAAUAAUAACCAUUUUAUUAUUGCCUCUAGGGCAUAUUUCCAACAGUCUCCCACUUGCACUAGCGUCAGUAGUCUAGUUACAUUUUGAUGAAUCCAACACCCAUGAAGUUCUGGAGUUGAUCAUGUUUUGCUCUAGGGAGAGGUUUAGUCAAUGGAUCUGCCACAUUCAGGUCCGUAUGUACUUUACAAAUCUCUAUGUAUCCAUUUUGAACACUUUCAUGAAUGGAGUUGAAGUGACGCUUGAUAUGCCUGGUCUUCCUGUGAAAUCUGGGCUCCUUGGCAAGUGCAAUAGCUCCAGUGUUGUCACAGAAUAGAGUCAUCGGGCCCGGUGCAUUGGGUGUGACUCCUAGGUCGGUAAUGAACUCCUUCACCCAGAUUGCUUCUUGUGCUGCCUCCGAGGCUGCCAUGUACUCUGCUUCACAUGUAGAUCCCGCCACAACGCUUUGCUUGCAACUCCACCAGCUUACUGCCCCACCAUUCAAAAUAUACACGUAUCCGGUUUCCGACUUAGAGUCAUCCAGAUCUGUGUCGAAGCUAGCAUCAACGUAACCCUUUACGACGAGCUCUUCGUCACCUCCAUAAACGAGAAACAUAUCCUUAGUCCUUUUUAGGUACUUGAGGAUAUUCUUGACUGCUGUCUAGUGUUCCAUGCCGGGAUUACUUUGGUACCUUCCUACCAAACUUACGGCAAGGUUUUCAUCAGGUCUGGUACACAGCAUAGCAUACAUGAUAGACCCUAUGGCCGAGGCAUAGGGGAUGACACUCAUCUUUUCUCUAUCUUCUGUCGUGGUCGUGCAUUGAGCCUCGCUCAAUCUCGUACCUUGCAAUACAGGCAAGAACCCUUCUUUUACUGAUCCAUUUUGAACUUCUUCAAUAUCUUAUCAAGGUAUGUACUCUGUGAAAGACCAAUGAGGCGUCUCGAUCUAUCUCUAUAGAUCUUGAUGCCUAAUAUAUAAGCAGCUUCUCCAAGAUCCUUCAUUGAAAAACACGUGUUCAAGUAGGCCUUUAUGCUUUCCAAGAAUUCUAUAUCAUUUCCCAUCAACAAUAUGUCAUCCACAUCCAAUAUGAGAAAUGCUACAAAGCUCCCACUCACUUUCUUGUAAAUGCAGACUUCUCCAUAAGUAUGCGUAAACCCAAACGCUUUGAUCAUCUCAUCAAAACGAAUGUUCCAUCUCCGAGAUGCUUGCACCAGCCCAUAAAUCGAAUGUUGGAGCUUGUACACCUUGUCAGCAUUCUUAGGAUCGACAAAACCUUCCGGCUGCAUCAUAUACAAUUCUUCCUUAAGGAAACCAUUAAGGAAUGUUGUUUUGACGUCCAUUUGCCAUAUUCAUAAUCAUAGAAUGCGGCAAUUGCUAACAUCGUAGUCAACCCCUUGAACUUGCCGAUAACCCUUAGCGACAAGCCGAGCUUUAUAGAUGGUCACAUUACCAUCCGCGUCUGUCUUCUUCUUAAAGAUCCAUUUAUUUUCUAUGGCUCGCCGAUCAUCGGGCAAGUCAGUCAAAGUCCAUACUUUGUUUUCAUACAUGGAUCUUAUCUCGGAUUUCAUGGCUUCCAGCCAUUUGUUGGAAUUCAGGCCCGCCAUCGCUUCUUCAUAGUUCGAAGUUCACCGUUGUCUAACAACAUGAUUUCCAAGACAGGGUUGCCGUACCACUCUGGUGCGGGACGUGUCCCCGUGGACCUACGAAGUUCAGUAGCAACUUGAUCUGAAGUUUCAUGAUCAUCAUCAUCAAUUUCCUCUCUAGUCGUUGCAGGCACCUUAGGAACAUUUUCUUGAGCUGCGCCACUUACCGGUUCAAGAGGUAAUAAUACUUCAUCAAGUUCUACUUUCCUCCCACUUAUUUCUUUCGAGAGAAACUCUUUCUCUAGAAAGGACCCAUUCUUGGCAACAAAGAUCUUGCCUUCGGAUCUGAGGUAGAAGGUAUACCCAAUAGUUUCUUUAGGGUAUCCUAUGAAGACGCAUUUUUCCAAUUUGGGUUCGAGCUUUUCAGGUUGAAGUUUCCUUACAUAAGCAUCGCAUCCCCAAACUUUUAGAAAUGACAUCUUAGGUGUCUUCCCAAACCAUAAUUCAUACGGUGUCAUCUCAACGGAUUUCGACGGAGCCCUAUUUAAAGUGAAUGCGGCAGUCUCUAAAGCAUAGCCCCAAAAUGACAGCGGUAAAUCGGUAAGAGACAUCAUAGAUCGCACCAUAUCUAAUAGAGUGCGAUUAUGACAUUCCGACACACCAUUACGCUGAGGUGUUCCAGGCGGCGUGAGUUGUGAAACUAUUCCACAUUUUCUUAAGUGUGUGCCAAAUUCGUGACUCAAGUAUUCUCCCCCACGAUCUGAUCGCAAGAACUUGAUUUGCCUGUCACGUUGAUUCUCAACCUCACUUUGAAAUUCCUUGAACUUUUCAAAGGUCUCAGACUUGUGUUUCAUUAAGUAGACAUACCCAUAUCUACUCAAGUCAUCAGUGAGGGUGAGAACAUAACGAUAGCCACCGCGCCUCAACACUCAUUGGACCGCACACAUCAGUAUGUAUGAUUUCCAAUAAGUUGGUUACUCGCUCCAUUGUUCCUGAGAACGGAGUCUUGGUCAUUUUACCCAUGAGGCAUGGUUCGCACGUGUCAAAUGAUUCGUAAUCAAGAGACUUUAAAAGUCUAUCUGCAUGGAGCUUCUUCAUGCGUUUGACACCUAUGUGACCAAGGCGGCAAUGCCACAAGUAUGUGGGACUAUCAUUAUCAACCUUACAUCUUUUGGUAUUCACACUAUGAAUAUGUGUAACAUUAUGCUCGAGAUUCAUUAAGAAUAAACCAUUCACCAAUGGAGCAUGACCAUAAAACAUAUCUCUCAUAUAAAUAGAACAACCAUUAUUCUCGGAUUUAAAUGAGUAGCCAUCUCAAAUUAACCGAGAUCCUGAUACAAUGUUCAUGCUCAAAGCUGGCAGUAAAUAACAAUUAUUGAGGUUUAAAACUAAUCCCAUAGGCAAAUGUAGAGGCAGCGUGCCGACGGCGAUCACAUCAACCUUGGAACCAUUCCCGACGCACAUCGUCACCUCGUCCUUCGCCAGUCUCCGUUUAAUCCGCAGCUCCUGCUUUGAGUUACAAAUGUGAGCAACUGCACCGGUAUCAAAUACCCAGGAGCUACUACGAGUACUGGUAAGGUACACAUCAAUUACAGGUAUAUCACAUAUACCUUUAGUGUUGCCGGCCUUCUUGUCCGCUAAGUAUUUGGGGCAGUUCCGCUUCCAGUGACUACUUCCCUUGCAAUAAAAACACUCAGUCUCGAGCUUGGAUCCAUUCUUUGGCUUCUUCCCGGAAACUUGCUUAGCGGGCGCGGCAACUCCCUUGCCGUCCUUCUUGAAUUCUUCUUACCCUUGCCUUUCUUGAACUUAGUGGUUUUAUUCACCAUCAACACUUGAUGUUCCUUUUUGAUUUCCACCUCUGCUGAUUUCAGCAUUGAAUAUACCUCAGGAAUGGUCUUUUCCAUCCCCUGCAUAUUGAAGUUGAUCACAAAGCUCUUGUAGCUCGGUGGAAGCGACUGAAGGAUUCUGUCAAUGACCGCGUCAUUCGGGAGGUUAACUCCCAGCUGAGUCAAGCGGUUAUGCAACCCAGACAUUUUGAUUAUGUGCUCACUGACAGAACUAUUUUCCUCCAUCUUAUAGCUGAAGAACUUGUCGGAGACUUCAUAUCUCUCGACCCGGGCAUGAGCUUGAAAAACCAUUUUCAGCUCUUCGAACAUCUCAUAUGCUCCAUGUCUCUCAAAAUGCUUUUGGAGCCCCGGUUCUAAGCUGUAAAGCAUGCCGCACUGAACGAGGGAGUAAUCAUCAGCACGUAACUGCCAAGCGUUGAUAAUGUCUUGGUUCUCUGGGACAGGUGCGUGACCUAACGGUGCUUCUAGGACAUAAUAUUUCUUGGCAGCUACGAGGAUGAUCCUCAGGUUCCGGACCCAGUCCGUAUAGUUGCUGCCAUCGUCUUUCAGCUUGGUUUUCUCUAGGAACGCGUUGAAAUUGAGGACAACGUGGGCCAUUUGAUCUACAAGACAUAUUGUAAAGAUUUUAGACUAAGUUCAUGAUAAUUAAGUUCAUCUAAUCAAAUUAUACAAUGAACUCCCACUCAGAUAGACAUCCCUCCAGUCAUCUAAGUGAAACAUGAUCCAAGUUAACUAGGCUGUGUCGGAUCAUCACGUGAAACGGACUAGUCAACAUCGGUGAACAUCUUCAUGUUGAUCGUAUCUUCUAUACGACUCAUGCUCGACCUUUCGGUCUUCUGUGUUCCGAGGCCAUGUCUGUACAUGCUAGGCUCGUCAACUAAACCUAAGUGUAUUGCGUGUGUAAAUCUGGCUUACACCCGUUGUAUUCGAACGUUAGAAUCUAUCACACUCGAUCAUCACGUGGUGCUUCGAAACAACGAACCUUCGCAACGGUGCACAGUUAGGGGGAACACUUUCUUGAAAUUAUUUCGAGGGAUCAUCUUAUUUAAGCUACCGUCGUUCUAAGCAAAUAAGAUGUAAAACAUGAUAAACAUCACAUGCAAUCAAAUAGUGACAUGAUAUGGCCAAUAUCAUUUGCUCCUUUUGAUCUCCAUCUUUGGGGCUCCAUGAUCAUCGUUGUCACCAGCAUGACACCAUGAUCUCCAUCAUCAUGUCUUCUUGAAGUUGUCUCGUCAUCUAUUACUUCUACUACUAUGGCUAAUGCUUUAGCAAUAAAGUAAAGUAAUUACAUGACGUUUAUGUUGACACGCAGGUCAUAAAAAAAUAAAGACAACUCCUAUGGCUCCUGCCGGUUGUCAUACUCAUCGACAUGCAAGUCGUGAUUCCUAUUACAAGAACAUGAUCAAUCUCAUACAUCACAUAUAUCAUUCAUCACAUCCUUUUGGCCAUAUCACAUCAGACGGCACAUGCUGCAAAAACAAGUUAGACGUCCUCUAAUUGUUGUUGCAAGUUUUUACAUGGCUGCUAUAGGUUUCUAGCAAGAACGUGUCUUACCUACGCCAAAACCACAACGUGAUAUGCCAAUUUCUAUUUACCCUUCAUAAGGACCCUUUUCAUCGAAUCCGAUCUAACUAAAGUGGGAGAGAUAGACACCCGCCAGCCACCUUAUGCAAGUAAUGCAUGUCAAUCGGUGGAACCAGUCUCACGUAAGCGUACGUGUAAGGUCGGUCCGGGCCGCUUCAUCCCACGAUGCCGCCGAAUCAAGAUAAGACUAGUAACGGCAAGCAAAGUGACAAUAUCCACGCCCACAACUGCUUUGUGUUCUACUCGUGCAUAGAAACUACGCAUAGACCUGGCUCAUGAUGCCACUAUUGGGGAAUGUAGCAGAAUUUUAAAAUUUUCUACGCAUCACCAAGAUCAAUCUAUGGAGUUAUCUAGCAAUGAGGAAGAGAGGAGUGCAUCUACAUACCCUUGUAGAUCGCGCGCGGAAGCGUUCAAGAGAACGGGGUUGAUGGAGUCGUACUCGUCGUGAUCCAAAUCACCGAUGACCAAGUGCCGAACGGACAGCACCUCCGCGUUCAACACACGUCCGGUUGGGAAGACGUCUCCUCCUUCUUGAUCCAGCAAGGGGGAAGGAGAGGUUGAUGAAGAUCCAGCAGCACGACGGCGUGGUGGUGGAUGCAACAGGAUCCCGGCAGGGCUUCGCCAAGCGCAAGCGGGGAGGAGAGGUGUUACGGAGGGAGAGAGAGGCGCCAAGAGCAAGGGUGCGGCUGCCUUCCCUCCCCCCUCUUUAUAUAGGGGCCAUGGCGGGCGCCGGCCCUAGGAGAUGGAUCUCCAAGGGGGGCGAAGGCCAAGGGGUGGCUCCCCCCCCCAAGCCAAGUGGGGGGCGCCCCCACCCCUAGGGUUUCCCAACCCUAGGCGCAGGGGAGGCCCAAGGGGGCGCACCAGCCCACUAGGGGCUGGUUCCCCUCCCAAUUCAGCCCAUGGGGCCCUCCGGGAUGGGUGGCCCCACCCGGUGGACCCCCGGGACCCUUCCGGUGGUCCCGAUACAAUACCGGUUACCCCCGAAACCUUCCCGAUGGCCGAAACUGUACUUCCUAUAUAUAAAUCUUUACCUCCAAACCAUUUCAGAACUCCUCGUGACGCCCGGGAUCUCAUCCGGGACUCCGAACAACUUUCGGCUUACUACAUACUAAUAUCUAUACAACCCUAGCGUCACCGAACCUUAAGUGUGUAGACCCUACGGGUUUCGGAGACAUGCAGACAUGACUGAGACGCCUCUCCAGUCAAUAACCAACAGCGGGAUCUGGAUACCCAUGUUGGCUCCCACAUGCUCCACGAUGAUCUCAUCGGAUGAACCACGAUGUCGAGCAUUCAAUCAAUCUGUAUACAAUUCCCUUUAUCAAUCAGUACGUUACUUGCCCGAGACUCGAUCGUCAGUAUCCCAAUACCUUGUUCAAUCUCGUUACCGGCAAGUCACUUUACUCAUACCAUAAUGCAUGAUCCCGUGAUCAACCACUUGGUCACAUUGAGCUCAUUAUGAUGAUGCAUUACCGAGUGGGCCCAGAGAUACCUCUUCAUCACGCGGAGUGACAAAUCCCAGUCUCGAUUCAUGCCAACCCAAUAGACACUUUCGGAGAUACCUGUAAUGUACCUUUAUAGUCACCCAGUUACGUUGUGACGUUUGGCACACCCAAGGCACUCCUACGGUAUCCGGGAGUUUCACAAUCUCAUGGUCUAAGGAAAUGAUACUUGACAUUCGGAAAAGCUACAGCAGAUGAACUACACGACCUUUGAGCUAUGCUUAGGAUUGGGUCUUGUCCAUCACAUCAUUCUCCUAAUGAUGUGAUCCCAUUAUCAAUGACAUCCAAUGUCCAUAGUCAGGAAACCAUGACUAUCUUUUGAUCAACAAGCUAGUCAACUAGAGGCUCACUAGGGACGUGUUGUGGUCUAUGUAUUCACACAUGUAUUACGAUUUCCGGAUAACACAAUUAUAGCAUGAACAAUAGACAAUUAUCAUGAACAAAGAAAUAUAAUAAUAACCAUUUUAUUAUUGCCUCUAGGGCAUAUUUCCAACACCUACGUACCCCCAAACGAUCAUAUACGGAGCCAAAACCCUAAUUCCACCGCCGCAACUUUCUGUAUCCACGAGAUCCCAUCUUGGGGCCUGUUCCGGAGCUCCGCCAGAGGGGGCAUCGAUCACGGAGGGCUUCUACAUCAACACCAUAGCCUCUCUGAUGAAGUGUGAGUAGUUCACCUCAGACCUACGGUUCCAUAGUUAUUAGCUAGAUGGCUUCUUCUCUCUUUUUGGAUCUCAAUACAAUGUUCUCCCCAUCUCUUGUGGAGAACUAUUCGAUGUAAUCUUCUUUUUGCGGUGUGUUUGUUGAGACCGAUGAAUUGUGGGUUUAUGAUCAAGUCUAUCUAUGAAUAAUAUUUGAAUCUUCUCUGAAUUGUUUUAUGUAUGAUAGGUUAUCUUUGCAAGUCUCUUCGAAUUAUCAGUUUGGUUUGGCCUACUAGAUUGAUCUUUCUUGCAAUGGGAGAAGUGCUUAGCUUUGGGUUCAAUCUUGCGGUGUCCUUUCCCAGUGACAGUAGGGGCAGCAAGGCACGUAUUAUAUUGUUGCCAUCGAGGACAACAAGAUGGAGUUUUCAUCAUAUUGCAUGAGUCUAUCCCUCUACAUCAUGUCAUCUUGCUUAAGGCGUUAAUCUGUUUUUAACUUAAUACUCUAGAUGCUUGCUGGAUAGCGAUCGAUUAGUGGAGUAAUAGUAGUAGAUGCAGGCAGGAGUCGGUCUACUUGUCUCGGACGUGAUGCCUAUAUACAUGAUCAUACCUAGAUAUUCUCAUAACUAUGCUCAAUUCUGUCAAUUGCUCAACAAUAAUUUGUUCACCCACCGUAGAAUAUUUAUGCUCUCGAGAGAAGCCACUAGUGAAACCUAUGGCCCCGGGUCUAUCUUUAUCAUAUUAAUCUCCUACUACUUAGUUAUUUCCUUUGCUUUUUACUUUGCCUUUAUUUUACUUUGCAUCUUUAUCACAAAAAUACGAAAAAAAUUAUCUUUAUCAUAUCUAUCAAAUCUCACUCUCGUAAGUGGCCGUGUAGGAAUUGACAACCCCUAUUCGCGUUGGUUGCGAGGAUUUAUUUGUUUUGUGCAGGUACGAGGGACUCGCGCGUAGCCUCCUACUGGAUUGAUACCUUGGUUCUCAAAACCUGAGGGAAAUACUUACGCUACUUUGCUGCAUCAUCCCUUCCUCUUCGGGGAAAACCAAGGCAGUGCUCAAGAGGUAGCAAGGGUUCCUUUUUGUCGACGAUCCGAUGUUUCAACCCUGUUUUCCAGGUGGCCAACGCGUCGCUAAACUUGGUGACGGCGUGUUUGUUUAUCUUCUUCAUUGCCAGGUCCUUAUCUGGAUCUUUAUUAUCCUUUUCACUGCGGUCUGGGAACAAGAUUAUCUGGUGCAGUUUCUUAAGGAGGGAGGGCCUCAUAUUAUCUAUCUUCUGUAGUUUCCCAUCGUUGAUCGUGGCAGUUGUCCGUACGAUGCAACCUAUUUGAUUGCCGUAGCACGAUCGCGCUUCCUCGGGCGCUAUUGUCUCAAAAAUACCGCCGUCCAUCUCCGUGACCGCCAGUCUACUACUCAUGAGCUGGUUUGGGCGCUGUGGCCUCUUUGCUUUCGGUUCUAGACCAGCUCCGCUAGUCUCGGCGCCUGUCUCAGUUUCAUCAUCGGUCCGCAUGUCGGUAUCAGUCCCCGAUGCGACACCACAGUUGCUGCAACAUGGGUAAGGGAGACCACGUCAGUGGUGGGGGGUCUGAAAAUCAGAACACACUUUCGCGCGUCGCGGGCCGCCUCUCAGACAGCUACUGGGGAGGCGGUGGAGUACCUGGGUGCGCGGCGAAUCCCCGGGAACUCGGUGACCAACUUCCUUCCCGUGUGGCGCAUGGAGACGACGGCGACCCCGGCGAAGAGCAGCUUAGCCGCGAGCUGCACAGCCUCGUCCACCUCCUAAGUUGGGACCUCCGCGCGAGCGUUGCGGGGCCGCCACUCGGAUGGCUUCUGGAAGGCGGUUGUACAUGGGCACAUGGUGAAUCCCGGCGAGAGCUGGCCAUUGGCGCGCGCAAGUAGACGACGAUGUCCUCGAAGAAGAGCAGCCCGGCCAGCUCGCCUCACUAUCCUUUGAUUAGAAAUGAAAGAUUGGGAAGAAGCAGACUUGAGCCUGCAGGGAAAGGAUAAGGUGACGAUGCAGUCUCCACUCGUUCGGGGCGACACUCGUACUGAAUGUAUGAGAAACGUGACGUGGCAGAGACCCCAAGAUACUCCCUCCAUUUAUUUUUAGUCUGCAUAUAAAGUUUGGUCAAAGUCAAGAUUUGUAAAUUUUAACUAACUUUAUAAUAAAAAAAUAUCAACAUUCACAAUAUGAAAUCAAUAUUACCAGAUGCGUCAUGAAAUGUAUUUCCAUACUAUAUAGUUUUGGUAUUGUAGAUGUUCAUAUUUUUUUAUAUAUAUGGGAAGUAGAGGCACUCUUCUAUAUAAUGAAGUUUAUAAUAUAUGUGCUUAUAUUGUACUAUAAUUGUUUGAAUAACUUAGCAUAUAUUCAGAUGUAUGAUAUCUGUAAUUUAAACGCUUGAAUUUUACAUAUGAAUAUUUAUUAAUAAAUAUGUACCCCUAUAAUAGCUAGGCCGUGCAGUUGCACGGGUAGAUGACUAGUGAUUACAAUCUUGCUUGUGUGCAAGUCAAGCUUAUCUAGUUUACACGUAACAACUUAUAGAACAUUACAAAAUUUAUGCUUGCUAAUAACUUCUAGAACACUACAACACUUGACAUGUAAAAGGAAUUUGAUGAGUCAUGGCCUACUAAAGCAAGUUACAUUACUAGUCUUAUCUAUCUUAACAGACCACACAAGAUUACAAACUAUGUACCGUGACAGCCAUGCUUAUCUAGUUUAUGCGUAACAAUUUGCAGAAAAUUACAAACUUAGUUUCAGAAAGAUAGGCAAUCUAGAUUAGUGUUUGAGCUGUAAAGUGAAUAAGAUGAGUCAUGCAUGUCAUCACACCUUUUUGGUGGUGGAAUGAUAGUGCAACAACAAGGAACUUUAAUGACCAGUCCAAGAAUACACUUGUAAGUAGUGCCACCAAACAGAACAUACCAAAUGAUGAUUUUGAGAAGCAUCCAAGCACUUUCCACACAAACAAAUGCCAAUUGUGAAAGAGAUCAUUCCAUGGCAGCUAUAAAUAGCCCCAUAGCAUGACGAUCAUCCUUCCUCAUCCAUCAUUCUCAUAAGUAGAGCACAUCAUUUAAGCCAAGCAAGUUGUGGUCAAUACAAAUCCACCAUGAAGACCUUUCUCAUCCUUGCCCUCCUUGCUAUCGUGGCGACCACCGCCACAACUGCAGUUAGAGUUCCAGUGCCACAAUUGCAGCCACAAAAUCCAUCUCAGCAACAGCCACAGGAGCAAGUUCCAGUGGUACAACAACAACAAUUUCUAGGGCAGCAACAACCAUUUCCACCACAACAACCAUAUCCACAGCCGCAACCAUUUCCAUCACAACAACCAUAUCUGCAGCUGCAACCAUUUCCGCAGCCGCAACUACCAUAUUCGCAGCCACAACCAUUUCAACCACAACAACCAUAUCCACAACCGCAACCACAGUAUUCGCAACCACAACAACCAAUUUCACAGCAGCAGCAGCAGCAGCAGCAGCAGCAACAACAACAACAACAACAACAACAACAACAACAACCACAACAAAUCCUUCAACAAAUUUUGCAACAACAACUGAUUCCAUGCAUGGAUGUUGUAUUGCAGCAACACAACAUAGCGCAAGGAAGAUCACAAGUUUUGCAACAAAGUACUUACCAGCUGUUGCAAGAAUUGUGUUGUCAGCACCUAUGGCAGAUCCCUGAGCAGUCGCAGUGCCAGGCCAUCCACAAUGUUGUUCAUGCUAUUAUUCUGCAUCAACAACAAAAACAACAACAACAACAACAACAACAACAACCAUCGAGUCAGGUCUCCUUCCAACAGCCUCAGCAACAAUAUCCAUUAGGCCAGGGCUCCUUCCGGCCAUCUCAGCAAAACCCACAGGCCCAGGGCUCUGUCCAGCCUCAACAACUGCCCCAGUUCGAGGAAAUAAGGAACCUAGCGCUACAGACACUACCUGCAAUUUGCAAUGUCUACAUCCCUCCAUAUUGCACCAUCGCGCCAUUUGGCAUCUUCGGUACUAACUGAGAAGAAAAUAACUCUAGUACUAGAUAUAUGAAACACCGUUUUCUCAGUCCAUGGUUUGGUCGUUGUAGCGGUGAAAAAAUAAUGUGGCAUGCACUAUCAUGUAAGAACCCAAACUAUACUAGUUCAAACUUGGGAAUAAAAGACAAACACAGGUCUUGUCUACAUAUUUAUGUCGCAUCUAUUUAUAUAUUAAAAGUAAUAUAAGGUGAACCAGGAGCAAGGUAAAUAUGCUAGAAAAUUGCACGUUAAUUAGAAAUUACUAGCCCUCAAUCCGGUAAAUCUUAACAAAUAGAAUUAUCUUGACCGUUAGAUUUAUGUAACAUAUAUAAUUCUCUGGGCCUCCAACGACUGUACGUGACACAUCUGAACGCACAUAUGUUAAAGAAAAUAUAUUUGGUAAAUGGUGGGCCUCUUUAAAAAGAGAACUCACGUACAUGCACCAACUAAGAAAAACACAUACAUGUAAACGGGAAAAGGGCUCCACCCCGUUGAAAAAAUAUACAUCUGGAGGCCACUUUGUUUCCUCAUAAAAAAAAACUUACGUUAAAAAGAUUGCAUGCAUCCCAGGGAAAAUAGUCAAGAAGAAGUCGGACUCUUCCUUACAAAAACAAGGAACGUGUUAAGUUGACUUCAAAGAAAAAAGGAACAUGUUAAGUUAAAAAAAACAAGAAACCUGUUAAGUUAGAAAAAAACAAGGAACGUGUUGUCCUAGGAAAGAUAUGUGUCAAAUCUUACAAAAAAAAGAAUACACACACGUACGUUCAUGCACUUGGAAAAUAGAAAAAAAAAGGAACAUCACGUAUGUAUACACUUCGGAAACUCAUUACAUGACCAUGUCUGAUAUACUCCUCUAAUGCUUAAUAUUAGUGCCUAAUAAUUUAUAUUUAAAAUUUAAUUUACUGAUCAAAUAUCCCCACUGUUUAAAUUUUAAUUUGGCACAUUGUUUGGCUAUAGUAUGAACCUAAAUUUCCUCUUAUUAUUAUAUAUCAUGAUAAUAAUCCAAAGGCGACUAAUCUGCGCCGGCGCACCGGCGCAAUCAAUUCGGCCCGACACAGCGCGGCCGUUUGAUUAAAUUGCAUUUAACCGUCAGAUCUAGAAUCAUUUUAUUUCCAAUUAAACGGAUUCAACCAAACAGCAGAGGGGAAAACAAAGCAGCACCGCCGCCAACACUAGUCAUGGACGACCGAUGUAGCAAAACCUUGAAGAACCGCCGCCGGUCGCCACCCUCGCCGCUGGUCGCCGCCCUCGCCGCCUGCGUUUCUCAUCGGCUUCAUGCAUGCAACAACAUGCACUCGUGAUUGCAGGCUUGCAGCUCCGGCUCCGGGGGACAUGGCCGCAUCUCCGGUAGCGCCGGCCGCCAGCCGCAGCACCUGUCGUUGUGGUCACGCUGUACCUCGCCGUGUGCCCUCCCAAGGCUCUUGCUGGUUCCAACAAAAAACGAUACCUAUUGUAGCAAAAAAGUUUAUCGCUUCCAGCAAAAAAGCUUACCGCUAUAGCCCGCCAUCAUCAUUGUAGCAAAAAUGUUAACUCGAUGUAGCUUCUGUGGUUGCCGACUGCGGCCAAAAAUGACGUGGUUGUAGCAAAACACAAAAGAAAAACGCCGGCCGUCCGCUGUGUAUGGUGGUAACAAACCCUAUAGCCGGUGGUAGCGAAAAACUUCACUGUUUGCAGCAAAAAAAUGUUGUCGCCCGUCGUCGAGGUUGCAUCAUCUUCAUGAAUUAUGUCGCAAAAAAACGUUGUCGCCGGUAGUAGCAAAUGAAGCCGCCGGUAGUAACAAAACAAGACACUGGUUCCAGCCAAAAAAAUCAGCGACAGAACCUUUUGUUGGUUCCAACAAAAAAACUUGUCGGUUGUAACAUCCCUCGCCGCCGGAUGUAGCAUCUCCCAGGGCUAGUUGCAACACUCCAUAAAAAAAGUUGUCUAUGAGCGCAUCCAUGGCAACUGCUGCACCGUCAGCAACGAGGGGAAGAGGAGGCAAUGAAAAUCGUUCGAGUCGUAGCUCCACUGGACACGGCUGCAGCAUGGGGAGUCCAAAAAUCUGUCACAAGCAAGAUGCGCCUCGCCAUCCUCCUGCGCAGGAGAGAGAAGAAAAAGGAAUAAGAGGAAGAAGAAACGAAACGGGAGAAAGAAAAAAAGAAACGAUUGGUUGUGGGCUCAGGCAAUUAGUCAAAUGAGGGGCACGCGGGGCCGUAGGAUACAGCGCAAUCGAACGAAGUGCGCGCGUCCGGCCGAAGACUCAGCUGGACUGCCGGUCCAGCUGGAAAUGUUUCCCUAAUACAAAGGCUUUUCUGAAUGACAAGUCGUCUGAGUUAUCGGCUAACUAGAAAAAAGAUAAAUAUGCUAGAUAAUUCCAUAAUAAUUAGAAAUAUCUAGCCUUUAAUUAUGUAAAUCAGAAAAUCACAACCGUUGGAUUUACUUUAAAGGUAAAUUUCUCUAAAUUCCCACCAUUGCCAGUAUGUAGAAACAUGUGCUGCUUCAAUUCUCCCUUAAUCACCAAUCAAUCAACAACUGAAAACAUACCUCAGUUAAAAAAACUGAACAAAAAAAAGAAAAAAAGAAGAAAGGACAAGAUACACGCAUGUACACGACAGCCUUGGCUUGAAACACAUCAGUAGAUCAAGUGUCCGCCUCCCUUACACAGAAUAAAUUCUAGGGAAGAAAAUAAUAGUGCAACCUAACCUUAUACGUACUAUUCUAUCCUCACGUCCCAUGAGGUUUACUAGCCUACUGCCGCCGCAUCAUGCCAUCCUCUCCUUUCAGCUCCCUCCUUGCGGCGCCACUACUCGCCUAGGGAUAUUGCUGCUCAGACCGUGGAGCUUAACCUGCUUCUUCUUCAGCAAAUAUGGAACUGCUUUAGGAUCCUUCUGACAUCAGCGCGUAUGGGCCUCAUUAUACUGCAGCUCCUGGACCUCCUACAAUUGGUUGGCUAUGGCCAGUUGAUCGAUGUGCUGAAGUCCAGGUCUGUUUGCUGGCACAUAUGCUUUGGAAAUAGGCCACUAUGUUUGUACUUCGAAAUUGUUUCUGUAUUCUUCAGUGGUACAUCCUUUUAAGCGCCAGUUUUUUAUGUUAAUUCAUGCUGACAACACUUAACCUAGCCUUUCAUGUUCACGUACUAAAUACAGGAGCAAGUAAAAACAACAGACCACCUAAUUGCUCUGCAAGUUCUACAUAGGAAAAUUUGUCAUGUUCUACGAUCGCACCAUCCCACCCUUCUCUCUUGGUAUGGGCGCCAAUUGAGGGAUUGAUAAAACUGAAACGAAGACGUCACAGGGCUGGAAGUACCGCUAGCCUGGUUCGCACUGCAACCUACCCAACGCCAUCAGAAACUAGCAACUGAGUCAGGUGUUGAUCGAUUCUCUCAAAUUGCUCUCAUGUAAGUACUACCCCUUGCAUGUGCGUACAUACCUUUGUUGCAUUCUCAAACAGAUAGAACAUGUAUGAUCGGUGCAUGGCUAUUUUUCAUCACAUGACAUCCAGAUAACAAGCAUGAAAGGACUACAUUGGAGAUCAAAAAAUAUUGGUUCCUGGCUAGAGUACCACUACCUAUGGACUUGUCUCCAUAGAAUUUGUUCCCAAGAUGUUAUUUUAAUUAACCUCUUUAGCUUUCUUCCGUUGCAAACGGUGAUGUGCAUCAUGGUAUAUACGUGACCAUCUUGCACAUGUAUACACAAGAGGCUCAGACGGAGGUGCUGGAUUCUGGACGAGGGAAUAUGAAGCAGGAGUGAGCGAAGAGUAAAUAAUGGUGGGAGUACCGAUUGGUGUUAUGAAGAAAAAUGCCAUCCAAAGAUUGAUUAGUGUCAUGGAAGAUUAAUUUCUGAAUGCGAAUAUAUAUGUUACAUUGGUUUGGAUCUUUUUGAGAUAAUUGCACCUAAAUUAGGUUCUUUCUUAUUUCAUAUGUAUACCUUAUUUCAGUAAAAGUUCACAACGAACUUAGUAGGACAAAUAUAAUUUUGUUUGUUCUUUCUGUUGUCCGCCACCAAAGCUCAGUUUGAACUCUCUAGAAAUGGACAAUGAUUUAUGCAUUCUAUAUCUUCUUGAUUGAUUAGCCAUGACAAGGAAAUAAAAGGAUUGACUGAUAUAGCAUAACUUUGGAACGAUCUGUUCGUAGAGGUUACUACAAAUUAGAGUAGUGUCUGUUGGAAUUUUGCUAGUAGGCCUUUGGCCCAAAGCCCAACUAAAAUUCUGAAAUUCUCUUCGCUCAUUCAUGCACACAUGUGAGUGGAGUGAGUGAGACUAAAGUUUAGAGAGAGUUGCACCUCUUUAUAAGGUGAGCUCUUCUACCACUUGUAUGAGCAUGAGAAGAGGAGACCUAUACACGCGCUCCUCCUCCUCGCUCACCACGUCUCGUCACGCCGCGCCGCGCCGCGGAUUGCGGGAUUGAGCCGAGCCGAGGACGUUGUCUAUAUUUUUGCUGUUUGGGAAAAAUUAAUAAGUCAUUAAUUAAUAAUUAAUGGAUGCGUUAAUUACUGAACCAUUUUCGAUUCUUUUGGAUCGUGACGACUCGGACGUGGGGUUUACUCCCACGAUCUACCCGGCCCACACUAUAUAGUCAGGCAGACGUCUACCCUAGCCGCCGCCACUUCGUAUGGUUUCUCACCACCGUUACAGAUCGUUGCGCCGCCAAGCAAGUUUUCUCCAUUCCUCCUGUCGGCAUGCACUGGGAGAAGGGACAGCAGGCCUCCGGAACCCCGCCUCUCGUGAUCCUGUACGGGAGAGGGGCGAUCAGAUUUUUGGGGAGCGCACUCGCACGACUGCUGGCAGCGACGACUUCGCAAACGACGACUUCUUCCCCGACCUCGGCAACCUCAUCCUCGACUUCUGCACCGUAUGUUAUUCUAUCCUUCUUGUUCGAGAUCGUGGUAGAAUUCAGAUUUCUAGCAUGUUCCCUAGAUGUGAUUUGUUCAUCUACUAUUCUAAUUCGCAUGAUUAGUUUAAUCUUUGCUAUUGCUGUCAUGAUCUAUUUCCUAUUUAUUCGGAUUAAAUCUCGUAGUAAUUUGCUCAUUUUUCCAACAGUGCCAUCUAAUAGAUGAUGUAAAUCUCCUCAAGUUUGACGUUGUUGAGCUAAUUUACAAAAAAAACCUCAUCAUUAUUGGAUGUCCUUAACAGCUCAAGAACAAGUUGGGGUCGAAAUAAUGGAUUUUACACUUUUACAUUAAAGGUUUAGCUAAAGCAAGCAGGUGUUUUUAAACCUGAAUUUUUUUCCUCCUGAAUUUCUUUGUAUUUUCUUAUUGACACUAUUUAUACAAUCAUCUGACAAAGAUUAGCUAAAGCUGUUUGUAGAUACGUUCAAACCUGAAAAGCUUCUUUGGUUAUCCUUUUAAUAGUUCUACGUUUAUUUUCUCAUAGGUCUUAAUUCUUAUGUAAUACCAAGAUGCAUUGUGGUAGUGUACAUGUGUUAAAUUCAGGUUGUUAUUCACAAUUUGCGACAAAAUUUAGCUCACGCUACAUUUAAAUAUGUUGAAAUGUGAAAGCUCUUUUUCUUCUCCUUUCUACACCUUGCAUCGGAUUGCAUCCCUUUAGUUAUCCAACAUUUUGUACAACAUGUAGAGAUUAGGAAGUUCAUCAUAGUUUGUCUAUUUCCGUGCUAAUAAAUGUAUGAAAUCUGCAUUUCCAAGCUACUAGGACAAGUAAAAAAUAAUAAUUUUACUAUAGGAUUCAAAAACAGCAGUUCUGAAGUGCACUUUAUUUAUUUGUGAAAGUGAUCACAUUUUGUUUCAUUUUUCUAUAGACAAAUCUACUAAUACAUACUCACGAUAAAACUAUAAAAGUUCUAGUCCGCACAUUGGGCGGGCCACCCGGCUAGUUAGUCUAAAGAUAACAAAAUGAGUCUGGAAUUUGAAUUAAAUUGAAGUAUUUUCUUGGACUAUCCACAUCCUUGGCUUGCCCCUGAUCAAUUAUUUCCAGAGAAGCAUUCAAUUCAUCAAUCAAUUACAUUGAUUUUAGUGGCUGGUACUUCUCCUCGACAUCAGUAUAUUCACCGUGGCCACUCCAAAUCGGCAAGAAUGAGGUACCAGUGCUCUGGAGCAGUGCAAGCUAAUUGCUUCUCAUGUGAAGGGGUGCGGGCGCGGGAGAGGUAUUUCUGGUGGGCCAAGGGAUAAGAAGCGACCGUGGCAGCGGUACAGACGCCCGCAAAGCCCCAUAAUUUGUUUUUGGUUUACAGGAAAAAUGCACAUCCAUACCGGCCUGGGGAAUAUAGCACUGUAUUGCAUGGAAAACCAUGUCCGGAUGGUUGUGAGCGGUUUGAGGGUUAGCUUUUGUAACGCCCGGUUAGUUAUGCUAUAGCAAUUCCCUGCUAAUGAUGUCACGUCACCACGAUUACUGUUGUUAACCUCACAAUGAUUCAAUCCCGUUCAAAUUCAAAUUUGAAAUAAAGGUAAACAUCAAAAGUUUUCAAACAUUAAAACUAAAAUCUUUGAGAGGUGACAAAUAAUGCAUAAGUAAUUAUGGUGAAGAAACCACACUUUAAUCAAAUGUUUAAAUACUCUAAAAUGAAAAAAAAACAGUGACUUAAACUAUUAUUUAAAUGCUUUUAAAAUAGUAAAAAUCUUCUAACUAAAUUAUUUGGGUACCAAACUUUUGGUGGCAGUGGUAUAUUUAGUAGAACUAAUUUAGAUGCUAAUUAUAUAAUUUACAAAAUUAGAGUAAAUUGAAAAAUAGGAUAAAACGGAAAAAGGAAAGACAAAACAAAUAAAAGCAAAAGGGGGCAACCCCUCGCUGGGCCUCGGCCUAGCUGGCCACUAGACUAGCUAGGCUGGCCCCGCCGCCUCCCUUAACCCCCCACUCCCCAUCGAACCCAAGCCCGAUCGCCCCAUUUCCCACACACCCCCUCGCUAGUCUCCCCACCUCUUGAUCCCAUCUGGAUCGGGGAGGGUAUUGCCCCCAUCAACCCCGUUGCCGUCGCCGGAUCGCCCGCCGACGUCGGCAGGCCUCCUCCCCGUCGCCCGUCUCCGGCUCACCUCCCCUCUCGCUCCUCUUCCCCGACCCGAUCUGGAUCGUGAACGAGCAAUGAGCUCGAAGCCCCCCUUCACCAGCGCCAUCACCGUGCGCCACCACCACCACCUGAAGACCUCACCGUCGCUGAACCUUGCGUCGCCUCCUUGUAUCCCUCCCCUACUCGCAUCCUCAAGCCAGGCCGAGCCCCUUCUCGGCAACGCUGUGAGACGCCCCCGUUUCCCUCCUCUUUCCACCGCGUUCACCGCGCCGCCCGCCGUGCCCCUCGCCGUGCAUGAGCCCACCACCGCACCAGCCCCCGCUCCGCGCACGACCCUACCCGCGCCCGCGCCAUGAUCCCCUUUUCCGCCCUACCUUCACGCGCUCGCCGCGAUCCCCAUGCUCCCCCGCGCCCUCUUUCGGGGGCGCCGACUGCCCCUGUCCCGGUGCUCGCCGCCGUGCCUCGCCACCGCUCUACUGCUACGUUACUACUGCGCUGCGGCCGCCGCCUCUUCCCGCUGCUCCGCUAGCGCCGAAGCUCCCGGUUGGCUCCACCACUGCUCACGUUAAACCGCCGGCCUAAAUGGCCUAACCCUCGGCUAAUGAACCCCCACUAACCCACUGACACCGGGACCCACAUUCCCUAAUUAACCAUUUAAUAAAUUAACAUUAGUGUAUGACAUGUGCGUCCCCUGUUAAUUAAUAAUUUUACUGCUAGUUUUAUUAGUUUCUGUUUUUCUGCAUAUUUCUUUUGUAUUUGAACAGGCUUUAUACAAUAAUAUUUAGCGUAUCAUACACAUACAAAUGUAAUCAUAGCAUAUACAUACAAAUAGUCUCAUCAAAUCAUGUCAUCAUCAUAAUCAUCAUCCAUCACAAAGUGGUCUCUGGUCAUCAUCUCGAAAAUAGCGAUACAAGUCUCGAUUACUUGCAACUACAUCGUCAUCCAUCUAAACAAUGAUAUACACGAGAAGAGCUCUCACUAUGAGUGAGAGCGGAACUAUGCAGUACAUGAGUUUGUAUCCCUCUCUCGCAUUAGCGUGAACCUAAACUAACGACUGGCUGUUGCUCGGAAACCGGAAACCGGUACACCUGGGCCUGACACUCCGGCCACUCAUCGUAUACUCCUGGCGUAGCACUUCUUCGCCAUCGAUGAUCUAUGCACCUGCAUCGUCACAUGAGUCGAUGAUAUGCAACAUAUAUAGUUGAGCAACAGAAAGAGACAGACUUGGCAAAAAUAGAAGCAACAUAUCACAAGUAUAAAUAACAAAGUUAAUGUUUUGCAGGAUUACAACUCAACCCAUUGCAGAUUAGAAAACAAGCCCGUAUGAAUGCACAGGCUGACGACUAGUCUAUCUAUACCUAUACCUAUACCUAUACCUAUACCUACCUAUACUAAUUACAGACUCCCAAGGAAUUCCCACGUUAAUUAGUAAUUAGGAGUCGUUAAUCUUGUGGGACCAAAUUAUUACGACAGUCCACGAUCUCUUUUCUCUCUGUGUAAAAAAAGGUCCACGAUCUCUUUUCUCGGUUGUAAAAGAUAAAGGCAACUCAGGUCCACGAUCUCUUUUCACGGUUGUGAAAGAUAAAGACAACUCCCGUCUUCUUCUAAUCUAUAGUUCUAUACCUCCACGACCCCUUUCUCUCCCCAUUUAAAAGGAACAAGCUGAACCAAUAUCUAAGCAUGCAAUUGGUUCCUGUGCGGUCUUGACCUUCCAUCCGUCCACUGCUCGAUCGGCCCUCCCUCAACUACAAGCUGACAAGCCACCAUCGCCAUCCAGCGGCACGCCACCGUUCAUGCAUGUGUUUUUGCCCUUCAAUCUGAAGGAGAUGCGUUGGCUACUCAAGUAACUCUGUUUGUUUUGUUCAAACCAAUUUCGUUAAUUCGGUUCUUUGAUUAUCUAAUUGACAUGGCCUGUGAGUUUUGUGCUAGUGAUACAGGGCCUGUCUACUAGAUUCUCUCCUUGCAACUUCUAUUGUUGUCUCGAUUUGGUGUGGUCAAGAUCCUUGCCCCACCACAAGCAGCACCUUUGCACCAUCGGGGAAAUCUGUCAUAGCAAACAGAGGUAUGUAACAUGCUUUGGUGUUUUCCUCUUUCGUUUAGAUCACUAGAGUUGCUCAACCACACCAUUCAUUGAUUAGUAGUUGGCCUGAGAAGUUGCUCGGUCACCUGCAGCGUCUGAUCCCCUUCUUGACCCUCUCCUUCUGGUCAUUAUCCACCGGCAGGUCAAUGCAAAACGGAUCGUUCGUUGCCGCCACCUUGCGGAGACCGAUGUUUGGCUGCCCUCCUGCCAUCCUGGCACUCUGGUACCGGUCACUGUGCCGUUGUUCUAGAAGAACUAUGUCACACGAAGCGAGAUAUCUUCUUACUAAUCUGGAACAUAAGUGUUUCUUCUUACUAGGAUUCGCUCACCGGUGCAUUCAUCUCUUUUUGGAAAAUACGGCCUUCAUAUUUCACACGCCUAUACAUGGGUGCUGUCCCAACAAUAAUCCAUCUAAUCCAUGAUGCACAUUCAUGAAGACUGAUGUGACUGAAUUAAUAUAUCAAUCUGGUGCUUCCGGAUCAGCACUUGAAGAAGCAACCCCUUUAGUUCAUAAAUUUAUCAUACGAAAGUCAGGGGAAAAAUCAACUAAGUCAUGUGUGCUUUUCUAAUUAAUUACUAUACACUAAUUCCAUUUUUUUCAGUAGCAGGCUAGGAUACGUGGAUUGUGGCAGCACAGAAGUAAACCGAUGAGCUACAUUGGCCGUUCACCAGUCAUCGGAUCAGAAGCCAUGUCGACCAGAGGGACGGAACAGUUCUAUAUUAGGCGAUGGAUACAUGUGGAAGCAACUAAGCAUAUGUGGAUGCAUGUGAUCGCAUAGGUAAGGCCAUAGCUGUUCAAGCCCUACAGGAUCUUUAUUGCUGGUUUUAAUUAUGAGUUUACAACACCAUCUAUACAUACUACUUAUCCAUUUAUUUCCUUACCUUCUUUGUUUCUUUCUCUCCUUGAUCCCCUGUCAAAAGGGCAUCAACAUCCAUAUGCGCAACGGCACACGCAACAAACUAUGACUUCGGUUGCACGUCCAAUGGCAACCACAGUACAUGAUGAUAUCAUGUUUGCUGCAAGACGAAGUACAAGUUCAUAAUUUGGUCUUUUGCAUGGUCCCUUAGUAAAUUAUAUUUGUCCACAUACACCACAUACAUAAAAACAGGUAGAAGCGGUUGCAUGAUGAAAAUGUCCUCUCAAUAUGCAUGCCUAUGAAUACUAUCACCAGAAAGCCAAGGACUAACAAUUAUUCAGGGGUCAAGAUUGAAGACAGACGUCCAAGAUUGGCAGUCGGCCGGCCUAAGAGGGGCAAAACCGUUGUACAUUAUAUUGUAUGGACCUAGCAAGAUCCUAAAGAUAAGUGAUAAUGGAGAUCAUGGGGGCCACCCUUAUAACCAUAUGUCCAAAUGUUCUUAUUUGUUUAUUUUUCUUUUCUCUUUUCGGAAGAAUCCAUCCUGCCUCUAUGGUCAUCCUGACCACUUCGUAUUGUUAUCUAAUCUCCUCCCUUAAUUAAUAUAAAGAAUUACCGCAGCUGAAUUCACUAAAAAAAGUAUUCAGUUUAUUUUAAUUUAUUCAACUAUUAUGGCAUAUCAAUUGGAUUGCAAGUUCUUGGCGGUUGCAUUUGAAUCAUAUUUGAUGUGCACAAAGGCUUCAGUGUCAAGGUGGUCGGACGAGUAUUUAUGUCCAUUAUAUAUGUGUUAGCUUGAGAUCAUCAGGCACCUGUUAUGCAUCUGUCCAGUUAAAAGGAUGUUCAGACUCAGGCUUGCCCUACCAUAUAUGGCUGUGACACUCUGAACCAAGCAAGUUGGUCAUAUGUGUCGAGCACUAUUAACUCUUUGGAAGAGGAUCCACCAAGUACAGGAAACAAAUCAAAUAUCUUCUUAACCUUAUCACCAGAAAAAUUAGCAAGAGAUGAAUAGUAACAUUUUAAAGAAGAAAGAUAUGUUUGAAAAGGGAUAUAUAUUAUGGCGACGAUUAGAAGAGCCCUUGACGAAUGGUGCCUAGCCUGCGAAAGUUUCUUAUGAAUAUAGUCAACACUCUAUAUCAACUGUUGUAAGAUUUUAGAAAUAUUUUUGGGGACAUAUGAUACAUGUCUAUUAUACAUAUGAUUCAACAGAAGUUUGAUUGAAUACAUAUUUAAAACGUGACUGACUUCUAUAUGGACGGAGUAUUUCACAAAGGACUCACUGCCAACUGUGUGAAUAUUCCAAGAUAGUUAGUGCACAUAAAUGUUCAAAUCCAUAGCCUGCAUAAAUAUACAAAAGCAAUGUGUUAGACCACUACACAUGCUUCUGAAAGGAGGCAAAAAAAUGUAUGCUUGAUUGAUGACCGUUCAUGCAUGAAAUUAAUUUCUGAUUUCUAAUUAUUUUGGUCAUAUAAUGGAAAUAGAGACAUUAUAAAGAUCCAACAGCAUGCUAUCACACACGUGUGAACACAGACACACACAAAUAACAUUUGCCGAGCACUCACAAAUAAAAGGUGUGGCUACUCUUGGGUGUUCUACAGCUGGCUUAAAAAAACACGUAUGAAACAUGAUCCCCAAAAAUCUGAAAUUCGCAACAUAUGAAAAUCCACCCUCAAACAUAUUUCUGGUGUCUCAAUUCUUUUAGUUUCAGAUGGUAUGUCCAGCCAAAGUAGUUGUACACAUACAUUACUAUGUUCUAUUAUUUGAGAUUCUAAGACAACAUUUAGUAACUAGCCCGUGCGAUGCACGGGUUCACGACUAGUAUAUAUAAAGCUUAAUGGUGCCUAAGAAAGCUCGCACAAUUUUACAGUGGCUGUGGAGAUGUGUUGCCAAACUGAGACAUAAGAUUUUCGUUUGGCAUCCAGAGUUGCAGACCGCUUGUGUUAUCCUUAAUCCAUGGCCACUCUAAUUUUUCCGGCUGGGCCUUCCCUGUGGUACGGCAGCAAGGCUUGCGUGUGUAUAUGUUUCCUUUAACUACCACUAGCACAUAUGCCCGUGCGUGCGUUGCAAGGGGAGAGAUAAUGGCGUAUCCACCAAUAUAUCUAGCAGCAUGACCCAACAACAUCCGAAUGAUGUCACCCGACGACGGCAGGAAGGCACACACAGAGGUCUAGUAAAAACUCAACAAUUGUACGGGCAUGGUUAAUUCGCGUGAAUUCAAGGGUGUGAGAUUAGUUAGUGUUGGUCCCACAAUUGAAUUCGGGGGCUGAUUAGUUAGUGUGGGCCCACCCUUGAAUUCACCGGGGGAGACAAAAUAAUUAGGGUGAGGAGAGAUUUACGGGGCUUGGUCCCCAGAUGCGUUGCGGCAGUCAUUAUUCGAGCAUUGCAAUGCUCGCACGUGAGGAGCUCUUUUUCCAAUUGUAUAUUGAGAAGCAUUGCUACAGAUACAAUGUUUUUGAUACGUUUUUGUACGAUGAUCCUGAUCUUAAAGGGCCUUCUAAUUUUUAAAUCUUAAAGGCAUUAUUUGUAAGUUGUCGUGAAAAAAAUCUCGCUAAAAGGGUUAUGUUAGACCAUCUUCAGUACAUUAGAAAUAACGAAUUAUAAUUCCUUGGCAUUUGAACAAACAAUCCCUACUUAUUUACACAUACAAUACUUUUGGUAUGAUUUUGAAAUCUUGAAGGCAUUAUUUGUAAGUUGAAGCAAUUUUGAAAUCUCACUAAAAGGUCUGUUAGACCAUCUAUAGCUUUAGAAAUAACUAAUUAUAAUUUUGCAAAAAAAAGAAAUAACUAAUUAUAAUUCCUUAAGCAUCUGACCGAAACGACCCCGAUUUAUUGUCUGGGUAGUAAUUCCUUUGCAACAUUAUUCUCUCCUUUCUUGAAGGAACUCUUGCCUGGGUAGUAAUUCCUUUGCCCACGUAUUUGCAAGGUUAUUCUCUCCUUCAUUUUUACAGGAGCUCUCCUUCCUUAUACUAAUUGGUCAUUAUCCUCUCCUUCCUUUUUCUUUUUGCCAAACUCUCUUUCCAUAUUUAUGCCGCUAACCACGCCACUCUUUUUCCUUAUUUAUGCCCUUUGAUCACGCCACACAUCUCAUGAAAUCUAAGCCAUAUAUAUCACCCAUCUUUUUUCCUUAUUCCGGUGCUUUCCUCACAAACAGUAGUUCUCUAGGAUGCUUAACGAUUUUGAAACAGAAACAUAUAUAAAUCGGUAGAACGGGUUGUAAAGCAGCGAGGUGGUACUAAUUUAUAAAGAAACAAACCUUUUCUUUUUGUGUAAUGAUGCCUUGGUUCGGCUGGUUGCGUUGGGAAAAGGACCGGCGAAGUGGGCGAACCAAAAACGGAUAAAAUUACGGUGGUAAGAAGCGAUAGCCCUUUUAUUAGUAGGUAUGAGGAUGUCUAGGAUGUCUAGGAUGAGGAUUUACUGCACACAAGUGCGGGGGCACUCAGGUCCUGAUGCCGCCUUUUUAUUUUGGCUUCCGAUUUUCAAACUUCUAUAUCUUUUAAACAAAAAAUUCAAUUUAAGUUACGUUUUCAUAUUCGUGCUUCUCGCGGCCAGCGCUUUCAAAUAAGAUCCAUUUUGCAUACAUUUUGGUGGCUUUUGGAAACGGGCGAAUAGCUCCUAUGCGACGUUGUUGGUGUGUAUUGUCUCUCAUGCGACGUUGUUGGCUGUAAUAGCUCUCAUGCGACAUCUGCGUUGGAAAAAAUAGCUCCCAUGCGACACACCAUUUACGCGGCUAGUUGGCUGUUAGUUAGGCUGAGGUUUGGUUAGGACACUGGGGGUUAUGUGCUCUGACUGGUGGGGUCCACCUAUGGUCACGUAGACAAGAGUCAACCGUCCACGACUCGACCUGGGACUGUGUGACCGUGCUCGACUCACCCGUGCUGGACUGAGUGAGCGGUGCCGCCGUAAGCAUCUUCUCCGACAGCGGUUUCUUCUCCGCGGUGGUGGAGCGCAUUUCUCGGCAGCGGCAGAGCUAUUGCGAGGUGAGCCCGAAACCCUAGUCCCACUCCCCAGAAUUUUGGGGGAUCUGUGGCCUCAUGCUGCCCUCUGUUUCUUGGCGAUUUAGAAUCGGGCUCCAUUGGAUCCGGGGGUUGUUUCUUCUCCGUGGCCCGGUGGUGGAGCGCCUAUCUCUGUAGCGGCUAUUGCGAGUGAGUAUUUUCCAAACACUACUCGCAUUCCACUAAAUUUUGGAUAAAUCUGUGGCCUCAUGCUGCCCCUAUUUCUUGGCGUUUUAGAAUCUCGAUUGGAUAGGAGAUGGAGCGAGGGCUGGAUGAGAUGGAGCGAGGAGACAGUGCUUCAAAUCGGUAAUGCCACACUCUUUUCUUGGCGAUUUAGAAUCGAACUCGAUUUGGUAGUGACUGCCGCCGCUGCCUGCCAUUGACAAAACAGGGGAGGUUCAAGUUCUGCCACCACAUUCACAAUUAUAGUGGAAUUUUUUCCCUGUAAAGCCAAGCUCAGUGAUGGCAGUGUCCAAGACAUUGAUAGAGAUACCACCGUGAGGUUCGAUGUCGAAUUUGCAGAUGUUGAUCCCCAGGAAUUGGAGAGCAUGAAGGAGAAGGCCGUGGGCAAUUUGGUGGAGAGAAUUGGGGAGAAUAUUGUUUGGGGUCCAGAACAAGAGGUAUGUCUGCAACGUUUCGAUAACUAUAAUGGUGAAUAUGUGAGAAUUGAAGAUGGAGAAUCCAUGGUUGCUGAAAUUGAUCAGCAAGAAGGGUGGGCAACUAAACAAGUAACAUUUUAUGCAGAGCUAAUUGAUCUACAAACUCAUUCCAGAGUUGGUUAUGUGCAAUCAAAGAGGGCUGCACAGAUGGAAGAUGAUGAGUGGGUUUCACAAAAGAAGAUGUUGGCAUUGUUGACUGAACCGACUGUAGUAGCUGAAGAUACAGGGAUUGAUGCAGAUGGAGAGGAGGGAACCCAUGGUGCUAGGAAGAUUGUUGUUGACUGGAAUGUAGUAGAGUUGAAUGAAAAAACAGAUUUGGUCAUUACACCAAUAUCUGACAUUGAUAUGGCCGAAAUGUUUGGCAUUCAAGUUGAUGACAAAGAUAAGGAGAAGGAUGACAGUUCUUUGCCUGCUGAAGGAACAUAGGCCCUAGAAAUGCAAAUGAGGAUGAAGAACAGCUGAUGAGAGAGGCUGCAGAUGAUGUGGAUGAUGCAGAUGAUAAUGAGUUGGUUUGUUUGUAUGACAAAGAGAACCCAGUUAUUGAGGUGGGAAAGUUGUGGCCAAGCAUGAAGGAGUUUAGGAUGUCUUUCAGGACCUAUGCAGUGAAAAAGAGUUUGAUGCCAAGACUAUGUGGACUGAUUGAAAGAAAUUUUAUGCUCGGUGCAAAGGUUAUGAUGGUGGUGGCAAUCCUUGCAAAUGGUACUUGUCUGCCAGACUACAACCUGAUUGAAGUACAGUAAGGGUAAAUCAAAUACCACACCAGCAUACAUGUAUGACCACUUCACAGAGAGUUUCAAAGAUGACAUCACAGCUUUGGGUUACAGAGAAGAUUACUCCUAUUUUAGCCAAGACUCCAAACACUACUGCAAAGAGGCUUAAAGUUGACUUGGAGAAGCUGUACCCCAUCCAGCUGCAAUAUACCACAGUGUGGAAAGCAAAACAAAGGGCCAUGAAAUCAUUGUAUGGUGACUGGGCAAAUACAUUUAGGAUGUUGUAUAGUUUUAAAGCAGAGGUGGAGAAGAGGUCACCUGGGAGUGUGGUGGAGAUAGAUACAGAGGUAACAGAGGAUGUCAUGGUUUUAUUCAGCAAGUUUUUUAUGUGUUUGAAGCCAUGCAUAGAUGGAUUCAAAGCAGGUUGUCGUCCAUAUUUGAGCAUAGACUCAUCUUUUUUGACUGGAAAGUGGAAUGGUCAGUUGGCUGCAUGCAAUGCUCUAGAUGGACGCAACUGGAUGUUCCCAAUUGCAAUAGGAAUGUUUCAAUCAGAGACAGAGGCAUCAUGGAUAUGGUUCAUGAUGCAACUGAAAAGAUGUAUAGGGCCAGUUUCUCCUUUAGCCAUCCACACAGAUGCAUGUAAAGGGUUCGAAAAUGCAGUAAAAAAUGUUGUCCCCCAUGCUGAGCAGAGGGAGUGCUUUGGACAUAUGUGGAUGAAUCUGAUAAAAAAAUUAGAGGAGAUGAAUUUGGGCGCAUGUGGCCAGCAGCAAGAUCCUACACCAGACAGACACAUUCCUAUCACCUUGGUAAGAUAUUGGCAUCAUGUAGUGAUAAUGAAUUUGCUUCAUGGUUGAACACCCGCCAUUCUCUGUUGUGGUAUAGAUCAGGUUUUAAUACUGCCAUAAAAUGUGAUAAUAUCAAUAACAACUUGGCAGAAAGUUUUAACAACAAAGUGAAGGAUUUGAAAGACUUGCCUGUGCAUGACAUGGUGGACCAAAUAAGGAUCAUGAUCAUGCGUUUGUGGGAGUUGAGAGGAAAAAUUGCUAAUAUUUUGGAAGGGGACAAGCUUCCAGCAGUGGUACAAUAGGUGGUCAACAGGAGUAGAAAUCUUUCACAUCUAUCUGUUGAGAAAUCUUCCUUGUGGGGUGCUGAAGUUAGAGAUACAAAGAGUGGCAAGAGGCAUGUGGUAAAUACUGAGUUGCAUGAGUGUACUUGCCGAGAGUGGCAACACACUGGAAAACCAUGUGAGCAUGCCAUACUUUUUUUGGCAUCUAAACCCAGGUUAAAUAUGCACCCAUAUUUGCAUGAGUAUUAUUCAGUACAAAAAUUCAAAGCUGCAUAUGCAAGUCCAAUUCCUGCACUGACUGACCAAUCUCAGUGGCCUGAGGUGGAAAUAGAAUUUACCUUGUGUCCCCUGUCACUAGAAGAAAGGCUGGGAGGCCUAAACAGAGCAGAUUCAAAGCUUGGUUUGAGAAAGGUGGUUGUAGUAAGAAGGGGAAAAAAGAAAAGAAAAAGAAUGAUAAGCCCAAAAGGGCUCAAAAAGGUAAGAAAAAUAGGUGCAAGUUGUGUGAGGUACUUGGGCACAGAAUUGGUUCAUCCAAGUGCAUCUAUACUCCUCAGAGGACAAAGUAUGUUCAUGUUACUGUUUUUACAAGUUUUUGAUUUUGUUACUUGUUCUAGUAUCUAACCAAGUCAAAUGCUUUAUUUUUUAGGAGGAAGCGUGCAGAAAAAGCCCCACCUCUUGUUGUUGAACAAUGCUGGCCAGUGAAAAAAGCAAGACUCAAUGGCUAUAUAGAAGGAAGAGCACUAAGCAGAUAAUGUUUGGUGACAAAGAUAUGGAGCUAACUGAAACUGUUACUGCUGAACAUGAGCUAAGUGUUUCUGUUUUGGACGAUGUGAUGCAUACUGAAUCUGUUUUGCAGACGCUAGGGCAAUCUGAAACUGUUGCAGAUGAAGCAACGGUUGUGCUGCCAUGCGAAUCUGCUUUGACAACUGUGUUGCCAUGUUUGGAGGUUGUGCUGCCAAGUGUUGAGUUGCAAACUGAAGUAGUUGAACAAUUUGUGCCAUCUACUCAAUCUGCAGAAGUGCAAACUGAAGAAGUGCAAACUGAAGAAGUGGGACAUGGUCAGGUGAAAAAGUUGAGGGGGCCUAGUGGAGUUUGCAAGGGGCCAAAAAGCAAGAGCAUCAACAUCAACAAACUAUGCGCCGUGGAACCAAACGAUGGAAAAAAGCAGAAGAAAUCGAGUGGUAGAAAGAAGCAAAAGAAAUAGAGUCGAAAUCAUUCAAAUUUGAUGUGAAAACUUAAGUUUGUUGUCAUUUGAUGUGAAAACUUAUGUUCUUUCAUGUGAAAACUUAUGUGCUAUGAUGUUGAUUUGACUUGAAAUAAAAUUCAAAUUUGAACCGACAUUCAAAUUUGAACCUAUCUCCAAAUUUUUUUGAGUUCAUUUGUUUGUUCUGUGAUGUUGCAUCGUUUUAUGUACUACUAUGCACUUUGUGAAGUCCAACUCAUAGUCACUGAAAAUGCUGUACAAACAGGCUCCAAAGUAAGGGAAAACGGCCCCAUUUCUAAGCAAGUUUUUUUCGAUCUUCUCAAAAUCACCCAAAAAAGAUUUUCUUAGCUUAUAUUAUACCUAUAUAGGAUCAAUACAAAGUCUCACCUUUUUUGAAUAAGUAUUCAUAUUAUUUAAUUUAUUUUUGAAAAAACACCCUUUAAUACAAAGUCAGCAAUAAAACAAGUUUAAAAAUUUUAAAUGCAAAAAUAACUUCAGAUCCUCCUUAGUCACUCUAAAAUGAAGCUAAGGUGAUGUUUUUUGAUUUUUUUGCAUUUUCAAAACCUCAAACCCUCUUCUCACUCCUUUGAACUCUAUGCAACCUCAGUCGAGAUAGUCCAAUUUGUGAAGGUUUUUUCAUGCAAAGAUCAUUAGAUCAAGUUUAUCAUUUUAUAUCAUAACUAUGUAACAUAAAAAGGCUAUAUGCGCAGGUUUUUCAUUUUUUAGAUUUUUUUGAAUUAGUUAUACACAUUUGAAUGUUCGGUCAAACCUUUCAAAACCCCGUUGACUGCCUCAAAACCCCAUGUAACCCUAGCGCCAAACGUCCACCGUCGAUCUAACCCUAACGCCAAACUGCGGCCGUCGGAUGGGACUUCUAGAAGGAUUCCGCGGGGGCGAUCCAUGGGCUCCAAUCUGAUUGGCCAUUGUUUUUUCUCUCUGACGAACAGAUAACGUUGAGCGGGGGAGCAUCUAAGUGACCGUUGGGCCGAGUGGAUUGGGCCUGGCAAAGCCUGGCGUGCGUGCACACGGCUGUUGAGAGGGGGGAUGGGCUGCAUGCGAGCGGGUCAAUGACAUGUGGGCCAUCCUUGUCCCAUGCAUGCCAUGCAACGUCGCAGCCUAGCUAUUCUUUGCUCGUGAAAGCCUAGCCAUUUGCAUGCGGGCUUGCAUGCACGCAUCGACGCAGAGUACGGCAAGGGUGCAGCGUAUAGGUACGUCGCAUCUAAGCUAUUUUAACAAAUGCAUGUUUGAACGAGAUGGACGCGUCGGUGGUGCAGCUCCUUUUUCAGUGUCACGCGCGGAUGAACGGGCCUGUUUCCCAUGCGGCAUCACCGCCGAUGCAAGUGCCCGUGCCUCUUUGGAUGCUCUGGCCGCCGUUUUUUGAAUUAAUGCCCGCAAUUACUUAUGCCAUGCGAACGGAGAAGAGAAAAAGAUCGAGAAGGGGCACCGUGUACACAUUGACCAUGGUUGCAAUGCGGCUAUAAAAGGGCACCAUUUCCUCAUCCUCUCACACUCAUCUCUCAAGCCUCCUCCCCUUCUUCUUUUCGAGCCAAAUCCACCACUCGAGCCACCAUGCAGUUCAACGGCCCUACCUACCGUCGCCCUUGCACCGUGCCGGAGAGGCAGUACCCAGCCGGAGUCGUCGUGGAGAACAGCCUGAGGGUGUGGGCCAUCUCUAGGUGGAGGGGCCCUAGAGAGUUGGCUCGCUUCUUCCUCCAAGCUGGCUACCGCCACCUCCCUCCGGGCACUCCGCCCAUGUUCCACCUCCACGAGCAGUACGAUGGCAAUGCCGGCCCCGACGGCUUCGUCAUCGGCCUCUAUGUCACCUUCACCAACCCCUACGACGCUCACCACCUCCCCGGGGAGGUGUUCUGGUGUGGAUGCGAGUUUAUCGCGUUCACGACCUACAACAUCUUCACCAACUUCCACCACAUCUUCCCUCACCACAACGGCAUGCACACCCUCCCCUAUCAGAUGCCGGAGGACGACGAGUGAGGGGCCCAAGGAGGAGGGUCCAAGGAGUGGCAAGGAGGAGGGGCCAAGGAGUUGUUCAAGCGGCGAGUCUUCUAUCUAUCUAGUUUGGGGCUCUAGUUUGUGUUUGUGUUGGUUCGGGCGUGUGUGCCCGUGUCUUUUAUAUAUCUAGUUUUAAUUAUUUUACUUUCAUGUUUUAUGAACUAUAUGUAGUGGGGGGAUGCCCCUCUAUAAGUUUUAUCUAUCUAUGCUACUAGGGUACCCGAUGCCCCUCUAUCUAUCUAUAUGUUUUUUCGGUCCUAAAGUUUCUCCAUUGCAUUUUAUUUAUGUGGCCAUGUGUACUAAAAAACAAUUGAUCUGGUAUCUAAAAUGUACGUUACCAAGAAAUUGACAAUAAAGAUUAUAUACUGUACUACAUAAUCAUACAGUUGGUAUACAAUGCAUUUGAAGACAAUGGGCAAGAAAAAUGCUAAUUAUCUGGUGCUGGUGACAUGCGUAAGUGUUGUCUGAUGUUUAAAUCAUGCUUGCUAUGUCAUUUUUUGCUGCCAAACAUGGCAUUAGCGAGAAAGGUCAUUUGGGCACUGAAUGUAUUAAAGUAUACACCAUAUAUAAAAAUGUCUAGCCAAAAGAUUUGGGUGUACAACUGUACACCAAUGACCAAGUAUGGAUCCGCCCCUGGUUGUAAGGGGAUGCCCCUCUAUGUUGUAAGGAGAUGCUACUAGGGGCACACUAGAUGUCUUCUUUUUUUGAGAGAGGCACAACCUUUUUCGGUUGAAACACACGAGUAAAAACUUUGAAAACACCAUAGCACAAGUAAAAAAAUAUAUUAAGAAAUGGUGCUUGGUUGAAAUAAACUAGAACCAAACAAUUGCAACUUUCUUGGUUCACAAAGACUGCUCAAAUAAUUAUCUCAAAUAGCUUAUGCAUAAAAAUAUCUCAAAUAAUUAUUAGAUGAGUUAUCUCAAAAAAGGUGACUGCAGGAAACUUAAAAUUUGUGAAAUGAUCUAAAGCCGAAAAGAUAUAUCGAUGAAUUAUCUCAAAUAGCUUAUGCAUAAAAAUAUCUCAAAUAAUUAUUAGAUGAGUUAUCUCAAAAAAGGUGACUGCAGGAAACUUAAAAUUUGUGAAAUGAUCUAAAGCCGAAAAGAUAUAUCGAUGUCAAUGACCGUGUGCACUUUUUUUGCACUCCUUUUAUCAAUGGGCCUGGAUAUGUUCUAUUCGGCCCUGCCUAACUUCUAUAUGGGCCUGGCCUUUUCGGGCAACUAUGGACGAACCUUUUUUUUCCUUUUCUCCCUCUACCACUGAAACUGAAACUGAUGACGAACUGAAGAACUAAAAAACGGGGCCGAAACAGAGUGGAGAGGACAUGCUGAAUUCGUACAACGCAACACUUUUAUUCAAAUAUACAUAUCAUUAGGAUUACAAAUGAUGCCCAAUCUAUUCACUUACGACUAAUUAUCAUCACAUAAACAAAUGCGAGAGCAAUUACACAAACAUAAAAAAGUCCGGCCAUCAGCCCCAUCAAAUUGCCCUGCUUCUGCAAUUUGAUGAGUUUCUUCAUCUGCUUGUUUAGCUUCUUCAGCUCUGCCGUCACUACUGCAUCCCCCACAGUAGCCCCAAUGGAAUGGGCACAUCCAGGGGCCCCAGAUCCAGAAGCGCCCGAUCCAAACUUGCCCAACUUCUCCACCUCCAGCGGUAAAUCGAGCUCCCCUGAUGCACCCUCCAGUUGAAUCCGCUCUAUGUACUCAUUUAGCCACUCAAAAUGGGUGCAUUGCUUCAAUUUCUGAAAUUGGAAAGAUGAACCCUAAAUCCCAAAUCCGAUGAAAAAUGGGGAAAAAUUGUGAUAUGAAAUUGGGAUACAAAAACCAAAAUUGGCAUAUUGAGAAGUAAAAUCUCACCUUUCCCUGCUCUGGUUUGCUCUCGCAUUUCACGAAUUCCCGCCCAAGGUUGCCAUUCUUGUCGGUCGUUGUGACUAGCCGCUUCAGGGGUGUGAUACGUGGGCCUGCAGGGCACCUUGUCAUGGGCACUGCGCCAUAGCGCGGCCAUGAGCGGCGGGAGGCUGAAGCGGAGCUCGACAUUGCUAGGUCGCGGCCCGGAACGGCGUUGCUGCGCGUCGUCGCCGGAGAAGAAGAACAACAACGGUCGGGGAGGGGGGGUGGGGGCGGGGGCGAGGAUGGGCCACGGCUCGGGCCACGGCUCGGUGUCCUCUUGUACCAAUGCUGACCUGGAUAAGUUAGUGGGUCCCACGCAGUGGGUCCCGCUCACCUGACCAAUGCUGAGUUGGAUAAGUUAGUGGGUCCCGCGCUGUGGGUCCCGCUCACCUGAUUCGAGUUUUAAACAUGUGUCUUUGGAUUAGACAGCAGUGUCGCAUGGGAGCUAUUUUUUCCUAUGCAGAUGUCGCAUGAGAGCUAUUACAACCAACAACGUCGCAUGAGAGACAAUACACACCAACGAUGUCGCAUAGGAGCUAUUCGCCCUUUGGAAACAUUGCUAAGUUUCAUUGUUUGAAACUUAGUACGAGCGACCGAUAAAAUUUAAUUAUUUUGUGUCUACGACCAACAGGAGAAAUUGCUUAAAAUUACAUCUUUGAAACUGGUCAUUUUUUGAUGCAAAAAUGUAAGUUUCAUCAUUGAAACUUAAGGGCAUGUCCAAUGCUGGAUGCUUAUCCAGGCGCUUAUCGUGUGGAAAAAAAAAAUGCCACGAAGUUAGCUCUCGCUUGUCCAACAGCCAAUGCUAACAACGGGCGCUAACCACGGCUGGAGCUAUAGAUUAGAAAGAAAGAUCUGGUUCACUUGUACGUGAAAAAAGGAGCAAGCGCUCGAUGCCUUGCUUUGCAUCGAUGCCAGACUGAGGUGCUGGGAAUCGACAAGAUAACCGCCAAUCUACCAGGAUUAAAUUCCUAGCGCCUUCUUCUAGCGCCUCCCACUGAAAAUGCCCUAAAGGUUUUUGAGGGAUUUUUUUACUGUGUCCUACUUCACGUAUCACGAGGCAAAUCAAGUAGGCGGCAUGGCCUGGCCGGUGAGUGCCAUUGCACUUACUUGCCCCAGCGAUUUUCCGCCUGCAUUGUAGAAUUCUUUCUCCGAGUCCUGUGAAUUAAAGAUGGUGCAGACAAAAGUAUAUCCUAUAUGCGUACAUGUGCAUGAUCAGAACAUGUUUUUACGUGCGUCUACUAUAAAUCAUGACCAUUUUUAACACAAAUCAUGACCAUUCAUGAUUAGUGAAUCAUACUGUCUUAACUUAUGUGAAAUCAUGUGGAGUAAUAUAAUAUAAUAUAAUAGAUAGAUAGAUCCAUGUUGUAUCAUUACACAUUUUGAUUUAUGCAUUUGUUUACAAAAAAAACAGUAAAAUUUCAUGGUGAAAAGUUUGUAUUGUUUCAUACUGAACACCAAUGUUUUCCCGUAAAAGAAAAUAAUGCCUACGCAUAUGCUUUUAUAUUAUUAUUAUUCUUUCAAACUUAUUCAUAUAGUAUUUUUGAUUGUGCAACCAUAAUUUUUAUUAUCUCUCUUGUUCCACUACAUGCUCUUACUCAAUGAUUUUUUUAUAAUGGGUGUUUUUAUUAACUCAAAAUAUAGCAUCAAGCGGAUACAAAACAUAACGAGCCACGUCCGGUCUCUGCAUAACUAAGAUGCACACAGCCAAAAGCAGAAGUCUGACAAAAAUAAGAUAAGAAAAUCAACAUAUCGACAACAGUGAGUCAUAUAGUUCCGACACUAUGCCUCUGUUGAAGGACGGGGUGGAGCGAUCUGGAGAUUAUGCUUCCCUCCAUUUUGAGUAAAUACCUCCCUGGCCACUUGUUCCAACCGCAUAGACGCCGCCACGAAUAAUGGUUGGUACUCUGUUCGGUGUAGCAUACACCAUGUAGGAAGUGAGUGCUCACUCCUAGUUACUAAAUUAUGUACACACUAGUAGAAAAAGGGCCAUUUGUCCCGGUUCGUAAGGCCCAUUUGUCUCAGUUAGGGAACCGGGACUAAAGGGUCGGUACUAAAGCCCUACACCUUUAGUCCCGGUUCUUACACCAACCGAGACAGAUGGGGCUCCACGUGGCCGCUGCGGCUUGCCAUGGCAGGGGGGCCUUUUGUCCCGGUUGGUAGCACCAACCGGGACCAAUAAGCUACCACGCGUCAGCAUUUGAGGGGCUUGGGUUUUUGUUUUUUUCUGAAGGGGGGGAGGGGGGUUGGGGGUUUUGGGGGGUUUUGUAUGGUUAAUUUUGGGGGGUUUCAUAUAUAGUGUUAGGUAGUAAUUAAUUAAUAGAGAGAAGUGUCCUCUCUUAUCUCCGUGCUUGGUCGACGCUACGUACUAUACGUAUAGAGAGGCCCUCGACACGCUUGCCAGUAAGCAAAUGAAGGAAACCAUUAAGUACAGAAGUUCGUCAUGAACAUAUGCAUACAAACAUAAGUGAUAUCGACCUCUCCUUCUCCGAGAGAUAGGUCGAAGAACAAGUUUCCGUAUAUCUAUCCGGCGCUACUAGCUACAUAUAUACAAUAUUAAGAUCUCUUACAAUAUAAUCCCCUAAUUAUAUAUGAACUCAGCUUCCAGAUGGUAUUCUCCGGCUUUAUUGAUGACGUGGUCAAGAAAGAAUCCCUCCAAUUCCUCUUGAAUUGCUUUGAUGCGAUCUUGUGGUAGGAGUUCAUCCUGCAUCUGCCACAUCUAAUUUGAAGAAGGGGGUCAAUCACUAGUGGAAUAACAGCCAUUUGUCUAGGUUCGUAAGGCUCAUUUGUCCCGGUUGGGGAACCGAGACUAAAGGGUCGUUACUAAAGCCCUACACCUUUAGUCCCGGUUGUCGGUGUCAAAACCGGCGGAUCUCGGGUAGUGGGUCCUGAAUUGUGCGUCUAGGCCGGAUGGUAACAGGAGGCAGGGAACACGAUGUUUUACCCAGGUUCGGGCCCUCUUGAUGGAGGUAAAACCCUACGUCCUGCUUGAUUAAUAUUGAUGAUAUGGGUAGUACAAGAGUAGAUCUACCACGAGAUCAAGGAGGCUAAACCCUAGAAGCUAGCCUAUGGCAUGAUUGUUGUGUAUGGAGUUGAUUGCCUACGGACUACAACCCUCCGGUUUAUAUAGACACCGGAUAGGGUUAGGGUUACAUAGAGUCGUUUACAAUGGUAGGAGAUCUUGAAUAUCCGCAUCACCAAUCUUGCCUUCCACGCCAAGGAAAGUCCCAUCCGGACACAGGACGAAGUCUUAAAUCUUGUAUCUUCAUAGUCCAGGAGUCCGGCUGGACGUAUAGUCCGGCUACCCGAACACCCCCUAAUCCAGGACUCCCUCACCGGUUCUUACACCAACUGGGAGAGAUGGGCCUCCACGUGGCCGCUGCGGCGAGCCCAGGUAGGAGGUCCUUUGGUCCCCGUUAGUGACACUAAUACGUCUCCAACGUAUCUAUAAUUUUUGAUUGCUCCAUGCUAUUAUGUUAUCCAUUUUGGAUGUUAAUGGGCUUUAUUUUACACCUUUAUAUCAUUUUUGGGACUAACCUACUAAUCGGAGGCCUAGCCCAAAUUGCUAUUUUUUGCCUAUUUUAGGUUUUUGAAGAAGAGGAAUAUCAAACGGAGUCCAAACGGAAUGAAACCUUCGGGAACGUGAUUUUCUCAACGAACAUGAUCCAGGAGACUUGGAGUGUGCGCCAAGAAAUAAGGGAGGAAGGCACGAGGCAGGGGGGCGCGCCUACCCCCCUUGAGCAUGCCCUCCACCCUCGUGGGCCCUCCACUGCUCCACCGACGUACUUCUUCCUCCUAUAUAUAUCCACGUACCCCCCAAACAACCAGGAGCACCACGAAAACCUAAUUCCACCACCGCAACCUUCUGUACCCGAGAGAUCCCAUCUUGGGGCCUUUUCCGGAGGGGGCAUCGAUCACGGAGGGCCUCUACAUCAACUGCAUGGCCUCUCCGAUGAUGUGUAAGUAGUUUACUUCAGACCUACGGGUCCAUAGUUAUUAGCUAGAUGGCUUCUUCUCUCUCUCUUUGGAUCUUAAUACAAAGUUCUGCUCGAUUUUCUUGGAGAUCUAUUCGAUGUAAUCUUCUUUUGUGGUGUGUUUGUCGAGAUCCGAUGAAUUGUAGGUUUAUGAUCCAGAUUAUCUAUGGACAAUAUUUGAUUCUCCUCUGAAUUCUUUUAUGUAUGAUUCGUUUAUCUUUGCAAGUCUCUUCGAAUUAUCAGUUUGGUUUGGCCUACUAAAUUGAUCUUUCUUGCAAUGGGAGAAGUGCUUAGCUUUGGGUUCAAUCUUGCGGUGUUCGAUCCCAGUGACUGAAAGGGAAGCGAUAUGUAUUGUAUUGUUGCCAUCGAGGAUAAAAAGAUGGGGUUUAUAUCAUAUUGCAUGAGUUUAUCCCUCUACAUCAUGUCAUCUUCCUUAAAGCAUUACUCUGUUCUCUUGAACUUAAUACUCAAGAUGCAUGCUGGAUAGCGGUCGAUGUGUGGAGUAAUAGUAGUAGAUGCAGAAUCGUUUCGGUCUACUUGUCUGGGACCUGAUGCCUAUAUACAUGAGCAUACCUAUAUAUUCUCAUAACUAUGCUCAAUUCUAUCAAUUGCUCGACAGCAAUUCGUUUACCCACCGUAAUACUUAUGCUCUUGAGAGAAGCCACUACUGAAACCUAUGGCCUCGGGGUCUAUCUUCUAUCAUAUUAAUCCUCCAAUACUUAGUUAUUUAUAUUUCUAUCUAUUUUACUUUCCAUCUUUUAUUUCUCUUUAUCAUAAAAAUACCAAAAAUCUUAUCUUAUCAUAUCUAUCAGAUCUCACUGUUGUAAGUGACCGUGAAGGGAUUGACAACCCCUUUAUCGCGUUGGUUGCGAUGUUCUUAUUUGUUUGUGUAGGUUCGUGGGACUUGAGCGUGAUCUCCUACUGGAUUGAUACCUUGGUUCUCAAAAACUAAGGGAAAUACUUACGCUAAUUUACUUCAUCACUCUUUCCUCUUCAAGGGAAAACCAACGCAAUGCUCAAGAGGUAGUGUCGGUGUCAAAACCGGCGGAUCUCGGGUAGUGGGUCCCGAACUGUGCGUCUAGGCCGGAUGGUAACAGGUGGCAGGGAACACGAUGUUUUACCCAGGUUCGGGCCCUCUUCAUGGAGGUAAAACCCUACGUCCUACUUGAUUAAUAUUGAUGAUAUGGGUAGUACAAGGGUAGAUCUACCACAAGAUCAAGGAGGCUAAACCCUAGAAGCUAGCCUAUGGUAUGAUUGUUGUAUAUGGAGUUGAUUGCCUACGGACUACAACCCUCCGGUUUAUAUAGACACCGGAUAGGGUUAGGGUUACAUAGAGUCGGUUACAAUGGUAGGAGAUCUUGAAUAUCCGCAUCGCCAAGCUUGCCUUCCACACCAAGGAAAGUCCCGUCCGGACACGGAACGAAGUCUUCAAUCUUGUAUCUUCAGAGCCCAGGAGUCCGGCUGAAGGUAUAGUCCGGCUAUCCGAACACCCCCUAAUCCAGGACUCCCUCAGUAGCCCCUGAACCAGGCUUCAAUGACGACGAGUCCAGCGCGCAAAUUGUCUUCGGCAUUGCAAGGCGGGUUCCUCCUCCAAGUCCUUCAUAGAAGAUUGUAAGCACCAAGAGUAGUGUCCGGCUCUGCAAAAUAAGCUUCCACAUAUCGCCAUAGAGAGAAUAAUAUUAACACAAAUCAAAUCUGCUGACGUAUUCCGCAGUGCGUCAUCACACUACAGCCAAGUCCUUCACUCGAAUCGUUUUCACUUUUCCACCUCAGCGUGUUUUGCGAGGCGGUUUCCUUGGCACGUCUUGUCAAAGCAGAGAUCGUGUCCCCCUUGUUUACGGGAUUCUCGUUAAUACGGACGUGGGUAACCCAACCGCGCCACUUAUCACGGCGCUUGGGAGGCAAGCGAGUUUUACUAGGCUGGUGGGGACGCAUAGUCGCAUCCGCCCAUAUAAGGGGAUAAGGAUCCACCUUUUUACCUACGCCUUCUUCCUCCUUUGCCUAGCCAUCUUCUGCGCACCCGAGCUCUAGCGCCCCAGCCCGCGCUUCCUACCUCAACCCUCUCCAACAAUGUUCGGAGCGGGAGGCAAGUGGAUGGUCUCCUCCGUCACGGAGGGCCAUGUCAAAAGGUUAAGGAAGGCCGGAUACUUGUCCAAAGACAUCGCGCACCGGCUUCCUGAGGAGGGGCAGCUUCUCCCCACCCCAAGGCCCCAUGAGAGGGUAGUAUUUCUUCCCCACUGCCUCCGCGGACUGGGUUUUCCUCUCCACCCAUUUGUCCGCGGGCUCAUGUUCUACUAUGGCCUAGAUUUCCACGAUCUGGCCCCGUACUUCAUCCUCAAUAUCUCGGCGUUUAUCAUCGUGUGCGAGGCUUUCCUCUGCAUUCGCCCCCAUUUCGGCCUCUGGCUCACGACCUUCAACGUCAAGCCAAAGGUGGUGCGCGGUAACCAGGCGGAGUGCGGAGGUGCCAUGGCGGGCAAAAUUGCCAACGUCCUAUGGCUCGAGGGCUCCUUUGUGGAGACCUUGAAGGGGUGGCAGUCAGGGUGGUUUUACAUCACCGAGCCACGCGAUCCGAAGUGGAUCGCAGCCCCUGAAUUCCGAUCCGGACCCCCUACGCGGCUCAUGUCCUGGAAGGAGACGAGCUUGUCGUGGGGCGACGAAGGAGAGUUGACCAGACUGCAAAAAUGCAUCCAGUCCCUGGUGAACAAGCAGCUCAAGCUUGUCAACGUAAUCUAGGUCAUGCUCGUCCGCCGGAUUCUUCCGUGUCAAGAACGGGACUUCAAUUUGUGGGAGUUCAACCCGGCGCAACACCGAACUCUGAGAAGGCUCUUCAACACGACGUACGAAGAUGUCUGGAGGGGGCUAACCAAAGGCGCCGAGACUCCCACAUCCGCCUCCGAAGACCGCGGAUUCAGCUCGCAGCGUCCUGCUGGCGAGGUAAGAUAUUUCCAUCUUUUACAGGAUGUUAAGCUUUUUCAUAGUUGACUCUAUGCGGGAUCAAAACUCCCUCACCUUUGACAGGAUUGGCGGGAGAAGUCCGGACAGAUUAAAUGCCCGGCUCCCUUGCCCGAAGACCUAGCCCCUGCUCUCCUAGAGAAGCUGCUGGUUUCGGCACCUUAUGUGGUGCCGGAGAAGAGGGCCAAGAAGAAGAAGGCCACGGGGACUCGAAAGAGUUCCUGGCAUAUGGUGGUGUCGGACUCGUCGUCCGACCAGUCCGAGACGCACUCCUCCCGUGAAGACGAGGAGGAAGAGUGUCGGACUCGUCGUCCGACGAGUCCGAGACGCACUCCUCCCGUGAAGAGGAGUGGCCGGACUACGUCCCCGACGCCGACGAGGACGAAGAGGAGUGGCCAGACAGGGCCAAGCAUCCGGCGAGAUCGUAAGUGUUCGGAUACCAGAGUAACUCGUGAUAUUCCUUUUGUUGCACAGCUUUCCCUAAUGUCGGAUAUAAUCAUGCAGUCCGCCCAAGGAUGGGCUCGACGAGUCGUCGAGCGGCUCCCUGGAUUCAUCGGACGUGAAUUCAGUUCCGCCUACUGCUUCCCCCUGUGCUGCAGAUGACGCCGAAGUGGCGUCGCGACAAGCUCCGGGACGAGAGGAGGUGGUCCAGGAGGAGUCGCGAGGUGACCUCCCGGACUCCAGGAGUGAAGGGGACAAGACCCCCCUGGGAUCCAAGUUCGGCUUUAAGCCGGACACUGAGAUGGAAUCAUCAACAGUUCCGGACUGCGGUAGGCGAACUCCUACCAGGAGGAGCAAGCCUACUGAGCCGGCAUCCUCCGUCCAGCCGGAGGCGCCGGACAAUCUGCUGGAGGAGCUUAAGGGCGCCUCCACCGACGAGGAGCACCGUGCCGUCAUGAGUACGGUGAUCCAGAAGGUUCGGUCCGCCAAAAGCGGACUGACUGAAGCUUGUGCUGGCCUUCUAACAGGCUUCGAGGUAAGUAAAAAUAUGUAAAAAUAUUACCGUAUAGACAGUAGCCCCUGAUGCUCUGUUUGGCGUUUGUAAAGAAAAGCCAAAUAGAGGAUCUAUUAAAUAUCGCAGGAGUCUAACUAAAAAGGAGUCAAUAUAUGUAUGCAGGCUUCGCUGCUGGCCACCGCCGCACUGACUGCGGAGGUGGGUGCCCUGAAGGAGGGCCUCCAGCGGACCGAGCAAGAGCUCGGCCUUGCCAAACGGCAGCUCGAGGAAAAAGAAUGUAAGAGAUACCUUACAGAAAAAGUGCCUAUAAAAAGGCUUGAUUGCAAAAAGAGUAGCAGGAUUGUACUGCUUAUUGUAGGGGCCACGACUGAGGUGGCGACCUUUAAGCAGGUGUUGUCUGAGGCCGAAAAGAAAACGGCCGCGGAGCGCACCGAGCGAGACAGACUUGGGGCUCAGGUCAGCGAGGUGCAGCAAGAGCUUCAGGCUCUCAUGAAAAAACAUGAGAGUUUGAAGCUGGAGUCGAAGGCGCAAGCAUCCGAGCUUGCAACGGCCCUAGAGGCUGCCAAGUCUACCAAGGCCGAUGCCCUAAAGACCCUCCAAGAGUUGGAGGAGAUGAGGAAGAUAGCAACGGGUAAGGCAUUCUUUAUGCAAAGCAGAAAUAUAAAAGUGAACUACCUGUUACUUACCCGAAUCCGAAGCUCUCCAGGGGCAUUCGCAGAUCUUCCCUGCAGCGUAUCCGAUGCCGCCGCAUUAUACCAAGCUGAAGAGGGUAGCUCGACGGAGAAGGUGUUCUGGUUUCAGUAUUCUGAGGCCGGACACCCUGUGCCCUUGAGCAACCAGCUGAAACAGCUGGUUGAGCUCCACAAGGCGGCCAAGCAGGCCAUGAAGGGCUUCAUAGUUCGGCUGUGGCCUGGAGAGGCCCUACCUGGGAGCUAUCUCGGGCUGGUGCGGCGGCUGGUGGAGGCCUGUCCGAGGCUUGAGGUCAUCAAGUGCUCCGUCUGCAUCGAUGGUGCCCGUCGGGCCCUUGCCCGUGCAAAGGUGCACUGGGGUAAGCUGGACGGUGAGAAGCUUGUGAAGGACGGGCUGCCGCCGGGGAAGGAGCAUCGCAAGCCCGAGAACUACUACAAGGAUGUUCUUGCAGGUGCCCGCCUUAUGGCGGAUCAAUGUACCAAGGAUGUGAUAUUUGAAUGAACUCGCUCGUGUUUAUCUUGUGCGCUGAAAACUUGUUCAUAUGUGCUAAGCAAUGCUUAUUGAAUUUAAAAUAUUACUUUCUGUGCGGCCAUUUAUCAAAAAUUGAGAGAUGGCCAGUCGUCGGCUUCUGCCCCCGUGCCACUAGUGCUGGGGUGUUCGGGAUAAACCUGAGCGCUCUUUUUCCCAUAGUUGGGUCCUUCGAGGGAGGCGCUCAGCACAACGAACCAGGCAAUCGGACUAUAAUGCUUGAACACUCUCACUUAGCCAUAGAGCUCUAUAAUUUUAAAUUUCGGUGAAGCCCGUAGUUCGGAAGACCGAGUUCGGGGCGCUAUCCACGCCUUGGCCGGACAAAGCCGGCUCCUCGCUCGAAGCGGCAUAAGCCUUUAGGGACUCGAAAAACCUCUCGAACAGCGAUCGGUCUCUCGCCACAUCAUGACAGUCAGUUUUAGCUUUCUCCACUCAGGUGCUUAACCCAGGUGAACCGGGGCACAAUCGCAGUGGUUCUCCUAGUGCUACCUUAGCCGAUAGAGCGGAACGUAAGGCACCAAAACAUAGGAGCCACGCAAACCCAACUAUUGACCCAAAUCAUGAUUCGGAGCCGAUGCAUAUAGUGCUAUAAGUUCGGGGUGCCGCACUUGUGAAAGUGUACGGACUUCUCACACCAUUAUGAGCGGUACUGAAGCCCCUGGCAUGUUUGCCAUACCAUGGUGUACGGGUGCAAUCAUGUCAUUUAAUAAACAUAAAUGUGAAAAGAAGAUAAUGCAAAAAAUAGACUAGAAGCUAAGCAUUGUUUAUAGAGAGGCUAUUUAUCAAAGCCGAACGAUACAAAUAGUGCGGUAAGCAAAAGAUAUUGGACUAUUCAGUAUGUCCUGACCAGGGGCAGGCCGCGGAAUUGUAUUUAAAACAGGUAUACCGCUCGUAACAGAGACCACCUGGGAGUUCCAUAAUGCGUCAUGGCUUGUCUGCCUCCCUGGAUCUUGCAUCGUUUGUGCGGCAGUCGAAUUGCCGAACAGGUCGUCCGAAGUAUGGAGUCCUGAAAGAAGAAAAAAUUAAAAAAAGAAUCCGGCAGCCCCUAGUACGUAUUAAGCCGUAUUUUGGGCGUGUUGUUAUUGUGCCCCUUCCCCUGUGCCCAUGGUAUUUCAAGGGCGUAGUUAUGUACGUGAGGUACUGGUUUCGCUAUGUUGCGAAAGCUGGGGUUGGGGCCGCAUUGCUACGCUUGCUUAGAGUGUGCCAGGCAGUGUCUGGCUUUUUAAUGGCCGGACUGGAGAAUUGCCUGAGAAGGCUACUUUGUACCUCCGCUGCGAGAGCCGCCGUAUGCUCCUCCAUAUGGAGGGAGCGUUCGGUGUUUCCGUUGAACGUAAUUACUCCUUGAGGGCCUGGCAUCUUGAGCUUGAGAUAUGCGUAGUGCAGCACCGUGUUGAUCUUUGCGAAUGCGGUUCGUCCGAGCAGGGCAUGAUAGCCACUGCGAAACGGUACUAUAUCGAAGAUUAACUCUUCGCUUCGGAAAUUGUCCGGGGAUCGGAAGACCACAUCAAGUGUUACUGAGCAUGUACUGUUGGCUUCUACACCUGGUAUAACGCCUUUAAAGGUCGUUCUUGUGGGCUUAAUCCUUGAGGGAUCUAUGCCCAUUUUCUGCACUGUAUCCUGAUAAAGCAGGUUCAGGCUACUGCCGCCGUCCAUGAGGACUCUUGUGAGAUGAAAUCCGUCGAUGAUCGGGUCGAGAACCAAUGCGGCGAAGCCGCCAUGACGGAUGCUAGUGGGAUGGUCCCUUCGAUCGAAAGUGAUCGGGCAGGAGGGCCAUGGGUUGAACUUUGGGGCGACUGGCUCCAUCGCAUAUACGUCCCGUAGCGCAUGCUUCCGCUCCCGCAUGGGAAUGUGGGUUGCGUAUAUCAUGUUCACCGUCCACACUUGUGGGGGAAAGCCCUUCUGUCCAUUGUUGUUCGGCGGCUUGGGCUCCUCGUCGUCGCUGUGCAGCCCCUUGUCUCUGUUUUCGGCCCUUAACUUGCCUGCCUGCUUGAACACCCAACAAUCCCUGUUAGUGUGAUUGGCUAGCCUUUCGGGGGUGCCAUGUAUCUGGCACAAGCGAUCGAGUAUUCGGUCCAAACUGGACGGGCCCUGAGUAUUCUUUUUGAAUGGCAUUUUCCGCUGACCGGAUUUAUAGCCUUUGAAUCCGGCAUUGACUGCCGUGUCUUCAUUGCUGUCGCUGCUAACGCGGCGUUUUUGCUUAUUCCGAUGUGUCCUACCACUUUUGUCCUUGGUAUCCGAAUUACCAGGGUGCUUUGAUAAGUUGUUACUGCGAGCUAGCCAGCUGUCUUCUCCCGCGCAAAAGCGGGUCAUGAGUGUCGUGAGGGCUGCCAUGGAUUUCGGCUUUUCCUGUCCCAGGUGCCAGGCAAGCCACUCGUCGCAGAUGUUGUGCUUCAAGGCUGCCAGGGCCUCUGCGUCCGGACAGUCGACUAUCUGGUUUUUCUUUGUUAGGAACCGUGUCCAAAAUUGUCUGGCCGAUUCCUCUGGCUGCUGAAUUAUGUGGCUUAAGUCGUCGGCAUCCGGUGGUCACACGUAAGUGCCCUGGAAGUUGUCGAGGAAUGCGGCUUCCAGGUCCUCCCAAGAACCGAUUGAGUCUGCUGGCAAGCUGUUAAGCCAAUGCCGGGCCGGUCCUUUAAGUUUGAGCGGGAGGUAUUUGAUGGCGUGUAGAUCAUCGCCGCGUGCCAUGUGGAUGUGAAGGAGACAAUCCUCGAUCCAUACCGCCGGAUCUGUUGUGCCAUCGUAUGAUUCGAUGUUUAUGGGUUUGUAGCCCUCUGGGAUUUUAUGAUCCAUUACUUCAUUCGUGAAGCAUAGCGGGUGUGUGGCGCCUCUGUAUUGGGCUAUAUCACGACGUAGCUCGGAAGAGCUAUGUCUGUUGUGUUCGGCCCGGCCGGAUUUGUUGUAUCCAGAGUGAAGAUCAUUUUCCCGUGCCUUAGUUGAGAGGUGUCGGGGCAUGGCUUGGGUGGAGGGCCGAGACGCCUCUCUGUCGCGGCCGCGAGGUGGCCGGUCUGCCAUGUCAUGCGCUGGUGAUGUAGGUGCUUCCUCCUCUGAUCGGGGUAGCGGCCUAUGCUUCGGGUAACUCUUGGAGGGGCGUUCGAGUUCAUACUCUUCGGCCGCAAGGACUUCAGUCCAUCUGUCAGCUAGCAAAUCUUGGGCAGCUCUAAGUUGUUGCUGCUUUUUCUUGAGGCUGCUUGCCAUGGCUAAAAGCCUGCGUUUAAAAAGCUCUUGUUCGGCGGGGUCUGAUGGUAUGACGAAUUCGUCGUCAUUGAGGCUUGCCUCGUCUUCGGAGGGAGGCGUAUAGUUAUCAUCCUCGACCUUUCCGUCUGCCGCUCUCUCAUCAGGGCUGGCUUCUCCAUCUUCCUGUGCCGAAUCUUGCUGAGGUGGGUGUUCUUCGGCGCUAUCCGGGGUAGUAUUAUCUCUCAUGUCGGAAUCACCGUUUUUGCUUUGGCGGGAUUUAGAGCGGCGCCGCUGGUGCCGGCGCUUUGGCUGUUUCUUGGGGGCGUCAUCCCCCACUGUUCCAUCGCCAUCUCCAUCUUUUGGAGUAUCCACCAUAUAUAUGUCAUAUGAUAAGGUGGCCUUCCAGCGCCCUACAGGUGCUGGUUCCUGUUCGUCUCCUACAUUGUCGUCCAUGCCGUCGAUGUCUUUGGAGCUGAAGUCAACCAUGUAGGUUAGACCGUCGAUAAUGGCUACAAAGUGGGUGGUGGGUGGGCUUUGAAUUUCCUCAUCGUAUGUAUCCCACCCUCGCUGACCGUAGUCCGGCCAGGGCUCUCCUGAUAAAGAGAGAGACUUAAGAGAAUUCAGGAUGUCGCCAAAAGGCGAAUGCUGAAAGAUGUCUGUAGCGGUGAACUCCAUUAUCGGCACCCAAUCGGAUUCGAUUGGCAGGGGCGCGGGGGGUUCGGAGUCCGGGGAGGAGUCCGGAUCCUCGGAGUCACGGGUCGUGCAGAGUGCGGGGCUAGCGUUCGGCUCGAUCGCUUUCGGGAUCGCAGCCCCCGAGGUGACGUCCAACCGCUCAUCCUCGAUUGGCGCAAUAGGUUCCGAGUUAGGGGUCGGAACCGAUGCGUGUGCGGCCUCCAGGACACUGGCCGGGGGCAGAGCUAGAUCAUGCCCCUCGGGAUAGUGCGGCGUGCUUGGCCGUGGCUCGAGCCCGUCGAAGAUCAAGUCUCCGUGGAUGUCAGCCGUGUAGUUUAAGCUUCCAAACCUGACUUGAUGGCCAGGGGCGUAGCUUUCGAUCUGCUACAGGUGGCCGAGCGAAUUGGCUCAUAGAGCGAUGCCGCCGAAGACGAAGAUCUGUCCGGGGAGAAAAGUCUCACCCUGGACCGCAUCGUUGUUGAUGAUCAAAGGAGCCAUCGGGCCUAAAGGCGACGAGACAGAGGAACUCUCAAUGAAAGCACCAAUGUCAGUGUCAAAACCGGUGGAUCUCGAGUAGUGGGUCCCGAACUGUGCGUCUAGGCCGGAUGGUAAUAGGAGGCAGGGAACACGAUGUUUUAUCCAGGUUCGGGCCCUCUUGAUGGAGGUAAAACCCUACGUCCUGCUUGAUUAAUAUUGAUGAUAUGGGUAGUACAAGAGUAGAUCUACCACGAGAUCAAGGAGGCUAAACCCUAGAAGCUAGCCUAUGGUAUGAUUGUUGUAUAUGGAGUUGAUUGCCUACGGACAACAACCCUCCGGUUUAUAUAGACACCGGAUAGGGUUAGGGUUACAUAGAGUCGGUUACAAUGGUAGGAUAUCUUGAAUAUCCACAUCGCCAAGCUUGCCUUCCACGCCAAGGAAAGUCCCGUCCGGACACGGGAUGAAGUCUUCAAUCUUGUAUCUUCAUAGCCCAGGAGUCCGGCUGAAGGUAUAGUCCGGCUACCUGAACACCCCCUAAUCCAGGACUCCCUCAGGUAGCAAGAUGGAUUUCUGGCGCCAUUGCCGGGGAGAUUCGCGCCAAGUCAAGACAUACCAAGUACCCAUCACAAACCCUUAUCCCUCGCAUUACAUUAUUUUCCAUUUGCCUCUUGUUUUCCUCUCCCCCACUUCACCCUUGCCAUUUUAUGCGCCCUCUCUUUUUCCGUUCCCCUCUUUUCCACUUGCUUUGUCGUUAUGGCUAGUCCUUUAUCUACUCCUUUGUCUCCCGAGAAUGAAGUUCUUAAUUUUAAACAAAGGGAGGGAGAAAAUCUAAAAGAUGCUUGGUACAGAAUUUGCAACACACAAAUUAGAUCUACUAGGAAACAAUCUACUUUUGUUCUUCUUCACGAUUUUUAUGUAGGCAUCACACCUUGGAAUAGAUAUAUUCUUGAUGCCAUUACCGGAGGGAAUUUCUUGGGUAGCCAUACUUUUGAUUCUUAUAAUGCUAUGAUAGAUCUGUUUGGCCCACCACCUCUUUUGGUUAAUGGAACUAUUUUAACUUUGGAACAUGUGAUGCAAUGGCUUGAAAUUAGUGAAAAUAAAGUUGCCACCAUAGAGUUAAUUGAAAAUUUGGAUAGAAAGAUCCAUAACCAAAUUACCCAAUACGGAUCUAAGUUAGGAGUUGCUCUUAAAAGUUUUAAAGAAAAGGGACCUAUGGUUAAUGAAAAGAUAGAAAAGGAUUCCACUAGAAUUGAUAAAAUUGAGGAUAUUAUUACCAACCUUGGGUCUUCCUUUUCUUCUAUUAUAAAUACUCCGCCUAAUGCUAAGAUUGCCAAACUAAUGUAUGUUACAAAAAAUAAGGGUGAAACUUCUAAUAAGGAAAAUGCGGAUCUCAAAUCCAUAAGUGUUCACCCCAAUUUUCUCACUAUCCUUAAGGAACCUUUUGCUACAAAUGAUUUUCUUGAUUUCAUACCUAGGAGUUUGAUAAUUAAUAAAAACAAAGAAACUCCUAAAAGUUAUUGGUGUGUUAUUGAAGAAUCACCUUCCAAAGACGGCAAUACCUAGGUCUAUCUUCGCUUUUAUGCCUAGCUAGGGGCGUUAAACGAUAGCGCUUGUUGGGAGGCAACCCAGUUUUACUUUUAUUCCUUGAUGUUUGCUCCUAUUUAGUAAUAAAUAAUUUAUGUAGCCUAUGUUUUGGUUGUGUUUUUUGUGUUUAAUUUGUGUUUGUGCCAUGUAGAACCAUUGGGUAGACUUGGGGAAAGUCUUUUUGAUCUUGCUGUAAAAAACAGAAACGUUAGCGCUCACGAGAAUCGCUGACAUUUUUAUUUGGAAAGUGAUAUUUAGAUAAUUCUUUUUGCGGAUGAUUAAUAGAUAAAUUCCUCACGUCCAGCAAUUUAUUUUAUAAUUUUUGGGGUUACAGAAGUUCGCGUUAGGUACAGAUUACUACAGACUGUUCUGUUUUUGACAGAUUCUGUUUUUCGUGUAUUGUUUGCUUAUUUUGAUGAAUCUAUGGCUAGUCAAAGAGGUUAUAAACCGUAGAGAAGUUGGAAUACAGUAGGUUUAACACCAAUAUAAAUCAAGAUUGAGUUCAUAACAGUACCUUGAAGUGGUGUUUUGUUUUCUUUCGCUAACGGAGCUCACGAGAUUUUCUGUUUGAGUUUUUUGUUGUGAAGUUUUCAAGUUUUGGGUAAAGAUUUGAUGGAUUAUGGAACAAGGAGUGGCAAGAGCCUAAGCUUGGGGAUUCCCAUGGCACACCAAGGUAAAAUUAAAGGACACCAAAAAGCCUAAGCUUGGGGAUGCCCCGAAAGGCAUCCCCUCUUUCGUCUUCGUCUAUUGGUAACUUUACUUGGAGCUAUAUUUUUAUUCACCACAUGAUAUGUGUUUUGCUUGGAGCGUCUUGUAUGAUUUGAUUAUUUGAUUUUUAGUUUACCAAAAUCAUCCUUGCUGUACACACCUUUUGAGAGAGACUCACAUGAUUGGGAAUUUAUGAGAAUACUCUAUGUGCUUCACUUAUAUCUUUUGAGCUAUAUGGUUUUUGUUCUAGUUCUUCGCUUAUAUAUUUUAGAGAAUGGCGGUGGUUUUAUUUUAUAGAAAUAAUUGUUCUCUCAUGCUUCACUUAUAUUAUUUUGAUAGUCCUUUAGAACAACAUGGCAAUAAUAAAACUGUCAUACAAGUGCAUUGAAUACUAUGAGAAGUUUGAUACUUGAUAAUUGUUUUGAGAUAUGGAGAUGGUGAUAUUAGAGUCAUGCUAGUUGUGUAGUUGUGAAUUUGAGAAAUACUUGUGUUGAAGUUUGUGAUUCCCGUAGCAUGCACGUAUGGUGAACCGUUAUGUGACGAAGUCAGAUCAUGAUUUAUUUGUUGAUUGUCUUCCUUAUGAGUGGCGGUCGGGGAUGAGCAAUGGUCUUUUACUACCAAUCUAUCUCCCUAGGAGCAUGGGCAUAAUACUUUGCUUUGAUAACUUAUAGAUUUUUGCAAUAAGUAUGUGAGUUCUUUCUGAGCAAUGUUGAGUCCAUGGAUCAUACGCACUCUCACCCUUCCACCAUUGCUAGCCUCUCUAAUACCGUGCACUUCUCGCCGAUAUCAUACACCCACCAUAUACCAUCCUCAAAACAGCCACCAUACCUACCUAUUAUCACUAGUGCAGAACCGGGCAAUAGCACCGGUUCGUAAGGCCCUUUAGUGCCGGUUUAGGAACCGGCACUAUUAUUUCGGCACUAAACCCCCCCCCCUUUAGUACCGGUUCAGCACGAACCGGUGCUAAAGGGGUACCACGUGGCACGAGCCAGCUCCGGGGGCCGGGAGCCCUUUAGUACCGGUUGGUAAAACCAACCGGUACUAAAUGGUUGUGGGUUUUUGUUUUAUUUUGUAUUUUUCAAUUAAAUUUGUGUUAUCAAUUUAAAUUAGGAUUGUUUUACGUUAUAAUGAGUUGUAGUCGUCAUCAUCAUCAUCAUCAUCGCAUAUUAAUAAAUAAAUAAACUCUAGCUAGCUAAAAAUCAUCGUGGUCGUCUAAUUACCACUAUUUAAUCAUCAUAGUCAUUACCGCUAGCUAUGUAAUCAUCAUCAACGUUGGCUAGCUUAAAGAGGAAACAUUCACUUUGUAACAGAAGCAAAGAGAUAUCAUCAAGUUCAACAUAAUCAUCACCAACAUCGAAGUUCAGGACACGGAUCCAUGAGACGAGUACUAAUUAAGAGCAUGAAGUAGUAGCUACUGAUCCUGCUUCUCCCUCUCAGGUAGAAUAGCACAGAACAUGUAUAGCUCUCCUGAUUCAUCAUACUGAAGCAUGCAGAUGAAUCUGUCUCCUAAUCUUGGGUUGCGCUUCUCCUUACUGCCCCCUAGUACUUCUCUGCGAUCGUUAACAAUUUUGCUCCAAUCUUUCACUAUUAAGCAUUCUUCGCUUUUAGAAAUCCUGAAUGCACUCAUGUGCAAUGUAGGAAAUCUUGGUCGUAAGCUAACCAUUGACAUGCGACCUUUUGUCUCGAUCCACUAAGGCACAACUGUCAUCGGAAGUCCCUGUUGAACAACAUCGUAUAGUAAUUAAUAUACUAAGCAAUGAAAGUUUAGCUUUAAAAAUAAUGUACGCAAAAGAUGCACUAAUUAAGGACAAAUAUUUAAAAUCUUACCAUCUUUUGAUUAUAGAUGUGACCGUAGUUCAAGGCGAUCACCAUUGGUCGCACGUUUUGAGUACUAACAUUUCUAAGUUUAGAAAAAAAAUUGUCUUGACAGUAUUAAGAUCCUCAAGCCAUGAAACACAAUGACUUAUUUCCUCGCAGUUUAGUUGAGCCCCGAGGUAGUAGUAGGUCCUGUCUACCAAGCGCCGGACAUGUUUGCUUGAACCGAAAUAAGCUGACAAUACACAUCAGUUGUCAACUAUUUUUGAAUAAACUGUACGAAAGACAUAAACGUAUAUAUGCAUGCAUGGUUGAGAAAAACUCACCAAAUGGUAGAACUGGAGGCGUUUGCACAUCGACCCAGAUGUCUAUAUUACCUUCAAUAUCAUCUUCCGGACGAAUAUCAAAGGUGAUAACCAUAUCAGGCUCAAAUGCAUAAGCCUUGCAUAGUGCUUGCCAAGUUUUGCAUUCAAAAUGGGUGUAUGUGCCUCCAUUAUAUAAUUUGACGUUGAAAGUAUACCCAUGCUCCGUCUUCAAGUAAACUCUCUUUACCUCCAUAUCAUCUAUAGCACUAAAACCUAUCUUAUAUAAUACAAAAAUUCUUGUAUGGCAGGGGAUGCGCUAGUAGAAUAGUGAAAAUUUAAAAUUAUAAGUUGAAGCAAAUGAAGCAUAAGUUUUGCAUUCAAAUAAUAAUUGACAAAGUGGCUUACUGUAUCAACUUCAAAUGUCUCAUCCAGCUUGAUGUUGAAGCGCCUACCAUCAACAAGGAAAUUUUGGUCGCACAGGCCGCGCUGGUCUUCACAGUGUUCGCACAUAAUAAAAUCUUUUUAGUUGUCAGAUGACAUUUCCUAUGUUCAUAUAGGUGAAACAUUAAACACCUAUAUCUAGCCAAAUAUAUAUUCAUCUAACAUUUGACAUUAAUAUAUCUAACUAUAUAUUCAAUUGACAUUACUAUAUAUUUAACUUUUCUAUCUAAUUCAUCUAACAUUCGACAUUAAUCUAACAUUUAUAUAAACUCAAAAUAUAUAAAAAAUUAAAUAAACAGAAAAACUCAUUAACAAAUAAUAUUUUAAUUAGAUCAUCAAAUCUCAUAUACCUAAAUUUUCUUACUAAAAAUAAACUAGUUAUAUUAAUUAUUCAACUAGUUCUAAUCUNNNNNNNNNNNNNNNNNNNNNNNNNNNNNNNNNNNNNNNNNNNNNNNNNNNNNNNNNNNNNNNNNNNNNNNNNNNNNNNNNNNNNNNNNNNNNNNNNNNNNNNNNNNNNNNNNNNNNNNNNNNNNNNNNNNNNNNNNNNNNNNNNNNNNNNNNNNNNNNNNNNNNNNNNNNNNNNNNNNNNNNNNNNNNNNNNNNNNNNNNNNNNNNNNNNNNNNNNNNNNNNNNNNNNNNNNNNNNNNNNNNNNNNNNNNNNNNNNNNNNNNNNNNNNNNNNNNNNNNNNNNNNNNNNNNNNNNNNNNNNNNNNNNNNNNNNNNNNNNNNNNNNNNNNNNNNNNNNNNNNNNNNNNNNNNNNNNNNNNNNNNNNNNNNNNNNNNNNNNNNNNNNNNNNNNNNNNNNNNNNNNNNNNNNNNNNNNNNNNNNNNNNNNNNNNNNNNNNNNNNNNNNNNNNNNNNNNNNNNNNNNNNNNNNNNNNNNNNNNNNNNNNNNNNNNNNNNNNNNNNNNNNNNNNNNNNNNNNNNNNNNNNNNNNNNNNNNNNNNNNNNNNNNNNNNNNNNNNNNNNNNNNNNNNNNNNNNNNNNNNNNNNNNNNNNNNNNNNNNNNNNNNNNNNNNNNNNNNNNNNNNNNNNNNNNNNNNNNNNNNNNNNNNNNNNNNNNNNNNNNNNNNNNNNNNNNNNNNNNNNNNNNNNNNNNNNNNNNNNNNNNNNNNNNNNNNNNNNNNNNNNNNNNNNNNNNNNNNNNNNNNNNNNNNNNNNNNNNNNNNNNNNNNNNNNNNNNNNNNNNNNNNNNNNNNNNNNNNNNNNNNNNNNNNNNNNNNNNNNNNNNNNNNNNNNNNNNNNNNNNNNNNNNNNNNNNNNNNNNNNNNNNNNNNNNNNNNNNNNNNNNNNNNNNNNNNNNNNNNNNNNNNNNNNNNNNNNNNCGGCGGCGGGGACAGCGACGAUGACGACGGACGACGGUACGGGCGACGGGCGGCGACGACGGGAUCGAGCGGUCCGCGCGGCGGAGGUGGGAGACGAAGUGGGGAGUUGAAACUGAAAUUUUCGUAAGUGCUAUAUAUAUAUAUAUAUAUAUAUAUAUAUAUAUAUAUAUAUAUAUAUAUAUAUGAUUGGCCUUUAGUACCGAAUCGUGGCUCCAACCGGUACUAAAGGCCUAUUUUCGCCAGGCCAAGCGGCGGGAAACGAAGGCUUUUAGUACCGGUUGGAGCCACCAACCGGUACUAAAGGGGGGCCUUUAGUACCGGUUGGAGCCACCAACCGGUACUAAAGGCCUUGCGCUGCCACCCCAAAAUUUAGUCCCACCUCGCCCGGCGAAGGGCAGCCGCACUGGUUUAUAAACCUAGCCGCGGCUACCUCUUCGAACUCCUCUAUAUAGCAGCCUUCUGGGCCUAAUUAAUUAGGGCGCGCUGCCAUGUGAGUCUGCUGGCCCUUCUGGGCCUGCAUUUGCACACCCUAGGUCUGGUAGACCCACAGGGCAGUGCGCCAACAAAUUUUUUAUAUAGUUUUAUCUUUUCUGCAUUACUUAUUUUCUUUUAUUUAUUUUUGAGUAGUUUUUUAUAUAGUUUUUGUUUUCUGCAUUAUUUAUUUUCUUCUAUUUAUUUUUGAGUAAUUUUUUUGUAUAGUUUUUUUAUUUUCUGCAUUACUUAUUUUUGCAUAGUCCGAAACCCUGAUACUCGGAAAGAGUUUGUCCAGUUUGUACACGAAGUGCGUCCAGUUUUUGCCGUGACCCUCUCUACUCUUUCGCGCAUGCUAUGCGGGUGAUACGAUGAUACCAUGCCAAGUUUCAACAUUUUCAGGAUUCAUUUUGUAGUGAUUUUCAAUUUCACGGUCAUUUAGCUCUCUAAACAAUUAGGUAAAUGACUGAAAAACAACAAAUGAUGUCAGAACAUGUUGAAAAUUGAUGACGUCGCUUUAAAUGCUGCAUACUGAACACAAAAGAAGUCCGGAGUACAAAUAAGUUUAAAAAACAUUGAAGUGGCCAUGUAACAGAUGAGUUCUCGUCCGAAACCCUGAUACUCGGAAAGAGUAUGUCCAUUUUGUACACGAAGUGCGUCCAGUUUUUGCCGUGACCCUCUCUACUCUUUCGCGCAUGCUAUGCGGGUGAUAUGAUGAUACCAUGCCAAGUUUCAGCAUUUUCAGGAUUCAUUUUGUAGUGAUUUUCAAUUUCACGGUCAUUUAGCUCUCUAAACAAUUAGGUAAAUGACCGAAAAACAACAAAUGAUGUCAGAAUAGACUGCACUGCACAUAGCUCAGUGUAGACUACACUGCACAUAGCUCAGUGCAAUCUAUGUUAUUCCGCAAGGCUUGAAGCUAAUCAACAUGUAGAUGAGCAUUGCAAUUCUUCGUCAUUGUCUGUGCACUCACGGCUUAUAAACCGCUCAUACUGCCUCUCUCUUGGCGAGGUGGGACUAAAAACAACUUGCCAUAACCUCAUCAAUUUCCUCUUGAAGCUUGUCCUUGCCUUUUUGCUUGUAUUCUUGUGGUGGAAGAUCAUCUUGAGCUUGUGUCCCCUUGAAGGAAGUAGGAUACUUCUCUUGUUGAGGAACAAACUUUGUCUUGGGGUAUUGAUCUUCUUCCCACUCAACUCCAUUGGCAUUGAACUUUCGUUCAAAACCAACACCUUGAUUCUUCCAGUGCCUUCCUUGCUUGCGCACAAUUUCCUCGAAUUGCUUACUCCCGGCAAGGCUUUUGUACAUUCCUUUCUCUAUAAUUCCCUUCAAUAAGCUAUUUUCUUGCUCAAGUGUAACUUGGCUAAGAGAAUCAUUAGUGGAAUCAAGAGAACUACUAGAAGCAACAAUGUUAGAUCUUAUGUCACAAAAAAGAAGUCGUAUCAAACCUUUUAUGUCGGAUCUAGAACAAACCAAUCGGUAUCGCCAUCAUACAGCCCUACCGUGGCUUGUGAUGCAUAUAUAUAUGCAUAUCAAAUGCACGGUUGGGCGUAUGAUGGCGAAUCCGAAUGAUUUGUAUUCAGUCGAUGAACUGGUAGAUGUAUGCAGUCGAUGAACUGGUAGAUGUAUGUAGUCGAUGAACUGAAAGACUUAUGCAGGGAAGGCGAGAGAUGGGCUAUAUAUAGGGUCGUCUGGCUCACAAAGUGAUUGUGGUAGUUUCGAUCCAACGACUCACAUGAGCUAGGAAGAAGCACACCCUUGAUCCAACGACUCGCAAGAGCUAUAAAGAAACACACGAUCCAUGUGAUUCUUCCUGAUUGGUGGGAUGCACAUUAGUAUCGGUUUGUGCCAUGAACUGGUGCUAAAGAUUGGCAAUGAACCGGUACUAAUGGUAGCAGCCCGCCUAGCCGUUGGAAUCGGCACUAAUGGUCACAUUUGUGCCGGCUCAAAUUCAAACCGGCACUAUAAUGUGCUUCACAUUUGACUGUUUUUCUACUAGUCAAUAGAGUUUGCCAAACUUGAGUUUCCCAAGUCACUUACACAAAAAGCUAUGAUUCAUGGUUGUCAAAUCCAUAAUUUACAAACCACAACAACCUUGAGGCAUAACAAGCUUUAAAUGCUGCAUACUGAACACAAAAGAAGUCCAGAGUUUAAAUAAGUUAUUAAAAAUAAAAAAGAGGUGCAAUGCUGGUUAAUUUGCUUCAAGCUAUUCGGAAUAGUGUAGAUUGCACUAAGCCACUGCACAUAGCUCAGUGCAAUCUAUGCUAUUCCGCAAGGCUUGAAGCUAAUCAACAUGUAGGUGAGCAUUGCAACUCUUCGUCAUUGUCUGUGCACUCACGGCUUAUAAACCGCUCAUACUACCUCUCUCUUGGCGAGGUGGGACUAAAAACAUCUUGCCAUAACCUCAUUAGUACUGGUUCAUGGUACGAACCGGCACUAAAUGGUGAUGGUGGGGCCAUAGCCUGACCGCAGGCUGACACAGCCUCUUUAGUACCGGUUCGUGGCAUGAACCGGUACUAAAGGUUCGCCACGAACCGGUACUAUUGAUCGCCGCCACGAACCGGCACUAAUGUACACAUUAGUGCCGGCUCUAAUUCAAACCGGCACUAAUGUGCUUCACAUUUGACCCUUUUUCUACUAGUGUAUGGCAUUUCCAUAGCCAUUCCGAGAUAUAUUGCCAUGCAACUUUCCAUCGUUCCAUUAUUAUGACACACUUCAUCAUUGUCAUAUUUGCUUGCAUGAUCAUGUAGUUGGCAUCGUAUUUGUGCAAAGCCACCAUUCAUAAUUCUUCAUACAUGUCACUCUUGAUUCACUGCAUAUCCCGGUACACCGCCGGAGGCAUUCACAUAGAGUCAUAUUUUGUUCUAAGUAUCGAGUUGUAAUUCUUGAGUUGUAAGUAAAUAAAAGUGUGAUGAUCAUCAUUAUUAGAGAAUUGUCCCAAGUGAGGAAAGGAUGGAGACUAUGAUUCCACAACAAGUCGGCAUGAGACUCCGGACGAAAAUAAAAAAAGAGGGAAAAAAGAGAAAGGCCAUAAAAAAGAAGGCCCAAAAAAUGAGAGAAAAAGAGAGAAGGGGCAAUGUUACUAUCCUUUUUCCACACUUGUGCUUCAAAGUAGCACCAUCAUCUUCAUGAUAGAGAGUCUCCUAUGAUAUCACUUUCAUAUACUAGUGGGAAUUUUUCAUUAUAGAACUUGGCUUGUAUAUUCCAAUGAUGGGCUUCCUCAAAUUGCCCUAGGUCUUCGUGAGCAAGCAAGUUGGAUGCACACCCACUUAGUUUCUUUUGUUGAGCUUUCAUACACUUAUAGCUCUAGUGCAUCCGUUGCAUGGCAAUCCCUACUCAAUCACAUUGAUAUCUAUUAAUGGGCAUCUCCAUAGCCCGUUGAUACGCCUGUUCUGGAGCUCCGCCAGAGGGGGCAUCGAUCACGGAGGGCUUCUACAUCAACAGCAUAGCCUCUCCGAUGAAGUGUGAGUAGUUGACCUCAGACCUACGGGUCCAUAGUUAUUACCUAGAUGGCUUCUUCUCUCUUUUUGGAUCUCAAUACAAUGUUCUCCCCCUCUCUUGUGGAGAACUAUUCGAUGUAAUCUUCUUUUUGCGGUGUGUUUAUUGAGAUCGAUGAAUUGUGGGUUUAUGAUCAAGUCUAUCUAUGAAUAAUAUUUGAAUCUUCUCUGAAUUCUUUUAUGUAUGAUUGUUUAUCUUUGCAAGUCUCCUCGAAUUAUCAGUUUGGUUUGGCCUACUAGAUUGAUCUUUCUUACAAUGGGAGAAGUGCUUAGCUUUGGGUUCAAUCUUGCGGUGUCCUUUCCCAGUGACAGCAGGGGCAGCAAGGCAUGUAUUGUAUUGUUGCUAUCGAGGACAACAAGAUGAGGUUUUCAUCAUAUUGCAUGAGUCUAUCCCUCUACAUCAUGUCAUCUAGCUUAAGGCGUUACUCUGUUUUUAACUUAAUACUCUAGAUGCAUGCUGGAUAGCGGUCGAUGAGUGGAGUAAUAGUAGUAGAUGCAGGCAGGAGUCGGUCUACUUGUCUCGGACGUGAUGCCUAUAUACAUGAUCAUACCUAGAUAUUCUCAUAAAUAUGCUCAAUUAUGUCAAUUGCUCAACAGUAAUUUGUUCACCCACCAUAGAAUUAUUAUGCUCUCGAGAGAAUCUACUAGUGAAACCUAUGGCCCCCGGGUCUAUCUUUAUCAUAUUAAUCUCCUACUACUUAGUUAUUUCCUUUGCUUUUUCCUUUGCCUUUAUUUUACUUUUCAUCUUUAUCACAAAAAUACCAAACAUAUUAUCUUUAUCAUAUCUAUCAGAUCUCACUCUCAUAAGUGGCCGUGUAGGGAUUGACAACCCCUAUUCGCGUUGGUUGCGAGGAUUUAUUUGUUUUGUGCAAGUACGAGGGACUCGCGCGUAGCCUCCUACUGGAUUGAUACCCUUGGUUCUCAAACUGAGGGAAAUACUUACGCUACUUUGCUACAUCAUCCCUUCCUCUUCGGGGAAAACCAACGCAGUGCUCAAGAGGUAGCAAGAAGGAUUUCUGGUGCCAAUGCCGGGGAGGUCUACGCAAAAGUCAACAUACCAAGUACCCGUCACAUACCCUUAUCUCCCGCAUUACAUUAUUUGCCAUUUGCCUCUCGUUUUCACCUCCCCCACUUCACCCUUGCCAUUUUAUUCGCCCUCUCUCUCUCUCUAUCCUCCCUCUCUUUCUCUAUUUGCCUCUUUUUUCCCGCUUGCUUUCUGUUUGCUUGUGUGUUAGUUGCUUGCUUGUCACGAUGGCUCAAGAUAAUACUAAAUUAUGUGACUUCACCAAUACCAACAACAAUCAUUUUAUUAGCACUCCGAUUGCUCCUCUUACCGAUGCUGAAUCUUGUGAAAUUAAUACUGCUUUGCUGAAUCUUGUCAUGAAAGAUCUGUUUUCCGGCCUUCCUAGUGAACAUGCCGGUACCCACCUAAAUAGAUUCAUUGAUUUGUGUGACAUGCAAAAAAAAGAAAGGUGUGGAUAAUGAUAUUGUUAAAUUGAAGCUAUUUCCUUUUUUGCUUAGAGAUCGUGCUAAAGCUUGGUUUUCGUCUUUGCCUAAAAAUAGUAUUGAUUCAUGGAAUAAGUGCAAAGAUGCUAUUAUCUCUAAGUAUUUUCCUCCUACUAAGAUCAUCUCUCUUAGAAACAAUAUUAUGAAUUUUAAGCAACUUGAUCAUGAACAUGUUGCACAAGCUUGGGAGAGAAUGAAACUAAUGGUACGUAAUUGCCCUGCCCAUGAUUUAAAUUUGUGGAUGAUUAUACAAAAAUGUUAUGCCGGAUUGAAUUUUGCUUCUAGAAAUCUUUUAGAUUCGGCCGCGGGAGGCACUUUUAUGGAAAUCACUUUAGAAGAAUCUACUAAACUCCUAGAUAAUAUUAUGGUUAAUUAUGCUCAACGGCAUAGUAAAAUAUCUAAUAAUAAAAAGGUGCAUGCGAUACAAGAAAUUAAUGUUUUGAGUGGAAAGAUGGAUGAACUUCUGAAAUUAUUUGCUAAUAAGAGUGUUUCUUCUGAUCCUAAUGAUAUACCCUUGUCUACUUUGAUUGAGAAUAGUAAUGAAUCUAUGGAUGUGGAUUUUGUUGGUAGGAACAAUUUUGGUAACAACGCGUAUAGAGGAAAUUUCAACCCUAGGCCUUAUCCUAGUAAUCUCUCUAAUAAUUAUGGUAAUUCCUACAACAAUUCUUAUGGAAAUUAUAAUAAGAUGCCCUCUAAUUUUGAAUCUAAUAUUAAAGAAUUUAUUACUUUGCAAAAGAAUUUCAAUACCUUGAUUGAAGAAGAACCGCUAGGAUGCGUGCUAAGAAAGAUGCCUUUAUAAGAGCGUGUUCUUCUAGUUCCUAUGAAAAUAAUGAUGAAGAUCUAAAAGUUAUUGAUGUGUUCCCUAUUAAAUCUUUGUUUUUCAACAUGGAUCUUGAUAAUGAUGGGAUUGAAUAUGAUCCACCUUUACCUAUAAGGCGUUCCAAGAAUUCAGAAUUUGUUGAUCUUGAUGCUAAAAUUGAUAAAGGUGGGAUUGAAGAAAUUAAAACCCUAGAUGUUGCUAAACCCACUAUUAUGGAUUUCAAGGAAUUUAACUAUGAAAAUUGCUCUUUUAUUGAUUGUAUAUCCUUUUUACAAUCCGUGCUAAAUUCUCCUCAUGCUUAUAGUCAAAAUAAAGCGUUUACUAAACAUAUCGUUGAUGCCUUGAUGCAAUCUUAUGAAGAAAAACUUGAAUUGGAAGUUUCUAUCCCUAGAAAGCUUUAUGAUGAGUGGGAACCAACUAUUAAAAUUAAAAUUAAAUAUCAUUAAUGCUAUGCUUUAUGUGAUUUGGGUGCUAGUGUUUCCACGAUUUCAAAGACUUUGUGUGAUUUGUUAGGUUUCCGUGAUUUUGAUGAUUGCUCUUUAAACUUGCGCCUUGUGGAUUCCACUAUUAAGAAACCUAUGGGAAGAAUUAAUGAUGUUCUUAUUGAUGCAAAUAGGAAUUAUGUGCCUGUAGAUUUUAUUGUUCUUGACAUAGAUUGCAAUCUUUCAUGUCCUAUUAUUCUUGGUAGACCUUUCCUUAGAACGAUUGGUGCAAUUAUUGAUAUGAAGGAAGGAAAUAUUAGAUUCCAAUUUCCAUUAAGGAAAGUCAUGGAACACUUUACUAGAAAGUAAAUUAAAUUACCUUAUGAAUCUAUUAUGAUAGCCACUUAUGGAUUGCCUACCAAAGAUGGCAAUACCUAGAUCUAUCCUUGCUUGUUAUGCCUAGCUAGGGGCGUUAAACGAUAGCGCUUGUUGGGAGGCAACGCAAUUUUGUUUUUAUUCCUUGAUUUUUGCUCCUGUUUAGUAAUAAAUAAUUUAUCUAGCCUCUGUUUUGGUUGUGUCCUUUGUGUUUAAUUAGUGUUGGUGCCAAGUAGAACCGUUAGGAAGACUUGGGGAAAGUCUUGUUACACUUGCUGUAAAAAACAGAAACUUCAGCGCUCACGAGAACUACUGCCAUUUUUAUUUGGAAAGUUCUAUUUAGUUAAUUAUUUCUGCAGAUGAUUAAUAGAUAAAUUCCUCACGUCCAGAAAUUUAUUUUAGAAUUUUUGGGGUUCCAGCUCUUGAGCUAGGUACAGAUUACUACAGACUGUUCUGUUUUUGAAAGAUUUUGUUUUUCAUGUGUUGUUUGCUUAUUUUGAUGAACCUAUGGCUAGUAAAAUAGUUGAUAGACCAUAGAUAAGUUGGAAUACAGUAGGUAUAACACCAAUAUAAAUAAAUAAUGAGUUCAUUAUAGUACCUUGAAGUGGUCUUUUAUUUUCUUUCGCUAACGGAGCUCACGAGAUUUUCUACUUUAAGUUUUGUGUUGUGAAGUUUUCGAGUUUUGGGUAAAGAUUUGAUGGUUUAUGGAACAAGGAGUGACAAGAGCCUAAGCUUGGGGAUGCCCAUGGCACCCCCAAGAUAAUCUAAGUACACCUAAAAGCCAAAGCUUGGGGAUGCCCCGGAAGUCAUCCCCUCUUUCGUCUACUUCUAUCGGUAACUUUACUUGGAGCUAUAUUUUUAUUCGCCACAUGAUAUGUGUUUUGCUUGGAGCAUCUUGUAUUAUUUGACUCUUUAUUUGUUAGUUUACCACAAUCAUCCUUCCUGUACACACCUUUUUUAGAAUACUCUAUGUGCUUCGCUUAUAUCUUUUGAGUUAUAUAGUUUUGCUCUAGUACUUCACUUAUAUCUUUUAGAGCACGGUGGUGGAUUUGUUUUAUAAAAACUAUUGAUCUCUCAUGCUUCACUUAGAUUAUUUUGAGAUGCUUAAUAGCAUGGUAAUUUGCUUAAAAUCCUAAUAUGCUAGGUAUUCAAAGUUAGUAUAAUUUUCUUAAGAGUGUUUUGAAUACUAAGAGAAGUUUGAUGCUUGAUGAUUGUUUUGAGAUAUGGAGGUAAUAAUAUCAAAGUCGUGCUAGUUGAGUAGUUGUGAAAUUGAGAAAUACUUGUGUUGAAAUUUGCAUGUCCCGUAGCAUGCACAUAUGGUAAACGUUGUGUAACAAAUUUGAAACAUCAGGUGUUAUUUGAUUGUCUUCCUUAUGAGUGGCGGUCGGGGACGAGCGAUGGUCUUUUCCUACCAAUCUAUCCCCCUAGGAGCAUGCGCGUAGUACCGAGGUUUUUGAUCACUUGUAGAUUUUUGCAAUAAGUAUGUGAGUUCUUUAUGACUAAUGUUGAGUCCAUGAAUUAUACGCACUCUCACCCUUCCAUCCUUGCUAGCCUCUUCGGUACCGUGCAUUGCCCUUUCCCACAUUGAGUGUUGGAGCAAACUUCGCCGGUGCAUCCAAACCCCGUGAUAUGAUACGCUCUUUCACACAUAAACCUCCUUAUAUCUUCCUCAAAACAGCCACCAUACCUACCUAUUAUGGCAUUUCCAUAGCCAUUCCGACAUAUAUUGCCAUGCAACUUUCCACCAUUCCGUUCAUCAUGACACAUUCAUCAUUGUCAUAUUGCUUAGCAUAAUCAUGUUGUUGACAUAGUAUUUGUGGCAAGGCCACUGUUCAUAAUUCUUUCAUACAUGUCACUCUUGGUCCAUUGCAUAUCCCGGUACACCGCUGGAGGCAUUCAUAUAGAGUCAUACUUUGUUCUAGUAUCGAGUAGUAAUUAUUGAGUUGUAAAUAAAUAGAAGUGUGAUGAUCAUCAUUAAUAGAGCAUGGUCCCAAAGAGAGAAAAAAGGAAGGGCCAAAAAAGGCCAAAUAAAAAAUAUAAAAAAGGGGGGCAAUGCUACUAUCCUUUUUUCCACACUUGUGAUUCAAAGUAGCACUGUAAUCUUCAUGAUAGAGAGUAUCUUGAUUUGUCACUUUCAUAUACUAGUGGGAAUUUUUCAUUAUAGAACUUGGCUUGUAUAUUCCAACAAUGGGCCUCCUUAAGUGCCCUAGGUCUUCGUGAGCAAGCAAGUUGGAUGCACACCCACUUAGUUUCUUUUGUUGAGCUUUCAUACAUUUAUAGCUCUAGUGCAUCCGUUGCAUGGCAAUCCCUACUCCUUGCAUUAACAUCAAUCGAUGGGCAUCUCCAUAGCCCAUUGAUUAGCCUCGUUGAUGUGAGACUUUCUCCUUUUUGUCUUCUCCACAUAACUCCACUCAUUAUAUUCUAUUCCACCCAUAGUGUUAUGUCCAUGGCUUGCAAUCAUAUAUUGCGUGGAAGUUUAUAGGUUUGAGAUCACUAAAGUAUGAAACAAUUGCUUAGCUUGUCAUCGGGGUUGUGCAUGAUGAGAGCGUUGUUGUGUGACAAAAAUGAAGCAUGACUAAACUAUAUGAUUUUGUAGGGAUGAACUUUCUUUGGCCAUGUUAUUUUGAGAAGACAUAAUUGCUCAGUUAGUAUGCUUGAAGUAUUAUUAUUUUUAUGUCAAUAUGAACUUUUGUCUUGAAUCUUUCGGAUCUGAAUAUUCAUAUCACAAUUAAGAAGAAUUACAUUAAAAUCAUGCUAAGUAGCACUCUGCAUCAAAAAUUCUGUUUUUAUCAUUUACCUACUCGAGGACGAGCAGGAAUUAAGCUUGGGGAUGCUUGAUACGUCUCCAACGUAUCUAUAAUUUUUGAUUGCUCCAUGCUAUAUUAUCUACUGUUUUGGACAAUAUUGGGCUUUAUUAUCCACUUUUAUAUUAUUUUUGGGACUAACCUAUUAACCGGAGGCCCAGCCCAGGAUUGCUGUUUUUUGCCUAUUUUAGGGUUUCGAAGAAAAGGAAUAUCAAACGGAGUCCAAACGGAAUGAAACCUUCGGGAACGUGAUUUUCUCAACGAACAAGACCCAGGAGACUUGGACCCUCCGUCAAGACACAAAAGAGGAGGCCACGAGGUAGGGGGCGUGCCUACCCCCCGGGCGCGCCCUCCACCCUCGUGGGCCCCCUGUUGCUCCACCGACGUACUCCUUCCUCCUAUAUAUACCUACGUACCCCCAAAUGAUCAUAUACGGAGCCAAAACCCUAAUUACACCGCCGCAACAUUUUGUAUCCACGAGAUCCCAUCUUGGCGCCUGUUCCGGAGCUCCGCCGGAGGGGGCAUCGAUCAUGGAGGGCUUCUACAUCAACACCAUAGCCUCUCCGAUGAAGUGUGAGUAGUUGACCUCAGACCUACGGGUCCAUAGUUAUUACCUAGAUGGCUUCUUCUCUCUUUUUGGAUCUCAAUACAAUGUGCUCCCCCUCUCUUGUGGAGAACUAUUCGAUGUAAUCUUCUUUUUGUGGUGUGUUUGUUGAGACCGAUGAAUUUUGGGUUUAUGAUCAAGUCUAUCUAUGAAUAAUAUUUGAAUCUUCUCUGAAUUCUUUUAUGUAUGAUUGGUUAUCUUUGCAAGUCUCUUCGAAUUACCCGUUUGGUUUGGCCUACUAGAUUGAUCUUUCUUGCAAUGGGAGAAGUGCUUAGCUUUGGGUUCAAUCUUGCGGUGUCCUUUCCCAGUGACAGUAGGGGCAGCAAGGUACGUAUUGUAUUGUUGCCAUCGAGGACAACAAGAUGGGGUUUUCAUCAUAUUUUAUGAGUCUAUCCCUCUACAUCAUGUCAUCUUACUUAAGGCAUUAAUCUGUUUUUAACUUAAUACUCUAGAUGCAUGCUGGAUAGCGGUCGAUGAGUGGAGUAAUAGUAGUAGAUGCAGGCAGGAGUCGGUCUACUUGUCUCGGACGUGAUGCCUAUAUACAUGAUCAUACCUAGAUAAUCUCAUAACUAUGCUCAGUUCUGUCAAUUGCUCAAUAGUAAUUUGUUCACCCACCGUAGAAUACUUAUGCUCUUGAGAGAAGCCACUAGUGAAACCUAUGGCCCCCGGGUCUAUCUUUAUCAUAUUAAUCUCCUACUACUUAGUUAUUUCCUUUGCUUUUUUACUUUGCCUUUAUUUUACUUUGCAUCUUUAUCACAAAAAUAAAAAUAUCUUUAUCAUAUCUAUCAAAUCUCACUCUCGUAAGUGGCCGUGUAGGGAUUGACAACCCCUAUUCACGUUGGUUGCGAGGAUUUAUUUGUUUUGUGCAGGUACGAGGGACUGGCGCAUAGCCUCCUACUGGAUUGAUACCUUGGUUCUCAAAACCUAAGGGAAAUACUUACGCUACAUUGCUGCAUCAUCCCUCACUCUUCGGGGAAAACCAACGCAGUGCGCAAGAGGUAGCAAGGGUUCCUUUUUGUCGACGAUCUGAUGUUUCAACCUUGUUUUCCAGGCGGCCAACGCAUCGCUCAACUUGGUCAUGGCGUGUUUGUUUAUCUUCGUCAUUGCCAGGUCCUUAUCUGGAUCUUUAUUAUCCUUUUCAUUACGGUCCGGGAACAAGAAUAUCUGGUGCAGCUUCUUUAGGAGGGAGGGCCUCUGGUGCAGCUUCUAUAGUUUCCCAUCGUUGAUCAUGGCAGUUGUCCGUACAAUGCAACCUAUUUGAUUGCCGUAGCACGAUUGCGCUUCCUCGGGUGCUAUUGUCUCAAAAAUACCGUCGUCCAUCUCCGUGACCACCAGUCUAGUACUCAUGAGCUGGUUUAGGCGUCGUGGCCUCUUUGCUUUCGGUUCUAGACUAACUCCGCUAGUCUCGGCGCUGGUCUCAGUCUCAUCGCCGGUCUGCAUGUCGGUAUCAGUCCCUGAUGCGACAACACAGUCGCUGCAACAUGGGUAAGGGAGACCACAUCAGUGCUGGGGGGUCCGAAAAUCGGGACACACUUUCGCGCGUCGCGGGCCGCCUCUCAGACAGCUACUGGGGAGGCGGCGGAGUACCUGGGUGCGCCGCGAAUCCCCGGGAACUCGGUGACCAACUUCCUUCCCGUGUGGCGCAUGGAGACGACAGCGACCCCGGCGAAGAGUAGCUUAGCCGCGAGCUGCACAGCCUCGUCCACCUCCUAAGUUGGGACCUCCGCGCAAGCGUUGCGGGGCCGCCGCUCGGGUGGCUUCUGGAAGGCGGUUGUACAUGGGCACAGGGUGAAUCCCGACUAGAGCUGGCCAUUGGCGCGCGCAAGUAGACGACGACGUCCCCGACGAAGAGCUGCCCGGCCAGCUCGCCUCACUCUCCUUUGAUUAGAAAUGAAAGAUUGGGAAGAAGCAGACUUGAGCCUGCAGAGAAAGGAUAAGGUGACGAUGCAGUCUCCACUCGUUCGGGGCGACACGCGUACUGAAUGUAUGAGAAACGUGACGUGGCAGAGACCCCAAGAUACUCCCUCCAUUUAUUUUUAGUCUGCAUAUAAAGUUUGGUCAAAGUCAAGAUUUGUAAAUUUUAACUAACUUUAUAAUAAAAAAAUAUCAAUAUUCACAAUAUGAAAUCAAUAUUACCAGAUGCGUCAUGAAAUGUAUUUCCAUACUAUAAAGUUUUGGUAUUGUAGAGGCACUCUUCCAUAUAAUGAAGUUUAUAAUAUAUGUGCUUAUAUUGUACUACAAUUGUUUGAAUAGCUUAGCAUAUGUUCAGAUGUAUGAUAUCUGUAAUUUAAGCGCUUGAAUUUUACAUAUAAAUAUUUAUUAAUAAAUAUGUACCCCUAUAAUAGCUAGGCCGUGCAGUUGCACGGGUAGAUGACUAGUGAUUACAAUCUUGUUUGUGUGCAAGUCAAGCUUAUCUAGUUUACACGUAACAACUUGUAGAACAUUACAAAAUUUAUGCUUGCUAAUAACUUCUAGAACACUACAACACUUGACAUGUAAAAGGAAUUUGACGAGUCAUGGCCUACUAAAGCAAGUUACAUUACUAGUCUUAUCUAUCUUAACAGACCACACAAGAUUACAAACUAAGUACCGUGACAGCCAUACUUAUCUAGUUUAUGCGUAACAAUUUGCAGAAAAUUAGAAACUUAGUUUCAGAAAAAUACGCAAUCUAGAUUAGUGUUUGAGCUGUAAAGUGAAUAAGAUGAGUCAUGCAUGUUAUCACACCUUUUUGGUGGUGGAAUGAUAGUGCAACAACAAGGAACUUUAAUGACCAGUCCAAGAAUACACUUGUAAGUAGUGCCACCAAACAGAACAUUCCAAAUGAUGAUUUUUAGAAGCAUCCAAGCACUUUCCACACAAACAAAUGCCAAUUGUGAAAGAGAUCAUUCCAUGGCAGCUAUAAAUAGCCCCAUAGCAUGACGAUCAUCCUUCCUCAUCCAUCAUUCUCAUUAGUAGAGCGCAUCAUUUAAGCCAAGCAAGCUGUGGUCAAUACAAAUCCACCAUGAAGACCUUUCUCAUCCUUGCCCUCCUUGCUAUCGUGGCGACCACCGCCACAACUGCAGUUAGAGUUCCAGUGCCACAAUUGCAGCCACAAAAUCCAUCUCAGCAACAGCCACAAGAGCAAGUUCCAUUGGUACAACAACAACAAUUUCUAGGGCAGCAACAACCAUUUCCACCACAACAACCAUAUCCACAGCCGCAACCAUUUCCAUCACAACAACCAUAUCUGCAGCUGCAACCAUUUCCGCAGCCGCAACUACCAUAUUCGCAGCCACAACCAUUUCGACCACAACAACCAUAUCCACAACCGCAACCACAGUAUUCGCAACCACAAGAACCAAUUUCACAGCAGCAGCAACAACAACAACAACAACAACAAAUCCUUCAACAAAUUUUGCAACAACAACUGAUUCCAUGCAUGGAUGUUGUAUUGCAGCAACACAACAUAGCGCAUGGAAGAUCACAAGUUUUGCAACAAAGUACUUACCAGCUAUUGCAAGAAUUGUGUUGUCAGCACCUAUGGCAGAUCCCUGAGCAGUCGCAGUGCCAGGCCAUCCAAAAUGUUGUUCAUGCUAUUAUUCUGCAUCAACAACAAAAACAACAACAACAACCAUCGAGCCAGGUCUCCUUCCAACAGCCUCUGCAACAAUAUCCAUUAGGCCAGGGCUCCUUCCGGCCAUCUCAGCAAAACCCACAGGACCAGGGCUCUGUCCAGCCUCAACAACUGCCCCAGUUCGAGGAAAUAAGGAACCUAGCGCUACAGACGCUACCUGCAAUGUGCAAUGUCUACAUCCCUCCAUAUUGCACCAUCGCGCCAUUUGGCAUCUUCGGUACUAACUGAGAAGAAAAUAACUCUAGUACUAGAUAUAUGAAACACCGUUUUCUCAGUCCAUGGUUUGGUCAUUGUAGCGUUGAAAAAAUAAUGUGACAUGCA
rnacentral:lncRNA from 1 species